rnacentral:lncRNA from 1 species
GAUAGGAAGAAGGAUAGUAAAAGGGGAAGGGAGGAGAUUAAGGGUAGCGAUAAGUUAUCCUGGUUGACUAACCAUAUCAGAGUGAGGAUUAUAAGCAAGAAUUUAAAAGGUGGACGAUUGUACCUGAAAAAAGGGGAGGUUGUGGAUGUGGUUGGGCCAACAACUUGUGACAUAUCUAUGGAUGAGAACAGGGAGUUGAUACAAGAGGUGGAUCAGGAGCUACUGGAGACAGCACUUCCAAGGCGUGGAGGACCGGUUUUAGUUUUGUAUGGUAAACAUAAGGGUGUCUAUGGAAGUCUAGUGGAAAGGGAUACAGAGAAGGAAACAGGUGUGGUUAGGGAUGCUGAUUCACAUGAAUUGCUUAAUGUUCGCCUUGAGCAAAUUGCAGAGUAUAUUGGGGAUCCAAGCUACAUAGGUUAUUAGUUGAUUCCUAGUAAUGAGAUGCAGCAUUUCUCGAUUGAUACUGUGUUUCAAAGUUCAUACUGUGUUUCAAAGUUCAAGGUACUUUUUGCCAAUAUUCUUUUGCUGUUUCCUUUGUUUUUAAGUGUGAGUGAGAAUUUGUAUGUAAUUUCAACUAGAGUAAUUUUUAAUGCGAAUCUGAUCUUUAUUAUUUUAAACUAAUUACAGGUUAGCAGAGAGUGUGUUCUUUUAGGAUUGCAAGCUUCAAAUAUUUAUUCCAAGUGAAGAUUAAGAAUUGUAUUUGCAUAAAAAUGUUUUGAGUAAGGUUUGGGACUCAGUUUUUUUUUGUCUGGAAACUGAAAUCUGUGUCUCUCUCGUAGAGAUAGGUAUAGCAGUUCUAGGUAGCUGUUUGCUUCACCAUGUGGAGUUCUACUUAGCUAACUUCAUCAUUUACCAUUUGUUAUAGUUAUUGAUCUUCUUUGGUGCUGCUUUAGAUCUCAGUUGGGGUUUAUCAAUUUGCAUUUGAAUGAGGGUAACAGCAAGGUGCAGGGUAUUGUUGGGAAAGAUCUCUUCAUUUAUUUAUUGAUUUCAAUAGCUUAAAUUUUGAGUUAAUGUUUUGUGGAUGGCUGCUUUUUCACUGGUGGACUUUCAUAUGGGAACAACAAACCAGCUUGUUAGUUGUUGUUGUAUGCAUUAUGCUGUUUACUUUUUUUUUCAUUGGAACUGGUGCAUUUUUGCUUUAGACAUUUUCUUUGGCCAUGAAUUUAGUUUGGGAUAAUAGUUACACUGAUCUGUAGCCUACAUGGUACUAUGGAUAUAAUGCUUUGUGACUUCAUUUUAAAGAAAUAAAUGCUUGCUUGUUGGUUCAUAUUUAGGUAAUGUUGGGGUUCUGUACAAUCAUCAAAAAGGUGUUCACUAAAUUUCUUGGGAUCAAGACUUUCUUAUGAGGGUCGUUAUGAAUGUAAUUACAAGUUAAGGUGCCAAAGGAGGAAUAUUUAUGUAAGGCUAGUAAUGUUUUUUUUUGGUUGUGAUACUACAUCUGAAGCCAACUGAUUUGCUAAAGGGAAAAGGACAGUAAUUCUUGUUGUAUUUGGUUUGACUUUUGUGAACUAGACUAUGAUGGUUAUCUAUGGCAUAGGCAAAUUGUUUCUUCCACCUUAUGUUAUGUCGAAAUGUUUCCAUCAAUUUGUCCGUAAAGAGCAAGAUCCUUGCCCUGUUUGUAUCUGAAUUUUUGCUUGUAAUCCUUAAGGAGUGUGCUUUAUAUGCUAGGUAAUAACUUAAAAUUUCGGAAGAUAUGAUAAUGAGUCAGCUGUCUUCUUCUAGUUGAAGCUAGCAUAGCAGUUUUCUAAUAACUAUUGCCUUUUACUGAUUAUAUAACAGUCAUGUGGUUCGAUGGGACUGAAAAAUUUUUAGAGAUUUGUAAGUUUUGUAGUUUCUUGGUGCUAAUUCUUGUUGCUCUUUAGCACUCCAAAUUCUGGAAUAUGGAUUUGAACCCAAAAUUUCUUUUUGGGGGUGGGGGGGGGGAGAUGGGAUUGGCAGGUGCAUGGGUGUGGGCAUGGAGAAUAGUGACAAAUAUGUAUUAGACGAAGAGACAAAAAAAAUUCAAGUGGAGAUAGUAAUCUUAGCUUUCAAAUGUUUAAAGAUACAGUGCGGCAACGAAAGCAGCAUGGCUAGAAAAUAUCCUCAAUGAGCUGCUUAAGUUUCUAUUGUUCAUUAUGCUAGUCCUUGCUAUAAUGCUAGGGUCAGGGGAGGGUUAACAGAAUUUGUGACGCAGGAUCUUUAGGUUUCAGCAAUGAAAUUAGGUGUGGAUUAUACGCGAGCACACUGGAUCUUUUAGGUGUCUAUUAUGUGCAGAAAAUAGACUUAAGUGUUGGUACAAAAAUUAGAUAGGAAGAUGAGGAAGGAGAUGAAAAAGCAGAGAACUCAUGCAUUAUGUCAGAGAGCGAGAGAGAUAGAAAGGGAAGCAUUUUUUGAAAAUUGCUUCAUUUCAUUGCAAUCUGCCAUAAAGCUAUUACAACCUAUAUUCAUGUAUGGAACAUGACUUGGGGGGAGGAGAUCUUAGAAAGGACCAGAACUCAACAACUAAGAAAGCUAAAAGCUCAAAAACUAAAGGAAGCCAAUUUGGACUUGAUUACUACUGCAGGUGGCCUCCAUUUCCAAAGACUUGCCUCCAUUUCCAAAGACUUGCAGAGCUUCUAGCAAGAAGACUGGAUUUCUGAAUUUUGAAUCUGUCAAAAAAGACUUCUGCUAUGCACCCUAUGGCUUAUUUUAGCAUGAGCUGAAGUAUAAAAAACUCAUGAAAAUUGGAACGUAAACUGCUUUGACUUAUACAUCAAACUUCACAUCUAAAUGGAAAUACAUCAUGGAAAGCGGCUAGAGAACUUGAAAAUCUGUUAUUUUCUGAAAUUAUGAGAAUCUUUGUUCAUAUCUCUUCAUUCUGCAUCAGUUUGGUACUUAAAAGCUGCUUUCACCAAUUAACCUGUUCUACUUGAAAGAGAUGCUGUUGUUGGACCAGCCAUUUUAGUGUGAAUAGGGAUUGUGUAGAUUUUACCUUGUCAGGAGUUGUCCCUGCUGACAUUCAAUUGUUCAACACUUAUUCAUAUGGUCCCUUUUAACUGAACAUGCUACAGUUUUUGUUCCUGAAAUAGAAAGGUAACGUCUGAGCAUAAGAGGUGACGAUAGCACUUUGGCGAAUAAUUGAUUAUUUGAUUAUCUUUGGGCAUUUAGUCGGGUUUAUUGAUCCAUCUAAAUUGUUUAUCAUUUGAUUUAAAUUUCUCUUACGUUCUUGCUUCUGAAAUGUGUGCGACCUUAAACUAGACUGACAAAACUUUUAGUUUAAAAUGACUUAAGGAUCAGUUGUUGCAUACCUUCUAAAAUUAGCUUGGUAUAUUAGAAGGCUGAGAUUUAUCUCUUUUGACAGAAUAUUGACCAGCCAAAACAGAAUUGCCUUUUUGAGUUUUGAUAAUUUGGUCUGCAUCAUGUUGACCAGGUUUCAGCUGCCUUUUGCUUAUUGUUUUGGGCUUAUUUUAAGGAUAUGAUGAGAAACCAAUAGCAUUUGAUUUUAGUGUUUUCAAUGGAAUUUUACCUCAUGUUACAAUUAAAGAAUAAUGAUAAAAGAAAAAGGAAAAAAAAGAAAAAUCUUCUGGCAUCAGUCGUCAAACUUCUCAAUGCUUCCUAAACCUGAAAAUGGGGCUCUCUGAUAUAUUGAACAGGUUAUUGUGCAACCAACCCAAAACCCCCCCCCCCCCCCCUCUCUAUCUCUCUCUCUCGGGUAGAUACAGAUCAUGUUAUCUGGAAUCUUCACUUUCCUUGUCAUACCCAUGUCCAUUCCUUCAUUUUGCACUAGUCUGUUGGCGGGAGCCCUUAGGUGAGUCCAUGUAACAUAGGAAACAGCAAAUGUUUAGCUUCUAUUGUUAUUUCCAGCAAUAAGUAAUUAAACUGUACUGCCUUUUUCUUGGUAGUCCAUUAUUUUUUUGAGAUCUUAGUUCUUUCUGCAUUUUAGCUUCUCUCUCUUCUUUGAGAAAGAGGAACUCCAGCGUACAGCUGAUGCUACAAAUGGUUAUGUCAUCAUUGGACCUCUUUAAAAUAUGUAUUACAUGGUAACAUGCUUCACCUUUUAAACAAAUCCAGAUUUAUUUUUGAUCCAAAUUGAUGGUCUUGUGGAGUUUCAGAUCAGUAACUUUUUUAACUUGUACAUUCUAAUUAUCAUGCCUAAUCAUUAUGGAAUGAGUGAGUCAGGGCAGAAGGAAGUUGUUCUAGUAUUCUGUUUUACGUAGUCUGCAGAUGUCUUUUGUUUAGAUUUUCGAAGUAUCUUUAAAGUAUUUCAAAGCCUUGAAUUAAUAUUAAAGGUUUUCUACCCAUGAAUGGUUAAGGUGCACAAGUCAAUCAACAGUAUUUCCUUCCGAGCCACUAGCAGCGGACUGUAGGAUUGUAGCAGGAAAUCUGAUGCAUGUUUUUGUUUCUUCUGCUGUUAAAAAUGAUUGAAGGUGAAAUUGCACUUGAAGAAGUUUAUUUCAGACCUCCUUUCAUGAGUGGGGCUAUCCACUUCUCUCAUGGGUCCUAAAUUCACUUAUGGUUAGUUUUGGCAUGUUAAAAAGUUUUUUCUCCUUGCGUCAUUUUGUUUUGGGUGGUUAUAUACCUGAAUUUGCUUCGGCGAGGUACUUGUAGAUUGUAGUUGUAGUGCCUUUUUUUCUGUUGAAAAGGUAGAUAACUUUGGUGACCGAUGUUGUCAAGAUGUGUAAUACUAGUGUAUCUGGCCAAAAAUGCUAGAACACGUUGAAUUUCUAAGGUGGUUUAUUAUUGUGAUCCUUUUGCAAUUAAGAAUACAUACUGGUCUAACAUUCUCUGCAAUUUGUGUUAACAAUUGUUAGGCCAGUGGCAGGGGAAAAGACUGUUGAGCUUGAGAUUUAAAGUGGACAGAAUGGUAGCUCAAGCAUUAUAAAACAAUCAAAAUGCACCAAAUCAAGCCAGUUUGGAGUUCAAACUCAGCAAGCUGAAAGAGAAAAUUGGUUCCAGUGAUUCAGGGAUAUUCCCCCACACUGUCUCCAUUGUACAGCUACCACCAAAUCAGUCGAACAUGUGAGUUAGUCCUUUACUAAGGCUUAAUUAGUAGACCAUCUAUUGGUGAAAGGCAUUGGGUAAGAUUCUUGUACGUUAUAACAUUGCCAAAGCUAAAUCAGCCAUUUAAGAUGAAAGAAAUGAACAUCCUUAUUAAUGGUUUGGGAAUGAUUACCCUUUUUUUUUUUUUCCCCUUUUGCAUGGACUACAAAGUUUUAGCAAGUGAAAAUGUGCCCCUUGGCGCGAUGUAUGAGGAUAGCCAGACGCAUGUUUGGAGUGUUGUAGCAGUUGGGCUGCUAUGCAUGAGUGAAAGGGUGUUGAAGACAAUAAAAGAUGCUGAGCAAAUUAGCUGUGAUGAGAAGGAUUAGUAGAUUGAAUGUCAGUUUAAUUUUUGGGGGUAUUUUAUGUAGGAUUAUGCAAACGAACUUAAAUGCAUCAUGCAUUGAUUAAUCGAGAGGACUAUCAUUCAAAUGUAGGUGUAAUAGCUAUAUAUCAAACACAAAGUAUACGCUGUGGCCACAACCAAUCAAGAAAUAACCUGUAAAUUCACCCUCAAAAAAAAAAAAAAAAACCUGUAAAUUCUACCCUUUUUUUAUAAAUAUGAUUUUAUACAAUUGUCUCCACAUGAGAAGGUACACGCAUAUUUAGCCCAAUCCUAGCCAUGUCCUAGUUUCUUCACAAGUAACUCAAUUUUAAGCCAUUAAUAGUGGCGUGGAGCCCUGCAACAGCAUUUACCCCUUCUUUCUGACAUUUCAAAGCACAAAAAUUAGUGGUAACGAACAUGAAGGUUGGUGGAAUUAGAGGUGAAACCAUAUCCAACGUGGUUACAUGCUUAAUUCAAUUGACAAAUGCAAAGGCAGCAGAAAUUAAAUCAUUACAGUGCAGGGAUUAUUGAUCUAAAUAAUUCGAAAAGGUUGAGAUGAAAAUGCAGAAAGUAAAAUCCGAAUUAAGGUGAUCCAAGUACCAUAAUGAACUGAAAUAGCUAAUAAAUUGCGACCAGUCACAUAUAUGAUUAGGAUCUCCAUGAUACCGAGUCUUCCAUUGUUGCCUGUGCCCAAACCAAAAGAGAAAAGUGGACAAUGCUCUGACAUGAAGUAAGCUGUUCUGCGAGACACGAUUAAUUAAUUAUAUUUACAAAUAAGCACAAAUUAUAUUUAUAUAAUCGGUGGAGAAGUUGGGGGUGGAGGAAGGAGAGAAAGCGGAGGCAAAGUAAGGAGACUGCUUGUAUUUUGGUUGGUGUCCACCGAAGGAUUCAAUGCCGCAAAUCUGCCCAAAGACCAUUCAGCAAACAAAUGCCACCAGAGUUCAACAAAAUUACAAAGUAACCAGUCCAAACUCCUAAUAAAAAAAGUCACGAAAGUUCCUCUAAAUUACCAGAUAGCUGAUCCAAUCCCUAACGAAAUGCCACUCAAAUUGAUCAAUAUCAUAACAAUCACCGGCCCACAAACAAAUGAGAAUCGCAACAGUAACCAAGCUUGGUACUUUUAUAUCCUACCAGUCUUCUUCGGAAGCCACUGAGCUUGUCUCAGUGGCCAUAAAAGAGAUGUUACAAGUGGGGGUUCAAAUCUCAUCUAUAAUCAAAAAAAUUUAAGAGUGGUGUCAAAACACCCAUUUGGUCUAGUCAAUUGUUAUUGUUGCUCGGAAAAAAAAAAUGAGCGAGGGUGCCUAGAUCCUAUUUAAUCAAAAUCAAAUCAUAGAGAGUUCUAUCAGCACUACCACGGCCAUAAAUUAUGUUAUAAAAGUACUUGAUAACUAUCGAGUAUUUGAAACUAAAAUUACUAAUUAGUGAUUAUGGCACUGUUCAUUGUUCAUCUCCUCAAUCACCUCUUCUAAGUUCAAUCGACAUUAGUAAUCAGAUCCUUGAAGUACUAAAUAGCCUUAUUGAGAAGAACAAAAUGUCAUCUAAUUUUCACAAUGUAUGGCGGUAAAAACUAAAUCAGCAUGAAAUUGACCCUACAUGAGCUAGCCACUAUUUAUCUCCCUUGUGGUCAAACCUAGACUACUAAAUCUUGAUUGUCACUGGCAGUUUUAGAAACUACAUCUGCUUCUACCUCAUAUUCUCCUUCACCUGUUAUGCACAUCAAAAGACUCCUAAGCUCAAUAAUUAUACAAAAAGGAGGUAGGACAAACUUAGGUAUUGCUUGUUAGAACAUUAACCAGGAAGAAGACUAGUUAAAAGUGAUCAGCUGGAAUCAAAAGCAAGAAAGAAGUCAUUCAAAGAAAAGGUUACAAAAUAAUCAAUUUUGAGGAUAUCAAUUAACUGAAUGAUAGCAUAUAACCAAUUAUUUGGCCUCUUGGUUCAGAUACCUAUCGAAUUUCUAAGGUCAAAUACACAAUUACCAGAGCUCCAAGUCCAAGGUCUAUAUGAGUUUAUGCAGUUUUAAUUUCCAAGCUGAUGUAAACUCAACCACAAAAAACAAAAAAACUUAGCAGACUCUGUUCACAUAAUUCUGUUUUGCUUGAGCAAGAAAAUUAGUAACAAUAGAACAAAAAUGCAAACCUGCAGUUGUACCUUGUUUGCUUUUCACCCUAAUGUGUCCUUUGAUCCCUAUCAUAUUUCCCUAUCAAAGUUACCUCACCCAAAUUUAUACUUAUGCUUAGAACUCCUAAAAAAGAAUAAAUUCUCUAUUCCUAGGUGCAAAUGGAAUAAGUAAUCUGAUUAAUGAUCCUGUCAUCCCCAAUUAGAAUAAGAUUAAAACAUGAGGCCAGAGGUGGAAAAAAACGUUAAGUCAUACAGUACAACCUCUCAAAGCCAACUAUACAUCAAUUACUCGCAUGGUCUAGAAGGAAAAGAAAAAGUAGCCAGCAUGGUGACGAACAAAAUUUAUAGCUUCUCUGUGGAAAUAGUCAAGGCUCUAUCUCAUUCGAUAUGAUAAACUUCCUAGAAACUUUCUACUUUCUACAACAUUAUUGGAUUUUGGAACGGGCAAACACACACUCAAAAGCUAUACAACAUUGGUCAAUGACACUAAAGAAAGUCAUGAACUCGGCCAUUGUGAAUGCACAUAGAUAGUGACUUGUCCUACCAUGGUCAAUGAGUUUUAAUCGAGUCAAUCUAGAGAGUUAUGUUUCAACAAUGAAACAGGAUUGGGGUAACAAACAUGUGGUCUUACAAAAUGUAAAGAAUUAGUAGUAAAUUUUUUCAGAGGGCAAUAUCAACAGAGGAGGUAAUUGCCGACUCUCAAACCAAAAGAGAAAAGUGGACAAUGCUCUGAAAUGAAGUAAGCUGUUCUGCUGGACACGAUUAAUUAAUUAUAUUUACCAAUAAGCAGCAUAAUCACUAUAUAAUUGGAAAACCAAAAUUUUUUUGGCCAAUUAUUAGUCAGUCACUUUGAUGAAUGAUGAUGAUGGAGAUGCGAGGAUAAUAAUCUACAAGCUAUCUGUUUACGUCAAUUAUUCUUGUACAAUGAAAUGGAAACCAAAUAAAAACAUGAAGGAUUUAUCCUUCAUAAAAUUAGUGAGGGAGGAUUUUUUUUUUCUGUUUUUGGUUGGGGGGGGGGAGGGAUAAUGGGCUGCAUUUGUGUUAUAUACGUAGAAAGCCACGUUAAAGACAACACAUGUAUUUAGUUCAGAAGGGAAAUCUACCUGCUUUGCAAAUCGUGGCUGCAAGAAGAAAAACAAGAGUAAUAGAGAGGCAAAUCUCCACUUGUAUAAGAACAAAAGCACAGGUUAGUUUGCCAACCAAAUAAAUGAAGUAAACUUUUGGAAAUAACAUCACAUCAUAUAUUGAAAGAUACCAUGAGCUGUUAAGAAAAAGCUUUCAUAAGAUACCUCUGUGUGGAGAUUUUUGACUGGAUCAUCUGGUUUGGGGAUCUACUAACGGUCAUUGUCUUGGUAACAUUAUGAUGUCAUUUGAUAUUUUAGUUGAUUGUUAUUUGACAAAAACUUUCCUCACUAUAGUUUCUCAAAGUAACUCUAAAGUCCACAUAUACUGGAAGGGAGCAGUUGAAACAGUAUUAGGCUCAUGUACUAGGUACCUUGACAUAUUUGGCUGCUUGCAGACCAAUGCUCAGGAUAAGGUUAGACAAGCUUGCAUUCAUUAGUUGGCAAAAACUGGAAUUAAGAGUUUAAACAUGUUGUGAUGAUUACUGAAAGGGUUACUAAGAGCCAAUGCUGCAAAAGCCAGGGACAAUGCUGCUUGCUGAAAUAAUAUGUCUCGAUUUCGUCAAGAAUGUGAUAGAAAAUAUGUCCAAAUUCUUGUAAGGCUCCAUGAUUUGCUUAACAAGUUAUGGCUCCAUGAUUAAAUUGACCAAGAAAAUAUGUCCAAAUUUGCUUACUAUGCCUGUGGCAUCGAAGACAUUGGACAAUGCUACUUUUGUCAGUGGUUCAUAUUAUGCUUUUGGAUGAUGAUGAAAGCUUGUCAAGAGGGCUUUUUUUUUGUUAAACUCUAUUGUCCAGAAUGAUGAAAAACUGGGAAGAGCCUUAGAAAUUAGACUUGCUUGGACUUUUUGACCGUUUUCUAGACUUAUAUGAGUUUUUAUAUAUUGUUCUUUAUUAGUUCUAAUAUUUAGACAAUUGGACAUGUAACUUGGAUAACUAAAUGUUGCUCUUGUGUUUGUUGUGGUUUUUGCAUUUGUAGUUUUAUUGGAUUUUGUUUAAUUUCAGAAGUUCCAAUGACUUUUAUUUAAUUUCAAAAUAUGGUAAUGAUUUGUGUAGGAUUUAAGGUUUUUCUCUUGUAAGGUACAAUUGAGAUGAAUUUAUUUAUUUGGAUUUAUAGUGCUAAAAUUUUAUGUAUGUUUGGAAAUAUUUAACUUUUUAUCAGGUGAUAUCUAUGGGAAGUCUUUGGCCCUAUUUGAUAACCCAAUUCAAUACUUAAACUUAAUGGAUUCAGAUCUUAAUAUGUUUAAACAUGUCUGAUAAUCAGAACUUGAACAUUUGAAUUAAUUAAGUGACACUGAAUUUUUUAAGCAAAACUUGAUCCAAAAAAUAAGUGAUAAACUAUUCACUUAUCUUUGAAUGUAAUAUACACUCAAACGUAUCUGAUUUAAUAUUUAAUAAUUUAAUAAUUUAACAGAUUCAAAUUUCAAAUUUCAGAUUUCAGUUUUAUGAAACACACCCUUAGUCGGGGUUGAACCAGUUCAAUCGGUUGAGUCUCGAUCCGAUCACUUCACUGAUUCAAUGAAUGGUCCUGAGUUUCAAAACAUUGAUUAGAACAGCUUUCCUUGAGCCAACUUAGAAAUAGAGAUUGUUGAGCUCUGUUUGACCAAGUUGGUUUUAAAGAAUUCCGUAAAGUUUGUGCUAGAGGACAAUUCCUCAAAACAUGAUCUAGGUUUUUAGUCUAAUUGUUACAAAUAGUACAAUUGUUGUCAGGUAAAAGGUUUUUUUGUCAAGGAGGUGGCUUCUCUAUCAUAUACAGCUAAACAAAUGAAGUACUUAAUUUUGUUAGGGGCUUUCACUUUUCAAAUCUAGUUAAAAGUGUUUAUGGUUGGGGAAGAAGGAUAAGUGCCAGAAAGAAUUCUAGCUAAAUCAUAGGCAGGUUUUUAUAUAUAUAUAUAUAUAUAUAUAUAUAGAAUCUACCAUAUGAGGUGGGGCUCCAUUUAAGGCUAUCUAAAAAAGUGGGAGUGGUGGGACGUGGGAGUCGCAAAGAUUUUGUUAGUGAUCUCAGGUGGUAAUCUAUGUUUUCAGAACCGGACCGGAUAGUGACUCGGCCAAGAUCAGGGGUCAGGGGUCAAUGGGUUCGACCGGGGGUCGAUAGGGGUCGAACCGGAUGACGUCAUAAAUAAAAAUUAUUUAAUAAAGGUAUAUUCAUAUAUAUUUGAUGUUUCAAAUAUAUUUAACAAGAAAAUACAAAGAAAUUAGAACAAUCAAGUAGCAAUUUAUAUUAUUUAAUAAAUAUUAACAAGUUUAGAAUUAAAAUUAUGAAUUUAAUUGAAAAAUAACAUCAAAUUUUAGGACAAUAUUUAUAAAGUAUCAAAUAUUUGAGGUAUAUCAAUAAGUUUUAACAAUUUAGGGGGUCAAAACAUAAUAUUAAAAAGUUUGAAUUUUUUAAAAAAAAAUUACUGUUGAACCGGAAAAACCGAUUUUUUCCCGAUCAAACCCGAUUUUUGACCGGAUUUUAAAUUUUCGAUUUUUUAAUAUGACUCGGACCGGCUACCUGGCCGGUUCCCGAUUCGACCGGUUCGACCGGCCGGUCCGGUCCGAGUUUCAAAACAGUGGUGGUAAUGAGAAAGAUAGAUUGCUCGGAUUCCAUCCUCCCUUUCCUUCGAAAAGAUCAUCAGCUAGAAUCUGAUCUUUAUUUUGUAGUAGAGGUUCUUGAAUUUGGGAUCUAAGGUUGACAAUGAGAACCGGUUAUUGCUCCAAGUAUUUAGUAAUUUCCCAUCUCUAGUGUUCCAUUCUAUCUUAGGAGCAAUAAUGUCCCUUCCUGUUUUAAGGUUGUUAAGAUUGAUUGAACCUUGAGAAGUGGAGAGUUCAAGUUUUUUAUGGGCCAACUGCUGUUUAAUAGAUGUUUGACUUUUGCUUUAUUGUACUUAUAGGAUUAUAUUUAUACGGAACCCCGCCCAAGAAUGCACAGGAAUUUAACACAGCAAGAUUCGAACUGGUGACAUACGGGAUACUACUGCAUGUGGUCACCAGCUGAGCUCCCUACUGGGGGCGUAUUAUAGCGUGUUUAUUUGACUAUCAUAAAUUUAGUACUGAUAGCAACUUCUUUUUUUGUGUUUUUGGGAGAUUAUUAUUGAUGGUAUUUUCAAUGCCAGUCAAUCAAGAUUGCAGAUUUUUGGGCAUAAAAAAGUAUUGAAGGACAGGGAUCUCUUGCUAAGGGUGAUUUAGAUUUUAAACAAAAGAUCAAAUCGCAAAAAAAUAUGUUGUGAUUCGUAGUUAUUAUUAAGACGUAACUGUACAUGAGCUGCUGGAAAGUACAAAAUCUAUACUUCCCAUUGCAAAAAUGCUAAGAAAAAGAUGGUCAACUAGAUUACGGAGAAGUAUGAGAUUAGUACAUUUGUUGGUGCUUAUGAAAAGAAAAGAAGUAUAUCUGGUGGCAUAUUCUUUAAGAAAGUUGAAUAGAUGUGAAAUGUUUGCAUGCUUUCAGGAUUUUUUUUUUAUUUGUUUCUUUUUUUAAUUCUUUUUAAAUAACAUUAGGUUCUGUUGGUGUUUCUAAACUUGCAGUUGAGAUACUGGUGCUUUCAGUCACAUUAUUGAUAGAGGAAGCCGUGCUAUUAAUUUUAUUCUGUUGUACACGGUAUUUAAUUUGAGACCGACUAUAUUAGAGGUAUUGACUUCAUCCCUUUUGUUUCCGUAGACCAUUGGCCUUUAAAUUUUAGCUAUUUUUGUAAACGAUUUAAGUUUCCGUUGCUUAGGGGUAGACUUUUCACUUGUAUAAGCAUUAGAUUGGUUUCAUUUCUCUGUUUCUAAGGUGGCAUUUGGCAAGAGGGUUUCGAAAUGAAAAAUUGAAAUAAACCCCAUAAUUGUUAUUCACUUAUUUGAAUUACUACUAUCGAAAUCGAGAUUUUGGAAUCAUAUUUAAAAAUUUGGAGUUCCCCAAUUCUCUACUAACCUGGAGGGUUUUGGACAAAACCCACGUCUGAUUCCCGUUUAAAAAUAGAGCCCGUCCCGCCAUCAUUUUAAAAAAUUAAUAUAUAAUUAUAUACAUAUAUAUAAUUCAUAUAUUAUAAGCAUUAGAUUACUUCUGAGAUGUCUAUUUAACACGAAGCAUUCAGAUUUCCAUGGCAUCAAGUAUUCUUGCCUACAAAUUCAGAGCAGCAUUUGCAUGGAUCACUUCCCCCCUUUGCAGCAACUAGCAACAUAUGCUGCUUACGCUUUUGAUGGUGGCACAGGCACUCUCUUUAACACUUAAAUCUAUCCAAUUAGUCAAAAUGUCUUGUCACAAAAUAAUGCCUUUGUUUGGAUAGAGUAUUAUAAAGGCUAUGUUUAGGUGGAUUGGAAAAUGUGUUUAACAAGCAUUUUUACAUCUAAAUUCGACAAGAGUCUGUCUAAUAGGUGUCCAUUGGACACUUGUUAAGAUAUAUUUCUGGUGUCAUAGUUUUACAAAUAUAUAAUUAAUUAGGAAAAUUAAAUAAAUAUAAGAGAGGAUAGGUAAAAUUAAAUAGAAAAAGUAUAUAAAUGUAAGAGAGGGUAAUAAUUAUAAUACAUGUAUAUACAUGUAAGGCUGAAAGAUGAAUCAAAUUACUACUCGAAUUGAGCUCGGCUUGGUGAGAGUACAUUCAAAUUUGGUUCGUCAACUAGUUAAAUCAAGAUUGAACAGCGUUUUAUAUUCGAUAACAUUCAAAAUCGAUAAAAACACUUGUUCAAAAUUGGUUCGACAAAUAAAUUAGGGUGUACGAUUUAAUUCGACUUGUUUAUACCCCUAUAUACAUGAUUAGUUAGAUGAAUUUUAAAUGUAUUAACAAAUGUCUAAUAAGUACCCGUAAGAAAAACCUAUUCCACAAUACAAUAGAAGUUAAAAAAAAAUGAAGAAAUAAUAGCGUUAUGUUAGUUGGGCUGAAAUGUGGCAAUUUUAUUGCAAUUUGUCCAAAUGAGGAAGGAGUGGGGGGCCGUUAGGUUUGAAAACAAAAUUUAUGGACCAGAGUUAUUGGGCUUUGGCCUUUUUGGGCCUUAUUCAUUUUGUUGAUGACAAGAUUAGUCAUUUUAUGAUGAAUCAAGAUCGCAUUACAAUGGUAAGCAUGGCAAAUACAUCUAUGUAAACGACAGAAUGCCAGCAAGUGGAGAGAAAUUGUCUGCAUAUUAAUGGUAUGUUAAGAACCAAGGCGAGGUUCCAAAAAUUAAUAUUUUGCUUUUAAAGUUCACUAUUUGUGUGUUUUGUCUAUUAUACGAGUUAAUUUUUAAAGUUGCCGAAUUUGUAAUAUCUUAGUGUUGAGAAUUUGUAACUUUAUUGAGUUUUAAUCUAAUUCCACCUUUGUGGAUUAAUUAUUUAGUUGUAGCCUUAUAAAUUAUAAUCAUUGCUACAAUCACUGGUUUAUUUACAUAUGCUUACAACGUUUAGGAAAAUAGGACAAACCUCCCUCUUAAGACAGCUACAUAUUAGGGAAGCCAACUUCUCAUCUGUGGUUUAUUUAUCUAGCGUUUAUUUGAUGGAUUAAUGUUAUACGCACCGUCAGUGUAUAAAUUUUUUAUAUUAACAAGUAUAGAUUUAUGACAUAUAGACAAAAAGUAAAUUUUAAAUUUGAAUAAUGAUGAUAAGAUAUUCAUGUAAACCUACUUGUGUAAAAAAAAUCCUUACACUGACGGUGUAUAAAAAUUAACCCCUUAUUUGAUACCCUCAAUGUGGAUAACAUAACAAACACAAAUGUUGGUACAAUUAAGUGAAGGUAACACGUUAUUGUCAAACAACAUCAACCUUAACGUUAAUGUUAACAGUCAUAGAAAAUAAUUCAAGAAAAAUUCACUUUUCGUCCUUAAACAUUGAGUUAGGGAUACAUUUCGUUCUCAAACUUUUAGACACAUCACAUUUAGUAGAUGAAUUAAUUAUUUUGAGUCACAUUUAGUCCAAAAACGGUAAAACAUUCAAUUUGGAUGGAGAAGACUGACGUGGCCGUUAAUUUUGACUGAGAAAUUGUUUUUACUUAACGAUUACAUGCCAAACACGUGACUUUCUCCAUCCAAAUUAAGCAAUUUACUGUUUCUGGACUAAAUGUGUUAAAAAAUAAUUAAUUCAUGUACUAAAUGUGAUGCAUCUAAAAAUUUGGGGACGAAAUGCGUCCCUAACUCAAAGUUCAAGGACGAAAAAUGAAUUUUUCCCAAAGUAAUUCAAUCAAUUUUUUGAUUCUUUUUUUUUUUUUUUGAUUCAAAACUUGUAAAUGCUUUAUAGUUUUCAUAACACUUUUGAGUUUGCUUAAUUUGAGCUUUAGAAUCCCUUCAGUCUCAAACACAAUAAUUGAAUCAAAAUCCAUAACAUGUGGCGGUGGUUUGUGGCUUUAUAAAUUUCUUGUUGUUAACUCGUUUUACUGCAAUUUAGAUCCACCAUCACCUGGCUCGUGGGAAAUUUUAUUCGAUCGUCAAUUGUAUCUUCUACUCUUGCUACUAUCAAGCUUUGAUUUUUGGCGUGACAUUUUCCAUGGUUUUGAUUUUCUCCUUUUUUUUUUAUGUAGACAUUUUAUCUUGUUGAAAUAUUAACUAUCAACAAGAUCUAAUCUCUUCAAAAAUCUUAUUUGCACAAGUCAAGAGGUUGUUAAACAUAUUUAAAAUAAGAUUAUAAAAAUAAAUAAAGGAGCAUUUAAAUCUCAUUAAAACAAAUUUUAUUUAAAUACAGCAAUUGCCACAUCAUUUUUCUUUUUGUAUUCUGGGUGAACUUAAUCUUAGGCUAGAUUAACAUAAAUUUUAUGACUCAGUCCUGAGAUUCAAACUAUUUCAAGGAUUCCACACAAUUAUCAGAUUGAGAGGAUCUAGAACUAAGAUAUCAAGGUCUGUGGCGUAAGCAUCUCAUGAACGUUACCCAAAUUGUGUUGCAUUGUCAUUUAAUGAAUGGUCCUAUGACAUAAUUUUCUCAAAAGUCUGAAACUUCCCACCCUAAUUUUAAAUUCUUUGUAGUUGACACUUGUAUAGACAAGUGUCACAUCCUCUUCAAUCAACGUACGCUUAUAAAGUUUUUUUUUUUUUACUUGGAAAAAUCCAAAUGAAAGAAAAAAAAUAGUUAGAAGAUGAAUAUUGCAAGAUUGAUGAUUUCACAAGAAAAUAAUUUAAACUUUUCAUAGCACUCAUUUACAUGCAGGAGAAGUAGUACAUGGAGAAGCAUAAUUUGACAAUCCAAACACACUUAGUAAAAAGUAGUUUGGAUAUAAUUAGUUGGAAAUAUACUACUAUUUAUUGGAGAAGCAUAUAUAGAAAAGUACAAUCUGCACCGAAACCAAAAUCUGUUUUGAGAUAAAACCAAAAUCUGUUUUGUGAUAAAACCAAAAUCUGUUUUCCAUAGCCUAAUCGUCAUACAUUCAUAACGAAACCCCUUGUGGCCUGUAAGCAGAGUACUGCUUUUCACUUCAACUUGUAGCAUCACCCACGGAAGGUAGCAUUCUUUGCAUUAAACAUCACAAGCAAAAGUAAAUCAUGAAUGAAAAUAAACAGGAAAUAAAGCUCCCGGCUGCAAGUAUUUAGUUAAAUCUAGAACAUUAAAAGCAUCAAUUAUCCUGAGCUGUAAUCCACUAUCAAGUAUCACAAUAGGAUCAUGUCACAAAAUUUGGUUUAACAAACAACUUUUCCCAAGCUAAUGGAAGGUAACAUGCAACUCCUAAGACAGUUUAUGAAUAUCUUCUAACCCAAAGGAUCCAAGUCAUCUCCUUGAGCCUAGGCCACAAGGGUGCUGGCAGUAGUAGAUUCACUGCAAGUAAAGAGUUUUAUCAGCAUCUGUUCAAAAAGAUAAACUGAAAGCAAGUUGCAUUAACAUAUUGGCCAAGCAUAGUAGUCAAAAGCAGGGCCAUUGCCAAAAGAUAUUCAUCACUAUUCAGACUUUUGUCAAGUACAGCAUGCUCCACUAAAACCAAAAGCAUCACACACUUGUUUAAUUCUCCAAAAAAUGUAUUGAAAGCAACUUCAGAACGUACAAAUGGAGUGUGGAUGCAAUGAAAAACCACUGCAGAAUUGCAGGACAACCACAUGCACUACUGGACAACACAGGUAAGUAAGAAACGUCAAUCAACUCCAUAAACCAAUUCUUUCCAAGACUACUGGACAACACAUGUAAAUAAGGAACCUCAAACAACUCGACGAACCAAUUCUUUCCAAACCAACAAGAGCUCCUAUGCUGACUUUCUAGCUAUCUUGUGGACAGUUCCGAUGGUACAACAUGAAGAUUUUGACAAAACAACCGUGGGUCUCACUUUGGAUCUUCAAAACAUAUCUAAUAAUAUAUGUACAGCGCACAAUAUUGCCAAGAGGUUAGUUACUUGGUCUAAUAGCAUAACCAUAACCUAAAAACACAAUUUAAAAUUCUUGUGUAAAUAAGUGCACAAUGUUCCCAUUUCUCAAGGAAUCACCUUUUCAGUUUUUGGCUGCACUGUUCACACCAAUAUCUUUUUCCUUUUGGGGUCCCCUUUUCGUGCAAGUUUCAUGCAAAAUUGCAAAUCCAAGUUUUUGAUCUCCUCCCUAACGUCUUGUAUACUUUAGUUAGUAUUUGCCUGCUAUGUUUGCAGUUUUCCCAGAGGUAGAGAGCUUCCAAGUUCCCACCCCAAGUCCCCCACCAAGCCAACAUCAGUCAUAGCUAUCAUGUGGAAAGACUUGUAAUAAAUUUGUUACCCAAAAGAAAAAGACUGCCAAGGUUCCCAAAGAAGUUGAACCCCAAUUAGAAAUGGUCCUAAAUUCCACAAACAAACCAACAUUUUAAUAAAUACAAAUACAGUAGACCCUCCUAACGCAAGAGAAUGAGUCAAUUUGAGACAUGACAUAUUUUUUUAUUCAGAUUAAAAAAAAAAUUUUGUGAAAUGACCAAAAUUUCACCGAGGAAGAAAACUGACAAGAUCAACAAGCUUCUUCUCAGAAAAACAGAGAGGCAACUUUACUAAGGACCCAAGGCCUAAAAGCCGACCACCAAUAAUUGUAUGUACAUUGGCUGUCAUCAAUUGUUAGCAUCACAUCAACUGAAUUACCACAUCUCUAACAAUUCUGAUUAAUCUCUAACAAGAAAAGGAAAAAAGAAAAAGAAAAAUGAUCAUAUCUAACAAUUCUGAUUAAUCUGAAUUACCUCAUCGCAGAAGGGCCAAAAGAUCUUCCACCGCCAUCUUUUCUCCUUACUUUCCAUCUCGUCAACCAUCUUGUUGACCCGUUCAAUCUCAUCCUUCAAUUCUUCAAUCCCUUCUUUCAACUCCUUCACAUCUAUUGGGAAAUUGACUUAAUUUCUUUUAGAUAGAUUUCUUGUUUUGUGUGGAAGUGACUCGUUUUCUAAUUGGUUUUAGUUACUUGAAGUAGUAGUCAAGAAAUAUUCUAUUUAGUUUAGAAUUAAAAGUUAUUUCUUACAAGUGUAGGAAUUAGAAUUGGUUUCCUAUUAUUAUUUGGAUUUUGGUCAAAUAAUGUUCCCUAUAAAUAGUCGGUUGGCAUACUACACAAGGGCACACAAAAGGCAACAUAUAGCCUUGUACAUGAGGUGAGAGGGUUCUUGGGAGACAAGAGAUGGUAUACAAAGAUUGGACUUGGGUUCAAAUUAUAUUCUUGUAUAGGGUUUUUCUCUCAUAAUAAAAAACGAGCUUUCUCUCCGUGGAUGUAGACUCAAUGGUAGAGUCAAACCAUGUUAAAUAUUGUGUGUUGUUUAUCUUUCAUACUUGUGGUUUAUUUAUCAUUAAAUUAUUGUAUACUUGAUAUCUCAAUAGUUGUUUAUUCCGCGCUUGGAUCCUAACAAGUGGUAUCAGAGGUUGGUUGUGAGACUGAGCUGCUUACAAGCACUUGGAUGCCAACAAAUUGAAUGGUUGGAUCAAGAGCUUGGUUGUUUAAUGUUGGAUCCUGGUUAACUAUUGAAAUUAAGUGGGUUGGUAGUUGUUACUAAUUGAACAAUUUAAUGAGUGAUAUCCCUGUUUUAAUGGUUUGGUAAAAAGCAUUGAUGGUGAAAGAUGGAAAGUUGAAAAGUAUGGAGAUGCUUGAUGGUGAAUCUAGGCAGGUGAUUCAAGGGUCAAGAAAAAGGUGGAGUCCAAUGUUGAUUUUGGACAUGAAUCGUCGGGGACUUGCUCACACCUCCAACGGUUGAUACUUCAUCUCGGUGGUUUUUAGAUUUCAGUUAUAUUUUUUGGGUGGUGUGGCACGUGUCCCAAAGAAACAAGAAGAUCUAAUUUCCAUGCGUCAGAAAACUCUGACAGUUACGAGUUUUUUCGUUUUAGGUGGAGUCUUGAAAACUACACGUGGCGAGACAAUCCUGAGGAUGGGAAGAAAUAUGGUGAUUUUACCGCUUGGUUGUCUCAAUGGUUAGGGUUAGAGCCCACAGAAGGGGAUCCCGGAUUUUAAGUGGUGAUUAGAAAAAUUCCUGCAAAGAGAGUUGGUGAAUUAAGACACCUUCUCACGAGUCAACUGAAGGUUGGACUCGGUGUAACUAUACAUGUUCAUUUGCCGAUUAAAUCAAUUUGGUGUCAGGAUUGUAUUGAUUCAGGCGUGUAGUUUGGUACCAUAUUAUUUGGUAGUUGAAGGCAAAUGGUUGCUAAAAAAAAUUUUCUCCAGGGUGGAGAUUUGUUAGGAAAUUGGCUUAAUUUCUUUUAGGUAGGUUUUAUGUUUUGUGUGAAAGUAACUAGUUUCCUAAUUGGUUUUAGUUACUUGAAAUAGUAGUAAAAAAUUAUGCUAGUUAGUUUAGUAUUAGAAGUUAUUUCCUACAAGUGUAGGAAUUAGAAUUGAUUUCCUAUUGUUAUUUGAGUUUUGGCCAAAUAAUGUUCCCUAUAAAUAGGUGGGUUGGCAUACUACACAUGGGCACACAAGAGGUAACAUGUAGCCUUAUACAUGGGGUGAGAGGGUUCUUGGGAGAUGAAAGAUGAUAUACAAGGGUUGGACUUGGGUUCAAAUUGUAUUCUUGUAUAGGAUUCUCCUCUCAUAAUAAAGAACGGGUUUUCUCUCCGUGGAUGUAGAUUCAAUGGUGGAUUCGAACCACGUUAAAUAUUAUGUAUUAUUUAUGUUUCAUGCUCGUGACUUAUUUAUCACUAAAUUGUCGUAUACCUGAUAUCUCAAUAGUUGUUUAUUCCGCGCUUGGAUCCUAAUAACAUCACCACCUAUCUAUUUUACGGACUCUUUCAGGGAACUCGACUCUGCUUCUAUUACGUGGAUUCAUCCCCUUGUGAGGUAAUUCGAAACAUGUUGAUAUAUCUUUCUUUAGCUUGUGCCGAAUACCUCCUCCAAAGAAGCUGCCUUUACGUCCUCUGCCUCCUGCUUCUUCGGACUUGGCACCAUUGUUAUUGGUGUCAGUGCGCGUCUUGGCAGUGGUGGUGGACUCUGGAAUGGCCUUGUUGGAAGUCUUAGGCUUGUUGGGAGUCUUGGAAGCAGCACCACCGCCGGCGGUGGACGGGGUGGACAGAAUCACAGAUUUUUUUGAUUUCUUGAUCUUCCCUUUAAAUAGGUAACGGAGCUGCCUCGCUGCAUCUCCGGCACCACUGCUCCGUGGGAGUGUAGAGCAAGUCUCGUAAAGAGAUUGAGGGAGCAAGGGAUUUGCUUUAAAAAAUGAACAGAAUCUUUUAAAUCGUGGUGAAGUGGCGGCCAUUUUUACGCACAAUCACGGGCGAAUUUGAAUGGAGUCGGUAGUGUUGGACCGGAAAGAGAAAAUGCCAAUUAACCGAAAAUCUUGGAAAUUAACUAAAAAUUAAAGCUGCUCCAACAUGCCAAUUAACUGAAAAUAUUUCUUAUCUUCGUUUCUUUUUUAACCUCACAAGCAAGACAUGAUUUAGAGUUUUGAUUUUAUUCGGUUAUCUUCUUAAUAUAACAAAAGUUCUUAACCUUCUCUUUCAAUUCUUAAACUUUACAUAAUAAAAAAAAAAAUAUAUAUAUAUACCCGUUAAGUAUAUCUUUAUAUGUUACAAAGAGGCAGAAAUAAUUUGUAUAUUCAGACAUGCAUACAUACAGUUGAUUACAUGUUACAUAUCUACUUUUUGUGUGCCUAUAUUUGUGUAUCACUGUAGAUUAUUUCAUUUUGGAAAAUAAAUUGAAAGUGGUGAUGCAUUAGUUAGUUCAUUAGUGAAAAAGUAAUAGAUACAUUUAUAUAAGAAAUAUGUAUGUAUAAAUAUACUCAUCUAUGUAUGUGUAUAAAUUUAUAUUAAUUGUCAUUCAUCUAAUAUUAAUUGUGUAUACAAUGUCACUACAUAAAAGAUUAAUUAUAUAUGUGUACCAUUGAGGUGGGGCUAUCAACAAUCAAAUUAUAUAAUAUCAAAUAGAAAAUGAAAGUGACGCAUUUGUUAGUUCAUUAGUGAGGGCCUAAAUAUUAAAGGUUUCGGAUUCAAAUUCCUUUCCCUCUCCCUACUUCUUAAAUCCCUCCUCUUAUCUGUUAGAAAAAUUAUAUAUCUAUUGCCUCAGUAUUGUACUACUGUAAAUUUUCAACUGUCAAAUAAUAUAGCGGCUUAACACUUAAACAUUAAAAUUUCUAACUAGUACGAUCUUAUAUUUAGAAGCAAAUCAUUGGUAUUUUAUAUUACAUACAAACUAUUAAAUUCAAAUCAAAAUCCAAAUAAACAGAGCCAAAUUGUUUUGUCUUAGUUGGUCCGUUCAGUUAUAUUUUUUGGUCAAAUAGCAACAUUUUUCUUUGCAACAGUUUUGCCAAAUUAUUAGUCCUAAACCGAUCCACCUAGUAGGAAGGCGCGCCAAACCGACGCCCGUGGAGUCACAGAGCAUUUUUUUUUGUGGCAAUUUGAGGCGGCCAUGUUCAGCCAAAUUUUACUUGACCUUGGGUGAUCGUUAGACCAAUUCCGGUAAGAGUACCAAGGUUGCUAAAUUUUUUGUUGCAUUUUUAUAUUUAUAGAUUUUUAAAGUGUACUAGUACUUUUUUUAAGUCCCAAUCGAAUCACCCAAGGGUCACGUAGAAUUGCAUUACCCUUAGCGUCCGUUUGGUACAUGGAAUGAUAUGGGAUUGAAUUAAUCAUUUUGUGUCAUUUCAUCUUUGGUUGUAUUUUACACAUGGGAUGAUAGAUCUCAACUAACCGAACUAAUUCCCUAUUCAUGGGAUCAAAUAAUCUUAUAGAGGAAAUGGUAUUAGUCAUCCAGGAAUCACCAAGAGAUGGGAUGAUGAAAUUUUAAAAUUGGUUUAUCCUUACAAAUAAUAUAAAUUUAUACUCUCAUAAUUAUAUAACCUCACGCUCACACGAUAAUAUAGCAUGAAUGGACUAAUUUGCCCCUAUUACUUAUUUAAAAUUUUUUUUCCAAUACAAUAAUAUUUGGACUAAUUUUCUCUUACGAAUAAUACAAAUUCAUACUGAUAUAACCAUACUCUCACAUAAUAAUAUCAUAAUAAACUGACUUAUUUGCCCCUACUAAUUAUAUCAAACUUUUUUCACUAAUUCGCCCAUAUUUAUUAUGUUAAAAUUUUUAACAAAUUUACCCCUGUUAAUUAUUUUAAAAUUGUCUUUGACUAAUUUGUCCCUACUUACAUAAAAAGAAAAGGACUAUAUUGCCCUUGGUCUAAAUUAUCCUUUACUAACCUUAUUUUUGUCAAACAAGUUCUGUAUAAAUACAUAACCUUAUUAACAUAAAAAGAAAAGGACUAUAUUGCCCUUGGUCUAAAUUAUCCUUUACUAACCUUAUUUUUGUCAAACAAGUUCUGUAUAAAUACAUAACCUUAUUAAUUGGGCUUUGCAAAUGAGAGCUUCAACAAGUUCAAUCUCGCCCCAAAGAAAAAUAUGAUGUAUUGGCUUGAAUUUGGAUCAUUUAAAACUCUUAAAUGGGUUGGAUUUUAUUCAAUUUAGCUCUAACUUGGCCAAAAAUUGGCCCAUUAUUUAAUUAAAUUUCAAAUUUAGAUCCAAAAAUUAGUUUAAAACCUAUUUUUAAGGGCUCAAAUAGGUUGAGUUUGAGCAAAUGUAAAUUUUUAUAUAUCAAAACUUUUUACUUACUUUAUAAUUCUAAAGUUUGAAAUUACUUUAUCUGAAUAAAAGUUAUAAAUUACUAAAUUAUUUUAUUACAACAAUCCUACAAAUUAAGGGGUACUUUCAACAUUAAAAUAUUAAUCCUAUCUCUUUUAAUUUCCAACUAAACACGAGAUAUGAUCAUUUUCUAAUAUAUCAUAUUCAAUUUAGAACCAACCAAUCACUAGAUAACUUGAAUUAUUAAUCCGAAAAUGACUCAACUCAAGAUUAACAAUUCGAGGAUGAGUCAUUCCAUCUUAUCUGGUCUAUGAACCAAACGAACCCUUAAUGAAUCUGUGUGUAUUCAAUGACAAAGUUAGGACCGUUAGAUGUUAGAGGGUGAUGUGGGCGGUCCAAAUCCAGAUCCUGAUUUUGGGUCGGAUCUUGAGAAACCCCAAAUUGCUGUAUUUUUUAAUUCGGACCGGAUCGACGAUCGAACCCAAAACCGGUCAAGUGUCCAGUCUGAGUUAUUCUAAAAAACUGGAUAGUUAGAAAUUAGUCAAAUCAUGUCAAAAAUCGGGUUUGACUGGAAAAACCGGAAGACCGGUUGGUGUCAAUUAUUUUUAAAAGGUCAAAACAUUUUCAAUAUUAUGUUUUGACCACAAGAUUGUUAAAAAUUAUUAAUAUACGACAAAUAUUUCAUACUUUAUAAAUGUCGUCCUAAAGUUUGGUGUUAUUUUUUAAUCAAAUCCAUAAUUUUAAUUAUAAACUUAAUAAUAUAAAUUGCUACUUGAUCGUUCUAAUUUCUUUGAAUUUUCUUGUUAAAUAUGUUUGAAACAUGAAAUAUAUAUGAAUAUAUUUUUAUUAAUAUUAACAUGCUUUUAGGUAUUUUACAUACAAUAUUUUAAUUUUUAAGUAAUUUUUAUUUAGCCAAAUUGAUGGUUUUGGUCAACUCUCGAGAUGUCCCUCCCGAGUCAUCUCGAUAUUUUACUCUAGGCAGGGGGAUCUACUGAUUUGACCCGCAUUAAUGUCCUGACACCUAAUAAGUUAGGGCGGCAUAGGAUCGCAAAUAGUUGUUAAGUAAUCAUGUUAAAUCCAUUUCUUUAUAUACAAUUAAAGUGGGUUCUCCAAAAAAUUUCCUAUAAAUGGUGGAGUCGAACCACGUUAAAUAUUGUGUGUUGUUUAUCUUUAAUGCUUAUGACUUGUUUAUCAUUAAAUUGUUGUAUAUUUGAUAUCUCAAUAGUUGUUUAUUCCGCGCUGGGAUCCUAACAAGUGGUAUCAGAGGUUGGUUGUUAGAUUGGGCUGCUUACAAGCACUUGGAUUCCAGCAAAUUGAAUGGUUGGACGAAGAGCUUGGUUGUUUAAUGUUGGAUCCUGGUUAACUAUUGAAAUCAAGUGGAAUGGUAGUUGUUACUAAUUGAACAAUUUAAUGAGUGGUAUCCUUGUUUUAAUGGUUUGGUAAAAAGCAUUGAUGGUGAAAGAUGAAAAGUCGAAAAGUAUAGAGAUGCUUGACGGUGAAUCUAGACAGGUGAUUCAAGGGUCAAGAAAAAGGUGGAGUCCAAUGUUGAUUUUGGACAUGAAUCGUUGGAGACUUUCUCACACAUCCAAUGGUUGAUACUUCAUCUCGGUGGUUUUUAGAUUUCAGUUAUGUUUUUUGGGUGGAGUGGCACGUGUCCCAAAGAAACAAGGAGAUCUAAUUUUCAUGAGUCAGGAGACUCUGACAGUUACGAGUGUUUUCGUUUUAGGUGGAGCCUUGAAAACUAUACGUGGCGAGACAAUCCUGAGGAUGGGAUGAAAUAUGGUGAUUUUACCACUUGGUUGUCUCAAUGGUUAGGGUUAGAGCUCACAGAAGGGGAUCCCGAAUUGUAAGUGGUAAUUAGAAAAAAUCCUGUAAAGAGAGUUGGCCAAUUGAGACACCUUCUCACGAGUCAACGGGAGGUUGGACUCGGUGUAACUACACAUAUUCAUUUGCCAAUUAAAUCAAUUUGGUGUCAGGACUGUAUUGAUUCGGGUGUGUAGUUUGGUACCAUAUUAUUUGGUAGUUGAAGGCAAAUAGUUGCUAAAAAAAAUUUUCGCCAGGGUAGAGAUUUGUUAGGAAAUUGGCUUAAUUUCUUUUAGGUAGGUUUCUUGUUUUGUGUGGAAGUAACUAGUUUCCUAAUUGGUUUUAGUUACUUGUAGUAGUAGUCAAGAAAUAUUCUAGUUAGUUUAGAAUUAGAAGUUAUUUCCUACAAGUGUAGGAAUUAAAAUUAGUUUCCUAUUGUUAUUUGGGUUUUGGCCAUAUAAUACUCCCUAUAAAUAGGUCGGUUGGCAUACUACACAUGAGCACGCAAGAGACAACAUGUAGCCUUAUACAUGGGGUGAGAGGGUUCUUGGGAAAUGAGAGAUGACAUACAAGAAUUGGACUUGGGUUCAAAUUAUAUUCUUGUAUAGGAUUCUCCUCUCAUAAUAAAGAACGGGUUUUCUCUCCGUCGAUGUAGACUCAAUGGUGGAGUCGAACCACGUUAAAUACUAUGUGUUGUUUAUCUUUCAUGCUUGUGACUUAUUUACCAUUAAAUUGUUAUAUAUUUGAUAUCUCAAUAGUUGUUUAUUCCGCGCAUGGAUUCUAACAACAUCACCACCUAUCUAUUUUACGGACUCUUUCAGGGAAUUCAACUCUGCUUCUAAUACGUGGAUUCAUCCCCUUGUGAGGUAAUCCGAAACAUGUUGACAUAUCUUUCCUCAGCUUGUGCAGAAUGCCUCCUCCAAAGAAACCGCCUUUACGUCCUCUGCCUCCUGCUUCUUUCGAAAAUAAAAUGAAAGUGGUGAUGCAUUAGUUAGUUCAUUAAUGAAAAAGUGAUAGAUACAUUUAUACAAGAAAUAUAUAUCUAUAAAUAUACUCAUCUAUGUAUGUGUAUAAAUUUAUAUUAGUUGUCAUUCAUCUAAUAUUAAUCGUGUAUACAAUGUCAUUAAAUAAAAGAUUAAUUAUAUAUGUGUACCAUUGAGGUGGGGCUAUCAACAAUCAAAUUAUAUAAUAUCAAAUAGAAAAUGAAAGUGAUGCAUUUGUUAGUUCAUUAGUGAGGGCCUAAAAAUUAAAGGUUUUGGAUUCAAAUUCCUUUCCCUCUCUCUACUUCUUAAAUCCCACCCCUUAUCUGUUCAAAAAAUUAUACAUCUAUUGCCUCAGUAUUAUACUACUGCCAACUAUCAACUGUCAAAUGAUAUAAUGGCUUAACACUUAAACAUUAAAAUUUCGAAUUACCACGAUCUUAUAUUUAGAAACAAAUCAUUCGUAUUUUAUGUUACACACAAACUAUCAAAUUCAAAUCAAAGGCCAAAUAAACAAAGCCAAAUUGUUUUGUCUUAGUUGGUUGGUUCAGUUAUUUUUUUGGUCAAACAGCAACAUUUUUCUUUGCAACAGUUUAGCCAAAUUGUUAGUCCUAAACCAAUCCAUCCAAUAGGAAGGCCAAACCGACGCACGUGGAGUUGCAGAGCAAUUUUUUUUUUUUUGGUGGAAAUUUGAUGUGGCCAUGUUCAACCGAAUUUUACUUGACCUUGGGUGAUCGUUAGACCAAUUCUGGUAAGAGUACCAAGGUUGCUAAAUUUUUUGUUGCAUUUUUAUAUUUAUAGAUUUGUUUAAAGUAUACUAGUAAUUUUUUUAAGUCCCAAUCGAAUCACCCAAGGGUCACGUAGAAUUGCAUUACCCUUAGCGUCCGUUUGGUACAUGGAAUGAUAUGGGAUUGAAUUAAUCAUUUUGUGUCAUUUCAUCUUUGGUUGUAUUUUACACAUGGGUUGAUAGAUCUCAACUAACCGAACUAAUUCCCUAUUCACGAGAUCAAAUAAUCUUAUAGAGGAAAUGGUAUUAGUCAUCCAGGAUGACCAAGAGAUGGGAUGAUGAUAUUUUAAACUGGUUUAUCCUUACAAAUAAUAUGAAUUUAUGCUCUCAUAAUUAUAUAACCUCACGCUCACACGAUAAUAUAGCAUGAAUGGACUAAUUUGCUCCUAUUACUUAUUUUAAAGUUUUUUGACCAAUACAAUAAUAUUUGGACUAAUUUGCUCUUACGAAUAAUACAAAUUCAUAUUGAUAUAACCAUACUCUCACAUAAUAAUAUCAUAAUAAACUGACUUAUUUGCCCCUACUAAUUAUAUCAAACUUUUUUCACUAAUUCGCCCAUAUUUAUUAUGUUAAAUUUUUUAACAAAUAUACCCCUAUUAAUUAUUUAAAAAUUGUCUUUGACUAAUUUGUCCCUACUUACAUAAAAAGAAAAGGACUAUAUUGCCCUUGGACUAAAUUACCCUUUACUAACCUUAUUUUUGUCAAACAAGUUCUUUAUAAAUACAUAACCUUAUUAAUUGGGCUUUGCAAAUGAGAGCUUCAACAAGUUCAAUCUCGCCCCAAAGAAAAAUCUGCUGUAUUGGCUUGAAUUUCGAUCGUUUAAAACUCUUAAAUGGGUUGGAUUUUAUUCAAUUUAGCUCUAACUUGGCCAAAAAUUGGCCCAUUAUUUAAUUGAAUUUCAAAUUUAGAUCCAAAAAUUAGUUUAAAACCUAUUUUUAAGGGCUCGAAUAGGUUGAGUUUGAGCGAAUGUAAAUUUUUAUAUAUCAAAACUUUUUACUUACUUUAUAAUUCUAAAGUUUCAAAUUACUUUAUCUGAAUAAAGGUUAUAAAUUGCUAAAUUAUUUUAUUACAACAAUCCUACAAAUUAAGGGGUACUUUCGACAUUAAAAUAUUAAUCCUAUCUCUUUUAAUUUCCAACUAAACACAAGAUAGGAUCAUUUUCUAAUAUAUCAUAUUCAAUUUAGAACCAACCAAUCACUAGAACGAACCAAGCCUUAAUGAAUCAGUGCGCAUUCAAUGACAAAGUUAGGACUGUUAGAUGUUAGAGGGUGGUGUGGGCGGUCGAAAUCCAGAUCCAGAUUUUGGGUCAGAUCUCGAGAAGCCCCAAAUUGCUAUAUUUUUAAAUUCGGACCGGACCGACCGAUUGAACCGAAAACCGGCCAAAUGUCCGGUCUGAGUUAUUCUGAAAAACAGGAUAGUUAUAAAUUAGUCAAAUCUGGUAAAAAAUCGGGUUUGACAGGAAAAAUCGGAAGACCGGUUGGUGUCAAUUUCUUUAAAAAGGUCAAAACACUUUUAAUAUUAUGUUUGGACCCCUCGUUUGUUAAAAAUUAUUAAUAUACGACAAAUAUUUCAUACUCUAUAAAUUUCGUCCUAAAGUUUGGUGUUAUUUUUCAAUCAAAUCCAUAAUUUUAAUUCUAAACUUGAUAAUGUUCAUCAAAUAAUAUAAAUUGCUACUUGAUCGUUCUAAUUUUUUUGUAUUUUCUUGUUAAAUAUGUUUGAAACAUCAAAUAUAUAUGAAUAUAUUUUUGCUAAUAUUAACAUUCUUUUAGGUGUGUUACAUAUAAUAUUUUAAUUUUUAAAUAAUUUUUAUUCAUGACGUCAUCCGAUUCGAGAUCGAUUGAACCCAUUGACCCCUAAAUUCGAUCGAAUCGAUACCCUCGAUUCAAGUAUGAAAACAAAGCCAAAUUGAUGGUUUUGGUCAACUCUCGAGAUGUCUCUCCCGAGUCAUCUUGAUAUUUUACUCUAGGAAGGGGGAUCUACUGAUUUGACCCGCAUUAAUGUCCUGACACCUAAUAAGUUAGUGCGGCAUAGGAUCUCAAAUAGUUGUUAAGUAGUCAUGUUAAAUCCAUUUCUUUAUAUACAAUUAAAGUGGGUUCUCGAAAAAAUUUCCUAUAAAUGGUGGAGUCGAACAACAUUAAAUAUUACGUGUUGUUAAUCUUUCAAGCUUGUGACUUGUUUAUCAUUAAAUUGUUGUAUACCUGAUAUCUCAAUAGUUGUUCAUUCCGCGCUUGGAUCCUAACAACAUCACCACCUAUCUGUUUUACGGACUCUUUCAGGGAACUCAACUCUACUUCUAAUACGUGGAUUCGUCCCCUUGUGAGGUAAUCCGAAACAUGUUGAUAUAUCUUUCCUCAGCUUGUGCCGAAUGCCUCCUCCAAAGAAACCGCCUUUACGUACUCUGCCUCCUGCUUCUUCGGAUUUGGCACCAUUGUUAUUGGUGUGAGUGCUCUUCUCGGCGGUGGUGGUGGACUCUGGAAUGGGCUUGUUGGGAGUCUUGGAAGUAGCACCGCCGCCGGCGGUGGACCGGGGGGGGGUAGAAUCACAGAUUUUUUUUUUAUUUCUUGAUCUUCCCUUUAAACAGGUGACGGAGCCGCCUCGCUGCAUCUCUGGCACCACUGUUCCGUGGGAGCGUAGAGCGAGUCUCGUAAAGAGAUUGAGGGAGCACGGGAUUUGCUAUAAAAAAUGAAUAGAAUCUUUUAAAUCGUAGUGAAGUGGCGGCUAUUUUUACGCACAAUCAGCGGACGAAUUUGAACGGAGUCGGUAGUGUGGGACCGGAGAGAGAAAAUGCCAAUUAACUGAAAAUCUUGGAAAUUAAUUGAAAAAUAAAGCUGCUCCAACUUGCCAAUUAAUUGAAAAUAUUUCUCAUCUUCGUUUCUUUUUUAACCUCACAAGCAAGACAUGAUUUAGAGUUUUGAUUUUAUUCGGUUAUCUUCUUAAUAUAACAAAAGUUCUUAACCUUCUCUUUCUAUUCUUGAACUUUACAUAAUAAAAUAUAUAUAUAUAUACCCGUUAAGUAUAUCUUUAUAUGUAACAAAGAGGCAGAAACAAUUUGUAUAUGCAGACAUGCAUACAUACAGUUGAUUACAUGUUACAUGUCUACUUUUUGUGUGCCUAUAUUUGUGUAUCACUGUAGAUCAUUAGUCUACUAUACUAUACAAUUGCGUUGGUUUGUCAAUAUAUACAUAUAUGUCCAAUUCAUAAUAAUACUGAUGUAUUUCAUUUUGGAAAAUAAAAUGAAAAUGGUGAUGCAUUACUUAGUUCAUUAGUGAAAAAGUAAUAGAUACAUUUAUACAAGAAAUAUGUAUAUAUAAAUAUACUCGUCUAUGUAUGUGUAUAAAUUUAUAUUAAUUGUUAUUCAUCUAAUAUUAAUCGUGUAUACAAUGUCACUACAUAAAAAAUUAAUUAUAUAUGUGUACCAUUGAGGUGGGGCUAUCAACAAUCAAAUUAUAUAAUAUCAAAUAGAAAAAGAAAGUGAUGCAUUUGUUAGUUCAUUAGUGAGGGCCUAAAAAUUAAAGAUUUUGGAUUCAAAUUCCUUUCCCUCUCCCUACUUCUUAAAUCCCACCUCUUAUCUGUUAGAAAAAUUAUAUAUCUAUUGCCUCAGUAUUAUACUACUGUCAACUUUCAACUGUCAAAUAAUAUAGUGGCUUAACACUUAAACAUUAAAAGUUCUAAUUAGUACGAUCUUAUAUUUAAAAACAAAUCAUUGGUAUUUUAUGUUACACACAAACUAUUAAAUUCUAAUUAAAGGCCAAAUAAACAGAGCCAAAUUGUUUUGUUUUAGUUGGUUCGUUUAGUUAUUUUUUUGGUCAAAUAGCAACAUUUUUCUUUGCAAUAGUCUAGCCAAAUUGUUAGUCCUAAACUGAUCCUCCCAAUAGGAAGGCCAAACCGACGCCCGUGGAGUCGCAGAGCAAUAUUUUUUUUUUUUUUUUUUGUGGAAAUUUGAUGCGGCCAUGUUCGGCCGAAUUUUACUUGACCUUCGGUGAUCGUUAGACCAAUUCCGGUAAGAGUACCAAGGUUGCUAAAUUUUUUGUUGCAUUUUUAUAUUUAUAGAUUUUUUUAAAGUGUACUAGUAAUUUUUUUAAGUCCCAAUCGAAUCACCCAAGGGUCACGUAGAAUUGCAUUACCCUUAGCGUCCGUUUGGUACAUGGAAUGAUAUGGGAUUGAAUUAAUCAUUUUGUGUCAUUUCAUCUUUGGUUGUAUUUUACGCAUGGGAUGAUAGAUCUCGACUAACCGAACUAAUUCCCUAUUCAUGGGAUCAAAUAAUCUUAUAGAGGAAAUGGUAUUAGUCAUCCCGGGAUGACCAAGAGAUGGGAUGAUGAAAUUUUAAACUGGUUUAUUCUUACAAAUAAUAUAAAUUUAUACUCUCAUAAUUAUAUAACCUCAUGCUCACACGAUAAUAUAGCAUGAAUGGACUAAUUUGCCCCUAUUACUUAUUUUAAAUUUUUUUCCAAUACAAUAAUAUUUGGACUAAUUUUCUCUUACAAAUAAUACAAAUUCAUACUGAUAUAACCAUACUCUCACAUAAUAAUAUCAUAAUAAACUGACUUAUUUGCCCCUACUAAUUAUAUUAAACUUUUUUCACUAAUUCGCCCAUAUUUAUUAUGUUAAAAUUUUUAACAAAUUUACCCCUAUUAAUUAUUUUAAAAUUGUCUUUGACUAAUUUGUCCCUACUUACAUAAAAAGGAAAAGGAAUAUAUUGCCCUUGGACUAAAUUACCCUUUACUAACCUUGCUUUUGUCAACCAAGUUUUGUAUAAAUACAUAACCUUAUUAAUUGGGCUUUUCAAAUGAGAGCUUCAACAAGUUCAAUCUCGCCCCAAAGAAAAAUCUGUUGUAUUGGUUUGAAUUUGGAUCGUUUAAAACUCUUAAAUGGGUUGGAUUUUAUUCAAUUUAGCUCUAACUUGGCCAAAAAUUGGCCUAUUAUUUAAAUGAAUUUCAAAUUUAGAUCCAAAAAUUAGUUUAAAACCUAUUUUUAAGGGCUCGAAUCGGUUGAGUUUGAGAGAAUGUAAAUUUUUAUAUAUCAAAACUUUUUACUUACUUUAUAAUUCUAAAGUUUGAAAUUACUUUAUCUGAAUAAAUGUUAUAAAUUACUAAAUUAUUUUAUUACAACAAUCCUACAGAUUAAGGGGUACUUUCGACAUUAAAAUAUUAAUCCUAUCGCUUUUAAUUUCCAGCCAAACACUAGUUAGGAUCAUUUUCUAAUAUAUCAUAUUCAAUUUAGAGCCAACUAAUCACUAGAUAACUUGAAUUAUUAAUCCGAGAAUGACUCGACUUAAGAUUAACAAUUCGAGGAUGAGUUAUUUCAUCUUAUCCGGUCUAUGAACCAAACGAACCCUUAAUGAAUUAAUGCUUAUUCAAUGACAAAGUUAGGACCGUUAGAUGUUAGAGGGUGAUGUGGGCGGUCCAAAUCCAGAUCCCGAUUUUGGGUCGGAUCUCGAGAAGUCCCAAAUUGCUAUAUUUUUAAAUUCGGACCGGACCGACCGAUCGAACCGAAAAUCUGCCAAAUGUCCGGUCUGAGUUAUUCUAAAAAACUGGAUAGUUAGAAAUUAGUCAAAUCUGGUAAAAAAUCGGGUUUGACAGGAAAAAUCGGAAGACCGGUUGGUGUCAAUUUUUUUAAAAAGGUCAACACAUUUUUAAUAUUAUGUUUGGACCCCUCGUUUGUUAAAAAUUAUUAAUAUACGACAAAUAUUUCAUACUCUAUAAAUUUCGUCCUAGAGUUUGGUGCUAUUUUUCGAUCAAAUCCAUAAUUUUAAUUCUAAACUUGAUAAUGUUCAUCAAAUAAUAUAAAUUGCUACUUGAUCGUUCUAAUUUCUUUGUAUUUUCUUGUUAAAUAUGUUUGAAAUAUCAAAUAUAUAUGAAUAUAUUUUUAUUAAUAUUAACAUUCUUUUAGGUGUGUUACAUAUAAUAUUUUAAUUUUUAAAUAAUUUUUAUUCAUGACGUCAUCCGAUUCGAGAUCGAUUGAACCCAUUGACCCCUAAAUUCGAUCGAAUCGAUACCCUCGAUUCAAGUAUGAAAACAUAGCCAAAUUGAUGGUUUUGGUCAACUCUCGAGAUGUCUCUCCCGAGUCAUCUUGAUAUUUUACUCUGGGAAGGGAGAUCUACUGAUUUGACCCGCAUUAAUGUCCUGACACCUAAUAAGUUAGGGCGGCAUAGGAUCUCAAAUAGUUGUUAAGUAGUCAUGUUAAAUCCAUUUCUUUAUAUACAAUUAAAGUGGGUUCUCGAAAAAAUUUUCCUAUAAAUGGUGGAGUCGAACCACGUUAAAUGUUAUGUGUUGUUAAUCUUUCAUGCUUGUGACUUGUUUAUCAUUAAAUUGUUGUAUACUUGAUAUCUCAAUAGUUGUUCAUUCCGCGCUUGGAUCCUAACAACAUCACCACCUAUCUGUUUUACGGACUCUUUCAGGGAACUCAACUCUGCUUCUAAUACGUGGAUUCGUCCCCUUGUGAGGUAAUCCGAAACAUGUUGAUAUAUCUUUCCUCAGCUUGUGCCGAAUGCCUCCUCCAAAGAAGCCGCCUUUACGUAUUCUGCCUCCUGCUUCUUCGGAUUUGGCACCAUUGUUAUUGGUGUGAGUGCGCUUCUCGGCGGUGGUGGUGGACUCUGGAAUGGGCUUGUUGGAAGUCUUAGACUUGUUGGGAGUCUUGGAAGUAGCACCGCCGCCGGCGGUGGACCGGGGGGGGCAGAAUCACAGAUUUUUUUUUAUUUCUUGAUCUUCCCUUUAAACAAGUGACGGAGCCGCCUUGCUGCAUCUCCGGCACCACUGUUCCGUGGGAGCGUAGGGCGAGUCUCGUAAAGAGAUUGAGGGAGCACGGGAUUUGCUUUAAAAAAUGAACAGAAUAUUUUAAAUCGUGGUGAAGUGGCGGCUAUUUUUACGCACAAUCAGCGGACGAAUUUGAACGGAGUCGGUAGUGUGGGACCGGAGAGAGAAAAUGCCAAUUAACUGAAAAUCUUGGAAAUUAACUGAAAAUUAAAGCUGCUCCAACUUGCCAAUUAAUUGAAAAUAUUUCUCAUCUUCGUUUCUUUUUUAACCUCACAAGCAAGACAUGAUUUAGAGUUUUGAUUUUAUUCGGUUAUCCUCUUAAUAUAACAAAAGUUCUUAACCUUCUCUUUCUAUUCUUGAACUUUACAUAAUAAUAAAAAAAAAUAUAUAUAUAUACCCGUUAAGUAUAUCUUUAUUGUGAGAACCCGAAAUUUUUUUUAUUUUUAUAGAAUAUUACUGGAAUAUUUAGAUGAUUAUUCACCCAUUUUUUUCGAAUUAUUUAUUUCGACCAUUUUAAAUCCAUUUAUAUGAAAUGACGCCUCUUUAUAUUUUUAAUGCGUUUUGAUGAAAAAUUUGCAUUUCAAAAAUUUGUUUAGUUCGGAACGACGGGUGCACAUUUUUCUAGGCUAUACUUGAAUCGAAAGUGUAUUAAUAUUGGAGAAUUAAGAAAGAUCAAUAAUAGAUUAAGAAAGGUUAAUUGAGGAAUUAAUACUCAAUUCAUGUGAGGACUCGUAAAAUUAUUAUUUUUUAACCCCUAAUUUUGGCUCAAUUAAUUAUCUAUUUGGAUUUUUGCCCCGAAUAUUUUUUUCUAUCCUUAUUAGACCUAAAUAUAUGGAAUUAUAGCUUCAUUAUAUUUUUAAAGUGGCUUGUUUCAAAAAUUAAUUUUUUGGAAGCUUGUUUAGUGAAAAUAACGAAAACGUGUUUGGAAAUUUUAACCGAUUGAGAGCACAAUAAGUUUGGAAAUUGGAGACUUGUAUAAUAGUCCUAAAAUAGGUAAUUUUAGGUUUAAACACUCAAGUGAUAGUUAGGGGUGCGAUCGUUAUAAGAAUUUCUUGAAGGUUUCACUUUAUCGCGCCUAAAUUGGAAAUACGCGUUUUCACGCGUGCGAUUAAUUGAGGGACUUUAGACCAUUAUUGUGGGUCAAUUAAGGGUGAAUAAUAUUUAUAUGAAUAUAAGUGCAUUAGAGGCUUAGUGCACUAGUGAAACAAAUGUAAGAGGAAUCGAGCACGAAACGCGCGCGUACACGCGCGCACGAGAGAGUUGACUUGUGAAGCAUUCUUAGCCACAUAUUCUUAAGCCUCUCACGUAAGCCUCAUUAUCAGCCAACAACAUUCUUCUUCCUCCUCAAAGCAGCCGUCCAACACCAAGUGCAAGAACCAAACUUGCUUAAUCAAAUUCUACUUCAAAAUCUUGCUCAAAUCACUACCAAAUCCUCUCAAAUUUUAACUCUACUUAGCUUAACGUUUGGAGAGUCCAUUUAGCUGCAAAAAAGAGGAACUUUCCACGGUUUCUUGGAGCUUUAAGGAGGGCCGAAAUUCUGGUCUUAGGCACACCAAGGAGGUAUAUAGUGAUCUAACACUCUAAACUUGGUCUAUAAGAGUUGAAUGACACUUAUGAGCUUGAAUUUUCAGAUGGGUUGUUGUUGUUGUUGGAAAAAUUGGAAGGUGGGCUCUAUGAACUCCCACCCUUCAUCUUGAUGGCUGAUGUGAUGAUUAAUGAUGGGUUUAAUGUUGGAUUAGUGCUUAAAUUAGUGGUUUGUUGGUGGAAAAUUGAUGGAAACUCAUGAUGGGUGCAAAGGCCAAAUCUGACCAUUUUGCCCCUACUUUGUUCGGCCACUUUAAUGCAGAAAUUUGAGGAUUUAAUGGCUUGAUUGUGUUGUUUACAUGUUCUAGCAGUUGUAUAAAAAUUUUCAUUGAAAAAUACUGAGUUUUAGUUGGUCAAAUGAAUUUAUUUCCCAAAGCUAGUAAUCUGAAAACUCUUCCCGUCAUGCCCAGACCAGUGUUCGUAUUUCGUCCAUAACUCCGUCCUCCGACGUCGAAAUCAAGUGCCGUUAGCGGCAUUUGAAACUAGACAUUCCUAUAUUUCCAACAGUAUAAAAUUCAGAUUCUGGUUCCAUGUGUGUGAACCGCACCACUCUUCUGAAUUCAGCUGUUCUGUUUCUCUGUUCUGCUGGAAUGAAAUACAGAAGCUGUGACUUGAAGCUUGAUUUCAAGCUAGUUGUGUGCCGAAAUUCAGAAUGAUUUCUUCUGUGAAAUUAUAACCCUAUGAAUUUAUUUUCCAACACUAUCAGCCAUGCUCAAUUCCGAGUUAAAUUGAGUGAGUUAUGAUCAAAAUACGGUGACUGCCCUGUUCUUGAAAAACCUUGGAUUUGGACAGAUUUGAUGUAAGACUUGUUGUGGUCUUACUAAAUGAAUUUCUUGGUGCUAAACACCUACCAAAUGUAACAUGUAUGUUCCUUAGAGUUUUCUUGCACAAAUGAACCAUGUUUGGAGGUUUUCCUUAGCCGAAUGUUUGGAAACGGAGAGAAAUGGAGCUAAAGGCAGUUUUGCCUUAGUAAAUUCAAAACUUUGGUUGGUUGGUUAACCACCUUUCCGAAGGUAUUUUUCCAUGAAAUUUGAUAGAGAGAUACCCUUCAUAUAGGAUUACUAUACUGCAAACUUUGGUAUCAAUUCAAGUCCAUUUCGACACUUAACUAAAGGUCCGAAGUCGGAAACCCAAAUCUGGAAAUUGUUCAACAGUCUUGAAUUUUCCCCAAUUUUGAGCUACCAUAUCUUGGUGCUCGAAACUCCGAUCCUUGAUCCGCUUUUUCUGUUGUAAACCUUACUUGUAACUCUAAUUGUGUUAUAAAUUUCAGAGGCUAGCUCGCAACAUGUGAAUUUUUCCGAAUUUCCAAAAUUAGCGAAAAACCAACCCCUGCUCAAUCCUGAGUGUUCUGGAACAGAAACUUUAAACCCAUUUUUGAAUACCUUCCACUUAGAUUCAUAGAAAUAUGUCUUCUAAGAACUUUUAGUACUUUCCAAUUGGUUUCCAACGGUAUAAAUAUUUCCAAUUUUAGACUUGUAUCGAGUGAGAUACGAUUUUUCAAAGAUCCAUAUCAAAACUGAAAUUUUCCAACUUUCAAGGAAAUAGAGAUUUCCAAGAACUCUUUAUUCUUUCGACAUUAUGCAAACAUUUUAACCUUGAUUUCCAAGAUAAAAAUCCAAAUGCUCCUGUACUUUAAGAAACUCUAAUUGAAUCUCGAUUUACGAGUAAUUGAGGUUCGAUUUCGUGAAAUUUCCUUAGAUUGUACUAGUGUACAAUCUUCCUUGAUAAUUGGGAUAUAUGAAUGAUAAUACAUUAUUAUUUACUCAGGCGCACACGAGAACCUUCAAGAGGAUCCUACCGUGCACACUUGAACUUCCAGAAAAUAUUUUUUCUUGAUUUGCUCGGUGAGUGUCAAGUGUAUGACUAUUUGAACUCUAUGGACUUGAUUCAUGCUUGGCUUACCUGAUUACAUGCUUAGCCUACUUGGUUUUGAAAAAUGGAAUCGAGUGUGUACUUUAUCGCACUCGUUCUCAUUUGAAACAAAUGACUCAUGCUUAACAUGGUUUGCCUGAUUUACAUGACCUGAAAUACAUGCUUAAACCUGUCAAAUGCUUGAAUAUAUGACAUGGUAUGCUAUGGCUGCAUACGUUGUUGGAGUGAAUCUCCUCGACACUUACAUGACACAUGGGGGACGCCCAAACUCAUAGGCCGACCUUGGAACUCGAGCCGGCAUGGGUUUGGUCGGGAAUCUCGGUGAGCCAUGAGAUUCACAUGAUAAACUUGAUCUAUUGAAGAGAUCUUGCUUGGCAUACUCAUGGAGUAUCGCCUCAUAAAGGUCGUGCGGGCCCGAAGCGGUGUAUGGUGGAUGGAUGAGAAGUAAGUGGUGAUCUGCGGUUUGGAAAUAUCAACCCGGUUGACGGAGAGUCAUCGCGGGAAGAUAUACGAAUGAAUUGGCAAAGCAAGUGGAACUUAACUCCUGAGAGCUACCAUAUCCUUGAAUUGUUUCUAUUUACAUUUUGUUGGCAUUGUUAAUUACUUGCAAGUUAUCACUUGAACUGUUACUUGGGCUUGUUACCUGAACUAUGUGCCUGCACGUGUGUUUUUGGCCUCACGAGCGUUUUGCUCACCCUAUAGAUUUGUUUUUCUUAAUAGGUUUGAACUCGGAGGCGUACUGGAGAAACCCUCCUGAUGAGCUUUGGUUUAGGAUUUCUAUUAUAUUUUGGCUUGGUUUUGGGUUGUACUUUUGGAAUUGAAAUGUAACUUUUGGGGCGUGAUGUAUAUUUGGAAAUUAUGAUGUACUUUGAACACCCGACGUGCGGGCUGGAUAAUGGAUGACUAUUGUUAACCUUGAACGCUUUCGCAUUUACUGUAUUUAAGUUAUUUACGUGUGUUGUGAAGAUCGUUAAUAAGGUUGAAUGGAAAUUGCUUGAGUCCUGGCUAGAACUAGGCAGGCGUUCUGCGGAUACCCUUUAAUUCGCCUUAGGGAGAAGUGGGGGCGUCACAAUUGGUAUCAGAGCAUAGACUUUAGAUCUUGUAGUGUAUCCUAGGCUUAAAGUUUAGGAUGCCUGACUGUGGGAUUAAUUUGAAUAUUAUGUGAACUAGAGGAUCUAUUGUAUACUACGGGUUAAAGAAAUUGGUUACUUGAGAGUUUCUUACUUGGAACUUGUUGAAAUAAAAAUUGAGAAAUUAGCUGAUGUUAUAUUGAAGGAAAAUAUGGGAUGAGAGAUUAGUAGUGAAAGAUUGGACGAAUUUGAAUUAUUAUUAUACUUGUAAGUGUGGAAAGAAGUGAAGCAAUUAUUAGUGCUGGCUAAAGCGGAUAAGAGACCGAGAUUUGAUGGUCAAACUCCAUGUAUCGUGAUUGUGAAUCCAGAUGAAAGAGUUUCAAAGGAAUAAAAUGCAUUUUCCUACUCAUUUACCUCCUAGAGAAUUUAUGCUUUGAAAUUCUAAAGGAAAAAUGAGGAUGUACUAGUUUUAUUUUCAAACGAUGAUUGGAAAUAAUUUAUAUAUGCUUUAAGUAUGUGUAAUUUUUCGAUUUUGGUAAAUAUGUGAAUUUUACUUGAAUUUCAAUUUAAAAAUUUGUGAAUAACUGAUGAGUUUGUUGAAAUUUUGUAUGUGAUGGGCUGAUACAAGGUUAAAAUUUUCUAAACUAGAUUUUCCCCCUUGAUUGUAUACUGGUUUAUUCUCACACUUGAAUUCGUCUAUAUUUUACAAAAAAAAAAUUAAUAAUAAUAAUAAAAAUAUCUUGAGUUUUCGGAAGAACGGCGAACUUAUGUUUUUAUAAUGAAAAUCUUGAACUUGAUAAGAUUUUUGUUACUUUAAAUACUCUUCUUAUGUUUUAAAAUUCUUGGUUUUCAAGAAGGGUGAGCCUAUCUUUAGGUGUAGGGAUUGAGGGAAUUUUGAGAUAUAGAGUAAUCGCAUUCAAGAACACGCAGUUAGUGUGAAUUGAUUUGGUUUCCAUUUGACACGUAAGUUAGCAAGUUGUACUUAUUUCUUGGGUUUGAACUUGGAACUUGAGACUUUAACUAUAAAAUCCUAAGACUGGUUUUUCUUGGAGAUGAUGGUACUCUGGUUGGUGACUUGCUUAUUAAAGAUUUUGAAUUUCGAAUGGAUAACCUUUGGUUUCCGCUUGUGUUAUGGUUUGAUUGGAUCUAAUUUCGUAAAGGCAGGUGAUCUGAUUGGAAUUAGUGAUAUUCGGACCCAUUGGUUUAAUUAAGAACUUAGGAAGGGUGGUGCACGCCGUAAGACCUUUUGUAUCCCGCUUGCAUAUACUUCUACAUUUUGUGACCCUUAAUUGCCUAUAUACAGUAUUUGACAUAUUGGGCUUGUUUUGUGACUUCUUAACUCAUACUAUAACCUUCGAUAUAUGUAAAGAAUCAUGUCUUGAUUCUAAAUAUUUGUGCAACUUGUAUAUGCAUUAAGUUCUUUUAUGAUUAAUUAUUCCUUUUCUUGCGCUUAUAGACUCCUAUUAAGUAUGGUAGCAGGAAUAGGAAAAAAGGGUCGUGACUGAGGGCUUAGACAACCCUGUACUCGUGAGAAAAAUUGAUGGAUAAUUUUAUAUAAUUUAAUGAGAUCCUAGUACUGAAUAUGAAUCGAGAAUAAAUCAGAAGAUUAGAUCUACCAAUGUAUAAUGGAUUAACCUAGUUGGGAACUUUUUUUUUUUUUUUUAAAUUAAAGAGAGCCAAACCUGACCUCUGUUAAAGGAAAAGAAACAUCUAAUGAUAAAAAAUAAAACGCACAUAUGAAGGAAUUUUAAAGACAUAAUAGAUCAAUCCAAAGAAAUCAUCCACACGAAGGUGCCCCACAUUUGUGUGACUGCGAGUGAGCAUGGGGAUUUGGUUUGAGAUCUUGACGUGUUUGCAUUGUUUUACCUUUUUUUGAAAGUUGUUUUCUCGCUUUCUUUGAAAUCACUUGGGUAAAUUGCUCUUGAACUAGGCUCUGGUCUUGAUCUUUGUGUUUUUCGCGUUGUGAAUCGUCGUCUUCUUCUUCAUUUUUGUUGUCAUUGCAUGUUAUACUUGAACGAAUAAAAGGAAUUUGAUGUGGUCGGGAAACUGUACCAUGUAAUUUUUCCCAUUUAAUCUCAUCGAACACAUCUUUGAAUUGUGGCACUGGAUUUUGAGGCAUUGUUGUUUUCGUUUCUGUUCGUGUACUUGUAUUCGUACCCACAAGGGGUGGUACAUCCUCAACCCCACGCAAGGCACCAUAAAGAAUUUCGGGCUCAGUGGUGUUGACCUUUUGAUGAUUAUCAUCUCCCAAAUUCUGCUCCUCAAAAGCUUGGGACCCCUCACUUUUGUUCCAAAUAGAAUUGUCGGCAUUUUGAUUUCUCAAUGAAGUAUUGUCGGCCAUUUGCUGCUGACCAUCUCCCAUUAUCUCCACUAAAAUAUGGGACCCCUCACAAUCAUUCCUGUGGUCAUGGACUGCAAAUUGAUCGAAUGGUCCCUCCCUUUCAUCAUCAGCAACGGACUUUGCUUUUGCAACAGUUUCGGCAGCUUCUGUUUGUCGUCCAUCCUUGACAGCUUCUUCCUUGCAGCUCUCCCCUGGCACAACAGCCCCCUCUUGUAUGGGCUCCACCAUGCCCGGGCCAACUGCCACGUUCAGCUCCCCCAGCACCAACUCUCCAGUAUUAACAGUCCCUUCCAGCACUUCCUCUGGUUCGCCAAUCACGCGGUCAGACAUAGCGUGAAGAAUGGCAUCAGCAGCAACCUCUAUCCCCUUCUCCACGAGCGCAACCGAAGAUCCUCCAAGCUGGUUCAGCAAGCACGACGCAUCUCCCACAGCAGUAGUAUGGGUGUCAACGUGCCGUGCCCCCUCGGAUUGGCUCUCACCCGAAUUCUGUGUCGCACCAGAUUGCAUCCCAUCUCCUUCAAUCACCACCCUUCGCUCCUCACCCUCUAUACCCAGGGUAUUAACCUGCGAGGAAGAAAUAUCCCCGCCCGAAUUCUGCUUCACACCAGCCUACACCGCAGCGCCUUCACUCACCACCCUUCGCUCCUCACCCUCUAUACCCUGCGUGUUAGCCUGUGGGGAGCGAACCUUUGCGCCCAUCACUCCUGCGACCAGACCCCCCUGCGUCUUGGGCAAGCGCAGAUCAGGGUGCUUCACACUGCACUGAUCCUCGCCAUGCCCUUGACGAUAGCAGUGGCUGCAAUAACUAGGAAGGUUCUCAGGGAUAAGAGCCUGCCAAAAGCCAUCCCCAUCUCCCAUAUCAACCCACACUCUCGACGGAAUCGAUUUGAGCAGAUCCACCUCAACACAUACCCGUGCCACAUUCGGUCGCGAAAAUGAAGACGUAGCCGCAUCCACGAAAAGCGGCGUACCCAAGCAGGAGACAAGAUGAAAUAGACAUGGCUUAGCAAAGAAGUGAAUUGGGAGUUUGGGCAAUCUAAACCAGAUGGGAAUAAGGGAAGACUCUCUGUCCACAUGGAACUUAGAUGUCCACUUAAAAACCCUUAUGGGGCAUCCAUUCACGUACCACAAAUGUCGACCCCAAACGCGAAGGAAGUCUGCUUCACACUGAAAUUUCAGCAACACAUGCCUAGCAUCUAACAAUCCCACAGUCACCGUAUCCUUCAAAUCAAGAGUCGACAAGAACUUCCUCAGGUCAGGCAGCAGCGGCCGUCCCUUAGAGAACUUCCCAACCAAAGUGUAGCGGAAUGGAGCAGCAAUCGCUGCUAUUUCAGCCGCACUGAAGACCACCGCAGGCUCUCCACGGUGUGUUGUCAUCCUCGCUUGGACUUGCACUACCUCCGACGUCGGUUGCGGUUCAAACAACGCAGAAAAGGCCUUCUUCCUAAAGGUGGGGGAGGAAGAGGCCGACGGCCCCCCACCUGGAGGAGGGGGGCAGUCUCGGCUGCCAUGGACUUACCCUAAUUUUAAAACAUCUGUUCCCUAGUUGGGAACUUAGUGAGAUUUUCCUGUGUAAAAUUUUAAUAGCUGCUUUAUACGUAUAUUAUGAUUGGUCCUGUGGCCAUAUUUCAACUUUUGUGAAAAUUUGAACUUCAAAAGUAUUUCGUGGGUUUGGUGAGAUGACUUGAACUCAUUACCAAUUUGUUCUAUUUAAACAAAAGCGCUUUCAAUUUUACUUGACUAAUACUAUACCCAGAUUCACUUGUUUUACUUUUUACAAAAUUUAUAUAUAUAUAUGUAUACACAUUUUGAACUCGUUUGAGAAUCGAAAUCAGAUAGAGUUCAAGUUCCAAUCUUUCUUAGGAACAUGAAUGCCUAUUUGUUAUGAAUCAGAGAUUAGAAAUGAUCGGGUUUUAUGUACCAGUAGAGUUAACUCUUGGUUGGAUAAAAGGGUGGUAAAGGUAUUGGAUCACAGGUUAUGCGAAUAUGAACCUACAUGUUUACCUAUAUUUCUUAAAUGUAUUUUCUAAAAUAUACGCCUUACUCGAACAUAGAUUUAACUCGAAACUUUGAGGAAAAGUGUUGGAACACCCUCCAUGUAUAUGUUAUGAUUAUUAUGUAUAUGUUUUAAAAAUCAUGCAUUAAGUUGCAUGAUUAAUAUUCUUAAAUCUAUUUGAGAGAUUUUAAAUAUGUAUUGAUGAUUGUGGUUAAACAUUAUUUGAAAUCUCUUACUAAGAAAAUUUAGUUUUGGGUCGUGAAGAAAAUUUGUAUCUUUAACUCUAAUUUUGAAAAUUUUGAAUCGCAUUUUGCCACAGAUACAUUCAAAAUACAUCAAAAGUCUUGACCUUAUCUUGUAAGUCAUGAUUGGUUUGAUUUAGACAAAAUUUUGAGGAAAGGGAUUUUGGUCCUGCUAGUGCGUAACAGUUUUUUUUUGUUAGGAUUUGGAACUUGUUUCAUAUGGCGUGUAAUUUAUGGUUUCACUACACACGUGAGUAAGACCUUAGAAUGGAAGUACAUAUCAUUAUAUCAAGAGGUAUUACUUUAGUCGUGUGUGUGGAUUUUCUUAAGUAUCAUUCGAGGAGAGGGAAGAGUAAAUAUACCUGGAUGACUUAGAUGCGUGAGAAUUUACAGGUUGUGGAUAGUUGAGCUUCAAAUUCUGAUUUGCUACUUAUUUAGAUGCUUGAGCUGUUGAUAGGCUAACAGUCAGGAUUAAGAAAAUGGAUGAAUGAAAAGUUUGGAAGAGAUGCGUAUAGAAAUAGAAGUUCUUCACAAGGAGUUGGAAUUCCAAACUAAAUUGGCUGAAUUCUGGGAAGAAAAAAAAAGUCGAGAACUUAGGGUUGAAGAUGGGAUCCAAUGUUUGAUCGCCAAUUUGAGAUAUUAAAAGUUGUGAGAUUUGGGUGAGUGAAAGGAAAUAUUUGAUGGCUUGAAUGAGCCUAACGAUUAAGGACCGGAUGUUAUAUUUGGAAUGGACGCUUGAGGCUAUAUAUACAUAGAUUAUUGAGAUUUGAACGAUGAGACUAUUAAGAACAAAUACUCCAUAGCCUCACAUAAACGAGAAUUAUAAUCAAGGGUCAGGAGCAGCGAAUAAGGGAUUUAAAGUAGAGUUACUACCAACCGGGAAUCCUAGAAACUGAUGUGCUUAAAACCACUUCCAAUUCAAGAUGGGGAUGCUUGAAUUUUCAGUUAUGCCAAUUGGGUUGACUAAUGUAUUAGCAGCAAUUAUUGCAUUAAUGCAUCAAGGUUUUAAAUCGUAAUAGGAUUAAUCUGUGAUGGCAUUUAUUGAUGAUGUAUUGAUAUACCCUAAAGUUUGAGAAGAUCAUGAAAAAAAAUACCUGAUGGUAGUUUUACAAACCCCGAGAGAACGCUAACUUUUGUUAAGUUCAAUAAAUGUGAGUUCGAUGGGAAGAAAUAGCCUUUCUAAGUUAUAUAAUAUCUAAGGAAGAAAUUGUUGUUAACUCAGCUUAAGUGGAAGCUGUUUAAGAGGAAAUGACUAGAAAAUCCUACCGAAAUUUGGAGUUCUUAGAGGUAGUCGAAUAUUACCUUGGUUUGAUCAGGGACUUCUAAGGAUACGAGACUUGGCAAGUUAUUUGAGAUUUUAAAUGUGAGGAAGAAUUUGAAGGUGAAAAUCGUUUAACCAGUGCACUUGUGUUGGCUUUACCGAGCGGAUAAGGUGAUUUUGUGAUUUAUACAGAUGGUUCAAAGGAUGGUUUAGAAUGUAUAUUAAUAAUAUAUGAUGAGGUGAUUGUAUAUGCCUUCUGAAAGUUAAAAUCUUCCGGAAGAAAGUAAUCAACUCAUGAUUUGGAGUGAGUUGGAAAACGUAAGUCAAUGAUUGAUCUGAUAGGCUUAACCAUGAAGGGAAUGAUAUUGUUCUAAGCAUGAAUUUCGAGGACGAAAUUCCUUUCAAGGAGGGGAGGAUGUGAGAACCCGAAAAUUUUCUUAUUUUUAUAGAAUAUUACUGGAAUAUUUAAAUGAUUAUUCACUCAUUUUCUUCGAAUUAUUUAUUUCGACCAUUUUAAAUCCAUUUAUAUGGAAUGACGCCUCUUUAUAUUUUUAAAGCGUUUUGUUGAAAAAUUCGCUUUUCGAAAAUUUGUUUAGUCCGGAACGACGGGUGCACGUUUUUCUAGGCUAUACUUGAAUCGGGAGUGUAUUAAUAUUGGAGAAUUAAGAACGAUCAAUAAUAGAUUAAGAAAGGUUAAUGGAGGAAUUAAUACUCAAUUCACGUGAGGACUCGUAAAAUUAUUAUUUUAAACCCCUAAUUUUGGCUCAAUUAAUUAUCUAUUUGGAUUUUUGCCCCGAAUAUUAUUUUCUAUCCUUAUUAGACCUAAAUAUAUGGAAUUAUAGCUUCAUUAUAUUUUUAAAGUGACUUGUUUCAAAAAUUAAUUUUUUGGAAACUCGUUUAGUGAAAAUAAUAACGAAAACGUGUUUGAAAUUAACUCGAGUUUGAGAGUCACAGAUAAGUUGGAAAUUGGAGACUUGUAUAAUAGUUCUAAAAUAGGUAAUUUCUAGGUUUAAACAGCUCAAGUGAUUAGUAAGGGUGCAAUGUUUAUAAGAAUUCUUGAAGUUUCUAGCGUUUAUCGCAGGUCUAAAUUGGAAAAUACGCGUUUCACAGCGCGCGAUAAAUGAGGGACUUUAGACCAUUAUUUUGGGUCAAUUUAAGGUGGGAAUAGAUAUUUAAUAUAAAUAUAAGUGCAUUAGAGGCUUAGUGCACUAGUGAAACAAAUGCAAGAGGAAUCGAACACGAAACGUGCGCGUACACGCGCGCACGAGAGAGUUGACUUUUGAGGCAUUCUUAGCCACAUAUUCUUAAGCCUCUCACGUAAGCCUCAUUAUCAGCCAACAACAUUCUUCUUCCUCCUCAAAGCUGCCGUCCAACACCAAGAGCAAGAACCAAACUUGCUUCAUCAAAUUCUACUCCAAAAUCUUGCUCAAAUCACUACCAAAUCCUCUCAAAUUUUAACUCUCCUUAGCUUAACAUUUGGAGAGUCCAUUUAACUACAAAAAGAGGAGCUUUCCACGGUUUCUUGGAGCUUCAAGGAGGGCCGAAAUUCUGGUCUUAGGCACACCAAGGAGGUAUAUAGUGAUCUAACACUCUAAACUUGGUUUAUAAAAGUUGAAUUACACUUAUGAGCUUGAAUUUUCAUAUGGGUUGUUGUUGUUGUUGGAAAAAUUGGAAGGUGGGCUCUAUGAACUCCCACCCUUCGUCUUGAUGGUUGAUGUGAUGGUUAAUGAUGGGUUUAAUGUUGGAUUAGUGCUUAAAUUAGUGGUUUGUUGGUGGAAAAUUGAUGGAAACUCAUGAUGGGUGCAAAGGCCAAAUCUGACCAUUUUGCCCCUGCUUUGGUCGGCUACUUUAAUGCAGAAAUUUGAGGAUUUAAUGGCUCGAUUGUGUUGUUUACAUGUUGUGGUAGUUGUAUAAAAAUGUUCAUUGAAAAAUACUGAGUUUUGGUUGGUCAAAUGAAUUUAUUUCCCAAAGCUAGUAAUCUGGAAACUGUUCCCAUCAUGCCAGACCAGUGUUUGUAUUUUGUCCAUUACUCCGUCCUCCGAUGUCCAAAUCAAGUGCCGUCAGUGGCAUUUGAAAUUAGACACUCCCAUAUUUUCAACGGUAUAAAAUACACGUUCUAGUUCCAUGUGUGUGAACCGCACCACUCUUCUGAAUUCAGCUGUUCUGUUUCUCUGUUCUGCUGGAAUGAAAUACAGAAGCUGUGACUUGAAACUCAAUUUCGAGCUAGUUGUGUGCCAAAAUUCAAAAUGAUUUCUUCUGUACAAUUAUAACCCUAUGAAUUUAUUUUCCAACACUAUCAACCAUGCUCAAUUCUGAGUUAAAUUGAGUGAGUUAUGAUCAAAAUACGGUGACCGCCCUGUUCUUGAAAAACCCUGGAUUUGGACAGAUUUGAUGUAAGACUUGUUGUGGUCUUACUAAAUGAAUUUCUUGGUGCUAAACACCUACCAAAUGUACCAUGUAUGUUCCUUAGACGUUUCUUACACAAAUGAACCAUGUUUGGAGGUUUUCCUUAGCCGAAUGUUUGGAAACGGAGAGAAAUGGAGCUAAAGGCAGUUUUGCCUUAGUAAAUUCAAAACUUUGGUUGAUUGGUAAACCACAUUUCCGAAGGUAUUUUUCCACGAAAUUUGAUAGAGAGAUACCCUUCAUAUAGGAGUACUAUACUGCAAACUUUGGUACCAAUCCAAGUUCGUUUCGACACUUAACUAAAGGUCCGAAGUCAGAAACCCAAAUUUGGAAAUUGUUCAACAGUCUUGAAUUUUCCCUAACUUUGAGCCACCAUAUCUUGGUGCUCGAAACUCUGAUUCUCGAUCCAUGUGUUCUGUCCUAAACCUUACUUGCACCUCUAAUUGAAUUAUAAAUUUUAAGGGCUGGAUUGCAACGAGUGAAUUCUGCCGAAUUUCCAAAGUUAGCGAAAAACCAAUCCCAGCUCAAUCCUGGGUGUUCUGGAACAGUAACUUUAAGCUCAUUUUUUAAUACCUUCCACUUAGAUUCAUGGAAAAGUGUCUUCUAAGAACUUUUAGUACUUUUAAAAAGGUUUCUAACGGUACCAAUUUUUCCAAUUUUUGACAUGUAAAAUGUGAGAUACGAUUUUCCAAAAUAUCGUAUCAAAACUGAAAAUUUUCCGAAUUCCAAAGGAAGGGAGUUUUCAAGUACUCCAUAUUCCUUCGAUAUUACUUGAACGUGUUAUUCUUGAUUUACCAAAAUGAAAACUCGAUCGCCCUUGUACUUUAAGAAACUCUAAUUGAAUCUCGAUUUACGAGUAAUUGAGGUUCGAUUUCAUGAAAUUUUCUUAGAUUGUACUAGUAUACAAUCUUCCUUGAUAAUUGGGGCACGUGAAUGAUAAUACAUUUUUAUUUGCUCAGGCGCACACGAGGACCUUCAAGAGGAUCCUACAGUGAACACUUGAACUUCCAGAAAAUAUUUCUUCUUGAUUUGCUUGGUGAGUGUCAAGUGUGUGUUAAUUGAACUCCUGUGAAUUCGAUACGUGAUUACUUGUUAUUGAUACUUGAGAUUUUGGAAAAUGGAGUCGAGUGUGUACUUUAUCGCACUCGUUCUCAUUAGAAAAUAAUUUAAACUUUUCAUAGCACUCAUUUACAUGCAGGAGAAGUAGUACAUGGAGAAGCAUAAUUUGACAAUCCAAACACACUUAGUAAAAAGUAGUUUGGAUAUAAUUAGUUGGAAAUAUACUACUAUUUAUUGGAGAAGCAUAUAUAGAAAAGUACAAUCUGCACCGAAACCAAAAUCUGUUUUGAGAUAAAACCAAAAUCUGUUUUGUGAUAAAACCAAAAUCUGUUUUCCAUAGCCUAAUCGUCAUACAUUCAUAACGAAACCCCUUGUGGCCUGUAAGCAGAGUACUGCUUUUCACUUCAACUUGUAGCAUCACCCACGGAAGGUAGCAUUCUUUGCAUUAAACAUCACAAGCAAAAGUAAAUCAUGAAUGAAAAUAAACAGGAAAUAAAGCUCCCGGCUGCAAGUAUUUAGUUAAAUCUAGAACAUUAAAAGCAUCAAUUAUCCUGAGCUGUAAUCCACUAUCAAGUAUCACAAUAGGAUCAUGUCACAAAAUUUGGUUUAACAAACAACUUUUCCCAAGCUAAUGGAAGGUAACAUGCAACUCCUAAGACAGUUUAUGAAUAUCUUCUAACCCAAAGGAUCCAAGUCAUCUCCUUGAGCCUAGGCCACAAGGGUGCUGGCAGUAGUAGAUUCACUGCAAGUAAAGAGUUUUAUCAGCAUCUGUUCAAAAAGAUAAACUGAAAGCAAGUUGCAUUAACAUAUUGGCCAAGCAUAGUAGUCAAAAGCAGGGCCAUUGCCAAAAGAUAUUCAUCACUAUUCAGACUUUUGUCAAGUACAGCAUGCUCCACUAAAACCAAAAGCAUCACACACUUGUUUAAUUCUCCAAAAAAUGUAUUGAAAGCAACUUCAGAACGUACAAAUGGAGUGUGGAUGCAAUGAAAAACCACUGCAGAAUUGCAGGACAACCACAUGCACUACUGGACAACACAGGUAAGUAAGAAACGUCAAUCAACUCCAUAAACCAAUUCUUUCCAAGACUACUGGACAACACAUGUAAAUAAGGAACCUCAAACAACUCGACGAACCAAUUCUUUCCAAACCAACAAGAGCUCCUAUGCUGACUUUCUAGCUAUCUUGUGGACAGUUCCGAUGGUACAACAUGAAGAUUUUGACAAAACAACCGUGGGUCUCACUUUGGAUCUUCAAAACAUAUCUAAUAAUAUAUGUACAGCGCACAAUAUUGCCAAGAGGUUAGUUACUUGGUCUAAUAGCAUAACCAUAACCUAAAAACAAUUUAAAAUUCUUGUGUAAAUAAGUGCACAAUGUUCCCAUUUCUCAAGGAAUCACCUUUUCAGUUUUUGGCUGCACUGUUCACACCAAUAUCUUUUUCCUUUUGGGUCCCCUUUUCGUGCAAGUUUCAUGCAAAUUGCAAAUCCAAGUUUUUGAUCUCCUCCCUAACGUCUUGUAUACUUUAGUUAGUAUUUGCCUGCUAUGUUUGCAGUUUUCCCAGAGGUAGAGAGCUUCCAAGUUCCCACCCAAGUCCCCCACCAAGCCAACAUCAGUCAUAGCUAUCAUGUGGAAAGACUUGUAAUAAAUUUGUUACCCAAAAGAAAAAGACUGCCAAGGUUCCCAAAGAAGUUGAACCCCAAUUAGAAAUGGUCCUAAAUUCCACAAACAAACCAACAUUUUAAUAAAUACAAAUACAGUAGACCCUCCUAACGCAAGAGAAUGAGUCAAUUUGAGACAUGACAUAUUUUUUUAUUCAGAUUAAAAAAAAAAUUUUGAAAUGACCAAAAUUUCACCGAGGAAGAAAACUGACAAGAUCAACAAGCUUCUUCUCAGAAAAAAGAGAGGCAACUUUACUAAGGACCCAAGGCCUAAAAGCCGACCACCAAUAAUUGUAUGUACAUUGGCUGUCAUCAAUUGUUAGCAUCACAUCAACUGAAUUACCACAUCUCUAACAAUUCUGAUUAAUCUCUAACAAGAAAAGGAAAAAAGAAAAAGAAAAAUGAUCAUAUCUAACAAUUCUGAUUAAUCUGAAUUACCUCAUCGCAGAAGGGCCAAAAGAUCUUCCACCGCCAUCUUUUCUCCUUACUUUCCAUCUCGUCAACCAUCUUGUUGACCCGUUCAAUCUCAUCCUUCAAUUCUUCAAUCCCUUCUUUCAACUCCUUCACAUCUAUUGGGAAAUUGACUUAAUUUCUUUUAGAUAGAUUUCUUGUUUUGUGUGGAAGUGACUCGUUUUCUAAUUGGUUUUAGUUACUUGAAGUAGUAGUCAAGAAAUAUUCUAUUUAGUUUAGAAUUAAAAGUUAUUUCUUACAAGUGUAGGAAUUAGAAUUGGUUUCCUAUUAUUAUUUGGAUUUUGGUCAAAUAAUGUUCCCUAUAAAUAGUCGGUUGGCAUACUACACAAGGGCACACAAAAGGCAACAUAUAGCCUUGUACAUGAGGUGAGAGGGUUCUUGGGAGACAAGAGAUGGUAUACAAAGAUUGGACUUGGGUUCAAAUUAUAUUCUUGUAUAGGGUUUUUCUCUCAUAAUAAAAAACGAGCUUUCUCUCCGUGGAUGUAGACUCAAUGGUAGAGUCAAACCAUGUUAAAUAUUGUGUGUUGUUUAUCUUUCAUACUUGUGGUUUAUUUAUCAUUAAAUUAUUGUAUACUUGAUAUCUCAAUAGUUGUUUAUUCCGCGCUUGGAUCCUAACAAGUGGUAUCAGAGGUUGGUUGUGAGACUGAGCUGCUUACAAGCACUUGGAUGCCAACAAAUUGAAUGGUUGGAUCAAGAGCUUGGUUGUUUAAUGUUGGAUCCUGGUUAACUAUUGAAAUUAAGUGGGUUGGUAGUUGUUACUAAUUGAACAAUUUAAUGAGUGAUAUCCCUGUUUUAAUGGUUUGGUAAAAAGCAUUGAUGGUGAAAGAUGGAAAGUUGAAAAGUAUGGAGAUGCUUGAUGGUGAAUCUAGGCAGGUGAUUCAAGGUCAAGAAAAAGGUGGAGUCCAAUGUUGAUUUUGGACAUGAAUCGUCGGGGACUUGCUCACACCUCCAACGGUUGAUACUUCAUCUCGGUGGUUUUUAGAUUUCAGUUAUAUUUUUUGGGUGGUGUGGCACGUGUCCCAAAGAAACAAGAAGAUCUAAUUUCCAUGCGUCAGAAAACUCUGACAGUUACGAGUUUUUUCGUUUUAGGUGGAGUCUUGAAAACUACACGUGGCGAGACAAUCCUGAGGAUGGGAAGAAAUAUGGUGAUUUUACCGCUUGGUUGUCUCAAUGGUUAGGGUUAGAGCCCACAGAAGGGGAUCCCGGAUUUUAAGUGGUGAUUAGAAAAAUUCCUGCAAAGAGAGUUGGUGAAUUAAGACACCUUCUCACGAGUCAACUGAAGGUUGGACUCGGUGUAACUAUACAUGUUCAUUUGCCGAUUAAAUCAAUUUGGUGUCAGGAUUGUAUUGAUUCAGGCGUGUAGUUUGGUACCAUAUUAUUUGGUAGUUGAAGGCAAAUGGUUGCUAAAAAAAUUUUCUCCAGGGUGGAGAUUUGUUAGGAAAUUGGCUUAAUUUCUUUUAGGUAGGUUUUAUGUUUUUUGUGUGAAAGUAACUAGUUUCCUAAUUGGUUUUAGUUACUUGAAAUAGUAGUAAAAAAUUAUGCUAGUUAGUUUAGUAUUAGAAGUUAUUUCCUACAAGUGUAGGAAUUAGAAUUGAUUUCCUAUUGUUAUUUGAGUUUUGGCCAAAUAAUGUUCCCUAUAAAUAGGUGGGUUGGCAUACUACACAUGGGCACACAAGAGGUAACAUGUAGCCUUAUACAUGGGGUGAGAGGGUUCUUGGGAGAUGAAAGAUGAUAUACAAGGGUUGGACUUGGGUUCAAAUUGUAUUCUUGUAUAGGAUUCUCCUCUCAUAAUAAAGAACGGGUUUUCUCUCCGUGGAUGUAGAUUCAAUGGUGGAUUCGAACCACGUUAAAUAUUAUGUAUUAUUUAUGUUUCAUGCUCGUGACUUAUUUAUCACUAAAUUGUCGUAUACCUGAUAUCUCAAUAGUUGUUUAUUCCGCGCUUGGAUCCUAAUAACAUCACCACCUAUCUAUUUUACGGACUCUUUCAGGGAACUCGACUCUGCUUCUAUUACGUGGAUUCAUCCCCUUGUGAGGUAAUUCGAAACAUGUUGAUAUAUCUUUCUUUAGCUUGUGCCGAAUACCUCCUCCAAAGAAGCUGCCUUUACGUCCUCUGCCUCCUGCUUCUUCGGACUUGGCACCAUUGUUAUUGGUGUCAGUGCGCGUCUUGGCAGUGGUGGUGGACUCUGGAAUGGCCUUGUUGGAAGUCUUAGGCUUGUUGGGAGUCUUGGAAGCAGCACCACCGCCGGCGGUGGACGGGGUGGACAGAAUCACAGAUUUUUUUGAUUUCUUGAUCUUCCCUUUAAAUAGGUAACGGAGCUGCCUCGCUGCAUCUCCGGCACCACUGCUCCGUGGGAGUGUAGAGCAAGUCUCGUAAAGAGAUUGAGGGAGCAAGGGAUUUGCUUUAAAAAAUGAACAGAAUCUUUUAAAUCGUGGUGAAGUGGCGGCCAUUUUUACGCACAAUCACGGGCGAAUUUGAAUGGAGUCGGUAGUGUUGGACCGGAAAGAGAAAAUGCCAAUUAACCGAAAAUCUUGGAAAUUAACUAAAAAUUAAAGCUGCUCCAACAUGCCAAUUAACUGAAAAUAUUUCUUAUCUUCGUUUCUUUUUUAACCUCACAAGCAAGACAUGAUUUAGAGUUUUGAUUUUAUUCGGUUAUCUUCUUAAUAUAACAAAAGUUCUUAACCUUCUCUUUCAAUUCUUAAACUUUACAUAAUAAAAAAAAAAUAUAUAUAUAUACCCGUUAAGUAUAUCUUUAUAUGUUACAAAGAGGCAGAAAUAAUUUGUAUAUUCAGACAUGCAUACAUACAGUUGAUUACAUGUUACAUAUCUACUUUUUGUGUGCCUAUAUUUGUGUAUCACUGUAGAUUAUUUCAUUUUGGAAAAUAAAUUGAAAGUGGUGAUGCAUUAGUUAGUUCAUUAGUGAAAAAGUAAUAGAUACAUUUAUAUAAGAAAUAUGUAUGUAUAAAUAUACUCAUCUAUGUAUGUGUAUAAAUUUAUAUUAAUUGUCAUUCAUCUAAUAUUAAUUGUGUAUACAAUGUCACUACAUAAAAGAUUAAUUAUAUAUGUGUACCAUUGAGGUGGGGCUAUCAACAAUCAAAUUAUAUAAUAUCAAAUAGAAAAUGAAAGUGACGCAUUUGUUAGUUCAUUAGUGAGGGCCUAAAUAUUAAAGGUUUCGGAUUCAAAUUCCUUUCCCUCUCCCUACUUCUUAAAUCCCUCCUCUUAUCUGUUAGAAAAAUUAUAUAUCUAUUGCCUCAGUAUUGUACUACUGUAAAUUUUCAACUGUCAAAUAAUAUAGCGGCUUAACACUUAAACAUUAAAAUUUCUAACUAGUACGAUCUUAUAUUUAGAAGCAAAUCAUUGGUAUUUUAUAUUACAUACAAACUAUUAAAUUCAAAUCAAAAUCCAAAUAAACAGAGCCAAAUUGUUUUGUCUUAGUUGGUCCGUUCAGUUAUAUUUUUUGGUCAAAUAGCAACAUUUUUCUUUGCAACAGUUUUGCCAAAUUAUUAGUCCUAAACCGAUCCACCUAGUAGGAAGGCGCGCCAAACCGACGCCCGUGGAGUCACAGAGCAUUUUUUUUUGUGGCAAUUUGAGGCGGCCAUGUUCAGCCAAAUUUUACUUGACCUUGGGUGAUCGUUAGACCAAUUCCGGUAAGAGUACCAAGGUUGCUAAAUUUUUUGUUGCAUUUUUAUAUUUAUAGAUUUUUAAAGUGUACUAGUACUUUUUUUAAGUCCCAAUCGAAUCACCCAAGGGUCACGUAGAAUUGCAUUACCCUUAGCGUCCGUUUGGUACAUGGAAUGAUAUGGGAUUGAAUUAAUCAUUUUGUGUCAUUUCAUCUUUGGUUGUAUUUUACACAUGGGAUGAUAGAUCUCAACUAACCGAACUAAUUCCCUAUUCAUGGGAUCAAAUAAUCUUAUAGAGGAAAUGGUAUUAGUCAUCCAGGAAUCACCAAGAGAUGGGAUGAUGAAAUUUUAAAAUUGGUUUAUCCUUACAAAUAAUAUAAAUUUAUACUCUCAUAAUUAUAUAACCUCACGCUCACACGAUAAUAUAGCAUGAAUGGACUAAUUUGCCCCUAUUACUUAUUUAAAAUUUUUUUUCCAAUACAAUAAUAUUUGGACUAAUUUUCUCUUACGAAUAAUACAAAUUCAUACUGAUAUAACCAUACUCUCACAUAAUAAUAUCAUAAUAAACUGACUUAUUUGCCCCUACUAAUUAUAUCAAACUUUUUUCACUAAUUCGCCCAUAUUUAUUAUGUUAAAAUUUUUAACAAAUUUACCCCUGUUAAUUAUUUUAAAAUUGUCUUUGACUAAUUUGUCCCUACUUACAUAAAAAGAAAAGGACUAUAUUGCCCUUGGUCUAAAUUAUCCUUUACUAACCUUAUUUUUGUCAAACAAGUUCUGUAUAAAUACAUAACCUUAUUAACAUAAAAAGAAAAGGACUAUAUUGCCCUUGGUCUAAAUUAUCCUUUACUAACCUUAUUUUUGUCAAACAAGUUCUGUAUAAAUACAUAACCUUAUUAAUUGGGCUUUGCAAAUGAGAGCUUCAACAAGUUCAAUCUCGCCCCAAAGAAAAAUAUGAUGUAUUGGCUUGAAUUUGGAUCAUUUAAAACUCUUAAAUGGGUUGGAUUUUAUUCAAUUUAGCUCUAACUUGGCCAAAAAUUGGCCCAUUAUUUAAUUAAAUUUCAAAUUUAGAUCCAAAAAUUAGUUUAAAACCUAUUUUUAAGGGCUCAAAUAGGUUGAGUUUGAGCAAAUGUAAAUUUUUAUAUAUCAAAACUUUUUACUUACUUUAUAAUUCUAAAGUUUGAAAUUACUUUAUCUGAAUAAAAGUUAUAAAUUACUAAAUUAUUUUAUUACAACAAUCCUACAAAUUAAGGGGUACUUUCAACAUUAAAAUAUUAAUCCUAUCUCUUUUAAUUUCCAACUAAACACGAGAUAUGAUCAUUUUCUAAUAUAUCAUAUUCAAUUUAGAACCAACCAAUCACUAGAUAACUUGAAUUAUUAAUCCGAAAAUGACUCAACUCAAGAUUAACAAUUCGAGGAUGAGUCAUUCCAUCUUAUCUGGUCUAUGAACCAAACGAACCCUUAAUGAAUCUGUGUGUAUUCAAUGACAAAGUUAGGACCGUUAGAUGUUAGAGGGUGAUGUGGGCGGUCCAAAUCCAGAUCCUGAUUUUGGGUCGGAUCUUGAGAAACCCCAAAUUGCUGUAUUUUUUAAUUUCGGACCGGAUCGACGAUCGAACCCAAAACCGGUCAAGUGUCCAGUCUGAGUUAUUCUAAAAACUGGAUAGUUAGAAAUUAGUCAAAUCAUGUCAAAAAUCGGGUUUGACUGGAAAAACCGGAAGACCGGUUGGUGUCAAUUAUUUUUAAAAGGUCAAAACAUUUUCAAUAUUAUGUUUUGACCACAAGAUUGUUAAAAAUUAUUAAUAUACGACAAAUAUUUCAUACUUUAUAAAUGUCGUCCUAAAGUUUGGUGUUAUUUUUUAAUCAAAUCCAUAAUUUUAAUUAUAAACUUAAUAAUAUAAAUUGCUACUUGAUCGUUCUAAUUUCUUUGAAUUUUCUUGUUAAAUAUGUUUGAAACAUGAAAUAUAUAUGAAUAUAUUUUUAUUAAUAUUAACAUGCUUUUAGGUAUUUUACAUACAAUAUUUUAAUUUUUAAGUAAUUUUUAUUUAGCCAAAUUGAUGGUUUUGGUCAACUCUCGAGAUGUCCCUCCCGAGUCAUCUCGAUAUUUUACUCUAGGCAGGGGGAUCUACUGAUUUGACCCGCAUUAAUGUCCUGACACCUAAUAAGUUAGGGCGGCAUAGGAUCGCAAAUAGUUGUUAAGUAAUCAUGUUAAAUCCAUUUCUUUAUAUACAAUUAAAGUGGGUUCUCCAAAAAAUUUCCUAUAAAUGGUGGAGUCGAACCACGUUAAAUAUUGUGUGUUGUUUAUCUUUAAUGCUUAUGACUUGUUUAUCAUUAAAUUGUUGUAUAUUUGAUAUCUCAAUAGUUGUUUAUUCCGCGCUGGGAUCCUAACAAGUGGUAUCAGAGGUUGGUUGUUAGAUUGGGCUGCUUACAAGCACUUGGAUUCCAGCAAAUUGAAUGGUUGGACGAAGAGCUUGGUUGUUUAAUGUUGGAUCCUGGUUAACUAUUGAAAUCAAGUGGAAUGGUAGUUGUUACUAAUUGAACAAUUUAAUGAGUGGUAUCCUUGUUUUAAUGGUUUGGUAAAAAGCAUUGAUGGUGAAAGAUGAAAAGUCGAAAAGUAUAGAGAUGCUUGACGGUGAAUCUAGACAGGUGAUUCAAGGGUCAAGAAAAAGGUGGAGUCCAAUGUUGAUUUUGGACAUGAAUCGUUGGAGACUUUCUCACACAUCCAAUGGUUGAUACUUCAUCUCGGUGGUUUUUAGAUUUCAGUUAUGUUUUUUGGGUGGAGUGGCACGUGUCCCAAAGAAACAAGGAGAUCUAAUUUUCAUGAGUCAGGAGACUCUGACAGUUACGAGUGUUUUCGUUUUAGGUGGAGCCUUGAAAACUAUACGUGGCGAGACAAUCCUGAGGAUGGGAUGAAAUAUGGUGAUUUUACCACUUGGUUGUCUCAAUGGUUAGGGUUAGAGCUCACAGAAGGGGAUCCCGAAUUGUAAGUGGUAAUUAGAAAAAAUCCUGUAAAGAGAGUUGGCCAAUUGAGACACCUUCUCACGAGUCAACGGGAGGUUGGACUCGGUGUAACUACACAUAUUCAUUUGCCAAUUAAAUCAAUUUGGUGUCAGGACUGUAUUGAUUCGGGUGUGUAGUUUGGUACCAUAUUAUUUGGUAGUUGAAGGCAAAUAGUUGCUAAAAAAAAUUUUCGCCAGGGUAGAGAUUUGUUAGGAAAUUGGCUUAAUUUCUUUUAGGUAGGUUUCUUGUUUUGUGUGGAAGUAACUAGUUUCCUAAUUGGUUUUAGUUACUUGUAGUAGUAGUCAAGAAAUAUUCUAGUUAGUUUAGAAUUAGAAGUUAUUUCCUACAAGUGUAGGAAUUAAAAUUAGUUUCCUAUUGUUAUUUGGGUUUUGGCCAUAUAAUACUCCCUAUAAAUAGGUCGGUUGGCAUACUACACAUGAGCACGCAAGAGACAACAUGUAGCCUUAUACAUGGGGUGAGAGGGUUCUUGGGAAAUGAGAGAUGACAUACAAGAAUUGGACUUGGGUUCAAAUUAUAUUCUUGUAUAGGAUUCUCCUCUCAUAAUAAAGAACGGGUUUUCUCUCCGUCGAUGUAGACUCAAUGGUGGAGUCGAACCACGUUAAAUACUAUGUGUUGUUUAUCUUUCAUGCUUGUGACUUAUUUACCAUUAAAUUGUUAUAUAUUUGAUAUCUCAAUAGUUGUUUAUUCCGCGCAUGGAUUCUAACAACAUCACCACCUAUCUAUUUUACGGACUCUUUCAGGGAAUUCAACUCUGCUUCUAAUACGUGGAUUCAUCCCUUGUGAGGUAAUCCGAAACAUGUUGACAUAUCUUUCCUCAGCUUGUGCAGAAUGCCUCCUCCAAAGAAACCGCCUUUACGUCCUCUGCCUCCUGCUUCUUUCGAAAAUAAAAUGAAAGUGGUGAUGCAUUAGUUAGUUCAUUAAUGAAAAAGUGAUAGAUACAUUUUAUACAAGAAAUAUAUAUCUAUAAAUAUACUCAUCUAUGUAUGUGUAUAAAUUUAUAUUAGUUGUCAUUCAUCUAAUAUUAAUCGUGUAUACAAUGUCAUUAAAAAAGAUUAAUUAUAUAUGUGUACCAUUGAGGUGGGGCUAUCAACAAUCAAAUUAUAUAAUAUCAAAUAGAAAAUGAAAGUGAUGCAUUUGUUAGUUCAUUAGUGAGGGCCUAAAAAUUAAAGGUUUUGGAUUCAAAUUCCUUUCCCUCUCUCUACUUCUUAAAUCCCACCCUUAUCUGUUCAAAAAAUUAUACAUCUAUUGCCUCAGUAUUAUACUACUGCCAACUAUCAACUGUCAAAUGAUAUAAUGGCUUAACACUUAAACAUUAAAAUUUCGAAUUACCACGAUCUUAUAUUUAGAAACAAAUCAUUCGUAUUUUAUGUUACACACAAACUAUCAAAUUCAAAUCAAAGGCCAAAUAAACAAAGCCAAAUUGUUUUGUCUUAGUUGGUUGGUUCAGUUAUUUUUUUGGUCAAACAGCAACAUUUUUCUUUGCAACAGUUUAGCCAAAUUGUUAGUCCUAAACCAAUCCAUCCAAUAGGAAGGCCAAACCGACGCACGUGGAGUUGCAGAGCAAUUUUUUUUUUUUGGUGGAAAUUUGAUGUGGCCAUGUUCAACCGAAUUUUACUUGACCUUGGGUGAUCGUUAGACCAAUUCUGGUAAGAGUACCAAGGUUGCUAAAUUUUUUGUUGCAUUUUUAUAUUUAUAGAUUUGUUUAAAGUAUACUAGUAAUUUUUUUAAGUCCCAAUCGAAUCACCCAAGGGUCACGUAGAAUUGCAUUACCCUUAGCGUCCGUUUGGUACAUGGAAUGAUAUGGGAUUGAAUUAAUCAUUUUGUGUCAUUUCAUCUUUGGUUGUAUUUUACACAUGGGUUGAUAGAUCUCAACUAACCGAACUAAUUCCCUAUUCACGAGAUCAAAUAAUCUUAUAGAGGAAAUGGUAUUAGUCAUCCAGGAUGACCAAGAGAUGGGAUGAUGAUAUUUUAAACUGGUUUAUCCUUACAAAUAAUAUGAAUUUAUGCUCUCAUAAUUAUAUAACCUCACGCUCACACGAUAAUAUAGCAUGAAUGGACUAAUUUGCUCCUAUUACUUAUUUUAAAGUUUUUUGACCAAUACAAUAAUAUUUGGACUAAUUUGCUCUUACGAAUAAUACAAAUUCAUAUUGAUAUAACCAUACUCUCACAUAAUAAUAUCAUAAUAAACUGACUUAUUUGCCCCUACUAAUUAUAUCAAACUUUUUUCACUAAUUCGCCCAUAUUUAUUAUGUUAAAUUUUUUAACAAUAUACCCCUAUUAAUUAUUUAAAAAUUGUCUUUGACUAAUUUGUCCCUACUUACAUAAAAAGAAAAGGACUAUAUUGCCCUUGGACUAAAUUACCUUUACUAACCUUAUUUUUGUCAAACAAGUUCUUUAUAAAUACAUAACCUUAUUAAUUGGGCUUUGCAAAUGAGAGCUUCAACAAGUUCAAUCUCGCCCCAAAGAAAAAUCUGCUGUAUUGGCUUGAAUUUCGAUCGUUUAAAACUCUUAAAUGGGUUGGAUUUUAUUCAAUUUAGCUCUAACUUGGCCAAAAAUUGGCCCAUUAUUUAAUUGAAUUUCAAAUUUAGAUCCAAAAAUUAGUUUAAAACCUAUUUUUAAGGGCUCGAAUAGGUUGAGUUUGAGCGAAUGUAAAUUUUUAUAUAUCAAAACUUUUUACUUACUUUAUAAUUCUAAAGUUUCAAAUUACUUUAUCUGAAUAAAGGUUAUAAAUUGCUAAAUUAUUUUAUUACAACAAUCCUACAAAUUAAGGGUACUUUCGACAUUAAAAUAUUAAUCCUAUCUCUUUUAAUUUCCAACUAAACACAAGAUAGGAUCAUUUUCUAAUAUAUCAUAUUCAAUUUAGAACCAACCAAUCACUAGAACGAACCAAGCCUUAAUGAAUCAGUGCGCAUUCAAUGACAAAGUUAGGACUGUUAGAUGUUAGAGGGUGGUGUGGGCGGUCGAAAUCCAGAUCCAGAUUUUGGGUCAGAUCUCGAGAAGCCCCAAAUUGCUAUAUUUUUAAAUUCGGACCGGACCGACCGAUUGAACCGAAAACCGGCCAAAUGUCCGGUCUGAGUUAUUCUGAAAAACAGGAUAGUUAUAAAUUAGUCAAAUCUGGUAAAAAAUCGGGUUUGACAGGAAAAAUCGGAAGACCGGUUGGUGUCAAUUUCUUUAAAAAGGUCAAAACACUUUUAAUAUUAUGUUUGGACCCCUCGUUUGUUAAAAAUUAUUAAUAUACGACAAAUAUUUCAUACUCUAUAAAUUUCGUCCUAAAGUUUGGUGUUAUUUUUCAAUCAAAUCCAUAAUUUUAAUUCUAAACUUGAUAAUGUUCAUCAAAUAAUAUAAAUUGCUACUUGAUCGUUCUAAUUUUUUUGUAUUUUCUUGUUAAAUAUGUUUGAAACAUCAAAUAUAUAUGAAUAUAUUUUUGCUAAUAUUAACAUUCUUUUAGGUGUGUUACAUAUAAUAUUUUAAUUUUUAAAUAAUUUUUAUUCAUGACGUCAUCCGAUUCGAGAUCGAUUGAACCCAUUGACCCUAAAUUCGAUCGAAUCGAUACCCUCGAUUCAAGUAUGAAAACAAAGCCAAAUUGAUGGUUUUGGUCAACUCUCGAGAUGUCUCUCCCGAGUCAUCUUGAUAUUUUACUCUAGGAAGGGGGAUCUACUGAUUUGACCCGCAUUAAUGUCCUGACACCUAAUAAGUUAGUGCGGCAUAGGAUCUCAAAUAGUUGUUAAGUAGUCAUGUUAAAUCCAUUUCUUUAUAUACAAUUAAAGUGGGUUCUCGAAAAAAUUUCCUAUAAAUGGUGGAGUCGAACAACAUUAAAUAUUACGUGUUGUUAAUCUUUCAAGCUUGUGACUUGUUUAUCAUUAAAUUGUUGUAUACCUGAUAUCUCAAUAGUUGUUCAUUCCGCGCUUGGAUCCUAACAACAUCACCACCUAUCUGUUUUACGGACUCUUUCAGGGAACUCAACUCUACUUCUAAUACGUGGAUUCGUCCCCUUGUGAGGUAAUCCGAAACAUGUUGAUAUAUCUUUCCUCAGCUUGUGCCGAAUGCCUCCUCCAAAGAAACCGCCUUUACGUACUCUGCCUCCUGCUUCUUCGGAUUUGGCACCAUUGUUAUUGGUGUGAGUGCUCUUCUCGGCGGUGGUGGUGGACUCUGGAAUGGGCUUGUUGGGAGUCUUGGAAGUAGCACCGCCGCCGGCGGUGGACCGGGGGGGGUAGAAUCACAGAUUUUUUUUUAUUUCUUGAUCUUCCCUUUAAACAGGUGACGGAGCCGCCUCGCUGCAUCUCUGGCACCACUGUUCCGUGGGAGCGUAGAGCGAGUCUCGUAAAGAGAUUGAGGGAGCACGGGAUUUGCUAUAAAAAAUGAAUAGAAUCUUUUAAAUCGUAGUGAAGUGGCGGCUAUUUUUACGCACAAUCAGCGGACGAAUUUGAACGGAGUCGGUAGUGUGGGACCGGAGAGAGAAAAUGCCAAUUAACUGAAAAUCUUGGAAAUUAAUUGAAAAAUAAAGCUGCUCCAACUUGCCAAUUAAUUGAAAAUAUUUCUCAUCUUCGUUUCUUUUUUAACCUCACAAGCAAGACAUGAUUUAGAGUUUUGAUUUUAUUCGGUUAUCUUCUUAAUAUAACAAAAGUUCUUAACCUUCUCUUUCUAUUCUUGAACUUUACAUAAUAAAAUAUAUAUAUAUAUACCCGUUAAGUAUAUCUUUAUAUGUAACAAAGAGGCAGAAACAAUUUGUAUAUGCAGACAUGCAUACAUACAGUUGAUUACAUGUUACAUGUCUACUUUUUGUGUGCCUAUAUUUGUGUAUCACUGUAGAUCAUUAGUCUACUAUACUAUACAAUUGCGUUGGUUUGUCAAUAUAUACAUAUAUGUCCAAUUCAUAAUAAUACUGAUGUAUUUCAUUUUGGAAAAUAAAAUGAAAAUGGUGAUGCAUUACUUAGUUCAUUAGUGAAAAAGUAAUAGAUACAUUUAUACAAGAAAUAUGUAUAUAUAAAUAUACUCGUCUAUGUAUGUGUAUAAAUUUAUAUUAAUUGUUAUUCAUCUAAUAUUAAUCGUGUAUACAAUGUCACUACAUAAAAAAUUAAUUAUAUAUGUGUACCAUUGAGGUGGGGCUAUCAACAAUCAAAUUAUAUAAUAUCAAAUAGAAAAAGAAAGUGAUGCAUUUGUUAGUUCAUUAGUGAGGGCCUAAAAAUUAAAGAUUUUGGAUUCAAAUUCCUUUCCCUCUCCCUACUUCUUAAAUCCCACCUCUUAUCUGUUAGAAAAAUUAUAUAUCUAUUGCCUCAGUAUUAUACUACUGUCAACUUUCAACUGUCAAAUAAUAUAGUGGCUUAACACUUAAACAUUAAAAGUUCUAAUUAGUACGAUCUUAUAUUUAAAAACAAAUCAUUGGUAUUUUAUGUUACACACAAACUAUUAAAUUCUAAUUAAAGGCCAAAUAAACAGAGCCAAAUUGUUUUGUUUUAGUUGGUUCGUUUAGUUAUUUUUUUGGUCAAAUAGCAACAUUUUUCUUUGCAAUAGUCUAGCCAAAUUGUUAGUCCUAAACUGAUCCUCCCAAUAGGAAGGCCAAACCGACGCCCGUGGAGUCGCAGAGCAAUAUUUUUUUUUUUUUUUUUUGUGGAAAUUUGAUGCGGCCAUGUUCGGCCGAAUUUUACUUGACCUUCGGUGAUCGUUAGACCAAUUCCGGUAAGAGUACCAAGGUUGCUAAAUUUUUUGUUGCAUUUUUAUAUUUAUAGAUUUUUUUAAAGUGUACUAGUAAUUUUUUUAAGUCCCAAUCGAAUCACCCAAGGGUCACGUAGAAUUGCAUUACCCUUAGCGUCCGUUUGGUACAUGGAAUGAUAUGGGAUUGAAUUAAUCAUUUUGUGUCAUUUCAUCUUUGGUUGUAUUUUACGCAUGGGAUGAUAGAUCUCGACUAACCGAACUAAUUCCCUAUUCAUGGGAUCAAAUAAUCUUAUAGAGGAAAUGGUAUUAGUCAUCCCGGGAUGACCAAGAGAUGGGAUGAUGAAAUUUUAAACUGGUUUAUUCUUACAAAUAAUAUAAAUUUAUACUCUCAUAAUUAUAUAACCUCAUGCUCACACGAUAAUAUAGCAUGAAUGGACUAAUUUGCCCCUAUUACUUAUUUUAAAUUUUUUUCCAAUACAAUAAUAUUUGGACUAAUUUUCUCUUACAAAUAAUACAAAUUCAUACUGAUAUAACCAUACUCUCACAUAAUAAUAUCAUAAUAAACUGACUUAUUUGCCCUACUAAUUAUAUUAACUUUUUUCACUAAUUCGCCAUAUUUAUUAUGUUAAAAUUUUUAACAAAUUUACCCCUAUUAAUUAUUUAAAAUUGUCUUUGACUAAUUUGUCCCUACUUACAUAAAAAGGAAAAGGAAUAUAUUGCCCUUGGACUAAAUUACCCUUUACUAACCUUGCUUUUGUCAACCAAGUUUUGUAUAAAUACAUAACCUUAUUAAUUGGGCUUUUCAAAUGAGAGCUUCAACAAGUUCAAUCUCGCCCCAAAGAAAAAUCUGUUGUAUUGGUUGAAUUUGGAUCGUUUAAAACUCUUAAAUGGGUUGGAUUUUAUUCAAUUUAGCUCUAACUUGGCCAAAAAUUGGCCAAUUAUUUAAUGAAUUUCAAAUUUAGAUCCAAAAAUUAGUUUAAAACCUAUUUUUAAGGGCUCGAAUCGGUUGAGUUUGAGAGAAUGUAAAUUUUUAUAUAUCAAAACUUUUUACUUACUUUAUAAUUCUAAAGUUUGAAAUUACUUUAUCUGAAUAAAUGUUAUAAAUUACUAAAUUAUUUUAUUACAACAAUCCUACAGAUUAAGGGGUACUUUCGACAUUAAAAUAUUAAUCCUAUCGCUUUUAAUUUCCAGCCAAACACUAGUUAGGAUCAUUUUCUAAUAUAUCAUAUUCAAUUUAGAGCCAACUAAUCACUAGAUAACUUGAAUUAUUAAUCCGAGAAUGACUCGACUUAAGAUUAACAAUUCGAGGAUGAGUUAUUUCAUCUUAUCCGGUCUAUGAACCAAACGAACCCUUAAUGAAUUAAUGCUUAUUCAAUGACAAAGUUAGGACCGUUAGAUGUUAGAGGGUGAUGUGGGCGGUCCAAAUCCAGAUCCCGAUUUUGGGUCGGAUCUCGAGAAGUCCCAAAUUGCUAUAUUUUUAAAUUCGGACCGGACCGACCGAUCGAACCGAAAAUCUGCCAAAUGUCCGGUCUGAGUUAUUCUAAAAAACUGGAUAGUUAGAAAUUAGUCAAAUCUGGUAAAAAAUCGGGUUUGACAGGAAAAAUCGGAAGACCGGUUGGUGUCAAUUUUUUUAAAAAGGUCAACACAUUUUUAAUAUUAUGUUUGGACCCCUCGUUUGUUAAAAAUUAUUAAUAUACGACAAAUAUUUCAUACUCUAUAAAUUUCGUCCUAGAGUUUGGUGCUAUUUUUCGAUCAAAUCCAUAAUUUUAAUUCUAAACUUGAUAAUGUUCAUCAAAUAAUAUAAAUUGCUACUUGAUCGUUCUAAUUUCUUUGUAUUUUCUUGUUAAAUAUGUUUGAAAUAUCAAAUAUAUAUGAAUAUAUUUUUAUUAAUAUUAACAUUCUUUUAGGUGUGUUACAUAUAAUAUUUUAAUUUUUAAAUAAUUUUUAUUCAUGACGUCAUCCGAUUCGAGAUCGAUUGAACCCAUUGACCCCUAAAUUCGAUCGAAUCGAUACCCUCGAUUCAAGUAUGAAAACAUAGCCAAAUUGAUGGUUUUGGUCAACUCUCGAGAUGUCUCUCCCGAGUCAUCUUGAUAUUUUACUCUGGAAGGGAGAUCUACUGAUUUGACCCGCAUUAAUGUCCUGACACCUAAUAAGUUAGGGCGGCAUAGGAUCUCAAAUAGUUGUUAAGUAGUCAUGUUAAAUCCAUUUCUUUAUAUACAAUUAAAGUGGGUUCUCGAAAAAAUUUUCCUAUAAAUGGUGGAGUCGAACCACGUUAAAUGUUAUGUGUUGUUAAUCUUUCAUGCUUGUGACUUGUUUAUCAUUAAAUUGUUGUAUACUUGAUAUCUCAAUAGUUGUUCAUUCCGCGCUUGGAUCCUAACAACAUCACCACCUAUCUGUUUUACGGACUCUUUCAGGGAACUCAACUCUGCUUCUAAUACGUGGAUUCGUCCCCUUGUGAGGUAAUCCGAAACAUGUUGAUAUAUCUUUCCUCAGCUUGUGCCGAAUGCCUCUCCAAAGAAGCCGCCUUUACGUAUUCUGCCUCCUGCUUCUUCGGAUUUGGCACCAUUGUUAUUGGUGUGAGUGCGCUUCUCGGCGGUGGUGGUGGACUCUGGAAUGGGCUUGUUGGAAGUCUUAGACUUGUUGGGAGUCUUGGAAGUAGCACCGCCGCCGGCGGUGGACCGGGGGGGCAGAAUCACAGAUUUUUUUUUAUUUCUUGAUCUUCCCUUUAAACAAGUGACGGAGCCGCCUUGCUGCAUCUCCGGCACCACUGUUCCGUGGGAGCGUAGGGCGAGUCUCGUAAAGAGAUUGAGGGAGCACGGGAUUUGCUUUAAAAAAUGAACAGAAUAUUUUAAAUCGUGGUGAAGUGGCGGCUAUUUUUACGCACAAUCAGCGGACGAAUUUGAACGGAGUCGGUAGUGUGGGACCGGAGAGAGAAAAUGCCAAUUAACUGAAAAUCUUGGAAAUUAACUGAAAAUUAAAGCUGCUCCAACUUGCCAAUUAAUUGAAAAUAUUUCUCAUCUUCGUUUCUUUUUUAACCUCACAAGCAAGACAUGAUUUAGAGUUUUGAUUUUAUUCGGUUAUCCUCUUAAUAUAACAAAAGUUCUUAACCUUCUCUUUCUAUUCUUGAACUUUACAUAAUAAUAAAAAAAAUAUAUAUAUAUACCCGUUAAGUAUAUCUUUAUUGUGAGAACCCGAAAUUUUUUUAUUUUUAUAGAAUAUUACUGGAAUAUUUAGAUGAUUAUUCACCCAUUUUUUUCGAAUUAUUUAUUUCGACCAUUUUAGACAUGGCUUAGCAAAGAAGUGAAUUGGGAGUUUGGGCAAUCUAAACCAGAUGGGAAUAAGGGAAGACUCUCUGUCCACAUGGAACUUAGAUGUCCACUUAAAAACCCUUAUGGGGCAUCCAUUCACGUACCACAAAUGUCGACCCCAAACGCGAAGGAAGUCUGCUUCACACUGAAAUUUCAGCAACACAUGCCUAGCAUCUAACAAUCCCACAGUCACCGUAUCCUUCAAAUCAAGAGUCGACAAGAACUUCCUCAGGUCAGGCAGCAGCGGCCGUCCCUUAGAGAACUUCCCAACCAAAGUGUAGCGGAAUGGAGCAGCAAUCGCUGCUAUUUCAGCCGCACUGAAGACCACCGCAGGCUCUCCACGGUGUGUUGUCAUCCUCGCUUGGACUUGCACUACCUCCGACGUCGGUUGCGGUUCAAACAACGCAGAAAAGGCCUUCUUCCUAAAGGUGGGGGAGGAAGAGGCCGACGGCCCCCCACCUGGAGGAGGGGGGCAGUCUCGGCUGCCAUGGACUUACCCUAAUUUUAAAACAUCUGUUCCCUAGUUGGGAACUUAGUGAGAUUUUCCUGUGUAAAAUUUUAAUAGCUGCUUUAUACGUAUAUUAUGAUUGGUCCUGUGGCCAUAUUUCAACUUUUGUGAAAAUUUGAACUUCAAAAGUAUUUCGUGGGUUUGGUGAGAUGACUUGAACUCAUUACCAAUUUGUUCUAUUUAAACAAAAGCGCUUUCAAUUUUACUUGACUAAUACUAUACCCAGAUUCACUUGUUUUACUUUUUACAAAAUUUAUAUAUAUAUAUGUAUACACAUUUUGAACUCGUUUGAGAAUCGAAAUCAGAUAGAGUUCAAGUUCCAAUCUUUCUUAGGAACAUGAAUGCCUAUUUGUUAUGAAUCAGAGAUUAGAAAUGAUCGGGUUUUAUGUACCAGUAGAGUUAACUCUUGGUUGGAUAAAAGGGUGGUAAAGGUAUUGGAUCACAGGUUAUGCGAAUAUGAACCUACAUGUUUACCUAUAUUUCUUAAAUGUAUUUUCUAAAAUAUACGCCUUACUCGAACAUAGAUUUAACUCGAAACUUUGAGGAAAAGUGUUGGAACACCCUCCAUGUAUAUGUUAUGAUUAUUAUGUAUAUGUUUUAAAAAUCAUGCAUUAAGUUGCAUGAUUAAUAUUCUUAAAUCUAUUUGAGAGAUUUAAAUAUGUAUUGAUUGAUUGUGGUUAACAUUAUUUGGAAAUCUCUUACUAAGAAAAAUUUAGUUUUGGGGUCGUGAAGAAAAAAAUUUGUAAUCUUUAACUCUAACUUUUGAAAAAUUUUGAAUUCGCGCAUUUUGGCCACAAGAAAGAUUCACAAUACAUCAUAAAGUGUUGAUCCUUUUUGUAAGUCCAUAAGAUUGGUUUGAAAUUAGACAAAAUUUUGAGGAAAGGGAUUUUGGUCCUGCUAGUGCGAAACAGUUUUUUUUUUUUUUUUGUUAGGAUUUGAAACUUAUUUCAUAUGGCGUGUAAUUUAUGGUUUCACUACACACGUGAGUAAGACCUUAGAAUGGAAGUAUAUAUCAUUAUAUCAAGAGGUAUUACUUUAGUCGUGUGUGUGGAUUUUCUUAAGUAUCAUUCGAGGAGAGGGAAGAGUAAAUAUACCUGGAUAACUUAGAUGUGUGAGAAUUUACAGGUUGUGGAUAGUUGAGUUUCAAAUUCUGAUUUGCUGCUUAUUUAGAUGCUUGAGCUGUUGAUAGGCUAACAGUUAGGAUUAAGAAAAUGGAUGAAUGAAAAGUUUGGAAGAGAUGCGUAUAGAAAUAGAAGUUCUUCACAAGGAGUUGGAAUUCCAAACUAAAUUGGCUGAAUUCUGGGAAGAAAAAAAAAAGGUCGAGAAUUUAGGGUUGAAGAUGGGACCCAAUGUUUGAUCGCCAAUUUGAGAUAUUAAAAGUUGUGAGAUUUGGGUGAGUGAAAGGAAAUAUUUGAUGGCUUGAAUGAGCCUAAUGAUUAAGGACCGGAUGUUAUAUUUGGAAUGGACGCUUGAGACUAUACAUACAUAGAUUAUUGAGAUUUGAACGAUGAGACUAUUAAGAACAAAUAUUCCAUUGCCUCACAUAAACGAGAAUUAUAAUCAAGGGUCAAGAUCAGCGAAUAAGGGAUUUAAGUUGAGUUACUACCAACCGGGAAUCCUAGAAACUGAUGUGCUUAACCACUUCCAAUUCAAGAUGGGGAUGCUUGAAUUUUCAGUUAUGCCAAUUCGGUUGACUAAUGUAUUAGCAGCAAUUAUUGCAUUAAUGCAUCAAGGUUUUAAAUCGUAAUAGGAUUAAUCUGUGAUGGCAUUUAUUGAUGAUGUAUUGAUAUACCCUAAAGUUUGAGAAGAUCAUGAAAAAAAAAUACCUGACGGUAGUUUUACAAAUUCCAAGAGAAUGUUAACUUUUGUUAAGUUCAAUAAAUAUGAGUUCGAUGGGAAGAAAUAGCCUUUCUAAAUUAUAUAAUAUCUAAGGAAGAAAUUGUUGUUAACUCAGUUUAAGUGGAAGCUGUUUAAGAGGAAAUGACUAGAAAAUCCUACCGAAAUUUGGAGCUUCUAGAGGUAGUCGAAUAUUACCUUGGCUUGAUCAGGAACUUCUAAGGAUACGAGACUUGGCAAGUUAUUUGAGAUUCUAAAUGUGAGGAAGAAUUUGAAGGUGAAAAUCGUUUAACCAGUGCACUUGUGUUGGCUUUACCGAGCGGAUGAGGUGAUUUUGUGAUUUAUACAGAUGGUUCAAAGGAUGGUUUAGAAUGAAUAUUAAUAAUAUAUGAUGAGGUGAUUGUAUAUGCCUUCUGAAAGUUAAAAUCUCCCGGAAGAAAGUAAUCAACGCAUGAUUUGGAUUGAGUUGGAAAACGUAAGUCAAUGAUUGAUCUGAUAGGCUUAACCAUGAAGGGAAUGAUAUUGUUCUAAGUAUGAAUUUAGAGGACGAAAUUCCUUUCAAGGAGGGGAGGAUGUGAGAAUCCGAAAAUUUUCUUAUUUUUAUAGAAUAUUACUGGAAUAUUUAAAUGAUUAUUCACCCAUUUUCUUAGAAUUAUUUAUUUCGACCAUUUUAAAUCCAUUUAUAUGGAACGACGCCUCUUUAUAUUUUUAAAGCGUUUUGUUGAAAAAUUCGCUUUUCAAAAAUUUGUUUAGUCCGGAACGACGGGUGCACAUUUUUCUAGGCUAUACUUGAAUCGGAAGUGUAUUAAUAUUAGAGAAUUAAGAACGAUCAAUAAUAGAUUAAGAAAGGUUAAUUGAGAAAUUAAUACUCAAUUCAUGUGAGGACUCGUAAAAUUAUUAUUUUUAAACCUCUAAUUUUGGUUCAAUUAAUUAUCUAUUUGGAUUUUUGCCCCGAAUAUUAUUUUCUAUCUUUAUUAGACCUAAAUAUAUGGAGUUAUAGCUUCAUUAUAUUUUUAAAGUGACUUGUUUCAAAAAUUAAUUUUUUGGAAGCUCGUUUAGUGAAAAUAACGAAAACGUGUUUGGAAAUUUUAACCGAUUGAGAGUACAAUAAGUUUGGAAAUUGGAGACUUGUAUAAUAGUUCUAAAAUAGGUAAUUUUAGGUUUAAACACUCAAGUGAUAGUAAGGGGUGCAAUCGUUAUAAGAAUUUCUUGAAGGUUUCACUUUAUCGCGUCUAAAUUGGAAAUACGCGUUUUCACGCGCGCGAUUAAUUGAGGGACUUUAGACCAUUAUUUUGGGUCAAUUAAGGGUGAAUAAUAUUUAUAUAAAUAUAAGUGCAUUAGAGGUUUAGUGCACUAGUGAAACAAAUGCAAGAGGAAUCGAGUACGAAACGCGCGCGUACACGCGCGCACGAGAGAGUUGACUUUUGAGGCAUUCUUAGCCACAUAUUCUUAAGUCUCUCACAUAAGCCUCAUUAUCAGCCAACAACAUUCUUCUUCCUCCUCAAAGCUGCCGUCCAACACCAAGAGCAAGAACCAAACUUGCUUCAUCAAAUUCUACUCCAAAAUCUUGCUCAAAUCACUACCAAAUCCUCUCAAAUUUUAACUCUACUUAGCUUAACAUUUGGAGAGUCCAUUUAGCUACAAAAAAGAGGAGCUUUCCAUGGUUUCUUGGAGCUUUAAGGAGGGCCGAAAUUCUGGUCUUAGGCACACCAAAAAGGUAUAUAGUGAUCUAAUACUCUAAACUUGGUCUAUAAGAGUUGAAUGACACUUAUGAGCUUGAAUUUUCAUAUGGGUUGUUGUUGUUGUUGGAAAAAUUGGAAGGUGGGCUCUAUGAACUCCCACCCUUCGUCUUGAUGGCUAAUGUGAUGAUUAAUGAUGGGUUUAAUGUUGGAUUAGUGCUUAAAUUAGUGGUUUGUUGGUGGAAAAUUGAUGGAAACUCAUGAUGGGUGCAAAGGCCAAAUCUGACCGUUUUGCCCCUGCUUUGUUCGGCCACUAUAAUGCAGAAAUUUGAGGAUUUAAUGGCUUGAUUGUGUUGUUUACAUGUUCUAGUAGUUGUAUAAAAGUUUUCAUUGAAAAAUACUGAGUUUUGGUUGGUCAAAUGAAUUUAUUUCCCAAAGCUAGUAAUCUGGAAACUGUUCCCGUCAUGCCCAGACCAGUGUUCGUAUUUCGUCCAUAAUUCCGUCCUCCGACGUCGAAAUCAAGUGCCGUUAGUGGAAUUUGAAACUAGACAAUCUCAUCUUUCCAACAGUAUAAAAUUCACAUUUUGGUUCCAUGUGUGUGAACCGUACCAUUCUUCUGAAUUCAGCUGUUCUGUUUCUCUGUUCUGCUAGAAUGAAAUACAGAAGCUGUGACUUGAAGCUCGAUUUCAAGCUAGUUGUGUGCCGAAAUUCAAAAUGAUUUCUUCUGUGAAAUUAUAGCCCUAUGAAUGUAUUUUCCUAAACUAUCAACCAUGCUCAAUUCUGAGUUAAAUUGAUUGAGUUAUGAUCAAAAUACUGCGACUGCCCUGUUCUUGAAAGACCUUGGAUUUGGACAGAUUUGAUGUAAGACUUGUUGUGGUCUUACUAAAUGAAUUUCUUGGUGCUAAACACCCACCAAAUGUACCAUGUAUGUCCCUUAGACUUUUCUUGCACAAAUGAACCAUGUUUGGAGGUUUUCCUUAACCGAAUGUUUGGAAACGGAGAGAAAUGGAGCUAACGGCAGUUUUGCCCUAGUAAAUUCAAAACUUUGGUUGAUUAGUUAACCACCUUUCCGAAGGUAUUUUUCUAUGAAAUUUGAUAGAGAGAUACCCUUCAUAUAGGAUUACUAUACUGCAAACUUUGGUGCCAAUCCAAGUCCAUUUCGACACUUAACUAAAGGUCCGAAUUCGGAAACCCAAAUCUGGAAAUUGUUCAACAGUCUUUAAUUUUCCCCAAUUUUGAGCUACCAUAUCUUGGUGCUCGAAACUCCGAUCAUUGAUCCACUUUUUCUAUUGUAAACCUUACUUGCAACUCUAAUUGAUUUACAAAUUUCAGAGGCUAGCUCGCAACGUGUGAAUUUUUCCGAAUUUCCAAAGUCAGCGAAAAACCAACCCCUGCUCAAUCCUGAGUGUUCUGGAACACCAACUUUAAGCCCAUUUUUGAAUACCUUCCACUUAGAUUCGUAGAAAAGUGUCCUCUAAGAACUUUUAGUACUUUCUAAGAGGUUUCCAACGGUAUAAAUUUUCCAAUUUUAGACUUGUAUCAAGUGAGAUACGAUUUUUCAAAAAUUCAUAUCAAAACUGAAAAUUUCCAACUUUCAAGGAAAUAGAGAUUUCCAAGAACUCUUUAUUCUUUCGACAUUAUGCAAACAUUUUAACCUUGAUUUCCAAGAUAAAAACCCAAAUGCUCCUGUACUUUAAGAAACUCUAAUUGAACCUCGAUUUACGAAUAAUUGAGGUUUGAUUUCGUGAAAUUUCCUUAGAUUGUACUAGUGUACAAUCUUCCUUGAUAAUUGGGAUAUAUGAAUUAUAAUACAUUAUUAUUUGCUCAGGCGCACACGAGAACCUUCAAGAGAAUCCUACCGUGCACACUUGAACUUCCAGAAAAUAUUUUUUCUUGUUUUGCUCGGUGAGUGUCAAGUGUAUGACUACUUGAACUCUAUGGACUUGAUUCAUGCUUGGCCUACUUGGUUUUGAAAAAUGGAGCCGAGUGUGUACUUUAUCGCACUUGUUCUCAUUUGAAACAAAUGACUCAUGCUUAACAUGGUUUGCCUGAUUUACAUGACCUGAAAUACAUGCUUAAACCUGUCAAAUGCUUGAAUACAUGACAUUGUAUGCUAUGGCUGCAUACGUCGUUGAAGUGAAUCUCCUCGACACUUACAUGACACAUGGGGGACGCCCAAACUCAUAGGCCGACCUUGGAAAUCGAGCCGGCAUGGGUUUGGUCGGGAAUUUCGGUGAGUUAUGAGAUUCACAUGAUACGCUUGAUCUAUUGGAGAGAUCUUGCUUGGCAUACUCGUGGAGUAUCGCCUCAUAAAUGUCGUGCGGGCCCGAAGCGGUGUAUGGUGGACGGUUGAGAAGUGGUGAUCUAUGGUUUGGAAAUAUCAAUCCGGUUGACGGAGAGUCAUCGCGGGAAGAUAUACGAAUGAACUGGCAAAGCAAGUGGAAUUUAGCUCCUGAGAGCUACCAUAUCCUUGAAUUGUUUCUGUUUACAUUUUGUUGGCAUUAUUAAUUACUUGCAAGUUAUCACUUGAACUGUUACUUGGACUUGUUACCUGAACUAUGUGCCUGCAUGUGUGUUCUUGACCUCACGAGCGUUUUGCUCACCCUAUAGAUUUGUUUUCCUUAACAGGUUUGAACUCGGAAGCGUACUGGAGAAACCCUCCUGAUGAGCUUUUGUUUAGGAUUUCUAUUAUAUUUUGGCUAUGCCAUUGAUUUUGGGUUGUAGUUUUGGAGUUGAAAUGUAACUUUUGGGGCGUGAUGUAUAUUUGAGAAUUAUGAUGUACUUUGAAUACCCGACGUGCGGGCUGGAUAAUGGAUGACUACUGUUAAGUUUUAACGCUUUCGCAUUUACUGUAUUUAAGUUAUUUACAUGUGUUGUGAAGAUCGUUAAUAAUUGAAUGGAAAUUGCUUGAUUCCUGGCGAGAACUAAGCAGGCGUCCCGCGGAUACCCUUUGGUUCGCCUUAGGGAGAAGUGGGGGCGUCACAGUUGGUAUCAGAGCAUAGACUUUAGAUCUUGUAGUGUAUCCUAGGCUUAAAGUUUAGGAUGCCUGACUGUGGGAUUAAUUUGAAUAUUAUGUGAAAUAGAGGAUCUAUUGUAUCCUACGGGUUAAAGAAAUUGGUUACUUGAGAGUUUCUUACUUGGGACUUGUAGAAAUAAAAAUUGAGGAAUUAGCUGAUGUUAUAUUGAAGGAAAAUAUGGGAUGAGAGAUUAGUAGUAAAAGAUUGGACGAAUUUGAAUUAUUAUUACGCUUGUAAGUGUGGAAACAAGUGAGGCAGUUAUUAGUGCUGGCUAAAACGGAUAAGAGACCGAGAUUUGAUGGUCAAACUCCAUGUAUCGUGAUUGUGAACCCAGAUGAAAGAGUUUCAAAGGAAUAAAAUGCAUUUUCCUGCUCAUUUACCUCCUAGAGAAUUUAUGCUUUGAAAUUCUAAAGGAAAAAUGAGGAUGUACUAAUUUUAUUUUCAAACGAUGAUUGGAAAUAAUAUAUAUAUGCUUUAAGUAUGUGUAAUUUUUCGAUUUUGGUAAAUAUGUGAAUUUUACUUGAAUUUCAAUUUAAAAAUUUGUGAAUAACUGAUUAGUUUGUUGAAAUUUUGUAUGUGAUGGGCUGAUACAAGGUUAAAAAUUUCUAAACUAGAUUUUCCCCCUUGAUUGUAUACUGGUGUAUUCUCACACUUGAAUUCGUCUAUGCUUUACAAAAAAAAAAAAAAGAAUAAUAAUAAAAAUAUCUUGAAUUUUCGGAAGAACGGCGAACUUAUGUUUUUAUAAUGAAAAUCUUGAACUUGAUAAGAUUUUUAUUACUUUAAAUACUCUUCUUAUGUUUUAAAAUUCUUGGUUUUCAAGAAGGGUGAGCCUAUCUUUAGGUGUACUGAUUGAGGGAAUUUUGAGAUAUAGAGUAAUCGCAUUCAAGAACAUGCAGUUAGUGUGAAUUGAUUUGAUUUCCAUUUGACAUGUAAGUUAGCAAGUUGUAUUUAUUUCUUGGGUUUGAACUUGGAGUUUGAGACUUUAACUAUAAAACCCUAAGACUGGUUAUUCUUGGAGAUGAUGGUGGUCUGCUUGGUGGCUUGCUUAUUAAAGAUUUUGAACUUUGAAUGGAUAACCUUUGGUUUCCGCUUGUGUUAUGGUUUGAUUGGAUCUAAUUUCGUAAACGCAGGUGAUCUGAUUGGAAUUAGUGAUAUUCGGACCCAUUGGUUUAAUUAAGGACUUAGGAAGGGUGGUGCAUGCCGUGAGACCUUUUAUAUCCCGUUUGCAUAUACUUCUACAUUUUGUGACCCUUAAUUGCCUAUAUACAGUAUUUGACAUAUUGGGUUUGUUUUGUGACUUCUUAACUCGUACUUAACCUUCGAUACAUGUAAAGAAUCAUGUCUUGAUUCUAAAUAUUUUUGCAACUUGUAUAUGCAUUAAGUUCUUUUAUGAUUAAUUAUUCCUUUUCUUGCGCUUAUAGACUCCUAUUAAGUAUGGUAGCAGGAAUAGGAAAAAGGAGUCGUGACCGAGGGCUUAGACAACCCUGUACUCGUGUGAAAAAUUGAUGGAUAGUCUUAUAUAAUUUAAUGAGAUCCUAGUACUGAAUAUGAAUCGAGAAUAAAUCAGAAGAUUAGAUUUACCAGUGUAUAAUGGAUUAACCUAAUUGGGAACUUAGUGAGAUUUUCCUGUGUGAAAUUUUAAUAACUGCUUUAUACGUAUAUUAUGAUUGGUCCUGUGGCCAUAUUUCAACUUUUGUGAAAGUUUGAACUUCAAAAGUAUUUCGUGGGUUUGGUGAGAUGACUUGAACUCAUUACCAAUUUGUUCUACUUGAACAAAAGCGCUUUCAAUUUUACUUGACUAAUACUAUACCCAGAUUCACUUGUUUUACUUUUCACAAAAUUUAUAUAUAUAUAUGUAUACACAUUUUGAACUCGUUUGAGACUUGAAAUCAGAUAGUGUUCAAGUUCGAAUCUUUCUUAGGAACAUGAAUGCCUAUUUGUUAUGAAUCAGAGAUUAGAAAUGAUCGGGUUUUAUGUACCAGUAGAGUUAACUCUUGGUUGGAUAAAAGGGUGGUAAAGGUAUUGGAUCACAGGCUAUGCGAAUAUGAACAUGCAUGUUUACCUAUCUUUCUUAAAUGUAUUUUCUAAAAUAUACGCCUUACUCGAACAUAGAUUUAACUCGAAACUUUGAGGAAAAGUGUUGGAACACCCUCCAUGUAUAUGUUAUGAUUAUUAUGUAUAUGUUUUAAAAAUCAUGCAUUAAGUUGCAUGAUUAAUAUUCUUAAAUCUAUUUGAGAGAUUUUAAAUAUGUAUUGAUGAUUGUGGUUAAACAUUAUUAGAAAUCUCUUAUUAAGAAAAUUUAGUUUUGGGUCGUGAAGAAAAAUUUGUAUCUUUAAUUCUAAUUUUGAAAAUUUUGAAUCGCAUUUUGCCACAGAUACAUUCAAAAUACAACAAAAGUAUUGAACUUAUCUUGUAAGUCAUGAUUGGUUUGAUUUAGACAAAAUUUUGAGGAAAGGGAUUUUGGUCCUGCUAGUGCGUAACAGUUUUUUUUUUUUUUUUUUGGUUAGGAUUUGGACUUUUUUUUUUUUUUUUUUGGUUAGGAUUUGGAACUUGUUUCAUAUGGCGUGUAAUUUAUGGUUUCACUACACACAUGAAUAAGACCUUAGAAUGAAAGCACAUAUCAUUAUAUCAAGAGGUAUUAAUUUAGUCGUGUGUGUGGAUUUUCUUAAGUAUCACUCGAGGAGAGGGAAGAGUAAAUAUACCUGGAUGAUUUAGAUGCGUGAGAACUUACAGGUUGUGGAUAGUUGAGUUUCAAAUUCUGAUUUGCUGCUUAUUUAGAUGCUUGAGUUGUUGAUAGGCUAACAGUCAGGUUUAAGAAAAUGAAUGAAUGAAAAGUUUGGAAGAGAUGCGUAUAGAAAUAGAAGUUCUUCACAAGGAGUUGAAAUUUCAAACUAAAUUGGCUGAAUUCUGGGAAGAAAAAAAAAAGGUCGAGAACUUAGGGUUGAAGAUGGGACCCAAUGUUUGAUCGCAAAUUUGAGAUAUUAAAAGUUGUGAGAUUUGGGUGAGUGAAAGGAAAUAUUUGAUGGCUUGAAUGAGCCUAACGAUUAAGGACCGGAUGUUAUAUUUGGAAUGGACGCUUGAGACUAUAUAUACAUAGAUUAUUGAGAUUUAAACGAUGAGACUAUUAAGAACAAAUACUCCAUAGUCUCACAUAAACGAAAAUUAUAAUCAAGGGUCAAGAGCAGCAAAUAAGGGAUUUAAAGUAGAGUUACUACCAACCGGGAAUCCUAAAAACUGAUGUGCUUAACCACUUCCAAUUCAAGAUGGGGAUACUUGAAUUUUCAGUUAUGCCAAUUGGGUUGACUAAUGUAUUAGCAACAAUUAUUGCAUUAAUGUAUCAAGGUUUUAAAUCGUAAUAGGAUUAAUCUGUGAUGACAUUUAUUGAUGAUGUAUUGAUAUAUCCUAAAGUUUGAGAAGAUCAUGAAAAAAAAAUACCUGAUGGUAGUUUUACAAAUCCCGAGAGAACGCUAACUUUUGUUAAGUUCAAUAAAUGUGAGUUCGAUGUGAAGAAAUAGCCUUUCUAAGUUAUAUAACAUCUAAGGAGAAAUUGUUGUUAACUCAGUUUAAGUGGAAGCUGUUUAAGAGGAAAUGACUAGAAAAUCCUACCGAAAUUUGGAGUUCUUAGAGGUAGUCAAAUAUUACCUUGGCUUGAUCAGGGACUUCUAAGGAUACGAGACUUGGCAAGUUAUUUGAUAUUCUAAAUGUGAGGAAGAAUUUGAAGGUGAAAAUCGUUUAACCAGUGCACUUGUGUUGGCUUUACCGAGCGGAUGAGGUGAUUUUGUGAUUUAUACAGAUGGUUCAAAGGAUGGUUUAGAAUGUAUAUUAAUAAUAUAUGAUAAGGUGAUUGUAUAUGCCUUCUGAAAGUUAAAAUUUCCCGGAAGAAAGUAAUCAACUCAUGAUUUAGAUUGAGUUGGAAAACGUAAGUCAAUGAUUGAUCUGAUAGGCUUAACCAUGAAGGGAAUGAUAUUGUUCUAAGUAUGAAUUUCGAGGACGAAAUUCCUUUCAAGGAGGGGAGGAUGUGAGAACCCGAAAAUUUUCUUAUUUUUAUAGAAUAUUACUGGAAUAUUUAAAUGAUUAUUCACCCAUUUUUUUCGAAUUAUUUAUUUCGACCAGUUUAAAUCCAUUUAUAUGGAACGACGCCUCUUUAUAUUUUUAAAGCGUUUUGAUGAAAAAUUCACUUUUCAAAAAUUUAUUUAGUCCGGAACGACGGGUGCACAUUUUUCUAGGUUGUACUUGAAUCGAAAAUGUAUUAAUAUUGGAGAAUUAAGAACGGUCAAUAAUAGAUUAAGAAAGGUUAAUUGAGGAAUUAAUACUCAAUUCAUGUGAGGACUCGUAAAAUUAUUAUUUUUAAACCCCUAAUUUUGGCUCAAUUAAUUAUCUAUUUGGAUUUUUGCCCCGAAUAUUAUUUUCUAUCCUUAUUAGACCUAAAUAUAUGAAAUUAUAGCUUCAUUAUAUUUUCAAAGUGACUUGUUUCAAAAAUUAAUUUUUUGGAAGCUCGUUUAGUGAAAAUAACGAAAACGUGUUUGGAAAUUUUAACCGAUUGAGAGUACAAUAAGUUUGAAAAUUGGAGACUUGUAUAAUAGUUCUAAAAUAGGUAAUUUUAGAUUUAAACACUCAAGUGAUAGUUAUGGGUGUGAUCGUUAUAAGAAUUUUCUUGAAGGUUUCACUUUAUCGCCUAAAUUGGAAAUACGCGUUUUCACGUGUGCGAUUAAUUGAGGGACUGUAGAUCAUUAUUUUGGGUCAAUUAAGGGUGAAUAAUAUUUAUAUAAAUAUAAGUGCAUUAGAGGUUUAGUGCACUAGUGAAACAAAUGCAAGAGGAAUCGAGCACGAAAUGCGUGCGUACACGCGCGCACGAGAGAGUUGACUUUUGAGACAUUCUUAGCCACAUAUUCUUAAGCCUCUCACAUAAGCCUCAUUAUCAGCCAACAACAUUUUUCUUCCUCCUCAAAGCUGCCGUCCAACACCAAGAGCAAGAACCAAACUUGCUUCAUCAAAUUCUACUUCAAAAUCUUGCUCAAAUCACUACCAAAUCCUCUCAAAUUUUAACUCUACUUAGCUUAACGUUUGGAGAGUCCAUUUAGCUACAAAAAAGAGGAGAUUUCCACGGUUUCUUGGAGCUUUAAGGAGGGCCGAAAUUCUGGUCUUAGGCACACCAAGGAGAUAUAUAGUGAUCUAACACUCUAAACUUGGUCUAUAAGAGUUGAAUUACACUUAUGAGCUUGAAUUUUCAUAUGGGUUGUUAUUGUUGUUGGAAAAAUUGGAAGGUGGGCUCUAUGAAAUCCCACCCUUCGUCUUGGUGGCUGAUGUGAUGAUUAAUGAUGGGUUUAAUGUUGGAUUAGUGCUUAAAUUAGUGGUUUGUUGGUGAAAAAUUGAUGGAAACUCAUGAUGGGUGCAAAGGCCAAAUCUGACCAUUUUGCCCCUGCUAUGUUUGGCCACUUUAAUGCAGAAAUUUGAGGAUUUAAUGGCUUGAUUGGGUUGUUUACAUGUUCUAGUAGUUGUAUAAAAAUUUUCAUUGAAAAAUACUGAGUUUUGGUUGGUCAAAUGAAUUUAUUUCCCAAAGCUAGUAAUCUGGAAACUGUUCCCGUCAUGCCCAGACCAGUGUUCGUAUUUCGUCCAUAACUCCGUUUUCCAACGUCAAAAUCAAGUGCCGUCAGCGGAAUUUGAAACUAGGCAUUCCCAUCUUUCCAACAGUAUAAAAUUCAUGUUCUGGUUCCGUGUGUGUGAACCGCACCAUUCUUCUGAAUUGAUCUGUUCUGUUUCUCUGUUCUGCUGGAAUGAAAUACAGAAGCUGUGACUUGAAGCUCGAUUUCAAGCUAGUUGUGUGCCGAAAUUCAAAAUGAUUUCUUCUGUAAAAUUAUAGCCCUCUGAAUGUAUUUUCCAACACUAUCAACCAUGCUCAAUUCUGAGUUCAAUUGAGUGAGUUAUGAUCAAAAUACGGUGACUGCCCUGUUCUUGAAAAACCUUGGAUUUGGACAGAUUUGAUGUAAGACUUGUUGUGGUCUUACUAAAUGAAUUUCUUGGUGAUAAACACCUACCAAAUGUACCAUGUAUGUUCCUUAGACUUUUCUUGAACAAAUGAACCAUGUUUUGAGGUUUUCCUUAGCCGAAUGUUUGGAAACGGAGAGAAAUGGAGAUAAAGGCAGUUUUGCCUUAGUAAAUUCAAAACUUUGGUUGGUUGGUUAACCACUUUUCCGAAGGUAUUUUUCCAUGAAAUUUGAUAGAGAGAUACCCUUCAUAUAGGAUUACUAUACUGCAAACUUUGGUAUCAAUCCAAGUCCAUUUCGACACUUAACUAAAGGUCCGAAGUCGGAAACCCAAAUUUGGAAAUUGUUCAACAGUCUUGAAUUUUCCCCAAUUUUGAGCUACCAUAUCUUGGUGCUCGAAACUCCGAUCCUUGAUCCGCUUUUUCUGUUGUAAACCUUACUUGUAACUCUAAUUGUGUUAUAAAUUUGAGAGGCCAGCUCGCAACAUGUGAAUUUUUCCGAAUUUCCAAAGUUAGCGAAAAACCAACCCCUGCUCAAUCCUGAGUGUUCAGGAACAGAAACUUUAAACCCAUUUUUGAAUACUUUCCACUUAGAUUCAUAGAAAUAUGUCUUCUAAGAACUUUUAGUACUUUCCAAGUGGUUUCCAACGGUAUAAAUAUUUCCAAUUUUAGACUUGUAUCGAGUGAGAUACGAUUUUUCAAAAAUCCAUAUCAAAACUGAAAUUUUCCAACUUUCAAGGAAAUAGAGAUUUCCAAGAACUCUUUAUUCUUUCGACAUUAUGCUAACAUUUUAACCUCGAUUUCCAAGAUAAAAACCCAAAUGCUCCUGUACUUUAAGAAACUCUAAUUGAACCUCGAUUUACGAGUAAUUGAGGUUCGAUUUCGUGAAAUUUCCUUAGAUUGUACUAGUGUACAAUCUUCCUUGAUAAUUGGGAUAUAUGAAUGAUAAUACAUUAUUAUUUGCUCAAGCGCACACGAGAACCUUCAAGAGGAUCCUACUGUGCACACUUGAACUUCCAGAAAAUAUUUCUUCUUGAUUUGCUCGGUGAAUGUCAAGUGUAUGACUACUUGAACUCUAUGGACUUGAUUCAUGCUUGGCUUACCUGAUUACAUGCUUAGCCUACUUGGUUUUAAAAAAUGGAGCCGAGUGUGUACUUUAUCGCACUCGUUCUCAUUUGAAACAAAUGACUCAUGCUUAACAUGGUUUGCCUGAUUUACAUGACCUGAAAUACAUGAUUAAACCUGUCAAAUGCUUGAAUACAUGACAUUGUAUGCUAUGGCUGCAUACGUCGUUGGAGUGAAUCUCCUCGACACUUACAUGAUACAUGGGGGAUGCCCAAACUCAUAGGCCGACCUUGCAACUCGAGCCGGCAUGGAUUUGGUCGUGAACCUCGGUGAGUUAUGAGAUUCACAUGAUAAGCUUGAUCUAUUGGAGAGAUAUUGCUUGGCAUACUCGUGGAGUAUCGCCUCAUAAAUGUCGUGCGGUCCCGAAGCGGUGUAUGGUGGACGGUUGAGAAGUAAGUGGUGAUCUAUGGUUUGGAAAUAUCAACCCGGUUGACGGAGAGUCAUCGCGGGAAGAUAUACGAAUGAACUGGCAAAGCAAGUGGAACUUAGCUCCUGAGAGCUGCCAUAUCCUUGAAUUGUUUCUGUUUACAUUUUGUUGGCAUUGUUAAUUACUUGCAAGUUAUCACUUGAACUGUUACUUGGGCAUGUUACCUGAACUAUGUGCCUGCAUGUGUGUUCUUUGCCUCACGAGCGUUUUGCUCACCCUAUAAAUUUGUUUUUCUUAACCGGUUUGAACUCGGAGGCGUACUGGAGAAACCCUCCUGAUGAGAUUUUGUUUAGGAUUUCUGUUAUAUUUUGGCUUUGCCCUUGAUUUUGGGUUGUAGUUUUGGAGUUGAAAUGUAACUUUUGGGGCGUGAUGUAUAUUUGAGAAUUAUGAUGUACUUUGAAUACCCUACGUGCGGGCUGAAUAAUGGAUGACUAUUGUUAAACUUGAACGCUUUCGUAUUUACUGUAUUUAAGUUAUUUCCGUGUGUUGUGAAGAUCGUUAAUAAGCUUGAAUGGAAAUUGCUUGAGUCCUGGCGAGAACUAGGCAGGCGUCCCGCGGAUACUCUUUGGUUCGCCUUAGGGAGAAGUGGGAGCGUCACAGUUGGUAUCAGAGUAUAGACUUUAGAUCUUGUAGUGUAUUCUAGGUUUAAAGUUUAGGAUGCCUGACUGUGGGAUUAAUUUGAAUAUUAUGUGAAUUAGAGGAUCUAUUGUAUCCUACGGGUUAAAGAAAUUGGUUACUUGAGAGUUUCUUACUUGGGACUUGUAGAAAUAAAAAUUGAGGAAUUAGCUGAUGUUAUAUUGAAGGAAAAUAUGGGAUGAGAGAUUAGUAGUAAAAGAUUGGACGAAUUUGAAUUAUUAUUAUGCUUGUAAGUGUGGAAACAAGUGAGGCAGUUAUUAGUGCUGGCUAAAGCGGAUAAGAGACCGAGAUUUGAUGGUUAAACUCCAUGUAUCGUGAUUGUGAACCCAGAUGAAAGAGUUUCAAAGGAAUAAAAUGCAUUUUCCUGCUCAUUUACCUCCUAGAGAAUUUAUGCUUUGAAAUUCUAAAGGAAAAAUGAGGAUGUACUAGUUUUAUUUUCAAACGAUGAUUGGAAAUAAUAUAUAUAUGCUUUAAGUAUGUGUAAUUUUUCGAUUUUGGUAAAUAUGUGAAUUUUACUUGAAUUUCAAUUUAAAAAUUUGUGAAUAACUGAUGAGUUUGUUGAAAUUUUAUAUGUGAUGGGCUGAUACAAGGUUAAAAUUUUCUAAACUAGAUUUUCCCCCUUGAUUGUAUACUGGUGUAUUCUCACACUUAAAUUCGUCUAUGUUUUACAAAAAAAAAUUAAAUAAUAAAAAUAUCUUGAGUUUUCAGAAGAACGGCAAACUUAUGUUUUUAUAAUGAAAAACUUGAACUUGAUAAGAUUUUUGUUACUUUAAAUACUCUUCUUAUGUUUUAAAAUUCUUGGUUUUCAAGAAGGGUGAGCCUAGCUUUAGGUGUACGGAUUGAGGGAACUUUGAGAUAUAGAGUAAUCGCAUUCAAGAACACGCAGUUAGUGUGAAUUGAUUUGGUUUCCAUUUGACACGUAAGUUAGCAAGUUGUACUUAUUUCUUGGGUUUGAACUUGGAACUUGAGACUUUAACUAUAAAACCCUAAGAUUGGUUAUUCUUGGAGAUGAUGGUGCUCUGCUUAGUGGCUUGCUUAUUAAAGAUUUUGAACUUCGAAUGGAAAACCUUUGGUUUCCGCUUGUGUUAUGGUUUGAUUGGAUCUAAUUUCGUAAACGCAGAUGAUCUGAUUGGAAUUAGUGAUAUUCGGAUCCAUUGGUUUAAUUAAGGACUUAGGAAGGGUGGUGCAUGCCGUGAGACCUUUUAUAUCCCGUUUGCAUAUACUUCUACAUUUUGUGACCCUUAAUUGCCUAUAUACAGUAUUUGACAUAUUGAGCUUGUUUUGUUACUUCUUAACUCGUACUUAACCUUCAAUACAUGUAAAGAAUCAUGUCUUGAUUCUAAAUAUUUUUGCAACUUGUAUAUGCAUUAAGUUCUUUUAUAAUUAAUUAUUCCUUUUCUUGCGCGUAUAGACUCCUAUUAAAUAUGGUAGCAGGAAUAGGAAAUAGGGAUCGUGACCGAGGGCUUGGACAACCCUGUACUCGUGAGAAAAAUUGAUGGAUAGUUUUAUAUAAUUUAAUGAGAUUCUAGUACUGAAUAUGAAUCGAGAAUAAAUUAGAAGAUUAGAUUUACCAGUGUAUAAUGGAUUAACCUAGUUGGGAACUUAGUGAGAUUUUCCUGUGUGAAAUUUUAAUAGCUGCUUUAUACGUAUAUUAUGAUUGGUCCUGUGGCCAUAUUUCAACUUUUGUGAAAGUUUGAACUUCAAAAGUAUUUCGUGGGUUUGGUGAGAUGACUUGAACUCAUUACCAAUUUGUUCUACUUGAACAAAAGCGCUUUCAAUUUUACUUGACUAAUACUAUACCCAGAUUCACUUGUUUUACUUUUCACAAAAUUUAUAUAUAUAUAUAUAUGUAUACACAUUUUGAACUCGUUUGAGACUCGAAAUCAGAUAGAGUUCAAGUUCGAAUCUUUCUUAGCAACAUGAAUGCCUAUUUGUUAUGAAUCAGAGAUUAGAAAUGAUCGAAUUUUAUGUACCAGUAGAGUUAACUCUUGGUUGGAUAAAAGGGUGGUAAAGGUAUUAGAUCACAGGUUAUGCGAAUAUGAACCUACAUGUUUACCUAUCUUUCUUAAAUGUAUUUUCUAAAAUAUACGCCUUUCUCGAACAUAGAUUUAACUCGAAACUUUGAGGAAAAGUGUUGGAACACCCUCCAUGUAUAUGUUAUGAUUAUUAUGUAUAUGUUUUAAAAAUCAUGCAUUAAGUUGCAUGAUUAAUAUUUUUAAAUCUAUUUGAGAGAUUUUAAAUAUGUGUUGAUGAUUGUGGUUAAACAUUAUUUGAAAUCUCUUACUAAGAAAAUUUAGUUUUAGGUCGUGAAGAAAACUAUGUAUCUUUAACUCUAAUUUUGAAAAUUUUGAAUCGCAUUUUGUCACAGAUACAUUCAAAAUACAACAAAAGUCUUGAACUUAUCUUGUAAGUCAUGAUUGGUUUGAUUUAGACAAAAUUUUGAGGAAAGGGAUUUUGGUCCUGCUAAUGCGUAACAGUUUUUUUUUUUGUUAGGAUUUGAAACUUGUUUCAUAUGGCGUGUAAUUUAUGGUUUCACUACACACGUGAAUAAGACCUUAGAAUGGAAGUACAUAUCAUUAUAUCAAGAGGUAUUAAUUUAGUCGUGUAUGUGAAUUUUGUUAAGUAUCAUUCGAGGAGAGGGAAGAGUAAAUAUACCUGGAUGACUUGGAUGCGUGAGAACUUACAGGUUGUGAAUAGUUGAGGUUCAAAUUCUGAUUUGCUGCUUAUUUAGAUGCUUGAGCUGUUGAUAGGCUAACAGUCAGGAUUAAGAAAAUGAAUGAAUGAAAAGUUUGGAAGAGAUGCGUAUAGAAAUUGAAGUUCUUCACAAGGAGUUGGAAUUCCAAACUAAAUUGGCUGAAUUCUGGGAAGAAAAAAAAAAAGGUCGAGAACUUAGGGUUGAAGAUGGGACCCAAUGUUUGAUCGCAAAUUUGAGAUAUUAAAAGUUGUGAGAUUUGGGUGAGUGAAAGGAAAUAUUUGAUGGCUUGAAUGAGCCUAACGAUUAAGGACCGGAUGUUAUAUUUGGAAUGGACGCUUGAGACUAUAUAUACAUAGAUUAUUGAGAUUUAAACGAUGAGACUAUUAAGAACAAAUACUCCAUAGCCUCACAUAAACGAGAAUUAUAAUCAAGGGUCAAGAGCAGCGAAUAAGAUAUUUAAAGUAGAGUUACUACCAACCGGGAAUCCUAGAAACUGAUGUGCUUAACCACUUCCAAUUCAAGAUGGGGAUGCUUGAAUUUUCAGUUAUGCCAAUUGGGUUGACUAAUUUAUUAGCAGCAAUUAUUGCAUUAAUGCAUCAAGAUUUUAAAUCGUAAUAGGAUUAAUCUGUGAUGACAUUUAUUGAUGAUGUAUUGAUAUAUCCUAAAGUUUGAGAAGAUCAUGAAAAAAAAAAUACCUGAUGGUAGUUUUACAAAUCCCGAGAGAACGCUAACUUUUGUUAAGUUCAAUAAAUGUGAGUUCGAUGGGAAGAAAUAGCCUUUCUAAGUUAUAUAACAUCUAAGGAAGAAAUUGUUGUUACCUCAGUUUAAGUGGAAGCUGUUUAAGAGGAAAUGACUAGAAAAUCCUAUCGAAAUUUGGAGUUCUUAGAGGUAGUCAAAUAUUACCUUGGCUUGAUCAGGGACUUCUAAGGAUGCGAGACUUGACAAGUUAUUUGAUAUUCUAAAUGUGAGGAAGAAUUUGAAGGUGAAAAUCGUUUAACCAGUGCACUUGUGUUGGCUUUACCGAGCGGAUGAGGUGAUUUUGUGAUUUAUACAGAUGGUUCAAAGGAUGGUUUAGAAUGUAUAUUAAUAAUAUAUGAUGAGGUGAUUGUAUAUGCCUUCUGAAAGUUAAAAUCUCCCGGAAGAAAGUAAUCAACUCAUGAUUUGGAUUGAGUUGGAAAACGUAAGUCAAUGAUUGAUCUGAUAGGCUUAACCAUGAAGGGAAUGAUAUUGUUCUAAGUAUGAAUUUCGAGAACGAAAUUCCUUUCAAGGAGGGGAGGAUGUGAGAACCCGAAAAUUUUCUUAUUUUUAUAGAAUAUUACUGGAAUAUUUAAAUGAUUAUUCACCCAUUUUUUUCGAAUUAUUUAUUUCGACCAUUUUAAAUCCAUUUAUAUGGAACGACGCCUCUUUAUAUUUUUAAAGCGUUUUAUUGAAAAAUUCACUUUUCAAAAAUUUGUUUAGUCCGGAACGACGGGUGCACAUUUUUCUAGGCUAUACUUGAAUCGGAAAUGUAUUAAUAUUGGAAAAUUAAGAACGGUCAAUAAUAGAUUAAGAAAGGUUAAUUGAGGAAUUAAUACUCAAUUCAUGUGAGAACUAGUAAAAUUAUUAUUUUUAAACCCCUAAUUUUGGCUCAAUUAAUUAUCUAUUUGGAUUUUUGCCCCGAAUAUUAUUUUCUAUCCUUAUUAGACCUAAAUAUAUGAAAUUAUACUUUCAUUAUAUUUUUAAAGUGACUUGUUUCAAAAAUUAAUUUUUUGGAAGCUCGUUUAGUGAAAAUAACAAAAAUGUGUUUGGAAAUUUUAACCGAUUGAGAGUACAAUAAGUUUGGAAAUUGGAGACUUGUAUAAUAGUUCUAAAAUAGGUAAUUUUAGAUUUAAACACUCAAGUGAUAGUUAUGGGUGCGAUCGUUAUAAGAAUUUCUUGAAGGUUUCACUUUAUCGCCUAAAUUGGAAAUACGCGUUUUCACGUGCGUUAUUAAUUGAGGGAUUUUAGACCAUUAUUUUGGGUCAAUUAAUGGUGAAUAAUAUUUAUAUAAAUAUAAGUGCAUUAGAAGCUUAGUGCACUAGUGAAACAAAUGCAAGAGAAAUCGAGCACGAAACGCGCGUACACGCGCGCACGAGAGAGUUGACUUUUGAGGCAUUCUUAGCCACAUAUUCUUAAGCCUCUCACAUAAGCCUCAUUAUCAGCCAACAACAUUCUUCUUCCUCCUCAAAGCUGCCGUCCAACACCAAGAGCAAGAACCAAACUUGCUUCAUCAAAUUCUAUUUCAAAAUCUUGCUCAAAUCACUAUCAAAUCCUCUCAAAUUUUAACUGUACUUAGCUUAACGUUUGGAGAGUCCAUUUAGCUACAAAAAAGAGGAGCUUUCCACGGUUUCUUGGAGCUUCAAGGAGGGCCGAAAUUCUGGUCUUAGGCACACCAAGGAGGUAUAUAGUGAUCUAACACUCUAAACUUGGUCUAUAAGAGCUGAAUUACACUUAUGAGCUUGAAUUUUCAUAUGGGUUGUUGUUGUUGUUGGAAAAAUUGGAAGGUGGGCUCUAUGAACUCCCACCCUUCAUCUUGAUGGCUGAUGUGAUGAUUAAUGAUGGGUUUAAUGUUGGAUUAGUGCUUAAAUUAGUGGUUUGUUGGUGGAAAAUUGAUGGAAACUCAUGAUGGGUGCAAAGGCCAAAUCUGACCAUUUUACCCCUGCUUUGUUUGGCCACUUUAAUGCAGAAAUUUGAGGAUUUAAUGGCUUGAUUGGGUUGUUUACAUGUUCUAGUAGUUGUAUAAAAAUUUUCAUUGAAAAAUAUUGAGUUUUGGUUGGUCAAAUGAAUUUAUUUCCCAAAGCUAGUAAUCUGGAAACUGUUCCCAUCAUGCCCAGACCAGUGUUCGUAUUUCGUCCAUAACUCCGUCCUCCGACAUCGAAAUCAAGUUCCAUCAGCGGAAUUUGAAACCAGGCAUUCCCAUCUUUCCAACAGUAUAAAAUUCACGUUCUGGUUCCAUGUGUGUGAACCGCACCAUUCUUCUGAAUUCAACUGUUCUGUUUCUCUGUUCUGCUGGAAUGAAAUACAGAAACUGUGACUUGAAGCUCGAUUUCAAGCUAGUUGUGUGCCGAAAUUCAAAAUGAUUUCUUCUGUAAAAUUAUAUCCCUAUGAAUUUUGUUUCCAACACUAUCAACCAUGCUCAAUUCCGAGUUAAAUUGGGUGAGUUAUGAUCAAAAUACGGUGACUGCCCUGUUCUUGAAAAACCUUGGAUUUGGACAGAUUUGAUGUAAGACUUGUUGUGGUCUUACUAAAUGAAUUUCUUGGUGCUAAACACCUACCAAAUGUACCAUGUAUGUUCCUUAGACUUUUCUUGCCCAAAUGAACCAUGUUUUGAGGUUUUCCUUAGCCAAAUGUUUGGAAACGGAGAGAAAUGGAGCUAAAGGCAGUUUUGCCUUAGUAAAUUCAAAACUUUGGUUGAUUGGUUAACCACCUUUCCGAAGGUAUUUUUCCACGAAAUUUGAUAGAGAGAUACCCUUCAUAUAGGAGUACUAUACUGCAAACUUUGGUUCCAAUCCAAAUCCGUUUCGACACUUAACUAAAGGUCCGAAGUCGGAAACCCAAAUCUGGAAAUUGUUCAACAGUCUUGAAUUUUCCCCAAUUUUGAGCUACCAUAUCUUGGUGCUCGAAACUCUGAUCCUUGAUCCGCUUUUUCUGUUGUAAAUCUUACUUGCAACUCUAAUUGAGUUAUAAAUUUCAGAGGCUAGUUCGCAACGUGUGAAUUUUUCCGAAUUUCCAAAGUUAGCAAAAAACCAACACCUGCUCAAUCCUGAGUGUUCUGGAACAGCAACUUUAAACCCAUUUUUGAAUACCUUGCACUUAGAUUCAUAGAAAUAUGUUUUCCAAGAACUUUUAGUACUUUCCAAGAGGUUUCCAACGGUAUAAAUAUUUCCAAUUUUAGACUUGUAUCGAGUGAGAUACGAUUUUUCAAAGAUCCAUAUCAAAACUAAAAUUUUCCAACUUUCAAGGAAAUAGAGAUUUCCAAGAACUCUUUAUUCUUUCGACAUUUUGCUAACAUUUUAACCUCGAUUUCCAAGAUAAAAAUCCAAAUGCUCCUGUACUUUAAAAAACUCUAAUUAAAUCUCGAUUUACGAGUAAUUGAGGUUCGAUUUCGUGAAAUUUCCUUAGAUUGUACUAGUGUACAAUCUUCCUUGAUAAUUGGGAUAUAUGAAUGAUAAUGCAUUAUUAUUUGCUCAGACGCACACGAGAACUUUCAAAAGGAUCCUACCAUGCACACUUGAACUUCCAGAAAAUAUUUAUUCUUGAUUUGCUCGGUGAGUGUCAAGUGUAUGACUACUUGAACUCUAUGGACUUGAUUCAUGCUUGGCUUACCUGAUUACAUGCUUAGCCUACUUGGUUUUGAAAAAUGGAGCCAGGUGUGUACUUUAUCGCACUCGUUCUCAUUUGAAACAAAUGACUCAUGCUUAACAUGGUUUGCCUGAUUUACAUGACCUGAAAUACAUGCUUAAACCUGUCAAAUGCUUGAACACAUGACAUGGUAUGCUAUGGCUGCAUACGUCGUUAGAGUGAAUCUCCACGACACUUACAUGACAUAUGGGGGACGCCCAAACUCAUAGGCCGACCUUGAAAUUCGAGCCGCCAUGGGUUUGGUCGGGAACCUCGGUGAGUUAUGAGAUUCACAUGAUAAGCUUGAUCUAUUGGAGAGAUCUUGCUUGGCAUACUCGUGGAGUAUCGCCUCAUAAAGGUCGUGCGGGUCCGAAGCGGUGUAUGGUGGACGAAUGAGAAGUAAGUGGUGAUCUACGGUUUGGAAAUAUCAACCCGGUUGACGGAGAGUCAUCGUGGGAAGAUAUACGAAUGUACUGGCAAAGCAAGUGGAACUUAGCUCCUGAGAGCUACCAUAUCCUUGAAUUGUUUCUGUUUACAUUUUGUUGACAUUGUUAAUUACUUGCAAGUUAUCACUUGAACUGUUACUUGGGUUUGUUACCUGAACUAUGUGCCUGCAUGUGUGUUCUUGGCCUCACGAGCGUUUUGCUCACCCUAUAGAUUUGUUUUCCUUAACAGAUUUGAAAUCGGGGGCGUACUGGAGAAACCCUCCUGAUGAGCUUUUGUUUAGGAUUUCUAUUAUAUUUUGGCUAUGCCCUUGAUUUUGGAUUGUACUUUUGGAGUUGAAAUGUAACUUUUGGGGCGUGAUGUAUAUUUGAGAAUUAUGAUGUAUUUUGAACACCCGACGUGCGGGCUGAAUAAUGGAUGACUAUUGUUAAGUUUGAACGUUUUCGCAUUUACUGUAUUUAAGUUAUUUACGUGUGUUGUGAAGAUCGUUAAUAAGUUUGAAUGGAAAUUGCUUGAAUCCUGGCGAGAGUUAGGCAGGCGUCCCGCGGAUACCCUUUGGUUCGCCUUAGGGAAAAGUGGGGGCCUCACAGUUGGUAUCAGAGCAUAGGCUUUAGAUCUUGUAGUGUAUCCUAAGCUUAAAGUUUAGGAUGCCUGACUGUGGGAUUAAUUUGAACAUUAUGUGAACUAGAUGAUCUAUUGUAUCCUACGGGUUAAAGAAAUUGGUUACUAGAAAGUUUCUUACUUGGGACUUGUAGAAAUAAAAAUUGAGAAAUUAGCUGAUGUUAUAUUGAAGGAAAAUAUGGGAUGAGAGAUUAGUAGUGAAAGAUUGGACGAAUUUGAAUUAUUAUUACACUUGUAAGUGUGGAAAGAAGUGAAGCAAUUAUUAGUGCUGGCUAAAGCGGAUAAGAGACCAAGAUUUGAUGGUCAAACUCCAUGUAUCGUGAUUGUGAACCCAAAUGAAAGAGUUUCAAAGGAAUAAAAUGUAUUUUCCUGCUCAUUUAUCUCCUAGAGAAUUUAUGCUUUGAAAUUCUAAAGGAAAAAUGAGGAUGUACUAGUUUUAUUUUCAAACGAUGAUUGGAAAUAAUAUAUAUAUGCUUUAAGUAUGUGUAAUUCUUCGAUUUUGGUAAAUAUGUGAAUUUUACUUGAAUUUUAAUUUAAAAAUUUGUGAAUAACUGAUGAGUUUGGUGAAAUUUUGUAUGUAAUGGGCUGAUACAAGGUUAAAAUUUUCUAAACUAGAUUUUCCCCCUUGAUUGUAUACUGGUGUAUUCUCAUACUUGAAUUCGUCUAUGCUUUACCAAAAAAAAUAAAUAAUAAUAAUAAUAAAAAUAUCUUGAGUUUUCGGAAGAACGGCGAACUUAUGUUUUUAUAAUAAAAAUCUUGAACUUGAUAAUAUUUUUGUUACUUUAAAUACUUUUCUUAUGUUUUAAAAUUCUUGGUUUUCAAGAAGGGUGAGCCUAUCUUUAGGUAUACGGAUUGAGGGAACUUUGAGAUAUAGAGUAAUCGCAUUCAAGAACACGCAGUUAGUGUGAAUUGAUUUGGUUUCCAUUUGACACGUAAGUUAGCAAGUUGUACUUAUUUCUUGGGUUUGGACUUGGAGCUUGAGACUUUAACUAUAAAACCCUAAGACUGGUUAUUCUUGGAGAUGAUGGUGCUCUGCUUGGUGGUUUGCUUAUUAAAGAUUUUGAAUUUCGAAUGGAUAACCUUUGGUUUCCGCUUGUGUUAUGGUUUGAUUGGAUCUAAUUUCGUAAACGCAGGUGAUCUGAUUGGAAUUAGUGAUAUUCGGACCCAUUGGUUUAAUUAAGGACUUAGGAAGGGUGGUACAUGCCGUGAGACCUUUUGUAUCCCGCUUGCAUAUACUUCUACAUUUUGUGACCCUUAAUUGCCUAUAUACAGUAUUUGACAUAUUGGGCUUGUUUUGUGACUUCUUAACUCGUACUAUAACCUUCGAUACAUGUAAAGAAUCAUGUCUUGAUUCUAAAUAUUUUUGCAACUUGUAUAUGCAUUAAGUUUUUUUAUGAUUAAUUAUUCCUUUUCUUGCGCUUAUAGACUUCUAUUAAAUAUGGUAGCAGGAAUAGGAAAAAGGGGUCGUGACCGAAGGCUUAGACAACCCUGUACUCGUGAGAAAAAUUGAUGGAUAGUUUUAUAUAAUUUAAUGAGAUCCUAGUACUGAAUAUGAAUCGAGAAUAAAUCAGAAGAUUAGAUUUACCAGUGUAUAAUGGAUUAACCUAGUUGGGAACUUAGUGAGAUUUUCCUGUGUGAAAUUUUAAUAGCUGCUUUAUACGUAUAUUAUGAUUGGUCCUAUGGCCAUAUUUCAACUUUUGUGAAAGUUUGAACUUCAAAAGUAUUUCGUGAGUUUGGUGUGAUGACUUGAACUCAUUACCAAUUUGUUUUAUUUGAACAAAAGUGCUUUCAAUUUUACUUGACUAAUACUAUACCCAAAUUCACUUGUUUUACUUUUCACAAAAUUUAUGUAUAUAUAUAUAUAUAUAUAUGUAUACACAUUUUGAAUUCGUUUGAGACUCGAAAUCAGAUAGAGUUCAAGUUCGAAUCUUUCUUAGGAACAUGAAUGCCUAUUUGUUAUGAAUCAGAGAUUAGAAAUGAUCGAGUUUUAUGUACUAGUAGAGUUAACUCUUGAUUGAAUAAAAGGGUGGUAAACGUAUUGGAUCACAGGUUAUGCGAAUAUGAACCUACAUGUUUACCUAUCUUUCUUAAAGGUAUUUUCUAAAAUAUACGCCUUACUCGAACAUAAAUUUAACUCGAAACUUUGAGGAAAAGUGUUGGAACACCCUCCAUGUAUAUGUUAUGAUUAUACCUGGAUAACUUAGAUGCGUGAGAAUUUACAGGUUGUGGAUAGUUGAGUUUCAAAUUCUGAUUUGCUGCUUAUUUAGAUGCUUGAGCUGUUGAUAGGCUAACAGUCAGGAUUAAGAAAAUGGAUGAAUGAAAAGUUUGGAAGAGAUGCGUAUAGAAAUAGAAGUUCUUCACAAGGAGUAGGAAUUCCAAACUAAAUUGGCUGAAUUUUGGGAAGAAAAAAAAAAGAUCGAGAACUUAGGGUUGAAAAUGGGACCCAAUGUUUGAUCGCCAAUUUGAGAUAUUAAAAGUUGUGAGAUUUGAGUGAAUGAAAGGAAAUAUUUGAUGGCUUGAAUGAGCCUAACGAUUAAGGACCGGAUGUUAUAUUUGGAAUGUGUGGCGACCCCACUUUCCCCUAAGGCGAACCAAAGGGUUGGCGGGCCGUCUGCCCAGCUCUCGCCAGGACUCAUGCAAGCAUUCUAACCUAAAACCUUGGAGUAAUAAACUACUCUGUUACAAAACAAAUUUUCCCGAAUAAGAUCAUCCUUACAUCCAACUUAACUUCAGAGAUAGCAGAGAUAAAUUAGCCAGUCGAGGCUCUUAAACAUCCCACGUGCUACGUACCAAAAUAUAAAGUCGUACCAAUCCGGGUAGAUAAAUACAUAAAUCUCUAUUACAAAUUUACAGGCCAAGUAAUCGAAUUAGGGUUUACCCAUUUUCCCGUUUCAAGUGGCAACCCAAAAGAAAAGUGCAUUAUCUCAAUAACACAUUACAGCCCACAGAAUAAGUUAUAGCAUUCAAAUACAAUCCAAAAGGAAAACUUAAGUAAGCAUCCAGCUUUCAGUUUCCAGAACCUGUUAAGGAAAACAAUAAACGUGGGGUGAGCUAAAGCUCAGUGGUGCCCCAAAAACAUGCAAUCAAUUAAAACAAUUAACACGUAUUGAUUCGAUUGAAGUAAACAAAUAGGAAGGCGAUAAUACCCAAGUGUACCUUAGACUGGUCGAGGGAUUCACCCAACGACGUUACGUCCUGAACUUACAUUAUUAUUAUAGACUCGUCGAGGGAUUCACCCAACGACUUUACGUCUAGCACUUGAUUGAUUAUUAUUGACUCGUCGAGGGAUUCACCCAACGACUUUACGUCUAGCACUUGAUUUAUUAUUAUUGACUCGUCGAGGGAUUCACCCAACGACUUUACGUCUAGCACUUGAUUGAUUAUUAUUGACUCGUCGAGGGAUUCACCCAACGACUUUACGUCUAGCACUUGAUUUAUUAUUAUUGACUCGUCGAGGGAUUCACCCAACGACUUUACGUCUAGCACUUGAUUGAUUAUUAUUGACUCGUCGAGGGAUUCACCCAACGACUUUACGUCUAGCACUUGAUUCACAAACGACUUUACGUCUAGCACUUGAUUCACAAAAAAAAUGUUUUACGCAAGUCACCACUCGAAAGGCUAGUGUGAUAAAGUACACAUUGCUUACUUCGAUGGGUCAAAACCACUUCAUAGUUAUAAUAUAGCAAGUUAAUAAAGCGCUUAACCACAUAACAUAAAACAAGCAGGGACACUCACCAAGAGUGAAGUUCAGAUGUCAAGUUGGGAAUCGAAUUCCGCUUCCUCGCAAUAUCCUAGAAUAUCAAAUAUUGAAAUUAUAAGCUUUUAUUCAGUCUUUAGACUCGAACACAUUGAGGUUUAUCUAAUAUAUUGCUAGUUUACUUUCCCAUAGUAAUUUCAAAAAUCUACUUAGAUUGAAACUUGACACAAAUAGUAGAAAUGUUUCUUAUAAUUUUCCUUGAGGUACUUUUCCUUGUAAAAAGGGUAACUAGUAUAAAUUUUCUGGAAAUAAGUCGACAAACCUCUUAAUAUCAAUGUUAGAAAGUUACUUUGAACAUUUCUUUAAAGCUAUGGUUCCUGCAAAAAUUAUUACUAAAACUAUUUUACCCUAAAAUAAGGUUUCUUGCCGAGCAAGUUUCCCAUGCUUUUCCCCAGAAUUAUUACAACUCGUAUUUUGGAACUUUUCCUAUAGUUAACUAUAGCUUAAGGAAAGAAAAUGAAUUAAAAUAAGACUUAGAAUUUUCAAAAGCUAUAUAACUUAUUUACUAAUCGAGGCUAGUUUGAGCUAAAGGAAAUUAUCGAGUUGGAAAGUUUUAUAAUAUAAUACUAGCUGGAAAAAUAUUUCUGAUUAAUUUGAUCACAGCUACUCAAGUUCGCAAGGUCGAUACAACUUCCACAGCUCCGAUUCCGUUUCGAAAUUAUAAUAUGGAUCAAAAUAUGACAAAAAUCACAUAGCAAAUUACUAGGGCUUCGUCAAUCAUUAGCCCUAGAUUUCAACAAGUGCAUUUCUGAAUAAAAUAAAAUGAUCAACCAAGGCUUCAUCAAUCAUUAGCACUUGGUUUCAGCAAGCCCAUCAUAAGCAACUAAAAAUAAAAUAAAAGUAAAGCCUCCAAGACAUUCCAGCAAUUAACUUUCGUCACCCUGUAGUACUUAGAAAAUCAUUCAAAUGGCCAAGAGCUUCAUCAAUCAUUAGCUCUUGAUAGCAACCAAUCACUUUCAAACCAAAAUUUCAACUAGAAACAAGGAGUAAAGUCACGGCUAAUUUAACGCUUAAAUAACUCGAGAAAUUCAGAUUACCACCAUAGCAUUUUACUAGGCUCAAUGCCAUUCACAUACCAGAAAAUUUUAGCAUGUAAGCUUCACUUGAAAUUCAGAAAUUCAAAUCACAGAUAGGCCCAACAUUCGAUUCAAGUCAAAAUUCAUUUUCCUGAAGAAACAGGACAUUAAGUCAAGACAGCCUACUUUGAGGAGUCACGUACAGCCGUACACAUGGAGGAAAAAUAUAAAAUUUCUACAGAACCAAGGCCCAUGUUUCUAGUUUCAAAUGCCACUGACGGCACCUUAAACGGAUUUUUCUACACCAAGAUAUAAGCAUUUUACUGAAAUUGGUCAGGGACAUCCAAAAAUCUGAAAUGUCAUUUUUCACAUGUGAAAAACUCCUUUUUCUCUUUUUGCACCAAAAUGUUUUUAUUCAAACCAUCCAUACAUUUCUUAUAUAAUUCCAAAACAACAUAUUCCAGGCAUUUCCAUCCCUCAUGAUUUGAAGGAAAUUUUCGAAACUAAGUUGAGCUUCCAACUCAACCUUCGGCCAUCACAAAGGAAAUUCCAGCAUUUGUAUACUAACCUCUUUAAUUCAAUCCUUCAAUAUAUUAAAUAUUUCCUCGCCAAACCACUUAAAUUUUGCAUCUCUUAUGUAGCUCAAGACCAUCAUAGUCCAAGGAAACAAUAAAAUAAAUGUUCAGAAACCAUUUAAACUUUCUAAAGGCAAACUGAAAUUUCUGGUUCAACCUUGCUUGCGGCUUCAAAGAUUUCCAGCAAACAAUUCAACUUUAGUUCAAAUUUCCUUGGUUUAAACAUGGUGUUAGUUACUCAAUUCAACAUUUUAAACACCUAGUUAGUUACUAAAAUUUUCCACUUUCAAAAUUGAGUUCAAACUAUCAUUAUUAACAUCAAAAUUUCCAGAAAUUUUCCUGCUUGGGCUCGGGUGAUCAUGCCUUGAAGCAGAAUGUACUCUUAACCUUUAUUUCUCUGAUUUAAAACUUACUAAUCAACUACAUGCAGGGCCUAAUUAACUUGUUAUUAGUCAUCUAAUCAUGGUUAUAAGUUUAAACAACAACACUAAACCAAAUCAGGUUGCAAAGCUUUAAGCUAAGCUCUCGGCCAAACCAGAAAUUCUUCCAGCAUUUGUUUAGUCACAAACCAUUUUUUUUCUAUGGUUAAUUCCUGUAUUUUGCACUUAAUUUCACAUGCACAACUGCUGAAUUUAACUAGCUAUCAUAUCCAGACCAGAAAUCAGUUUGAUAGCAACCAAAUUGAACCAAGUUAAGCUGUAAUAAUUAAGCUAGGCUCUCGGCAGAAUUUUCUUACCCCAAACUAACCCAGAAAUUUAUCUCUGCUUUAACACUUCAUUCGAAUGCCCAAUUCAUCAUACAUGGUCUUAAUCUUCCAAUUCUUACUCAGCUAAAGACAUUUGGGUGUUCAGAUUAUCACACAAAACAAAAUUGGAGCUGCAAUAACACCUCAAGUCUCGGUAGCAACAAUUUCUCAAAACAGAAAUUUUCCUAAGGUUUUGAUUUCAGCAUCCGAUUGUAUAAUCUAAACAUGUAAUCUCUGAUAUAGCUUGAUCAACUAAUAAUCAACCUAUUUUAGACCAGAAAUUACCUCAGCUAGCAACCAAUCUUUCACACGAAAUUCCAGAAAUUUCCUUCCUAGCUCUCGGCCAAGUGCAGAUGGUGAUUCUGGUUUGGAGUUGCGGCUGAAAAGGGUUGUGGAUGAAGGUAGAAUUGGUGAAGCUUCCGGCAGAUUCCCUUCCCUGGCUUUGCUCCAACUCACGGCUGAAUCCAAGAAGUUUCCGGCAGCUCUCUCCCUCUCUCGGUGCUCUCGGUCAAGGCAGGGAAGAAAUGAGGUUUUGUUGUGAAUCAAGAAUGAAAGAGUAGAGUGGUAUUUGGAGUGAAGUUGAUUUCGACUUUGGUUUGUGCAGAGAAAGAGUCGGCUGAAAUGGUUGUGAGAUGUAGUGUGAAUUUGAUCAAGUGGUUUUGUGGUGCCGCGGUUUACGAAAGGUUGCGUAUCGAAUUGGUUAAAAUGCAAUUGGUCGAAGUUGCGGUGAUGGGAAUUUGUCAUAAGGGUCGUUUGGUUUCGCAUGGAAUUGUAAGGUCUUUUGGUCUUUUCACUUGGUUUCCUAAUCUCAACUUAAUUUCUCAAAUUUAUCCUCAAGGGUGAUUUGAACGCCUAAUAACCCCUCCCAAUAUACUUAACCAUUUUUAUCGAAUAAAUAUCGAUUAAACUUAAAUAUUAAGGUUCCUAACAUUAUAUAGCGAUUAACUUAAUUAUCCGCAUCUCCAAUUGUUUAUUCUCAAGAAUUAAAGUUAUCCUACACAAAAUUUAUCGAAUUUUCAUGCCUUAAGUAUGUUUAGUAUAGGAAUAUCAUAUUUAUCUAAAAUUCAUUGAUUUUUAUCUUAACGCGGAAAUUCCUAUAAACAUUUAAAUUAUUAACGAUUAAAACUAGCUAUCGGAAAUCAAAGAAUUUAUUUUAAAGUAAUAGAAUUAAUCCAACUCAAGAAAUAUUAAUUUAGUAUAGCAAAACCGAAUAAUUCAAUAUUGGCACAAUUAUAUUAUUUAUUACAUAGAAAUUAUCUUUACCCUUUUAUUUCAAAACAAUUAAUUACAAUACUAGAAUUCAAAAAAAUUAAUUAUUAGAUCAAUGAAAUAGUUUACCAUUGAAAUAUGAAGUUAAUGUAACAAAACUAAGAAGUUUAGUAGUUUAGCACAAUUCUUUUAUUUUGCACAUAACGUUUAUUUCUACGUACUUACUUAAAAACAAUUGGACUUAGUGCUAAAAUUUAUUAAAGAAUUAAAAUGCAAAUAAAAUAUGCACUGAUAUUUAUAUGUCUAUUUUCAGGGUUCUCACAUCCUCCCCUCCUUAAAAUGAAUUUUGUCCUCAAAAUUCUUACUUUCUUGAGAAACAAAUCGGAAUACUUUUUCUGCAUUUCUUCUUCUAACUCCCAAGUUGCUUCUUCGGAAAUCCAAAGUUCCAAUACUUUUGUUCUGCAAUCAAGCUUAGCAUGGUGAUGAGCUAGAAAAUUCUUUCAUAUAAUAACAUCAUAACCUCGUAUGUCCAAUUUGAUUAGAUCCACUAGUAUUUUAUGCCCUUCAAUCCAGAAUUCACAGUUAUUAUAAGUUAAGCUACUGAUUAAAAUCUUAUUACCCAUUGAUAUUUUAACUUCAAGGUCAAGGGUAAUCUAACAGGUUUGACGUUAACUCCGGAUGGAAAAGUUUGGUUCACAAAUGAAUGAGUUGCGCUAUGAUCAAUUAACACUCUAGCUAAUUGAUGAGAAAUGGGAAGAGUACCUUCCACGGCUUCCGAAGAAUCAGGUACAGGUUGGUCAUUUAUAGCGUAAACCCUGGUAGGAACUUUCGGCCUAUUCUCUCUAAUGUUGGCUGGUUCAUCAUUCAGGGUAUUAUCCUCUUGUAUUUUCGGGCAACCGGCAAUUUGGUGCUCGCUGCUUCCACACUUCAAGCACUUUCCUGCUUUCCUCCAGCAACCGGCCUCGGUAUGUCCAGGUUUCUUGCAAUACCCACAAGUUCCCAGGAAAGUUAUCGCACGACUUCCUUGUGGAGCGUUCCUAGGUUGACCUCUUCCAUUUGGUCCCCCGUUAGUUCCAUUAUUUCUUCCUCCGGCACCUCUGGCACCAGUUCCUCGACCCACUUUGGCCAGUGGAGCAUUUGUAUAAGUCGGCUCCCGACUGCUGCUAGGUGCAAAUCUUUUCUUGGCCUGGUAAGUUUUUACUUGAGUUCUAGCAACUUCAACCCUUUGAGCUCUUUCUACAGCAUCAGCAAAUGUGUCUAUCCGAACAGCAGCUAAUCCCUCCUGAAUUUCCACGUUUAGUCCCUGCACAAACCUCCGGACACGCCUUUGUUCCGUGGCUAUCAGUUCAGGAGCAAAUCGGGACAAUUUUGUGAACUGGACUUCAUAUUCGGCGACACUCAUCGCCCCUUGUUUACAUUUUAUGAAGUCGUCCUCUCUCUUUUCUUGAAUGAGAGGUGGAAGAAAUUUGGCGUUGAACUCCCUUGUGAAGUUCGCCCAGGUCCUGGGAAUAUGAUUCCUGUCCCAAUUGACCCUAAUUAGGUUCCACCAGGAACGAGCAGCUCCUUCAAACUGGAAUGCUGCAAAAGUCACUUGCCUCUCUUCCGUAUAAUUUAGAGCGGCAAAAAUAUCAGAGAUCCUUUCCCACCAACCUUCGGCUACCUCAGGUUCUGGGCCUCCGUAGAACUUAGGAGGUCCAAACUUCAGGAAUCUCUCUAAUGCCCGAUCCUCGUAAUCGAUUGGGCCUCCUUGCUGAUGCACCGCUCCAUGGGCUUGAUGCUCAGUCAUGCGCUCUAACACAUCAGUUAUUCUAUUGAUUGCGGUGGCCACUGGAUCUCCGGCCACGUUUCCCUGACCAUGGCCUGGGUUGGCCUCAGGUUCCCUAUCACUACCACCCUCGGGGUGUUGCCUAGUUGGUCUCCCACGUCCUCUAUUUCUAACUUGUAGAUCCAUAGCCUAGUUAUGCCUAUUGAUAAAAAUAAAGUGAUCAAGCGAAGAUGUUGCUAUUUAUUUACUUGUUAUUAUUAAGUGAAGUCAACAUGAAUACCAAGAGAAAGAAAAUUUAAAACACUUAAAGCAUAUAUUCACAUACCAAAGUUCAUACAACUUUAAAAGCCAAACAAUUCACGGUACAUUUAAUAUUUUCACACAUAACUCAUAUUUCGAUCUUUAUAAACAUGAAGGAAAGCAAGUCAAUAAUACACCGAUUAUUAUAACCACAUAACUAAUAGCUCAACCCUUAGUUUAGAUUCAACUUAACCUUCAUUAGUUUAGUCUUUGACAAUCCCACUAGGCCCCACUCAUUCUUCCGAUUUCGCUUCCAUAAAUUCCUCUUAAAUACGUAAUUGGCACUAAUCUUCAAGAUCACACCAUUGGCUCUUUACCUUUAACUUUCAAAAGUUAGACUUGAUUCCUUCAAUCCUACUUUUCCAAACUUAGUCAUGAUUUCUAGUCACAUCAUAAUGCGAUAUACUGAAUUCUUUUCAAUUGCAAAUACACCAUUUAAUGAAAUAUCUGGUAUUCGGGUACAAGAAUCUGACUAUAGGAUAAUUCACACCUCAGGCUGGCCAGUCCCAAGAGUAACUUACCUAUAUUUGAGAUUCCUACCCAACAUACAUGUCUAAUAUCCCAACUAUAAACUUUUGUUCCACACUUAACGAGUCAAUCCCCACAGUCCGAGAGUCCUCUCCCGGCACGAGCUCGAUAAGAGCUCUGAUACCACCUGUGGCGACCCCACUUUCCCCUAAGGCGAACCAAAGGGUUGGCGGGCCGUCUGCCCAUCUCUCGCCAGGACUCAUGCAAGCAUUCUAACCUAAAACCUUGGAGUAAUAAACUACUCUGUUACAAAACAAAUUUUCCCGAAUAAGAUCAUCCUUACAUCCAACUUAACUUCAGAGAUAGCAGAGAUAAAUUAGCCAGUCGAGGCUCUUAAACAUCCCACGUGCUACGUACCAAAAUAUAAAGUCGUACCAAUCCGGGUAGAUAAAUACAUAAAUCUCUAUUACAAAUUUACAGGCCAAGUAAUCGAAUUAGGGUUUACCCAUUUUCCCGUUUCAAGUGGCAACCCAAAAGAAAAGUGCAUUAUCUCAAUAACACAUUACAGCCCACAGAAUAAGUUAUAGCAUUCAAAUACAAUCCAAAAGGAAAACUUAAGUAAGCAUCCAGCUUUCAGUUUCCAGAACCUGUUAAGGAAAACAAUAAACGUGGGGUGAGCUAAAGCUCAGUGGUGCCCCAAAAACAUGCAAUCAAUUAAAACAAUUAACACGUAUUGAUUCGAUUGAAGUAAACAAAUAGGAAGGCGAUAAUACCCAAGUGUACCUUAGACUGGUCGAGGGAUUCACCCAACGACGUUACGUCCUGAACUUACAUUAUUAUUAUAGACUCGUCGAGGGAUUCACCCAACGACUUUACGUCUAGCACUUGAUUGAUUAUUAUUGACUCGUCGAGGGAUUCACCCAACGACUUUACGUCUAGCACUUGAUUUAUUAUUAUUGACUCGUCGAGGGAUUCACCCAACGACUUUACGUCUAGCACUUGAUUGAUUAUUAUUGACUCGUCGAGGGAUUCACCCAACGACUUUACGUCUAGCACUUGAUUUAUUAUUAUUGACUCGUCGAGGGAUUCACCCAACGACUUUACGUCUAGCACUUGAUUCACAAAAAAAAUGUUUUACGCAAGUCACCACUCGAAAGGCUAGUGUGAUAAAGUACACAUUGCUUACUUCGAUGGGUCAAAACCACUUCAUAGUUAUAAUAUAGCAAGUUAAUAAAGCGCUUAACCACAUAACAUAAAACAAGCAGGGACACUCACCAAGAGUGAAGUUCAGAUGUCAAGUUGGGAAUCGAAUUCCGCUUCCUCGCAAUAUCCUAGAAUAUCAAAUAUUGAAAUUAUAAGCUUUUAUUCAGUCUUUAGACUCGAACACAUUGAGGUUUAUCUAAUAUAUUGCUAGUUUACUUUCCCAUAGUAAUUUCAAAAAUCUACUUAGAUUGAAACUUGACACAAAUAGUAGAAAUGUUUCUUAUAAUUUUCCUUGAGGUACUUUUCCUUAUAAAAAGGGUAACUAGUAUAAAUUUUCUGGAAAUAAGUCGACAAACCUCUUAAUAUCAAUGUUAGAAAGUUACUUUGAACAUUUCUUUAAAGCUAUGGUUCCUGCAAAAAUUAUUACUAAAACUAUUUUACCCUAAAAUAAGGUUUCUUGCCGAGCAAGUUUCCCAUGCUUUUCCCCAGAAUUAUUACAACUCGUAUUUUGGAACUUUUCCUAUAGUUAACUAUAGCUUAAGGAAAGAAAAUGAAUUAAAAUAAGACUUAGAAUUUUCAAAAGCUAUAUAACUUAUUUACUAAUCGAGGCUAGUUUGAGCUAAAGGAAAUUAUCGAGUUGGAAAGUUUUAUAAUAUAAUACUAGCUGGAAAAAUAUUUCUGAUUAAUUUGAUCACAGCUACUCGAGUUCGCAAGGUCGAUACAACUUCCACAGCUCCGAUUCCGUUUCGAAAUUAUAAUAUGGAUCAAAAUAUGACAAAAAUCACAUAGCAAAUUACUAGGGCUUCGUCAAUCAUUAGCCCUAGAUUUCAACAAGUGCAUUUCUGAAUAAAAUAAAAUGAUCAACCAAGGCUUCAUCAAUCAUUAGCACUUGGUUUCAGCAAGCCCAUCAUAAGCAACUAAAAAUAAAAUAAAAGUAAAGCCUCCAAGACAUUCCAGCAAUUAACUUUCGUCACCCUGUAGUACUUAGAAAAUCAUUCAAAUGGCCAAGAGCUUCAUCAAUCAUUAGCUCUUGAUAGCAACCAAUCACUUUCAAACCAAAAUUUCAACUAGAAACAAGGAGUAAAGUCACGGCUAAUUUAACGCUUAAAUAACUCGAGAAAUUCAGAUUACCACCAUAGCAUUUUACUAGGCUCAAUGCCAUUCACAUACCAGAAAAUUUUAGCAUGUAAGCUUCACUUGAAAUUCAGAAAUUCAAAUCACAGAUAGGCCCAACAUUCGAUUCAAGUCAAAAUUCAUUUUCCUGAAGAAACAGGACAUUAAGUCAAGACAGCCUACUUUGAGGAGUCACGUACAGCCGUACACAUGGAGGAAAAAUAUAAAAUUUCUACAGAACCAAGGCCCAUGUUUCUAGUUUCAAAUGCCACUGACGGCACCUUAAACGGAUUUUUCUACACCAAGAUAUAAGCAUUUUACUGAAAUUGGUCAGGGACAUCCAAAAAUCUGAAAUGUCAUUUUUCACAUGUGAAAAACUCCUUUUUCUCUUUUUGCACCAAAAUGUUUUUAUUCAAACCAUCCAUACAUUUCUUAUAUAAUUCCAAAACAACAUAUUCCAGGCAUUUCCAUCCCUCAUGAUUUGAAGGAAAUUUUCGAAACUAAGUUGAGCUUCCAACUCAACCUUCGGCCAUCACAAAGGAAAUUCCAGCAUUUGUAUACUAACCUCUUUAAUUCAAUCCUUCAAUAUAUUAAAUAUUUCCUCGCCAAACCACUUAAAUUUUGCAUCUCUUAUGUAGCUCAAGACCAUCAUAGUCCAAGGAAACAAUAAAAUAAAUGUUCAGAAACCAUUUAAACUUUCUAAAGGCAAACUGAAAUUUCUGGUUCAACCUUGCUUGCGGCUUCAAAGAUUUCCAGCAAACAAUUCAACUUUAGUUCAAAUUUCCUUGGUUUAAACAUGGUGUUAGUUACUCAAUUCAACAUUUUAAACACCUAGUUAGUUACUAAAAUUUUCCACUUUCAAAAUUGAGUUCAAACUAUCAUUAUUAACAUCAAAAUUUCCAGAAAUUUUCCUGCUUGGGCUCGGGUGAUCAUGCCUUGAAGCAGAAUGUACUCUUAACCUUUAUUUCUCUGAUUUAAAACUUACUAAUCAACUACAUGCAGGGCCUAAUUAACUUGUUAUUAGUCAUCUAAUCAUGGUUAUAAGUUUAAACAACAACACUAAACCAAAUCAGGUUGCAAAGCUUUAAGCUAAGCUCUCGGCCAAACCAGAAAUUCUUCCAGCAUUUGUUUAGUCACAAACCAUUUUUUUUCUAUGGUUAAUUCCUGUAUUUUGCACUUAAUUUCACAUGCACAACUGCUGAAUUUAACUAGCUAUCAUAUCCAGACCAGAAAUCAGUUUGAUAGCAACCAAAUUGAACCAAGUUAAGCUGUAAUAAUUAAGCUAGGCUCUCGGCAGAAUUUUCUUACCCCAAACUAACCCAGAAAUUUAUCUCUGCUUUAACACUUCAUUCGAAUGCCCAAUUCAUCAUACAUGGUCUUAAUCUUCCAGUUCUUACUCAGCUAAAGACAUUUGGGUGUUCAGAUUAUCACACAAAACAAAAUUGGAGCUGCAAUAACACCUCAAGUCUCGGUAGCAACAAUUUCUCAAAACAGAAAUUUUCGUAAGGUUUUGAUUUCAGCAUCCGAUUGUAUAAUCUAAACAUGUAAUCUCUGAUAUAGCUUGAUCAACUAAUAAUCAACCUAUUUUAGACCAGAAAUUACCUCAGCUAGCAACCAAUCUUUCACACGAAAUUCCAGAAAUUUCCUUCCUAGCUCUCGGCCAAGUGCAGAUGGUGAUUCUGGUUUGGAGUUGCGGCUGAAAAGGGUUGUGGAUGAAGGUAGAAUUGGUGAAGCUUCCGGCAGAUUCCCUUCCCUGGCUUUGCUCCAACUCACGGCUGAAUCCAAGAAGUUUCCGGCAGCUCUCUCCCUCUCUCGGUGCUCUCGGUCAAGGCAGGGAAGAAAUGAGGUUUUGUUGUGAAUCAAGAAUGAAAGAGUAGAGUGGUAUUUGGAGUGAAGUUGAUUUCGACUUUGGUUUGUGCAGAGAAAGAGUCGGCUGAAAUGGUUGUGAGAUGUAGUGUGAAUUUGAUCAAGUGGUUUUGUGGUGCCGCGGUUUACGAAAGGUUGCGUAUCGAAUUGGUUAAAAUGCAAUUGGUCGAAGUUGCGGUGAUGGGAAUUUGUCAUAAGGGUCGUUUGGUUUCGCAUGGAAUUGUAAGGUCUUUUGGUCUUUUCACUUGGUUUCCUAAUCUCAACUUAAUUUCUCAAAUUUAUCCUCAAGGGUGAUUUGAACGCCUAAUAACCCCUCCCAAUAUACUUAACCAUUUUUAUCGAAUAAAUAUCGAUUAAACUUAAAUAUUAAGGUUCCUAACAUUAUAUAGCGAUUAACUUAAUUAUCCGCAUCUCCAAUUGUUUAUUCUCAAGAAUUAAAGUUAUCCUACACAAAAUUUAUCGAAUUUUCAUGCCUUAAGUAUGUUUAGUAUAGGAAUAUCAUAUUUAUCUAAAAUUCAUUGAUUUUUAUCUUAACGCGGAAAUUCCUAUAAACAUUUAACAUUAUUAACGAUUAAAACUAGCUAUCGGAAAUCAAAGAAUUUAUUUUAAAGUAAUAGAAUUAAUCCAACUCAAGAAAUAUUAAUUUAGUAUAGCAAAACCGAAUAAUUCAAUAUUGGCACAAUUAUAUUAUUUAUUACAUAGAAAUUAUCUUUACCCUUUUAUUUCAAAACAAUUAAUUACAAUACUAGAAUUCAAAAAAAUUAAUUAUUAGAUCAAUGAAAUAGUUUACCAUUGAAAUAUGAAGUUAAUGUAACAAAACUAAGAAGUUUAGUAGUUUAGCACAAUUCUUUUAUUUUGCACAUAACGUUUAUUUCUACGUACUUACUUAAAAACAAUUGGACUUAGUGCUAAAAUUUAUUAAAGAAUUAAAAUGCAAAUAAAAUAUGCACUGAUAUUUAUAUGUCUAUUUUCAGGGUUCUCACAUCCUCCCCUCCUUAAAAUGAAUUUUGUCCUCAAAAUUCUUACUUUCUUGAGAAACAAAUCGGAAUACUUUUUCUGCAUUUCUUCUUCUAACUCCCAAGUUGCUUCUUCGGAAAUCCAAAGUUCCAAUACUUUUGUUUUGCAAUCAAGCUUAGCAUGGUGAUGAGCUAGAAAAUUCUUUCAUAUAAUAACAUCAUAACCUCGUAUGUCCAAUUUGAUUAGAUCCACUAGUAUUUUAUGCCCUUCAAUCCAGAAUUCACAGUUAUUAUAAGUUAAGCUACUGAUUAAAAUCUUAUUACCCAUUGAUGUUUUAACUUCAAGGUCAAGGGUAAUCUAACAGGUUUGACGUUAACUCCGGAUGGAAAAGUUUGGUUCACAAAUGAAUGAGUUGCGCUAUGAUCAAUUAACACUCUAGCUAAUUGAUGAGAAAUGGGAAGAGUACCUUCCACGGCUUCCGAAGAAUCAGGUACAGGUUGGUCAUUUAUAGCGUAAACCCUGGUAGGAACUUUCGGCCUAUUCUCUCUAAUGUUGGCUGGUUCAUCAUUCAGGGUAUUAUCCUCUUGUAUUUUCGGGCAAUCGGAAAUUUGGUGCUCGCUGCUUCCACACUUCAAGCACUUUCCUGCUUUCCUCCAGCAACCGGCCUCGGUAUGUCCAGGUUUCUUGCAAUACCCACAAGUUCCCUGGAAAGGUAUCGCACGACUUCCUUGUGGGGCGUUCCUAGGUUGACCUCUUCCAUUUGGUCCCCCGUUAGUUCCAUUAUUUCUUCCUCCGGCACCUCUGGCACCAGUUCCUCGACCCACUUUGGCCAGUGGAGCAUUUGUAUAAGUCGGCUCCCGACUGCUGCUAGGUGCAAAUCUUUUCUUGGCCUGGUAAGUUUUUACUUGAGUUCUAGCAACUUCAACCCUUUGAGCUCUUUCUAGUUUUCAAGAAGGGUGAGCCUAUCUUUAGGUGUACUGAUUGAGGGAAUUUUGAGAUAUAGAGUAAUCGCAUUCAAGAACAUGCAGUUAGUGUGAAUUGAUUUGAUUUCCAUUUGACAUGUAAGUUAGCAAGUUGUAUUUAUUUCUUGGGUUUGAACUUGGAGUUUGAGACUUUAACUAUAAAACCCUAAGACUGGUUAUUCUUGGAGAUGAUGGUGGUCUGCUUGGUGGCUUGCUUAUUAAAGAUUUUGAACUUUGAAUGGAUAACCUUUGGUUUCCGCUUGUGUUAUGGUUUGAUUGGAUCUAAUUUCGUAAACGCAGGUGAUCUGAUUGGAAUUAGUGAUAUUCGGACCCAUUGGUUUAAUUAAGGACUUAGGAAGGGUGGUGCAUGCCGUGAGACCUUUUAUAUCCCGUUUGCAUAUACUUCUACAUUUUGUGACCCUUAAUUGCCUAUAUACAGUAUUUGACAUAUUGGGUUUGUUUUGUGACUUCUUAACUCGUACUUAACCUUCGAUACAUGUAAAGAAUCAUGUCUUGAUUCUAAAUAUUUUUGCAACUUGUAUAUGCAUUAAGUUCUUUUAUGAUUAAUUAUUCCUUUUCUUGCGCUUAUAGACUCCUAUUAAGUAUGGUAGCAGGAAUAGGAAAAAGGAGUCGUGACCGAGGGCUUAGACAACCCUGUACUCGUGUGAAAAAUUGAUGGAUAGUCUUAUAUAAUUUAAUGAGAUCCUAGUACUGAAUAUGAAUCGAGAAUAAAUCAGAAGAUUAGAUUUACCAGUGUAUAAUGGAUUAACCUAAUUGGGAACUUAGUGAGAUUUUCCUGUGUGAAAUUUUAAUAACUGCUUUAUACGUAUAUUAUGAUUGGUCCUGUGGCCAUAUUUCAACUUUUGUGAAAGUUUGAACUUCAAAAGUAUUUCGUGGGUUUGGUGAGAUGACUUGAACUCAUUACCAAUUUGUUCUACUUGAACAAAAGCGCUUUCAAUUUUACUUGACUAAUACUAUACCAACGAUGAGACUAUUAAGAACAAAUACUCCAUAGCCUCACAUAAACGAGAAUUAUAAUCAAGGGUCAAGAGCAGCGAAUAAGGGAUUUAAAGUAGAGUUACUACCAACCGGAAAUCCUAGAAACUGAUGUGCUUAACCACUUCCAAUUCAAGAUGGGGAUGCUUGAAUUUUCAGUUAUGCCAAUUGGGUUGACUAAUGUAUUAGCAGCAAUUAUUGCAUUACUGCAUCAAGGUUUUAAAUCGUAAUAGAAUUAAUCUGUGAUAGCAUUUAUUGAUGAUGUAUUGAUAUACUCUAAAGUUUGAGAAAAUCAUGAAAAAAAAUUACCUGAUGGUAGUUUUACAAAUCCCGAGAGAACGCUAACUUUUGUUAAAUUCAAUAAAUGUGAGUUCAAUGGGAAGAAAUAGCCUUUCUAAGUUAUAUAAUAUCUAAGGAAGAAAUUGUUGUUAACUCAGCUUAAGUGGAAGCUGUUUAAGAGGAAAUGACAAGAAAAUCCUACCGAAAUUUGGAGUUCUUAGAGGUAGUCGAAUAUUACCUUGGCUUGAUCAGGGACUUCUAAAGAUACGAGAUUUGGCAAAUUAUUUGAGAUUCUAAAUGUGAGGAAGAAUUUGAAGGUGAAAAUCGUUUAACCAGUGCACUUGUGUUGGCUUUACCGAGCAGAUGAGGUGAUUUUGUGAUUUAUACAGAUGGUUCAAAAGAUGAUUUAGAAUGUAUAUUAAUAAUAUAUGAUGAGGUGAUUGUAUAUGCCUUCUGAAAGUUAAAAUCUCCCGGAAGAAAGUAAUCAACUCAUGAUUUGGAUUGAAUUGGAAAACGUAAGUUAAUGAUUGAUCUGAUAGGCUUAACCAUGAAGGGAAUGAUAUUGUUCUAAGUAUGAAUUUCGGGGACGAAAUUCCUUUCAAGAAGGGGAGGAUGUGAGAACCCGAAAAUUUUCUUAUUUUUAUAGCAUAUUACUGAAAUAUUUAAAUGAUUAUUCAUCCAUUUUUUUCGAAUUAUUUAUUUCGACCAUUUUAAAUCCAUUUAUAUGGAACGAUGCCUCUUUAUAUUUUUAAAGCGUUUUGUUGAAAAAUUCGCUUUUCAAAAAUUUGUUUAGUCUGGAACGACGGGUGCACAUUUUUCUAGGUUAUACUUGAAUCGGAAGUGUAUUAAUAUUGGAGAAUUAAAAACGAUCAAUAAUAGAUUAAGAAAUGUUAAUUGAGGAAUUAAUACUCAAUUCAUGUGAGAACUCGUAAAAUUAUUAUUUUUAAACCCCUAAUUUUGGCUCAAUUAAUUAUCUAUUUGGAUUUUUACCCCGAAUAUUAUUUUCUAUCCUUAUUAGACCUAAAUAUAUGAAAUUAUAGUUUCAUUAUAUUUUUGAAUUGACUUGUUUCAAAAAUUAAUUUUUUGGAAGCUCGUUUAGUGAAAAUAACGAAAACGUGUUUGGAAAUUUUAACCGAUUGAGAGUACAAUAAGUUUGGAAAUUGGAGACUUGUAUAAUAGUCCUAAAAUGGGUAAUUUUAGGUUUAAACACUCAAGUGAUAGUUAGGGAUGCGAUCGUUAUAAGAAUUUCUUGAAGGUUUCACUUUAUCGUGUAUAAAUUGGAAAUACGCGUUUUCACGCGCGCGAUUAAUUAAGGGACUUUAGACCAUUAUUUUGGGUCAAUUAAGGGUGAAUAAUAUUUAUAUAAAUAUAAGUGCAUUAGAGGCUUAGUGCACUAGCGAAACAAAUGCAAGCGGAAUCGAGCACGAAACGCGCGCGUACACCCGCGCACGAGAGAGUUGACUUUUGAGGCAUUCUUAGCCACAUAUUCUUAAGCCUCUCACAUAAGCCUCAUUAUCAGCCAACAACAUUCUUCUUCCUCCUCAAAGCUGCCAUCCAACACCAAGAGCAAGAACCAAACUUGCUUCAUCAAAUUCUACUCCAAAAUCUUGCUCAAAUCACUACCAAAUUCUCUCAAAUUUUAACUCUACUUAGCUUAACGUUUGGAGAGUCCAUUUAGUUACAAAAAAGAGGAGCUUUCCACGGUUUCUUGGAGCUUCAAGGAGGGCCGAAAUUCUGGUCUUAGGCACACCAAGGAGGUAUAUAGUAAUCUAACACUCUAAACUUGGUCUAUAAGAGUUGAAUUACACUUAUGAGCUUGAAUUUUCAUAUGGGUUGUUGUUGUUGUUGGAAAAAUUGGAAGGUGGGCUCUAUGAACUCCCACCCUUUGUCUUGAUGGCUGAUGUGAUGAUUAAUGAUGGGUUUAAUGUUGGAUUAGUGCUUAAAUUAGUGGUUUGUUGGUGGAAAAUUGAUGGAAACUCAUGAUGGGUGCAAAGGCCAAAUCUGACCAUUUUACCCCUGCUUUCUUCGGCCACUUUAGUGCCGAAAUUUGAGGAUUUAAUGGAUUGAUUGUGUUGUUUACAUGUUAUAGUAGUUGUAUAAAAAGUAUCAUUGAAAAAUACUGAGUUUUGGUUGGUCAAAUGAAUUUAUUUCCCAAAGCUGGUAAUCUGGAAACUGUUCCUAUCAUGCCCAGACCAGUGUUCGUAUUUCGUCCAUAACUCUAUCCUCCGACGUCGAAAUCAAGUACCGUCAGUGGCAUUUGAAACUAGGCAUUCCCAUCUUUCCAACAGUAUAAAAUUCACAUUCUGGUUCCAUGUGUGUGAACUGUACCACUCUUCUGAAUUCAGCUGUUCUGUUUCUUUGUACUGCUGGAAUGAAAUACAGAAGCUGUGACUUGAAGCUCGAUUUCAAGCUAGUUAUGUGCCGAAAUUCAAAAUGAUUUCUUCUGUGAAAUUAUAGCCCUAUGAAUCUAUUUUCCAACACUAUCAACCAUGCUCAAUUCCAAGUUAAAUUGGGUGAGUUAUGAUCAAAAUACGGUAACUGCGCUGUUCUUGAAAAACCUUGGAUUUGGACAGAUUUGAUGUAAGACUUGUUGUGGUCUUACUAAAUGAAUUUCAUGGUGCUAAACACCUACCAAAUGUACCAUAUAUGUUCCUUAGACUUUUCUUGUACAAAUGAACCAUGUUUUGAGGUUUUCCUUUGCCAAAUGUUUGGAAACGGAGAGAAAUGGAGCUAAAGGCAGUUUUGCCUUAGUAAAUUCAAAACUUUGGUUGAUUGGUUAACCACCUUUCCGAAGGUAUUUUUCCACAAAAUUUGAUAGAGAGAUACCCUUCAUAUAGGAGUACUAUACUGCAAACUUUGGUACCAAUCCAAGUCCAUUUCGACACUUAACUAAAGGUCCGAAGUCGGAAACCCAAAUCUGAAAAUUGUUCAACAAUCUUGAAUUUUCCCCAAUUUUGAGCUACCAUAUCUUGGUGCUCGAAACUCCGAUCCUUGAUCCGCCUUUUCUGUUGUAAACCUUACUUGAACUCUAAUUGAGUUACAAAUUUCAGAGGCUAGCUUGCAAUGUGUGAAUUGUUCCGAAUUUCCAAAGUUAGCGAAAAACCAACCCCUGCUCAAUCCUGAGUGUUCAAGAACAGCAACUUUAAGCCCAUUUUUGAAUACCUUCCACUUGGAUUCAUAGAAAAGUACCUUCUAAGAACUUUUAGUACUUUCCAAGAGAUUUCCAACGGUAUAAAUUUUUCCAAUUUUAGACUUGUAUCGAGUGAGAUACGAUUUUUCAAAGAUCCAUAUCAAAACUAAAAUUUUCCAACUUUCAAGGAAAUAGAGAUUUCCAAGAACUCUUUAUUCUUUCGACAUUUUGCUAACAUUUUAACCUCGAUUUCCAAGAUAAAAAUCCAAAUGCUCCUGUACUUUAAAAAACUCUAAUUAAAUCUCGAUUUACGAGUAAUUGAGGUUCGAUUUCGUGAAAUUUCCUUAGAUUGUACUAGUGUACAAUCUUCCUUGAUAAUUGGGAUAUAUGAAUGAUAAUGCAUUAUUAUUUGCUCAGGCGCACACGAGAACUUUCAAGAGGAUCCUACCAUGCACACUUGAACUUCCAGAAAAUAUUUAUUCUUGAUUUGCUCGGUGAGUGUCAAGUGUAUGACUACUUGAACUCUAUGGACUUGAUUCAUGCUUGGCUUACCUGAUUACAUGCUUAGCCAACUUGGUUUUGAAAAAUUGAGUCGAGUGUGUACUUUAUCGCACUCGUUCUCAUUUGAAACAAAUGACUCAUGCUUAACAUGGUUUGCCUGAUUUACAUGAUCUGAAAUACAUGUUUAAACCUGUCAAAUGCUUGAAUACAUGACAUGGUAUGCUAUGGCUGCAUACGUCGUUGGAGUGAAUCUCCUCGACACUUACAUGACACAUGGGGGACGCCCAAACUCAUAGGCCGACAUUGGAACUCGAGCCGGCAUGGGUUUGGUCGGAAACUUCGGUGAGCCAUGAGAUUCACAUGAUAAGCUUGAUCUAUUGGAGAGAUCUUGCUUGGCAUACUCGGGGAGUAUCGCCUUAUAAAUGUCGUGCGGGUCCGAAGCGGUGUAUGGUGGAUGGAUGAGAAGCAAGUGGUGAUCUAUGGUUUGGAAAUAUCAACCCGGUUGACGGAGAGUCAUCGAGGGAAGAUUUACGAAUGAACUGGCAAAGCAAGUGGAACUUAGCUCCUGAGAGCUACCAUAUCCUUGAAUUGUUUCUGUUUACAUUUUGUUGGCAUUGUUAAUUACUUGCAAGUCAUCACUUGAACUGUUACUUGGGCUUGUUACAUGAACUAUGUGCCUGCAUGUGUGUUAUUGGCCUCACGAGCGUUUUGCUCACCCUAUAGAUUUGUUUUUCUUAACAGGUUUGAACUCGGAGGCGUACUGGAGAAACCCACUUGAUGAGUUUUUGUUUAGGAUUUCUAUUAUAUUUUGGCUAUGCCCUUGGUUUUGGGUUGUAGUUUUGGAAUUGAAAUGUAACUUUUGGGGCGUGAUGUAUAUUUGGGAAUUAUGAUGUACUUUGAACACCCGACGUGCGGGCUGGAUAAUGGAUGACUAUUGUUAAACUUGAACGCUUUCGCAUUUACUGUAUUUAAGUUAUUUACGUGUGUUGUGAAUAUCGUUAAUAAGCUUGAAUGGAAAUUGCUUAAAUCCUGACGAGAGUUAGGCAGGCGUCCCGUGGAUACCCUUUGGUUCGCCGUAGGGAGAAGUGGGGCGUCACAUUUAUAUGUAACAAAGAGGCAGAAACAAUUUGUAUAUGCAGACAAGCAUACAUACAGUUGAUUACAUGUUACAUGUCAAUUUUUUGUGUGCCUAUAUUUGUGUAUCACUGUAGAUCAUUUGUCUACUAUACUAUACAAUUGCGUUGGUUUGUCAAUAUAUACAUAUAUGUCCAAUUCAUAAUAAUACUGAUAUAUUUCAUUUUGGAAAAUAAAAUGAAAGUGGUGAUGCAUUACUUAGUUCAUUAGUGAAAAAGUAAUAGAUACAUUUAUACAAGAAAUAUGUAUAUAUAAAUAUACUCGUCUAUGUAUGUGUAUAAAUUUAUAUUAAUUGUCAUUCAUCUAAUAUUAAUCGUGUAUACAAUGUCACUACAUAAAAGAUUAAUUAUAUACGUGUACCAUUGAGGUGGGGCUAUCAACAAUCAAAUUAUAUAAUAUCAAAUAGAAAAUGAAAGUGAUGCAUUUGUUAGUUCAUUAGUGAGGGCCUAAAAAUUAAAGGUUUUGGAUUCAAAUUCCUUUCCCUCUCCCUACUUCUUAAAUCCCACCUCUUAUCUGUUAGAAAAAUUAUAUAUCUAUUGCCUCUGUAUUAUACUACUGUCAACUUUCAACUGUCAAAUAAUAUAGUGGCUUAACACUUAACCGUUAAAAGUUCUAAUUAGUACGAUCUUAUAUUUAAAAACAAAUCAUUGGUAUUUUAUGUUACACACAAACUAUUAAAUUCAAAUGAAAGGCCAAAUAAACAGAGCCAAAUUGUUUUGUUUUAGUUGGUUCGUUCAGUUAUUUUUUUGGUCAAAUAGCAACAUUUUUCUUUGCAACAGUUUAGCCAAAUUGUUAGUCCUAAACCGAUCCACCCAAUAGGAAGGCCAAACCGACGCCCGUGGAGUCGUAGAGCAAUUUUUUAUUUUUUUUUGUGGAAAUUUGAUGCGGCCAUGUUCGGCCGAAUUUUACUUGACCUUGGGUGAUCGUUAGACCAAUUCCGGUAAGAGUACCAAGGUUGCUAAAUUUUUUGUUGCAUUUUUAUAUUUAUAGAUUUUUUUAAAGUGUACUAGUAAUUUUUUUAAGUCCCAAUCGAAUCACCCAAGGGUCACGCAGAAUUGCAUUACCCUUAGCGUCCGUUUGGUACAUGGAAUGAUAAGGGAUUGAAUUAAUCAUUUUGUGUCAUUUCAUCUUUGGUUGUAUUUUACACAUGGGAUGAUAGAUCUCAACUAACCGAACUAAUUCCCUAUUCAUGGGAUAAAAUAAUCUUAUAGAGGAAAUGGUAUUAGUCAUCCAGGGAUGACCAAGAGAUGGGAUGAUGAAAUUUUAAACUGGUUUAUUCUUACAAAUAAUAUAAAUUUAUACUCUCAUAAUUAUAUAACCUCACGCUCACACGAUAAUAUAGCAUGAAUGGACUAAUUUGCCCCUAUUACUUAUUUUAAAGUUUUUUGACCAAUACAAUAAUAUUUGGACUAAUUUGCUCUUACGAAUAAUACAAAUUCAUACUGAUAUAACCAUACUCUCACAUAAUAAUAUCAUGAUAAACUGACUUAUUUGCCCCUACUAAUUAUAUUAAACUUUUUUCACUAAUUCGUCCAUAUUUAUUAUGUUAAAAUUUUUAACAAAUUUACCCCAAUUAAUUAUCUUAAAAUUGUCUUUGACUAAUUUGUCCCUACUUACAUAAAAAGGAAAAGGAAUAUAUUGCCCUUGGACUAAAUUACCCUUUACUAACCUUGCUUUUGUCAACCAAGUUUUGUAUAAAUACAUAACCUUAUUAAUUGGGCUUUGCAAAUGAGAGCUUCAACAAGUUCAAUCUCGCCCCAAAGAAAAAUAUGUUGUAUUGGCUUGAAUUUGGAUCGUUUAAAACUCUUAAAUGGGUUGGAUUUUAUUCAAUUUAGCUCUAACUUGGCCAAAAAUUGGCCAAUUAUUUAAUUGAAUUUCAAAUUUAGAUCCAAAAAUUAGUUUAAAACCUAUUUUCAAGGGCUCGAAUAGGUUGAGUUUGAGCGAAUGUAAAUUUUUAUAUAUCAAAACUUUUUACUUACUUUAUAAUUCUAAAGUUUCAAAUUACUUUAUCUGAAUAAAUGUUAUAAAUUACUAAAUUAUUUUAUUACAACAAUCCUACAGAUUAAGGGGUACUUUCGACAUUAAAAUAUUAAUCCUAUCGCUUUUAAUUUCCAGCCAAACACGAGUUAGGAUCAUUUUCUAAUAUAUCAUAUUCAAUUUAGAGCCAACUAAUCACUAGAUAACUUGAAUUAUUAAUCCGAGAAUGACUCAACUUAAGAUUAACAAUUCGAGGAUGAGUUAUUUCAUCUUAUCCGGUCUAUGAACCAAACGAACCCUUAAUGAAUUAAUGCUUAUUCAAUGACAAAGUUAGGACCGUUAGAUGUUAGAGGGUGAUGUUGGCGGUCCAAAUCCAGAUCCCGAUUUUGGGUCGGAUCUCGAGAAGCCCCAAAUUGCUAUAUUUUUAAAUUCGGACCGGACCGACCGAUCGAACCGAAAACCGGCCAAAUGUCCGGUCUGACUUAUUCUAAAAAACUGGAUAGUUAGAAAUUAGUCAAAUCUGGUAAAAAAUCGGGUUUGACAGGAAAAAUCGGAAGACCGGUUGGUGUCAAUUUUUUUAAAAAGAUCAAAACAUUUUUAAUAUUAUGUUUGGACCUCUCGUUGGUUAAAAAUUAUUCAUAUACGACAAAUAUUUCAUACUCUAUAAAUUUCAUCCUAAAGUUUGGUGUUAUUUUUCAAUCAAAUCCAUAAUUUUAAUUCUAAACUUGAUAAUGUUCAUCAAAUAAUAUAAAUUGCUACUUGAUCGUUCUAAUUUCUUUGUAUUUUCUUGUUAAAUAUGUUUGAAACAUCAAAUAUAUAUGAAUAUAUUUUUAUUAAUAUUAACAUUCUUUUAGGUGUGUUACAUAUAAUAUUUUAAUUUUUAAAUAAUUUUUAUUCAUGACGUCAUCCGAUUCGAGAUCGAUUGAACCCAUUGACCCCUAAAUUCGAUCGAAUCGAUACCCUCGAUUCAAGUAUGAAAACAUAGCCAAAUUGAUGGUUUUGGUCAACUCUCGAGAUGUCUCUCCCGAGUCAUCUUGAUAUUUUACUCUAGGAAGGGGGAUCUACUGAUUUGACCCGCAUUAAUGUCCCGACACCUAAUAAGUUAGGGCGGCAUAGGAUCUCAAAUAGUUGUUAAGUAGUCAUGUUAAAUCCAUUUCUUUAUAUGCAAUUAAAGUGGGUUCUCGAAAAAAUUUCCUAUAAAUGGUGGAGUCGAACCACGUUAAAUAUUAUGUGUUGUUAAUCUUUCAUGCUUGUGACUUGUUUAUCAUUAAAUUGUUGUAUACUUGAUAUCUCAAUAGUUGUUCAUUCCGCGCUUGGAUCCUAACAACAUCACCACCUAUCUGUUUUACGGACUCUUUCAGGGAACUCAACUCUGCUUCUAAUACGUGGAUUCGUCCCCUUGUGAGGUAAUUCGAAACAUGUUGAUAUAUCUUUCCUCAGCUUGUGCCGAAUGCCUCCUCCAAAGAAGCCGCCAUUGUUAUUGGUGUGAGUGCGCUUCUCGGCAGUGGUGGUGGACUCUGGAAUGGGCUUGUUGGAAAUCUUAGACUUGUUGGGAGUCUGGGAAGUAGCACCGCCGCCGGCGGUGGACCGAGGGGGGGCAGAAUCACAGAUUUUUUUUUUAUUUCUUGAUCUUCCCUUUAAACAGGUGAUGGAGCCGCCUCGCUGCAUCUCCGGCACCACUGUUCCGUGGGAGCGUAGAGCGAGUCUCGUAAAGAGAUUGAGGGAGCACGGGAUUUGCUUUAAAAAAUGAACAGAAUCUUUUAAAUCGUGGUGAAGUGGCGGCUAUGUUUACGCACAAUCAGCGGACGAAUUUGAACGGAGUCGGUAGUGUGGGACCGGAGAGAGAAAAAGCCAAUUAACUGAAAAUCUUGAAAAUUAACUGAAAAUUAAAGCUGCUCCAACUUGCCAAUUAAUUGAAAAUAUUUCUCAUCUUGGUUUCUUUAUUAACCUCACAAGCAAGACAUGAUUUAGAGUUUUGAUUUUAUUCGGUUAUCUUCUUAAUAUAACAAAAGUUCUUAACCUUCUCUUUCUGUUAUUGAACUUUACAUAAUAAAAAUAUAUAUAUACCCGUUAAGUAUAUCUUUAUAUGUAACAAAGAGGCAGAAACAAUUUGUAUAUGCAGACAUGCAUACAUACAGUUGAUUACAUAUUACAUGUCUACUUUUUGUGUGCCUAUAUUUGUGUAUCACUGUAGAUCAUUUGUCUACUAUACUAUACAAUUGCGUUGGUUUGUCAAUAUAUACAUAUAUGUCCAAUUCAUAAUAAUACUGAUAUAUUUCAUUUUGGAAAAUAAAAUGAAAGUGGUGAUGCAUUACUUAGUUCAUUAGUGAAAAAGUAAUAGAUACAUUUAUACAAGAAAUAUGUAUAUAUAAUAUACUCGUCUAUGUAUGUGUAUAAAUUUAUAUUAAUUGUCAUUCAUCUAAUAUUAAUCGUGUAUACAAUGUCACUACAUAAAAGAUUAAUUAUAUAUGUGUACCAUUGAGGUGGGGCUAUCAACAAUCAAAUUAUAUAAUAUCAAAUAGAAAAUGAAAGUGAUGCAUUUGUUAGUUCAUUAGUGAGGGCCUAAAAAUUAAAGGUUUUGGAUUCAAAUUCCUUUCCCUCCCCCUACUUCUUAAAUCCCACCUUUUAUCUGUUAGAAAAAUUAUAUAUCUAUUGCCUCAGUAUUAUACUACUGUCAACUUUCAACUGUCAAAUAAUAUAGUGGCUUAACACUUAAACAUUAAAAGUUCUAAUUAGUACGAUCUUAUAUUUAAAAACAAAUCAUUGGUAUUUUAUGUUACACACAAACUAUUAAAUUCAAAUGAAAGGCCAAAUAAACAGAGCCAAAUUGUUUUGUUUUAGUUGGUUCAUUCAGUUAUUUUUUUGGUCAAAUAGCAACAUUUUUCUUUGCAACAGUUUAGCCAAAUUGUUAGUCCUAAACCGAUCCACCCAAUAGGAAGGCCAAACCGACGCCCGUGGGGUCGUAGAGCAAUUUUUUUUUUUUUGUGGAAAUUUGAUGCGGCCAUGUUCGGCCGAAUUUUACUUGACCUUGGGUGAUCGUUAGACCAAUUCCGGUAAGAGUACCAAGGUUGCUAAAUUUUUUGUUGCAUUUUUAUAUUUAUAGAUUUUUUUAUAGUGUACUAGUAAUUUUUUUAAGUCCCAAUCGAAUCACCCAAGGGUCACGUAGAAUUGCAUUACCCUUAGAGUCCGUUUGGUACACGGAAUGAUAAGGGAUUGAAUUAAUCAUUUUGUGUCAUUUCAUCUUUGGUUGUAUUUUACACAUGGGAUGAUAGAUCUCAACUAACCGAACUAAUUUCCUAUUCAUGGGAUAAAAUAAUCUUAUAGAGGAAAUGGUAUUAGUCAUCCAAGGAUGACCAAGAGAUGGGAUGAUAAAAUUUUAAACUGGUUUAUUCUUACAAAUAAUAUAAAUUUAUACUCUCAUAAUUAUAUAACCUCACGCUCACACGAUAAUAUAGCAUGAAUGGACUAAUUUGCCCCUAUUACUUAUUUUAAAGUUUUUUGACCAAUACAAUAAUAUUUGGACUAAUUUGCUCUUACGAAUAAUACAAAUUCAUACUGAUAUAACCAUACUCUCACAUAAUAAUAUCAUGAUAAACUGACUUAUUUGCCCCUACUAAUUAUAUUAAACUUUUUUCACUAAUUCGCCCAUAUUUAUUAUGUUAAAAUUUUUAACAAAUUUACCCCAAUUAAUUAUCUUAAAAUUGUCUUUGACUAAUUUGUCCCUACUUACAUAAAAAGGAAAAGGAAUAUAUUGCCCUUGGACUAAAUUACCCUUUACUAACCUUGCUUUUGUCAACCAAGUUUUGUAUAAAUACAUAACCUUAUUAAUUGGGCUUUGCAAAUGAGAGCUUCAACAAGUUCAAUCUCGCCCCAAAGAAAAAUAUGUUGUAUUGGCUUGAAUUUGGAUCGUUUAAAACUCUUAAAUGGGUUGGAUUUUAUUCAAUUUAGCUCUAACUUGGCCAAAAAUUGGCCAAUUAUUUAAUUGAAUUUCAAAUUUAGAUCCAAAAAUUAGUUUAAAACCUAUUUUCAAGGGCUCGAAUAGGUUGAGUUUGAGCGAAUGUAAAUUUUUAUAUAUCAAAACUUUUUACUUACUUUAUAAUUCUAAAGUUUCAAAUUACUUUAUCUGAAUAAAUGUUAUAAAUUACUAAAUUAUUUUAUUACAACAAUCCUACAGAUUAAGGGGUACUUUCGACAUUAAAAUAUUAAUCCUAUCGCUUUUAAUUUCCAGCCAAACACGAGUUAGGAUCAUUUUCUAAUAUAUCAUAUUCAAUUUAGAGCCAACUAAUCACUAGAUAACUUGAAUUAUUAAUCCGAGAAUGACUCAACUUAAGAUUAACAAUUCGAGGAUGAGUUAUUUCAUCUUAUCCGGUCUAUGAACCAAACGAACCCUUAAUGAAUUAAUGCUUAUUCAAUGACAAAGUUAGGACCGUUAGAUGUUAGAGGGUGAUGUGGGCGGUCCAAAUCCAGAUCCCAAUUUUGGGUCGGAUCUCGAGAAGCCCCAAAUUGCUAUAUUUUUAAAUUCGGACCGGACCGACCGAUCGAACCGAAAAUCGGCCAAAUGUCCGGUCUGAGUUAUUUUAAAAAACUGGAUAGUUAGAAAUUAGUCAAAUCUGGUAAAAAAUCAGGUUUGACAGGAAAAAUCGGAAGACCGGUUGGUGUCAAUUUUUUUAAGAAGGUCAAAACAUUUUUAAUAUUAUGUUUGGACCCCUCGUUUGUUAAAAAUUAUUAAUAUACGACAAAUAUUUCAUACUCUAUGAAUUUCGUCCUAAAGUUUGGUGCUAUUUUUCAAUCAAAUCCAUAAUUUUAAUUCUAAACUUGAUAAUGUUCAUCAAAUAAUAUAAAUUGCUACUUGAUCGUUCUAAUUUCUUUGUAUUUUCUUGUUAAAUAUGUUUGAAACAUCAAAUAUAUAUGAAUAUAUUUUUAUUAAUAUUAACAUUCUUUUAGGUGUGUUACAUAUAAUAUUUUAAUUUUUAAAUAAUUUUUAUUCAUGACGUCAUCCGAUUCGAGAUCGAUUGAACCCAUUAACCCCUAAAUUCGAUCGAAUCGAUACCCUCGAUUCAAGUAUGAAAACAUAGCCAAAUUGAUGGUUUUGGUCAACUCUCGAGAUGUCUCUCCCGAGUCAUCUUGAUAUUUUACUCUAGGAAGGGGGAUCUACUGAUUUGACCCGCAUUAAUGUCCCGACACCUAAUAAGUUAGGGCGGCAUAGGAUCUCAAAUAGUUGUUAAGUAGUCAUGUUAAAUCCAUUUCUUUAUAUGCAAUUAAAGUGGGUUCUCGAAAAAAUUUCCUAUAAAUGGUGGAGUCGAACCACGUUAAAUAUUAUGUGUUGUUAAUCUUUCAUGCUUGUGACUUGUUUAUCAUUAAAUUGUUGUGUACUUGAUAUCUAAAUAGUUGUUCAUUCCGCGCUUGGAUCCUAACAACAUCACCACCUAUCUGUUUUACGGACUCUUUCAGGAAACUCAACUCUGCUUCUAAUACGUGGAUUCGUCCCCUUGUGAGGUAAUCCGAAACAUGUUGAUAUAUCUUUCCUCAGCUUGUGAUGAAUGCCUCUUCCAAAGAAGCCGCCUUUACAUACUCUGCCUCCUGCCUCUUCGGAUUUGGCACCAUUGUUAUUGGUGUGAGUCUCGCCGGUGGUGGUGGACUCUGGAAUGGGCUUGGUGGAAGUCUUAGACUUGUUGGGAGUCUUGGAAGUAGCACCGCCGCCGGCCAGGGGGGCAGAAUCACAGUUUUUUUUUUAUUUCUUGACCUUCCCUUUAAACAGGUGACGGAGCCGCCUCGCUGCAUCUCCGGGACCACUGUUCCGUGGGAGCGUAGAGCGAGUCUCGUAAAGAGAUUGAGGGAGCACGGGAUUUGUUUUCAAAAAUGAACAGAAUCUUUUAAAUCACGGUGAAGUGGCGGCCAAUUUUACGCACAAUCAGCGGACGAAUUUGAUCGGAGUCGGUAGUGUGGGACCGGAGAGAGAAAAUACCAAUUAACUAAAAAUCUUGGAAAUUAACUGAAAAUUAAAGCUGCUCCAACUAGCCAAUUAACAGAAAAUAUUUCUCAUCUUCGUUUCUUUUUUAACCUCACAAGCAAGACAUGAUUUAGAGUUUUGAUUUUAUUCGGUUAUCAUCGUAAUAUAACAAAAGUUCUUAACCUUCUCUUUCGAUUCUUGAACUUUACAUAAUAAAAAAUAUAUAUAUACCCGUCAAGUAUAUCUUUUUAUGUAACAAAGAGGCAGAAAUAAUUUGUAUAUUCAGGCAUGCAUACAUACAGUUGAUUACAUGUUACAUGUCUACUUUUUGUGUGCCUAUAUUUGUGUAUCACUGUAGAUUAUUAGUCUACUAUACUAUACAAUUGCGUUGGUUUGUCAAUAUAUACAUAUAUGUCCAAUUCCUAAUAAUACUGAUAUAUUUCAUUUUCGAAAAUAAAAUGAAAGUGGUGAUGCAUUACUUAGUUCAUUAGUGAAAAAGUAAUAGAUACAUUUAUACAAGAAAUAUGCAUAUAUAAAUAUACUCGUCUAUGUAUGUGUAUAAAUUUAUAUUAAUUAUCAUUCAUCUAAUAUUAAUCGUGUAUACAAUGUCACUACUUAAAAGAUUAACUACAUAUGUGUACCAUUGAGGUGGGGCUAUCAACCAUCAAAUUAUAUAAUAUCAAAUAGAAAAUGUGUGACAGCCCGCCUUCCCCUAAGGCGUACCAAAGGGGUUAGCAGACUGCCUGCCUAACUCUCGCCAGGACUACUAACACGGUUGUAUACAAACUAAAACGUUCCAAAAUAUUUUAGCGCGCUCAAAAGAAUCAAAGUCACGAAACAAAAACGAGAAAACGGGGCCGCACAUGAAUAGUGUCGUAUCUGUUCAAAACCUAUACAAGUGCAAUAACUUUGUAUACUCCAAGUAAGGGACAUUUCCAAGCCAAAGUAACACAUGAACAUUUCCAAACACCCUUAUACACGCAUAAUUACAAUUUUACAUCUCAAAAGAAAUGCUGGAUCCAAGUACAUGUGUGGAUUUCUCAACUAUCGAGGAGCUAUACAAAAGAAUAUUCAAAACUAGUUCAACUCGGCUUCAAAACCUCAUAGUUUCCCAAAAGGUUACUCCCUGUAAGGAAAACAAAGUAACGAGAGGUGAGCUUACGCUCGUGAGGUACCACCAAGACACACCAAUGAACACAUUUUAUCACAUAGUGACCCAAAACUCAUAAACAAAACAAGUCAAUAUAAAAGGAUACAAUUGGCUCUCAAGAGCCACUUUCCACAUACCGCACUUGAUCUCCAACCCGUUGACACUCCGUCAACUUUCAAAGCGAAGCACAUUCCGUAGACCCCCACUUUGCUCCAUAUCCCUUCCACCGAUCACCCCCUUACCGGGCCCGAACAUCUCACAGUAACAGAGAGGGUAAUACUCGAGUAUACCAUAAGGUCGAGGAGUUAGUACUCCACUCGACUACAGUGAACCCCAAGGUCCGUUAUCAAUUCGCCCAAGCCCUGGCCUGCUCGACUCGAUUAAAGACCAAUGGGGUAUGAGCUCAGAUAGCACAAUUCAGUUGUCGGGCAAAGCCCUCAACCAUGUCAAAUCAUACAUGUAGACAAUUUCACCUUUUGACAGUAAUAGUAAUACAGAUAAGAGAUCGAAAGCGAUAACGUACACUCUCGUCUCAUUCAAGCCAUUCAAGUUCACAUAACAAGUAUAAUCAACCAUUUAAAUAGUAGACCAUAUAAUGGCACACUCACCAAGGUAAGUAAGCAAAUUCAUAAGUUAGCUUCAGGCGUAGGCGUCGCAGUACCGGUACGACCUAUACAACAAAAAUAUCACAAUUAAGACUCGAACACGAGUCAAAGCAAAUCCACACACUACCAAAAAUAAGGCCCAAUAGAAUGUAUAAGUGCAUAACCAAGCUAGGGAGGGUCCGGAAAUGGAGUUUAUGCCCUAGAACCAAAAGACAGUUUUGACGUCAUUUAGCGGAACGGACACAACUAGAACUACACUUAUCGGAUUGGGGCGCAAUUUAUGCCGUUUCGAAUCUAAGCCAGAAAGCUAUAAUUUUGAUGAAGACUACUUAGCCCAGUCCUCACCCUAACUAGAUCAAAUUUACCCAAAACAACUCCAGAUUUUCAAGUUCAAAGCUUACUGCGGAAUUCAACUAGCAAUCCUGAUUCAUUCACUCAUAUCUCAGCAAACACAACUCCAAUUCAGGUAAUUCUAAAGCCAUUUGAAAGCUAAGAUAUAAGGCUAUAAUUCUUAAGAAAACACCAACAAUCAAUUCGGGAAUAUUCCUGGUCAAACUAACCAAUUACAUAAGCUGAUUAUCAGUUUUGGACAGAAACAGGGCAGCAGGGAUAUUUCGGUCUUUUUACAGGCUACGUUGCUCCGAUUGAGCUGAAAUUUGCAGGCAACUAUAAAACAUUAUUCUCUACAACUUUCAUGUUUUAUACUAAGGCCAAUUUGACCUCUAACUAGGAGAAACAGUACCGGACAGAACAGGGUUACUUAAAACCCUAAAAUCUGGAAUUUUCCUACAAAAGCGGAAUUGUUCCGCAAUCAACCACCAUUAACACAUAGAAGCUCUAAAUUAUUCAAUAUAAGGCUAUCAUAUCUUAGCUAACUACAAUAAACUAUAUAAAACAGAAAAUUUCCCAAUAAAUAGAAAAAUUGAGCAAUUCCACCAUAACCCAUGAAAUAAUCCACUAAAUAGCAUGCUUCACCACUAGAAUCCCUUAAUUGAACAUUACUAUGAUGAAAGGGACAAUAUCUUGACAAAUCACCUUUGCAACCUCAAGAAACAAGAUAGCUAAGGCUUGUUCUUCCCAAAUGGCUCCACCAAUCACCUUAAACUCACAUCUCAACUCACUUUUGUGGAGAAAUUUGAAAGAUUAACAGUUGGUUUCCAAGAUUGAAGCAAGAAAGGAAGAGAAAUUGAAGAAGCUCUAUCUCUUCUUUGGCUUCAAAGUGCAUGGCCAAAAGAAAGAAAAUGGAGAUGAUUUUGUGGGUCAAAAUUACUUUAGGAAAGGUGAUAUACUCUAGUCAAAGUCCAACCUCCAUUAGGGUUAUGACAAGUGGCAUUUUUGUGUUUAUCUCAUUCCUUUGUCUUCCAAUACCUAAUUACACUAGCUACCCUCUAAUUAACUCAUAGCACCAUGAUAUAAACCCUGUAUAUUGAAAACCUACACAGUAAUCACAUUCCCCAUACUUAGCGCGCUAGUGGGUCCCACAUCCACUGUGCACCUCCACUACCACAGAAAAUGACUUAUUCCAGGAAAAUGGUUUAAAAGUCAUAUUUUCUCAUAAAAAUCCCUAGAAAAUGUGCAUAUUAAAGAAAACACUAAAAUUAAGCCCAAAUGCCUAAAAUAAUUGCCUAGAAAAUAAGAAAAUGUUCGGGGUCUCACACUCUCUCCCCCUUAAAGAAUUUCGUUCUCGAAAUUUCUCACCUGCGUCAUUAAACAAUCCUGGGUAUCUCGUUUUCAUCUCCUUCUCCAUCUCCCAGGUUGCCUUUUCGACCCCGUGGUUCUUCCAUAGAAUUUUCACCAGUGAAAUUUGUUUAUUUCUCAGCUUCUUAACUUCUCUAUCAAGUACUCGCACAGGUCUCUCCUCGUAGGUAAGGGUUUCAUCAAUUUCAAUCUCCUCCGGUUGCAUAAUGUGAGUUGGAUCGGGGUAAUACUUUUUGAGCAUUGAUACAUGGAAUACAUCGUGAAUCCGUGACAAGCUUGGCAGCGUAUGCUACUUUCCCAACUCGUUAAAGAAUCGAGAAGGGUCCUACGAACCUAGAUUGGAGUUUCUUUCCUCUGCCAGCAGUGACACUCCGCAACGGGGAAAUCUUAAGGAAAACAUGGUCUCCGACUUCAAAUUCCAGAUCUUUCCUUCGAUUAUCUGCGUAGCUCUUUUGGCGACUUUGAGCUGCCUGGAGUCUCUGACGGAUUGACUUGAUUUUUUCUUGGGCAUCCUCCAUCCAAGGAAUGAUAGUAGGGUCUAAGAUCUUCUUUUCUCCUACUUCAUCCCAGUAUAUUGGCGAACUGCACUUUCGCCCAUAAAGAGCUUCAUACGAUGCCAUUUGGAUCGAUGAAUAGUAACUGUUAUUGUAGGCGAACUCCACUAACGUCAUAUGUUGACCCCAAUUACCCCCGAAAUCUAGAAUACAAGUGCGUAACAUGUCCUCGAGGGUUUGAAUCGUCCGCUCCGACUGUCCAUCCGUCUGAGGAUGAUAAGUGGUGCUUAAAUUCAGUUUCGUCCCCAAAGUCUCCUAAAUCUUUUGCCAAAAUUUGGACAUGAAACGAGGGUCUCGGUCGGAAACUAUACUUACGGCCACACCAUGUAAUCUCACAAUUUUCUCCAAAUACAUCCGAGCUAACUUAUCCAUGGAAUACUUCAUAUUCACAGGUAAGAAAUGAGCCGACUUGGUCAACCGAUCAACGAUUACCCAAACGGCAUCAUGUCCUUUUUGGAUUCUAGGUAGUCCAAAAACGAAGUCCAUGGUGAUAUGCUCCCACUUCCAUUCGGGUAUCUCCAGAGGCUGAAAUAGUUCCGAAGGUUUUUGGUGUUCGGUUUUAACUUGCUGGCAUACUAGACAGGUUUGUACAUAUUGGGCUAUCUCUCUCUUCAUCUUGUCCCACCAGUACAAUUGUCGCAAGUCUUGAUACAUCUUAUUACUACUCGGAUGGAUUGUAUAUUUGGAUCGAUGAGUUUACUCCAAAAUUUUUCUUCUCAGGUUUUCAUCAUUAGGCAUCACUAUUCGAUUCCGAAAACUCAAAAUCCCUUCAGGAUUUAAAUUGAAAUCCAAAAUUUCUCCUUUCUUCACCUUUUCCACCCAUUUCUGAAUCAUCGAAUCCUCCGCUUGAGCUUCUUUAAUUCGAUCCAAUAGUGUGGAUGUCACACGGAUAUUUGUAAAAGUUAUCUUCUUAUGUUCCAAUCAUGGAUUUCACUCCCCAACGGUUCCCAACAAUUCCCACUCCUUCACCAUUAACCCAGAAAUCUGAGCCUUCCGACUUAGGGCAUCAGCUACAACAUUAGCCUUACCCGGAUAGUAGUUAAUAGUACAAUCAUAAUCUUCUAAAAAUUCCAUCCACCGGCGUUGUCUCAUGUUCAACUCCUUCUGGAAAAAAAUAUAUUUAAUGCUCUUAUGAUCGGAAUAGACCUCAAAGGUUACCCUGUACAAAUAGUGUCUCCACUUUUUCAGAGCAAAGAUAACUGCCGCCAGCUCUAAGUCGUGGGUGGGAUAGUCUUGUUCAUGGAUUUUCAGUUUUCUAGAAGCAUAGGCUAUCAUAUUCUGGUGUUGCAUCAGUACGCAUCCCAAACCUUCUCUAGAGGCGUCGGUGUAAACAGUAAAACUGUCCUUACCGUUAGGUAAGGCCAGAAUAGGGGCCAUGCUUAACCUUCGCUUCAACUCUUGAAAACUGUUCUCACACUUAUCACUCCACAGAAACCGACCACCCUUCUUCGUUAGAUCAGUUAAGGGACUGGCAAGUUUCGAAAAAUCUUUAAUAAAUCGCCGGUAAUAACCUGCCAACCCUAGAAAAUUUCGAAUUUCAAUAGGAUUGCCGGGUCUCUUCCACUCAGUCGCUGCCUUUACCUUGGCCGGAUCUACUGCAAUUCCUUCCUUUGAAAUCACGUGCCCCAGGAAAGAAACCUUCUCUAACCAAAACUCGCACUUACUAAAUUUGGCGUACAACCGGUGCUCCCUCAGGGUUUGUAAGACCUCUUUCAAAUGUUGCACAUGCUCCUCACGGGUUUUUGAAAAAACCAAAAUGUUAUCGAUAAAAACAACGACAAAUCGAUCCAGAUAGGGUUUGAAAAUCCGAUGCAUAAGGUCCAUAAAAGCGGCAGGGGCAUUGGUUAGCCCAAAAGGUAUCACGGCGAAUUCGUAAUGCCCAUAACGAGAACUGAAAGCAGUCUUAGGCACAUCUUCCUUCCUAAUCAACAAUUGAUAGUAUCCCUAUCGAAGAUCUAACUUAGAAAAGACCACCGCACCUUGCAACUGGUCAAAUAACUCAUCAAUGUGGGGCAAUGGAUACUUAUUCUUAAUGGUUACAUUGUUCAACCCUUGGUAAUCGAUACACAGUCUCAAGGUCCCCUCCUUCUUCUUAACAAAGAGAACAGGUGCCCCCCAAGGUGAUCCACUCUCAUGAAUAAAACCUCGCUCUAAAAGGUCUUGCAACUGCAACUUCAAUUCUUUGAGUUCAGCAGGUGCCAUUCGGUAGGGAGUCUUGGAAAUAGGGGAAGCCCCCGGUAAUAGGUUAAUUUCAAACUCAAUCUCUCUUUCCGGAGGUAAAUUCACUAACUCAUCGGAAAAUACGUCUGGAUAUUCACUCACUACGGAAACAUUUUCUAUUUUUAGUUUAUCGGUAGGAGUGUUAAUGAGAAAAACUAGGAACCCCUGUGCCCCUCUACUCAGUAGUUUCCUAACCCGAAUUCUCGAAAUCAUAGCAGAUGAGACUAGACUACCCCUCACAUCUAAUCUCAAAGUUGCCUCCCCAGGGAUACGAAAUUUAAAAAUUUUUCUUUUACAAUCUAAUUGGGCAUCGUAUCGAGCCAACCAAUCCAUGCCCAAUAUCACAUCGUACCCCUUAAUGGCCAAACUUAUCAAAUUCCCCAACAACUUUCUCUCUCCUACCUAGAUUUCACAAUUUGUAUACAAUUUGCUAGAAAUCAAACAUUGGUCCCCCGUAGGGGCACUAACUUCCAGCUCAUAGGGGAGAGUGACAGCGUGUAUAUCGAUUCCACACAUAAACUCAGGGUUAACGAAGGAAUGGGUGGCACCAGAGUCUAUCAAAAUUCUAGUUAGGCGGUGGAAGAUAGGGAUCUUACCUUCCACCACCUCUGUCGAGUCAGCAACCGGACGCUGCUCGAUGGAGUAUACUUGAGCAGGCACCUUCGGUUUUGCUCCUUCUACCCGCGACUGAGUUCCUCUCACUUCCCGAGACUGGACCGGACAACUGGCGAGCCGGUGCUCCGUACUCCCACAGCGUAAGCACUUGUUCUGCUUCCUCCAAUAGUCGUCCUCCAUGUGGUUUAAUUUCCCACAGAAGCUACACGGUCCACAAGAAACAGUGGCUGAACUCCCUUGCGAGGCGCUCCUCUACUGGCCUCGUCCCGAUUGGCCACCUCGGGAUGGAGUCCCUUUUGCCGUCCCCGAGGACCGUCCCCCUCCGGCUCCCUUUCCAAAUUUGGGAAGGGUACCUUUAUCCCCUUGAGUUGGGCUACUCCCAGAAGCUCCACGUUUUCUAUUUUGAAAGUUCCUCACUUGAAACCUGGCAUUCUCAGAUUGUAAGGUUUUCUCAAUUACAUCACCAAAAGUGGUAAUUUGGGCUACGGCCAAAUCCUUUUGACCUUUUGAAUUUCUACGUUAAGCCCCUGAAGGAAACCUCUCGCCCUCCUUUGUUUGGUUAGAAUAAGUUCAGGAGCGAAUUUGGACAAGCGGGUAAACUGGUUCUCGUAUUCAGCCACAGAUUGGGUGCCUUGGCGGAGUCGAAUGAACCCGUCUUCCUUCUUCUCUUGGACCAAUGGCAGAAAGUACUCGGUAUUGAACUCCCUUACGAAGUUCACCCACGUUCUUGGUGUCUGUUCUCGCUCCCAUUUCGUCUGGAUAAUAUUCCAUCAAGAACGAGCGGCCCCUUCUAAUUGAAAGACCGCAAAAGUAACCUGCCUCUCCUCCAAGUAAUGUAGAGCGGCAAAAUGUCUAUCAUCUUUUCUAACCACUGUUCGGCGACGUCCGAAUCGGGCCCUCCAAGAAACUUUGGUGGAGAGAAUUUUUGAAACCGUUCGAGAGCUCGAUCCUCGCUCUCGACGUGAUUUCCAGGAUUUUCAGGGUUACCAACUGGUGGAACAGGGUUGGGGCCCUAUUGUUGCACCACCUGGGCUAAGAGAUCAGUCAUCCGCUGGAUAGCAGCGGCUACCUGAAUGUUGGGAUCAAUUUGGGGUUCAGAAUUUGGUUCGGGCAUAGCGGUCCCAGUAUCCCGUUCAGUCAUGGCAUGGGCUGUCUACCCCCACGUCCCCUGCCUCGGCCACUACGCGUGCCUUCUAUCGAUCUAAGUCAAUCUAAGGUCGAGACACGAAGAUAAUAUUAAAAGUGCAUACAAACAUAGUCAUAUAAGCAUGAACAAAGAACCAAAAUAAACAUCACAUAAGGCAUGUAUACACAUAGAGCAGUUAUACAUAGAACACAUAACUGUGUCAAACAGUCAUACAUAAACAGUCAAGCAAAUAUAUACAAAAGUACUCCUAUGAAGCCAAAAGAGAGUCUUCCAAAAUACACUAUACAAACUAGGUCUCAAAAGUACCACACAACAAACCAAAAGCUUUUCCUAGGCAUCCCUCGCAUGGGAUCAAAACAUAGUCCAAAGAACUCUAGCCUAGUUCUCAACUGAGCCAACCGACUCUUCCCCAGAGCUAGAGCUAGGGGCGCCUCCCUCUCCUGGAGCUCCGUCACCUGGAACUCCCCCUAACACAUUGGCGUCAAUCACUCUCUGGAUUAGCGCCUCACACUCGUUGAUAAUACCGCCGGACUGGUCUCUCACCUCCCGGACUACUCUAGUGAGACGGUCGUUAACCACCUGCAACUGCUCCCUCAGAGUGUUCGUUCACUCUUGCUCCAUGGCCACAUCCCCCUGGAGCUCUCCAAUCCGAUCGGCCUGCAUCCUUAUGAUGCCCCUAAGCCUAAGAGUCUUAGUGUACUCCCUGGCGGUGGCACAUCUUAGCCUCCUUCGUUCAGCAAGUACCGCCACGACCACGUGGUUCGCGUAAGAGUAAUACUGACAAUGCCUAUAGGGGCGGGUUCGGCUAGCGGUAUACCACAGCCGAAUCGGAUCUCCCGAUCUCUCCUGGUAAUCGAUGACUCGUGGGCGCCUCUAAUGUGGCUCACCUCCGCCCGCUCCACUAGUUCCGGCCAUAACCUACAAAGAUAGCAAAAGUUUAUAUCUUAGACAAUAUAUUCACACUUAAUGGCGUCCAAACGCAAUCCCCAAAGGUUCUAAGAAUCAGGUUUCAGAUUCGCCCAAGUUAUUUCUAACCUAGGCUCUGAUACUGCCUGUGACAGCCCGCCUUCCCCUAAGGCGUACCAAAGGGGUUAGCAGACUGCCUGCCUAACUCUCGCCAGGACUACUAACACGGUUGUAUACAAACUAAAACGUUCCAAAAUAUUUUAGCGCGCUCAAAAGAAUCAAAGUCACGAAACAAAAACGAGAAAACGGGGCCGCACAUGAAUAGUGUCGUAUCUGUUCGAAACCUAUACAAGUGCAAUAACUUUGUAUACUCCAAGUAAGGGACAUUUCCAAGCCAAAGUAACACAUGAACAUUUCCAAACACCCUUAUACACGCAUAAUUACAAUUUUACAUCUCAAAAGAAAUGCUGGAUCCAAGUACAUGUGUGGAUUUCUCAACUAUCGAGGAGCUAUACAAAAGAAUAUUCAAAACUAGCUCAACUGGGCUUCAAAACCUCAUAGUUUCCCAAAAGGUUACUCCCUAUAAGGAAAACAAAGUAACGAGGGGUGAGCAUAUGCUCGUGAGGUACCACCAAGACACACCAAUGAACACAUUUUAUCACAUAGUGACCCAAACCUCAUAAACAAAACAAGUCAAUAUAAAAGGAUACAAUUGGCUCUCAAGAGCCACUUUCCACAUGCCGCACUUGAUCUCUAACCCGUUGACACUCCGUCAACCUUCAAAGCGAAGAAUAUUCCGUAGACCCCCACUUUACUCCAUAUCCCUUCCACCGGUCACCUCCUUACCGGGUCCGAACACCACACAGUAACAGAGAGGAUAAUACUCGAGUAUACCAUAAGGUCGAGGAGUUAGCACUCCACUCGACUACAGUGAAUCCCAAGGUCCGUUAUCGAUUCGCCCAAACCCUGGCCGACUCGACUCGAUUAAAGACCAAUGGGGUAUGAGCUCAGAUAGCACAGUUCAGUUGUCGGGCAAAGCCUCAGCCAUGUCAAAUCAUACAUGUAGACAAUUUCACCUUUUGACAGUAAUAGUAAUACAGAUAAGAGAUCGAAAGCGAUAACGUACACUCUCGUCUCCUUCAAGCCAUUCAAGUUCACAUAACAAGUAUAAUCAACCAUUUAAACAGUAGACCAUAUAAUGGUACACUCACCCAGGUAAGUAAGCAAAUUGACAAGUUAGCUUCAGGCGUAGGCGUCGAAGUACCGGUACGACCUAUACAACAAAAAUAUCACAAUUAAGACUCGAACACGAGUCAAAGCAAAUCCACACACUACCAAAAAUAAGGCCCAAUAGAAUGUAUAAGUGCAUAACCAAGCUAGGGAGGGUCCGGAAAUGGAGUUUAUGCCCUGGAACCAAAAGACAGUUUUGACGUCAUUUAGCGGAACGGACACAACUGGAACUACAUUUAUCGGAUUGGGGCGCAAUUUAUGCCAUUUCGAAUCUAAGAUAGAAAGCUAUAAUUUUGAUGAAGACUACUUAGCCCAGUUCUCACCCUAACUAGAUCAAAUUUACCCAAAACAACUCCAGAUUUUCCAGUUCAAAGCUUACUGUGGAAUUCAACUAGCAGUCCUAAUUCAUUCACUCAUAUCUCAGUAAACACAACUCCAAUUCAGGUAAUUUCAAAGCCAUUUGAAAGCUAAGAUACAAGGCUAUAAUUCUUAAGAGACACCAACAACCAAAUCGGGAAUAUUCCUGGUCAAACUAACCAAUUACAUAAGCUAAUUAUCAGUUUCGGACAGAAACAUGGCAGCAGGGGUAUUUCGGUCUUUUUAUAGGCUACGUUGCUCCGAUUGAACUGAAAUUUUGUAGGCAACUAUAAAAUAUCAUUCUCUACAACUUUCAUGUUUUAUACUAAGGCCAAUUCAGCCUCUAACUAGUAGAAACAGUACCAGGCAGAACAGGGUUACUUAAAACCCUAAAAUCUGGAAUUUUCCUACAAAAGCGGAAAUGUUCUGCAAUCAACCACCAUUAACACAUAAAAGCUCUAAAUUAUUCAAUAUUAGGCUAUCAUACCUUAGCUAACUACAAUAAACUAUAUAAAACAGAAAAUUUCCCAAUAAAUAGAAAAAUUGAACAAUUCCACCAUAACCCAUGAAAUAAUCCACUAAAUAGCAUGCUUCGCCACUAGAAUCCCUUAAUUGAACAUUACUAUGAUGAAAGGGACAAUAUCUUGACAACUCACCUUUGCAACCUCAACAAACAAGAUAGCUAAGACUUGUUCUUCCCAAAUGGCUCCACCAAUCACCUUAAACUCACCUCUCAACUCACUUUUGUAGAGAAAUUUGAAAGAUUAACGGUUGGUUUCCAAGAUUGAAGCAAGAAAGGAAGAGAAAUUGAAGAAGCUCUCUCUCUUCUUUGGCUUCAAAGUGCACGGCCAAAAGAAAGAAAAUGGAGAUGAUUUUGUGGGUCAAAAUUACUUUAGGAAAGGUGAUAUACUCUAGUCAAAGUCCAACCUACUUUAGGGUUACGACAAGUGGCAUUUUUGUGUUUAUCUCAUUCCUUUGUCGUCCAAUACCUAAUUACACUAGCUACCCUCUAAUUAACUCAUAGCACCAUGAUAUAAACCCUGUAUAUUGAAAACCUACACAGUAAUCACAUUCCCCAUACUUAGCGCGCUAGUGGGUCCCACAUCCACUGUGCACCUCCACUACCACAGAAAAUGACUUAUUCCUGGAAAAUGGUUUAAAAGUCAUAUUUUCUCAUAAAAAUCCCCAGAAAAUGUACAUAUUAAGGAAAACACUAAAAUUAAGCCAAAAUGCCUAAAAUAAUUGCCUAGAAAAUAAGAAAAUGUUCGGGGUCUCACAAAAUGAAAGUGAUUCAUUUGUUAGUUCAUUAGUGAGGGCCUAAAAAUUAAAGGUUUUGGAUUCAAAUUCCUUUCCCUCUCCCUACUUCUUAAAUCCCACCUCUUAUCUGUUAGAAAAAUUAUAUAUCUAUUGCCUCAGUAUUAUACUACUGUCAACUUUCAACUGUCAAAUAAUAUAGUGGCUUAACACUUAAACAUUAAAAGUUCCAAUUAAUACGAUCUUAUAUUUAGAAACAAAUCAUUGGUAUUUUAUGUUACACACAAACUAUUAAAUUCAAAUCAAAGGCCAAAUAAACAGAGCCAAAUUGUUUUGUUUUAGUUGGUUCGUUCAAUUAUUUUUUUGGUCAAAUAGCAACAUUUUUCUUUGUAACAGUUUAGCCAAAUUGUUAGUCCUAAACCGAUCCACCCAAUAGGAAGGCCAAACCGACGACCGUGGAGUCGCAGAGCAAUUUUUUUUUUUGUGGAAAUUUGAUGCAGCCAUGUUCGGCCGAAUUUUACUUAACUUUAGGUGAUCGUUAGAUCAAUUCCGGUAAGAGUACCAAGGUUGCAAAAUUUUUUGUUGCAUUUUUAUAUUUAUAGAUUUUUUUAAAGUGUACUAGUAAUUUUUUUAAGUCCCAAUCGAAUCACCCAAGGGUCACGUAGAAUUGCAUUACCCUUAGCGUCCGUUUGGUACAUGGAAUGAUAUGGGAUUGAAUUAAUCAUUUUUUGUCAUGUCAUCUUUGGUUGUAUUUUACACAUGGGAUGAUAGAUCUCAACUAACCGAACUAAUUCCCUAUUCAUGGGAUCAAAUAAUCUUAUAGAGGAAAUGGUAUUAGUCAUCCAGGGAUGACCAAGAGAUGGGAUGAUGAAAUUUUAAACUGGUUUAUUCUUACAAAUAAUAUAAAUUUAUACUCUCAUAAUUAUAUAACCUCACGCUCACACAAUAAUAUAGCAUGAAUGGACUAAUUUGCCCUUAUUACUUAUUUUAAAGUUUUUUGACCAAUACAAUAAUAUUUGGACUAAUUUGCUCUUACGAAUAAUACAAAUUCAUACUGAUAUAACCAUACUCUCACAUAAUAAUAUCAUAAUAAACUGAAUUAUUUGCCCCUACUAAUGAUAUUAAACUUUUUUCACUAAUUCGCCCAUAUUUAUUAUGUUAAAUUUUUUAACAAAUUUACCCCAAUUAAUUAUCUUAAAAUUGUCUUUGACUAAUUUGUCCCUACUUACAUAAAACGGAAAAGGACUAUAUUGCCCUUGGACUAAAUUACCCUUUACUAACCUUACUUUUGUCAACCAAGUUUUGUAUAAAUACAUAACCUUAUUAAUUGGGCUUUGCAAAUGAGAGCUUCAACAAGUUCAAUCUCGCCCCAAAGAAAAAUCUAUUGUAUUGGCUUGAAUUUGGAUCGUUUAAAACUCUUAAAUAGGUUGGAUUUUAUUCAAUUUAGCUCUAACUUGGCCAAAAAUUGGCCCAUUAUUUAAUUGAAUUUCAAAUUUAGAUCCAAAAAUUAGUUUAAAACCUAUUUUCAAGGGCUCGAAUAGGUUGAGUUUGAGCGAAUGUAAAUUUUUAUAUAUCAAAACUUUUUACUUACUUUAUAAUUCUAAAGUUUCAAAUUACUUUAUCUGAAUAAAUGUUAUAAAUUACUAAAUUAUUUUAUUACAACAAUCCUACAGAUUAAGGGGUACUUUCGACAUUAAAAUAUUAAUCCUAUCGCUUUUAAUUUCCAGCCAAACACAAGUUAGGAUCAUUUUCUAAUAUAUCAUAUUCAAUUUAGAGCCAACUAAUCACUAGAUAACUUGAAUUAUUAAUCCGAGAAUGACUCAACUUAAGAUUAACAAUUCGAGAAUGAGUUAUUUCAUCUUAUCCGGUCUAUGAACCAAACGAACCCUUAAUGAAUUAAUGCUUAUUCAAUGACAAAGUUAGGACCGUUAGAUGUUAGAGGGUGAUGUGGGCGGUCCAAAUCCAGAUCCUAAUUUUGGGUCGGAUCUCGAGAAGCCCCAAAUUGCUAUAUUUUAAAUUCGGACCGGACCGACCGAUCAAACCGAAAACCGGCCAAAUGUUCGGUUUGAGUUAUUCUAAAAAACUGGAUAGUUAGAAAUUAGUCAAAUCAGUUCAAAAAUCGGGUUUGACCGGAAAAAUCGAAAGACCCAAUGGUGUCAAUUUUUUUUAAAAGGUCAAAACAUUUUCAAUAUUAUGUUUUGACCCCAAGAUUGUUAAAAAUUAUUAAUGUACGACAAAUAUUUCAUACUCUAUAAAUUUCGUCCUAAAGUUUGGUGUUAUUUUUCAAUCAAAUCCAUAAUUUUAAUUCUGAACUUGAUAAUGUUCAUCAAAUAAUAUAAAUUGCUACUUGAUCGUUCUAAUUUUUUUGUAUUUUCUUGUUAAAUAUGUUUGAAACAUCAAAUAUAUAUGAAUAUAUUUUUAUUAAUAUUAACAUGCUUUUAGGUGUGUUACAUAUAAUAUUUUAAUUUUAAAAUAAUUUUUAUUCAUGACGUCAUCCGAUUCAAGAUCGAUUGAACCUAUUGACCCCUAAAUUCGAUCGAAUCGAUACCUUCGAUUCAAGUAUGAAAACAUAGCCAAAUUGAUGGUUUUGGUCAACUCUCGAGAUGUCUCUCCCGAGUCAUCUUGAUAUUUUACUCUAGGAAGGUGGAUCUACUGAUUUGACCCGCAUUAAUGUCCUGACACCUAAUAAGUUAGGGCGGCAUAGGAUCUCAAAUAGUUGUUAAGUAGACAUGUUAAAUCCAUUUCUUUAUAUACAAUUAAAGUGGGUUCUCGAAAAAAUUUCCUAUAAAUGGUGGAGUCGAACCACGUUAAAUAUUAUGUGUUGUUUAUCUUUCAUGCUUGUGACUUGUUUAUCAUUAAAUUGUUGUAUACUUGAUAUCUCAAUAGUUGUUCAUUCCGCGCUUGGAUCCUAACAACAUCACCACCUAUCUGUUUUACAGACUCUUUCAGGGAACUCAAAUCUGCUUCUAAUACGUGGAUUCGUCCCCUUGUGAGGUAAUCCGAAACAUGUUGAUAUAUCUUUCCUCAGCUUGUGCCGAAUGCCUCCUCCAAAGAAGCCGCCUUUACGUACUCUGCCUCCUGCUUCUUCGGAUAUGGCACCAUUGUUAUUGGUGUGAGUGCGCUUCUCGGCAGUGGUGGUGGACUCUGGAAUGGGCUUGUUGGAAGUCUUAGACUUGUUGGGAGUCUUGGAAGUAGCACCGCCACCGGCGUUGGACGGGGUGGGCAGAAUCACAGAUGUCUUUUUUUUAUUUCUUGAUCUUCCCUUUAAACAGGUGACGGAGCCGCCUCGCUGCAUCUCCGGCACCAUUGUUCCGUGGGAGCGUAGAGCAAGUCUCGUAAAAAGAUUGAGGGAGCACGGGAUUUGCUUUAAAAAAUGAACAGAAUCUUUUAAAUCGUGGUGAAGUGGCGGCCAUUUUUACGCACAAUCAGCGGACGAAUUUGAACGGAGUCGGUAGUGUGGGACCGGAGAGAGAAAAUGCCAAUUAACUGAAAAUUUUGGAAAUUAACUGAAAAUUAAAUCUGCUCCAACUUGCCAAUUAAGUGAAAAUAUUUCUCAUCUUCGUUUCUUUUUUAACCUCACAAGCAAGACAUGAUUUAGAGUUUUGAUUUUAUUCGGUUAUCUUCUUAAUAUAACAAAAGUUCUUAACCUUCUCUUUCUAUUCUUAAACUUUACAUAAUAAAAAAUAUAUAUAUACCCGUUAAGUAUAUCUUUAUAUGCAACAAAGAGGCAGAAAUAAUUUGUAUAUGCAGACAUGCAUACAUACAGUUGAUUACAUUUUACAUGUCCACUUUUUGUGUGCCUAUAUUUGUGUAUCACUGUAGAUCAUUAGUCUACUAUACUAUAUAAUUGCGUUGGUUUGUCAAUAUAUACAUAUAUGUCCAAUUCAUAAUAAUACUGAUAUAUUUCAUUUUGGAAAAUAAAAUGAAAGUGGUGAUGCAUUACUUAGUUCAUUCGUGAAAAAGUAAUAGAUACGUGUAUACAAUGUCACUACAUAAAAGAUUAAUUAUAUAUGUGUACCAUUGAGGUGGGGCUAUCAACAAUCAAAUUAUAUAAUAUCAAAUAGAAAAUGAAAGUGAUGCAUUUGUUAGUUCAUUAGUGAGGGCCUAAAAAUUAAAGGUUUUGGAUUCAAAUUCCUUUCCCUCUCCCUGCUUCUUAAAUUCCACCUCUUAUCUGUUAGAAAAAUUAUAUAUCUAUUGCCUCAGUAUCAUACUACUGUCAACUUUCAACUGUCAAAUAAUAUAGUGGCUUAACACUAAACAUUGAAAGUUCUAAUUAGUACGAUCUUAUAUUUAGAAACAAAUCAUUGGUAUUUUAUGUUACACACAAACUAUUAAAUUCAAAUAAAAGGCCAAAUAAACAGAGCCAAAUUGUUUUGUUUUAGUUGGUUCGUUCAAUUAUUUUUUUGGUCAAAUAACAACAUUUUUCUUUGCAACAGUUUAGCCAAAUUGUUAGUCCUAAACCGAUCCACCCAAUAGGAAGGCCAAAUCGACGCCCUGGAGUUGUAGAGCAAUUUUUUUUUUUUGUGGAAAUUUAAUGCAGCCAUGUUCGGCCGAAUUUUACUUGCUCUUGGGUGAUCGUUAGACCAAUUCCGGUAAGAGUACCAAGGUUGCUAAAUUUUUUGUUGCAUUUUUAUAUUUAUAGAUUUUUUUUAAAGUGUACUAGUAAUUUUUUUAAGUCCCAAUCGAAUCACCCAAGGGUCACGUAGAAUUGCGUUACCCUUAGCGUCCGUUUGGUACAUGGAAUGAUAUGGGAUUGAAUUAAUCAUUUUGUGUCAUUUCAUCUUUGGUUGUAUUUUACACAUGGGAUGAUAGAUCUCAACUAACCGAACUAAUUCCCUAUUCAUGGGAUCAAAUAAUCUUAUAGAGGAAAUGGUAUUAGUCAUCCAGGGAUGACCAAGAGAUGGGAUGAUGAAAUUUUAAACUGGUUUAUCCUUACAAAUAAUAUGAAUUUAUACUCUCAUAAUUAUAUAACCUCACACUCACACGAUAAUAUAGCAUGAAUGGACUAAUUUGCCACUAUUACUUAUUUUAAAGUUUUUUGACCAAUACAAUAAUAUUUGGACUAAUUUGCUCUUAGGAAUAAUACAAAUUCAUACUGAUAUAACCAUACUCUCACAUAAUAAAAUCAUAAUAAACUGACUUAUUUGCCCCUACUAAUUAUAUUAAACUUUUUUCACUAAUUCGCCCAUAUGUAUUAUGUUAAAUUUUUUAACAAAUUUACCCCAAUUAAUUAUCUUAAAAUUGUCUUUGACUAAUUUGUCCCUACUUACAUAAAAAGAAAUGGACUAUAUUGCUCUUGGACUAAAUUACCCUUUACUAAAGUUACUUUUGUCAACCAAGUUCUGUAUAAAUACAUAACCUUAUUAAUUGGGCUUUGCAAAUGAGAGCUUCAACAAGUUCAAUCUCGCCCCAAAGAAAAAUCUGUUGUAUUGGCUUGAAUCUCGAUCAUUUAAAACUCUUAAAUAGGUUGGAUUUUAUUCAAUUUAGCUCUAACUUGGCCAAAAAUUGGCCCAUUAUUUAAUUGAAUUUCAAAUUUAGAUCCAAAAAUUAGUUUAAAACCUAUUUUUAAGGGCUCGAAUAGGUUGAGUUUCAGCGAAUGUAAAUUUUUAUAUAUCAAAACUUUUUACUUACUUUAUAAUUCUAAAGUUUCAAAUUACUUUAUCUGAAUAAAAGUUGUAAAUUACUAAAUUAUUUUAUUACAACAAUCCUACAGAUUAAGGGGUACUUUCGACAUUAAAAUAUUAAUCCUAUCGCUUUUAAUUUCCAGCCAAACACGAGAUAGGAUCAUUUUCUAAUAUAUCAUAUUCAAUUUAGAACCAACUAAUCCCUAGAUAACUUGAAUUAUUAAUCCGAGAAUGACUCAACUUAAGAUUAACAAUUCGAGGAUGAGUUAUUUCAUCUUAUCCGGUCUAUGAACCAAACGAACCCUUAAUGAAUUAAUGCUUAUUCAAUGACAAAGUUAGGACCGUUAGAUGUUAGAGGGUGAUGUGGGGGGUCCAAAUCCAGAUCCUGAUUUUGGGUCGGAUCUCGAGAAGCCCCAAAUUGCUAUAUUUUUAAAUUCGGACUGGAAUGACCGAUCGAAUCGAAAACCGGCCAAAUGUCCGGUCUGAGUUAUUCGAAAAAACUGGAUAGUUAGAAAUUAGUCAAAUCUGGUAAAAAAUCGGGUUUGACAGGAAAAAUCGGAAGACCGGUUGGUGUCAAUUUUUUUUAAAAGGCCAAAACAUUUUUAAUAUUAUGUUUGGACCCCUCGUUCGUUAAAAAUUAUUAAUAUACGACAAAUAUUUCAUACUUUAUAAAUGUCGUUCUAAAGUUUGGUAUUAUUUUUCAAUCAAAUAUAUAAUUUUAAUUCUAAACUUGAUAAUGUUCAUUAAAUAAUAUAAAUUGCUACUUGAUCGUUCUAAUUUCUUUCUUUUUUCUUGUUAAAUAUGUUUGAAACAUCAAAUAUAUAUGAAUAUAUUUUUAUUACUAUUAACAUGCUUUUAGGUAUUUUACAUACAAUAUUUUAAUUUUUGAAUAAUUUUUAUUUAUGACGUCAUCCGAUUCAAGAUCAAUUAAACCCAUUGACCAUUAACCCCUAAAGUCGAUCGAAUCGAUACCCCCGAUUCAAGUAUGAAAACAUAACCAAAUUGAUGGUUUUGGUCAACUGUCGAGAUGUCUCUCCCAAAUCAUCUCGAUAUUUUACUAUAGGAAGGUGGAUUUAUUGAUUUGACCCGCAUUAAUGUCCUGACACCUAAUAAGUUAGGGCGGCAUAGGAUCCAAAGUAGCUGUUAAGUAGUCAUGUUAAAUCCAUUUUUUUAUAUACAAUUAAAGUGGAUUCUCCAAAAAACUUCCAUUUGUGGUAACAAAAAACUCUCUCUCUCACUCUUAACUUUUUUUCGGAUUUGGGGCCGGGACGGUUAUCAGACGGACCGUCCUUGAGCAGUCUGCUCACAAAAGGAAAUGAAAGGAUUGCAAUGGACCACGUCAUGUAGGCUUCAGUGGGGGUUAGAACGAUGCCGUGUUAAGGAAAAACGCGAAAAACAAAAAGAAAAAGAGUUGACGGACUGUUUCAUGAGGCGAUAGUUCGUUACCUCCCAAAUGAAUCCUCAAAACAAAAAGCUAAGUCGUACUCCCUCCAAAAUAAUAGCCCAUAUUCAUUGAUGCAAAAUUCUACAAAACAGAGUAAGAAAGAAAAGCAAAGGGAAAAUAACAUUGCAGAAUUGAAAAUUGCCAGAUUGUAUACAAGGGAUAGCAAGAAGUAGUAGAAAUAGAGUGGCUGCGAAGGAAAAUCACGCGUGGAGAAGCAAUAAGUAAUGGCAGAAGGAGAGAGUUUAGGAUUGGUACUCAAAUAUCAAAGGGCUUGAGAAAGGUGAACUGGAAUUGUGGCGUACAAGGUUAGGAGAUCCGGAGAAGAGAUAAAGCAGAAGAAACACAGGUAAAAAACUAUCAAUGGUAUCAGAUAAAUUGUGGAUCGAUUUGACUUGUAGUUAUCUUUUGUUGUAUACAUCGUUGUGAACAAAUGGGCUGAUUAUACUUGUUGCAGUUUUGGUUGAAAUAAUUGUUUAAUACAGUGGAAAAUGGGUAAUAUACUGGAACCUUCGGUUGCACAUAGUAAGUAUUAUAAUUACCAACACGGGGAAAGAAAGGUAUUGAAAAUUUUGCACACCAAGUGCUUGCAAAAUUGCGUGCAUGGGUUGGGGAUUGUUAUGGUUAUUGUGCAUGAAGUUGGUGUAUGUUUUGUUACAUAACAGUGGCUAAGUGGAGAUUAAAGAUGAUAUGGGCUUCUAAGAUGGUACAUACUGUUGAGGGAGACAUACAAAGUGAAGUGAAAUGGUUACAAGAUAUUUCAUUUAAGGGCGCCGUAGGAGAGAAGAUUAUAAUGCGCUAAGUAGAAGAGAAUGUUAUAAUUUGACAAUGGCAGGCAGAAAGUAUGCCAAACUGUGCAGUUUGGCAUACUCAAUGUGGAAACAAGUUUACAAGUCUUGAUAGGUAUUGUGUUUGCACAUCAUGUUGGACAAAUUAUUUAUGCAAUGAGUCACUAGUGACACCUUCAGAAUGGUGUGUAAAAUUGCCCCAACAAAUGAUAAAAUUGCAAGAAUGUAAUUGUCACUUCACUGGAAUUGUAUACUAGCACAGUGCUUAGAUAGACAAGUUUAUUGCAUGGAACUGAAUAAGUAGGAGAGUAGGUUAUAAUUUGACAAUGUGUGGCAAAAGAAAUAACAAAUUGUGAAGUUUGGCAUAUUCAGUGAGGGAAAACGGUUAUGAAUCUCGUUAGUUAUUAUGGGUGCACAUCAUAUUGGAUAAUUGUUACAUGCAGUGAUUCAGCACUGACAGUAUUAGAAGUGUUGUGUAAAAUUGGUUGAACAUACGUUGAAAUUGUUCCACGGGUUUGUUAUUUCAUUAGUAUUAUUGAAUACCAUGAUAAAUGAAGGAAAAGUUGAUUGCAUCGAACUUGAUAGGUAGAAGAAUAGAUUAUGAUAUGACUAAAUUAGGCAUAAUUAACAAGCAACUUUGCACGGUUGCAAACAAAUUGUGAAAAGAAGAUUACUAGUUCAGUAAUUAUUGUGGUUGGACACCAUGUUUGAUAGUUGUUACACACAGUAGGUCAGAAGUGACAGUAAUAGAAUUGCUCUGUAAAAUUAUAUCAACAUACUGUAAAAUUGCUUGCCCCCGUGUGCUACUUCAUUGGUAUUGUACAAUAGCAUGAUAAAUAGAAGAAGAAGUUGAUCCCAAGCAAAACCUGAUAGGUAGGACAACAAAUUAUGUUGAUUAGUGCUAGUUGGAAUAAAUAACAAACCGUGAAGAAUAACUUAUUCAAUGUGAAAAAAAAUGUUACAAGUUGUACUAUAGCUAGUGUGACUAAUAUUUGAAACUCAUAUAUUAUGCUUAGCAGUACUUCAUCAUAUAUUAUGCGUGUGGUUGGAAAUGAGAUUUUGAAACUGAAGUGCAAUUUAUUUGUAAAAAACAUUAGUUUACAUGACAAGAAUGCGAUGAAGAAGCUCACGUCAGGAAAUAGAGAGAGAAGAACUAGUUAAAACAAUUAGUGAAACAGAACACGAGGCACCACCCAAAUCAUUGAAUAGGUAAGUGGCCAGUGCUUGUGUAUAGUCAUGACAGGUUGGAUUUGUCAUCAUUAUAAUGCAUUACAAUGUUGAUAAUACAGGGGCCGGAUGGGAAGGAAAAGAACCAAUAAAAAGAAUGAUCGUUUAGAUGGAAAGGAAGAAAUGCAGACAGUAAGAACAAACGAGGUCGCAGAACCAAUCCCACGAUUGAAUCCAUGGAUGAAGUUUAGGUAAGAUCAUUGAAUUUGAGGAAAAAAUAAUGUUACUAAAUAACACAAAUAACUUUGGAAUUUUGAAUGUGGAUAGGAAAGAGUAUCAACGCAUGGUUUCGGCGAAGGGUGUUAAGGUGACAAAGGUAUUGUGAGGAUCCGAAAAUUUUCUUAUUUAUCGAAUAUUACAAAUUACUUAAAUAUUUAUUUACUCAUUUUCUCCGAAUUCUUUAUUUUGACCAUUUAAAAAUCCAGUUAUAUGGAACAACGCCUCUUUUAUAUUUUAAAAUGUUUUGUUAGAAAAUUCACUUUUCGAAAAUUCGUUUAGUUCGGAAUAACGAGUACACGUUUUUCGAGGCUAUACUUGAAUCGGGACUGUAUUAAUAUUGGAGAAUUAGGAAUGAUCAAUAGUAGAUUAAGAAAGGUUAAUUGAGGAAUUAAUACUAGACUCCUGUGAGAACUCGCAAAAUUUAUUAUUUUAAAUUCCUAUUUCGAGUUUAUUUGAAUAUUUAAUUGCCCAUUUAUUCCGAAUAUUAUUUUCUAUCCUUCUUAGACCUAAAACCAUGGAAUUAUAGCAUCAUUAUAUUCUCAAAGUGACUUGUUUCAAAAAAUUAAUUUUUGGAAACUCGUUUAAUGAAAAUAGUGAUAACGUGUUUGAAAAUUUUAACCGAUUGAGGGUACAAUAAGUUUGAAAAAUUGGGGACUUGUGCAAUGGUCCUAAAAUAGGUAAUUUUAUGUUUAAUUACUCAAGUGAUAGUUAUUAGUACUACCGUUAUAAGAAAUCCUUGGAGGUUUCGUUUUAUCGCGCCUAAAUUGGAGAUACGCGUUUUCACACGCGCGAUUUAAUUGAGGGACUUUAAACCCUUAUUUUGGGACAAUUAAGAGUGAAUAAUAUUUAUGUGAAUAUAAGUGCAUUAGAGGUUUAGUGCACUAGUGAAACAAAUGCAAGAGGAAUCGGGUACAAAACGCGCGCGUAUGCGCACUAUUGGAGAGUUAACUUUUGUAUACUUGAAACCAAAAUUUGCUAAGCUUCUCAUGGAAGCCUUAUCAUCAGCAAACACUCUUUUUCCCUCUCACUUUGGCCGAACCAUCAGCUGCAAAAACAACACCCAAGUUCUUCAUUUUCAUCCUCAUUUCUCCAACAAAAACACCACCAAAAGCCAUCAAAUUUCACCCACACCUAACUCUACACUUGGAGACCUUAUUAAGCUGCAAAAAGGAGCUAACAUUCACGGUUUUGCUGGAGCAAAAAGGACCGAAAAUCACUGCCUUGGACAUCAACUAGAGUAAGUGAUGAUCUAAACCUAGAAACUUGGUUUAUGGAAGUUGAUUUACACUUAUGAGCUCUUGUAUUCAUGUGGGUGGCGUUAUUGUUGGAAAAUUUGGAAGGUGGGCUCUAUGAACCCCCACUCUUGGAUUGAUGGUAGAUAUGAUGCUUGAUGAUGGAUUUAAUGUUGGUUUAGUGCUCAAAAUGGUAGAUUAAUGGUGUAUUAUUAGUAUAAACUUCAAGGAGUGCAUGGGGUAAAAAGUUUCGAUUCUGCCCCUGCUUUGAACGUAUCUAUUUCUGAGAAAUUUUGGGGAUUUAAUGGCUGGUAUAUGAUGUUUAUAUGUUGUAUAGAAGGUGUAUAAAAUUCCAUUGAAAAAUAUUGAGGUUUGGUUAUUCAAAUGGAUUAAUUUCGUUAAGCUAGUAAAUCUGGAAAACUGUUCCUGUAAUGCUCAGACAGCUCGCUUGUUUCGUCCAUAACUCUGUGCUCCGAUGUUGAAAUCAAGUGCCGUCAGUGGAAUUUGAAACUAGACAUUCCCAGCUUUCUAACGGUAUAAAAUUCAACCCCUAGUUCCACCCAAGUAGCCCGUACCAACCGUUUUAAGAUAACUGUCCUGUUUCUCUGUUUUCCUGGAACGAAGUACAGAGGCUGCAACUUGAGGCUCGAAUUUGAGCUAGUUGGGUGCUGAAUUUCAAAAUUAUUUCUUCAUUUGAGUGAUUUGUGAUCAAAAUACGAAACCUGUACUGUUCUUGAAAACCCUAAAUUUUGGGCAAAAUUGAUGCUAGACUUGGUGUGGACUUGCCAAUUGAAUUUCUUGGAGUUAAAACACUUACCAAAUAUACCAUGAAUGUUCCUCAGGUUUUUCCUACACAAAUGAACCAUGUUUGAGGGAUUUUCCUUGACCAAAGGUUUGGAAUGGAAAACAAAAAGCUCAAGGCAGUUCUGCCUUAGGAUUUUUCAAAACUUUGAUUGUUUGGUUGACUACCUUCCCGAAGGUAUUUUUCCAUGAAAUUUGAUAUAGGGAUACCCCUUAUAUAGGAGUAUUAUACUACCAAAUUUGGUACCAAUUCGAGUCAAUUUCGCUACUUGAAUAAAUUGCCAAAGUUCAAGACUUGAUAUUGGAAAACCCUUGUUUAACAAGGAAAUUUGGGUAAUUUUGAGCUACGAUAUCUUGGUGCUCACAACUCCGUUUCUUGUUCUGCUUAUUUUGUUGUAAACUUGGAUUACAACACUAAUAGAUUUGCAAAUUUCAAAGGCAAGUUCCAAUCAAGUGAAUUUUGUCGAAUUUUCAAAGUUGGCCAAAAACCAACUUAAAUCUGCCUUAUGAACCAAAACAGCGACUUUGAGCUUAAUUUUGAAUGUUUUCCAUUAGGAAUGUUAGAAAAGUAUAUUCUAAGAACUUUUAGUACUUUCAAAGAGGUUUCCAACGGCACCAAGUUUUCCAAUUUUUGACAUGUAGAAUGUGAGAUGCGAUUUUUCAAAAUAUCGUAUCAAACCUGAAGUUUUUCCAAAUUCCAAGGGAAGGGAGUUUUCAAGUACUUCUUAUUCUUUCAAUAUUUCUUAAACGUUUUAUACUUGAUUUUUCAAAAUGAAAACUCGAUUACCCGUGUACUUUAAGAAACUCCAUUUAAACCUCGAUUUACGAGUAAUUAAGGUUCAUUCUCAUGAAAUUUCCUUAGAUUGUACUAGUGUUCAAUCUUCCUUGAUAAUUGGGAUAUAUGAGUGAUACUUCACUAUUAUUUGCUCAGGCGCACACGAGGACCCUCAAGAGGAUCCCACGGUGAACGCUUAAAUUUCGAUUGAGACUACUUACUACUUGAUGAGUGUCAAGUGCAUGUUUACUUGAACUCCUGUGAACUUGAUACAUGCUUGUCUUGCUUAAUCUACCUGAUUUUGAUAAAAUGGAGUCGAGUGUGUACUUUAUCGCACUCGUACUCAUUUGAAAUAAUUGAUUCAUACUUGGCCUGACUUGCUAGACUUACAGAUCCUGAAUUACAUGAUUGGACCUGUCAAAUACUUGUACACAUGAUUUGGUAUGCUAUGAGUGCAUACGUCGUUGGAGUGAAUCUCCUCGACAUUUACAUGUACAUGGGGGACACCCAAACUCAUAGGCCGACCUUGGAACUCGAGCCGACAUGGGCUUGGUCGGGAACCUCGGUUAGCCAUGAGAUUCACAUGAUAAGCUUGAUCUAUUGAGAGAUCUUGCUUGGCAUACUCGUGGAGUAUCACCUUAUAAAUGUCGUGCGGGUUCGGUGCGGUGUACGGUGGACGGAUGUAAAGUUAGUGGAGUUCUACGGAUUCUAAAUACCGACCCGGUUGACGGAGUGUCAUCGCGGGGAGGUAUACGAAUGUCAUCGACACAGCAAGUGGAACUUAACUCCUGAGAGCUACUAUAUCCUUGAAUUGUUUCUGUUUACUUUCACUGGCUUUAUUAAUUACUUGUAAUUAUCUCUUAAACUGUUAUUUGGGACUGUUAUCUGGACUACGUGCUUGCAUGUGUGUUCUUGGUCUCACGAGCGUUUUGCUCACCCCGUAUAUUUAUUUUCCUUAACAGGGAUGGACUUGAAGUGAAACUCAAAGAAACCUUGUGAUGUACAUUUAUAUUAGGGUUUCAAAUGUAAUUGAUUAGACUUUUGACUGUUGUAUAUUUUUGGAAUUGAUGUAUCUUUUGAGUAGUCUGAUGUAAGAAUUGGAUGACUUAUGUAUCCUGAACUUAUGGUGUAAGAUUAGAUGUUAUUUAUAGAAGUUUUUGCACUUAUUGUACUUUGCCUUGUCGCUUUGGGAUACUAUUGUAUUAAGCUUGAAUGGGAAUUGUACCGAGUCUUGGCGAGAGUUGGGCAGGCGUCCCGUGGAUACCCUUUGGUUCACCUUAGGGAGAAGUGGGGGCGUCACAGUUGGUAUCAGAGCUUAGACUUCAGAUCUCUGUAGUGUAUCUUAGGUUUAAAAGUUUAGGAUGCCGGACUGUGGAACUGGUUGGGAAGUUAAGUGACAACUUGUGAAAUGAAAACUAGAACCUAUGUUUAAAUUAGUGGAUGACAAGGAGUCUUGAUCUUGUGUGAUACAUGUGGAAUAGUACGAAAUGAUCAGAUCUAGUUUAUUGAAUAUAUCUGGACCUACAUGAGCUUUUACUUUUAAGGGUAAGUUAUGAGAGGUAAGGGUGAUAUUAAAUGGUCUCGGGUUGUCUUCCGGUGGUCCAUUAUCGAGAAAGACCUAAGGGAGCAUUGGAGAGAUAAUCCAAUUCACAGAACUAGGAUUUUAUGUAAUUUUCAAAGGACUUGCUCGACCCCAAAUAAUGGGAUGUUAAUAGUGGUCGAUCAUUAAAAGUAGCUAUCCGAGGAAAUUAGGGUGAUUCGAGGGGAUAAUCGGAAAAUGAGGGCAAUUGAGGAUGCCUAAACUACUAGAAUUAUUGAAGUGGAGAUUGAGAUACUUAAGGAGCGGGGAAGGCAAAGACUCCUUGUGAGAAAUUUUAAAAAGUUAAGACCCGACUUGUUAGGGUAAUGUCUAAAAUUAAAAAUAAGAUGGAUAAGUCGAUGGCGGGGUGUGUUACUUUGGUUGAACAAGUGGAGAAUGACAAGAUAUUCGAUAAGGGACAUGAGAUCUAAAACUCCUAAUGCUGGAAAUGAAAAUAAUCCUACGGAGGUAGUGAAGAUUUUUGGCUCCGCCAAUCACUAAGUUAGUGAUUUAAACUAUUUUUAUAGUUUUGCCAAAGAUAGACGGGGUGGCACUUGCUUAAAGGCCAUUGCAUUUUGUAUCUUGUAUUACUAUGGUUCCUCUCUUUUGAGGCAAUUAAACGUUACUCACGACAUGCUUAACUUUACUGCUUUAUGAUUUCCAAUCCAUGAUUGGGUUGUACACAUUUGUGAUUAUUUCGGAAUCUUCCCUUUUAUUCUUAUAUUUGUUUGGCGUGAUAAAAGUAUCACUUUUCAAACUCCAUUUGUGUGCACUCACCUUAUGUUAUGCCUUCCAACAUGUUAAAUUUAUGGGUGGUCAAAGGAGUGAAACGGGAUCGAGGGCAAGGGGUUAAGUAACUCCAAGCUCAAGGGAGUGAUUAUAGGGCGACUGCUGGACUGAAUCAAAACCUUAGAAAUGAAAGAGAACAAUCGCAUAGUUAUUGUUAUUAACUAGACGAUUGAUGCCCUAGCACGAUUAGUUGAACACUAAAGUUCUAAACCAAUCAACCAACCUGGAGACCAAGAGAAAGAUGUGAGAAAUGGAAUGAUUCUUGAAGUUCGCCUAUCUAGGUUUUACGGAGAACCUAAUCUCGAAAUAAUAAGAUUGAAUUGAAAGGAUACAAUAAGGCACUAAUGAAACUAAGAGAUUAUGAUCUCUUCUCGAACAACUUCAUAGACAAGUAUUGGAGAGUGAGGUAAGACCUGAAAACUCUAUAUCAAGGAAUAGAGUCCCCGUAUCUUGUUGUAGUCGUGAGUAAUGGUAGUAAAUUUUUGGAGACUUAAGAGCUCACCCAUGUUUAGCAGAGAAUAGCUAAGAUUUAUAUCUCGGGACGACCUCUAAGCGAAAGAAUGAAAAGUAAUAUGGCUCGAACUUCCAUUAUGAAUAGCUACUCAUUUUGAUCCUUUGAUUUACCUGACAGGCUAGCAUCUGAUUUUACCCAACUGGUGAGAUGACAACUUUGGAAGAAGUGCAUAAGGAAAUGGAUAUUCUUCGAAAUGAGGUAGAAUUUCAAAAAAAAUUGACUGACUACUGGGAAGGACGGUGGAAACAAGAAUACGCAGAGAAAACUGAGUUGUUACGUAAAAAUAUAGAACUGGAGAAGAAAUACAAAGAAAAUUCUCAAAUUGGUCAAGCCGUCACUUCUCACACAAAAUGUGGAUACUGUGGCAAGAUGAACCACACUGAGGACAAAUGUUGGAUAAAGCAAGGAAAGUGUCUGUGGUGCGGUAGUAUCGGACAUAAGAUUUCGAAUUGCCCCAUCACAUCUAAAAAGAGGAAAUACUCAGUGGCUAUCUAGAUUCGCCACAAAGUAAUCAAGUGUCAGAAAGAGGUCUAAGUGCUGGAAGUUUUCGAAUGGAGGUAGAUAACUCCACUCGAACGAUAGAGGUUGUAGCUUUACCCUAGACUAGACUAGCACUUUUGGAGAUUUAAUCUUUCGUAUAUGGGAAAGUCUUUUGUUAUUUUAUAUCUUGGUAACUCGGCACGUUUUGCUAUAAUCUCGUUGUUUCCCUUUCCUUUUUGAAAUGGUUGGCUAAACCCAUCCUAACUUGAUGUACUUAUUAUGAUCUAUAUGACAUAUGAAACUUUGCUCCACUUUUGAUUGGUUUUAUGACUUACAUAUAUGUUCAAAUCUUGCCCCACACUUUUAGAAUUAUAAUAAGACACGAACGGUGUUAGACAUGGUCGAGAUUGUACUUGAGAAUAUAGACCACCCUGAGGUUUUGAAGGCGGGCAGGGAUCGUGACCAAAUCGAGAACUUGGUGUUGAAGUUAAGAUCCAAUGUUUGAUUGCCACUUUAAUAUAUUAAGGUUGUGAGGCUUGGGUUAGAGAAAGGAAACGUCUAAUAGAUUUAGUGAGCCUAAUGAUUGAGGGAUCGAAUAUCACAUUUGGAAUGGAAACUUGAGGCUAUAUAUAUAGAUUAUCGAGACUUGAACGAUGUGACCAUUAGGAACAAAUACCCCAUUGUCUCACAUAGAUGAGAAUUUUGAUCAGUGGCAAGGAGCCGUGAUACUAUCCAAGUUGGAUUUAAAGCAGAGCUAUUACCAAUUGGGAAUCCUAGGAACUGAUGUGCUUAAAAUCACUUCCAAUUCAAGAUAGGGACACUUUGAACUUUCAAUUACGCCGUUGGGUUCACCAAUGCACUAGUAGCAAUUAUGAUCAAAAUGCAUCGGGAUUUUAAAUCGUAAUUGGAUUAAUCUGUAGUGGCACUUGUAGACACCAAAUUUUCGUCAAUUUUUAAUAUUUUCUCAAGUUUUUCCUAUUUAAUGAAUUAUUUAUUUUCUAGCAUUUUAAUGUGCAUUUUUUUUCAUUUUUGUAGGUUUGCUUUAAAAAAAGAAAAAGAUAAAGAAAAACAAACAAAAACAAAAACAAAAACAAACAAACAACAAAAAGAAAAUAAAAAAAAUCAAAAAAAAAUCAUCAUAAUCAUUUUCUCUACCAAAACCCCUAUUAACCCAUUCUACACUCAAUUCCUAUGAACUUUUCUUUUCAUUUGACAGAAGCCAUCAUUUGGAAGAAAACCAAACCCGUUUGACUCCCUCUCGGCCAUGAGUUUUUGGCUCUCUCAACACUCAACAUUUUCCAGAGGAGAAAAGACACACACAAAAGCUCUACUUUUGGCUACAAAAUCUCCAUCCCUCUCGGCUCUCUCAGACAGAAGACAAGACCCAAAAAAGAAACAAAAAAACACUCCCUCUCUCGGUUCUCUCCCACAGGACACAGAAGAGAAGCCACAAAAGAAAAAAGAGAAUCUCUAUCCCUCUUGGCUCUCUCCCUCAAAAAGAACAAAAAAAAAAAAGAAAGAAAGCUCCCUCACUCUCUCGGCCAUAUCCCUCUCUUUGCUCACUUCACACAACACACCCACACACUAUUCAGACACAAGGAGGCAGCCGCCGGUUGGACAAAGAGCUUGGAACUUCCUCAAAAUUUUAGUCAAGGGACCACAAUCUCAUUGAGGUAUUUUUUUUUCCAGCUUUUCCUUUUUUAAUUAAUUAGAUUAAAUGCAUGUUUGGCUACCUAUUUGUCUCUUCCUUUCACUGAUUGUUGUUACUGCUGGUGUUUGUUGAAAUUUUGGAGUAAUUCACGAAUGACAUUAAGGGAAAAAGAAAUGGGCCUGUGAAUGCAUGUUAAAUGUUUGAUGAAAUGCCAAAAACGGAAAAUGAAUCAAAUUAGUGAACUUUGUGCAUAAUUUUGUUAAGAUUAGAUGACUCCUAGUUAGCAAGGUCCAAAAAGGUUGCAUUAUCUAAAAAAUUUUGGAGUUUUGAGCCUUCAAAGCACUAGAAUAAUUUUCUUCAUUUUUGGGGCUGUUUUGACUUAAUGCAUCAUUUUGUUGUUUUUAUUUGUCAAACUAAGAUUAUAGUUGUAAUGUAGAAGCUAUAAGGAGUGUUUUGGUAUAAAAUUUAUAUUUUUUGGUGAAGAUUUGAGGGUCUAAAAAUAUAAAAAAACUGGGCUGAUUUUGUGACUUUUUGGCCACCUUCGGGUCAUCUUUUGUAAAAACUAACUCCGGAAAUGGAACCUACGCGAAAAAUGGAGUGGAGAGGUGCAUUUUGAGAAAUUUUGACAACCGGAGAAGUCGUCGGCGACCACCAUGGCCGCCAACUGAAGUAAGCUUCAUCUGGCCGAAGAAGAAGAAAAAGAAACGGAUGGGAAGUGGAGAAAGAAGAAAGAAAAGAAAAGAAGAAAAGAAAAGAAAGAGAAGAAAAAGAAAUGGUUUGGGCUAAUGUUUUUAUUGUCGAGUGGGCUUGUUAUUUUUUUUUAGUUGGGUUUUGGUUUAUUUCUUUUGGGUUUCGAUUUGGGCUAGAAGGUCAGACCCAUGCUUUAUUUUUGGUUGGGUUUGAGUGAUAGAAGGCGGGUUGGCCUGUGUGUUCUGGUUUUGACUUUCGGCUGGGCUUAGGUAGUGUUCGGCCCAAAGAAAUAAAAUGAUGGCCCAAGGGCCUGUUUUCUUAAGAAGAUCUGGUUACGAUUUGCACUUUAGCCCCUGAUCUUUGGAGUAGUUUCACUGCGGCCCAUAACAUUUUAAAUUUCUUUCACUUAGGUCAUUAAAUUAAUUGCACUUUGGUCCCUGAAUUUUAUCUUUCAAUUAAUUUUGACCCCUAAACUUUGAAAAAAUAAUUUCUGUCCCCCAAAAGUUUUCAAUUUUUGCAAUUCAAUCCUUGGUGAAUUUUAACUCUCUUUAUUAUGAUUGUUUCUUUUCUUUAAUAGCUAAUUAUGCUACUUUUGAAUAUACUUAACUUGUAAUUUUUAGAUGUUCUUAAAUUUCUUUAUGUUUGACAUAUUAGUGUGAAUUUAGUAUUUUUGUUAUUAUUAUUUUUCAAUUAAAUUGGUGCCAUGAUUCUUUUGUUCAUUUUGAGUAUAAAUAGGACAAUUCGACUCCAUUUAAUCACCACUUCAAAAGGGAGGUACCCCUAUUAUUAUUAUUUCAAUGUUAAUUAUGUGCUCUUAUGUGCUCCUAUGUGUUUAUAUAUUUUUUAUAUGCUUUAUUUGUUUGAUUUAAAUGUUCAUCCAAAUUUCCUUAUAUGUGCUUAGUUAAUUUUUUUAUAAUUAUUUGAGAGGCAUUUAAAUACCUCAAAAAAUGUAAUAGAUAGGAUAAUUAUAUUUGUUUCAUUAUAUUUUCCCCUUUUAGAUUGUAGUUAGGCUCCUCGAUGUAAUAGAUAGGUUGUGUGUUUAUGUGGCUUACGUGCUAUAUGUUUACCCACUUUCUUUAGGAUUUUUGCAUCUAGAUAUUAUACUUAUGUGUUAUGUGCUACGUGCUCUUACAUAUUUAUUUGUUUUAAUUUAUACCUUAUUUGUUUUACUAUGAAUUGUUAAUGCAUGACAUCACCACACUAGUCCAACACUAGUUGUGGCUUCUCUCUCCGCUUACUUGCUAGUCCAACGCUAGUAAGGAUUUUUAGAAAUGGGUUAGUCCAACGCUAGACCCUUAGAUCGUUCGUGCGUUAGACUCAUUUUUGUGUGAUAUUCAUUACAUUUUCAUGCAUAUUUUCAUUUUUAGGAUCUUUUCUCAUUUGCAUGAUAUUUCCUAUUAUAUUAUCCCUUAUCCUCUAUAUGUGUUAAUUAUAUCACUUAGAAUUGCAUUUCAUUUAAGAAAUUGUGGGAUAAGUUAGUUCAUUUGUUUGUUCAUAUUAGGAGAAUUAUUUUUUGAACAUGGAUAUGGGUGAUCAUAACUCUUUAGUUUAAAUACCCCAUUAAUCCUUGUAUAAAAAAAUUAUGUCACGAGUUUUUGCCUCCCGCACCCUUUAUGUUGCAUUCCCAUUUUCUUUGAUCACUUAUAUAUAUGUAUAUAACUUAAUUUAUUUUAUUUUAUUUUAAUUUCAUCAUUCGCAUACUCGUGACACUUUCAAGGAAUCAUUUUGGCCUUCGCAAUUAAUGCGAUUGAUUCAAUUAAACCCUUGAAUGGAUAUUUUGACCCUUUCGAUAUUUUAUAAAUUUAGAUUUGCAUUCAUGUAGGAAACAUCUAAAUAAGAUAAAAUUAAGGGUUAGAUUAGGAAAAUUUUGACUAAACCUCGCAACUAGCUUAGACUAGGUUGAAAGGGUGCCUUAAGUUUGAGUUAAUUGAACCUUUGCCUUCCCUUUCUUCAACCGUGACUUCCGAACCCAUUUUCUCUUGUUUUCAAAGACUUGGAGUUGUCAAAAAGGGUUUUGAUUUAUUUUCUUUUUGUCAAAAAUAUUUUUUGGGUGACUUGGUACACCAAAACUCCAUACCAAGUGGUGACUCCUAUUUUUUCUAAAAAGCCCUUUUAGACUAAAUUUUUGGACCCAAAUUAUCGCAUUUUUUAAAGUCCCAUUUUGGGUCCCUUUUAACUUGUUUUAAAAUAAAAUCACAUCUUUUACAAAUCUCACACUUUAUUUUUACUUUCUUUUCCAUCGCGAAAAAUGGGGCGCGACAGCACUCAUUGAUGGUAUAUCGGUAUAAUCUAAAAUAUGAGAAGAAUACGAAAAACACCUGAUGAUAGUUUUACCAACUCCGAGAAAAAAAAAUGCCAACUUUCGUUAAGUUUAAUACACGUGAGUUCGAUUGGAAGAAAUAGCCUUUCUAGGUUAUACAAUAUCUAAAAAAGGAAUUGUUAUUGACUCAGCUAAAGUAGAAGUUGUUUAAGAGGAAACGACCAGAAAAUCCUAUUGACAUUUGGAGUUCUUAGAGGUAGCUGAAUGUUACCUUUGGUUUAUCAAGGAUUUUUCUAGGAGUGCAAGACUUGGCAAGUGACUUGGGAUUCUAAAUGUAAGGAAGAAUUUUAAAAGUGAAAGGUGUUUAACCGAUGCACUUAUGUUAGCCUACCGAGCGGAGGAGGUAGAGUUGUGAUUUAUCCAGAUGCUUUAAAGGGUAGAUUAGAAUGUAUACUAACGAUAUAUGAUGAAGCGAUUGUGUAUGUUUCUAGAAAGUUAAUAUAUCACGAGAGGAAAUAGCCAACUCAUGAUUUGGGAUUAGUGGCGGUAAUAGUGGCAUUAAGAGUGAAGACGUUACCUAUAUGAGGUAGACAUAAGGCCGAUUAUAUUGUCCUAUAACCUAGAAAUUAAAAUAGCUAAUAAGGAAAAUCAAGGUUUGAUUGCUAGUUGAAUGAAUAGAAAUUGGGCAGCAUGGGUUGGAAAAUGUAAGUUAGUGAUUGAUCUGGUAGACUUAACCAUUAUGAGAAUGAUAUUGUACUAGGUGUGAAUUUCAAGGGCGAAAUUCCUCUUAAGGAGGGGAGGAUGUGAGGACCCGAAAAUUUUCUUAUUUAUCGACUAUUACAAGUUACUUAAGUAUUUAUUUACUCAUUUUCUCCGAAUUAUUUCUUUUGACCAUUUAAAAAUCCAGUUAUAUGGAACAACGCCUUUUUUAUAUUUUAAAACGUUUUGUAGGAAAAUUCACUUUUCGAAAAUUCGUUUAGUUCGGAAUAACGAGCACACGUUUUUCGAGACUAUACUUGAAUCGGAAGUGUAUUAAUAUUGGAGAAUUAGAAAUGAUCAAUAGUAGAUUAAGAGAGGUUAAUCGAGGAAUUAAUACUAGACUCCUGUGAGGACUCGCAAAAUUUAUUAUUUUAAAUUCCUAUUUCGAGAUUAUUUGAAUAUUUAAUUGCCCAUUUAUUCCGAAUAUUAUUCUUUAUCCUUCUUAGACCUAAAAACAUGGAAUUAUAGUUUCAUUAUAUUUUUAAAGUGACUUGUUUCAAAAAAUUAAUUUUUGGAAACUCGUUUAAUGAAAAUAGUGAAAACGUGUUUGAAAAUUUUAACCGAUUGAGGGUACAAUAAGUUUGAAAAUUUGGGGACUUGUGCAAUGGUUCUAAAAUAGGUAAUUUUAUGUUUAAGUACUCAAGUGAUAGUUAUUAGUACCAUUGUUAUAAGAAAUCCUUGGAGAUUUAGUUUUAUCGCGACUAAAUUGGAGAUACGCGUUUUCACACGUGCGAUUUAAUUGAGGGACUUUAGACCCUUAUUUUGGGACAAUUAAGAGUGAAUAAUAUUUAUGUGAAUAUAAGUGCAUUAGAGGUUUAGUGCACUAGUGAAACAAAUGCAAGAGGAAUCGGGCACAAAACGCGCGCUUACGCGAACUAUUGGAGAGUUGACUUUUGUAUACUUGAAACCAAAAUUUGCUAAGCUUCUCACAGAAGCCUUAUCAUCUGCAAACACUCUUUUUCCCUCUCACUUUGGCCGAACCAUCAGCUGCAAAAACAACACCCAAGUUCUUCAUUUUCAUCCUCAUUUCUCCAACAAAAACACCACCAAAAGCCACCAAAUUUCACCCACACCUAACUCUACACUUGGAGACCUUAUUAAGCUGCAAAAAGGAGCUAACAUUCACGGUUUUGCUGGAGCAAAAAGGACCGAAAAUCACUGCCUUGGACAUCAACUAGAGUAAGUGAUGAUCUAAACCUAGAAACUUGGUUUAUGGAAGUUGAUUUACACUUAUGAGCUCUUGUAUUCAUGUGGGUGGCUUGUUAUUGUUGGAAAAUUUGGAAGGUGGGCUCUAUGAACUCCCACUCUUGGAUUGAUGGCAAAUAUGAUGCUUGAUGAUGGAUUUAAUGUUGGUUUAGUGCUCAAAAUGGUAGAUUAAUGGUGUAUUAUUAGUAUAAACUUCAAGGAGUGCAUGGGGUAAAAGGUUCUGAUUCUGCCCCUGCUUUGAACGUACCUAUUUCUGCGGAAUUUUGGGGAUUUAAUGGCUGGUAUAUGAUUUUUAUAUGUUGUAUAGAUGGUGUAUAAAAUUUCAUUGAAAAAUAUUGAGGUUUGGUUAGUCAAAUGGAUUAAUUUCGUGAAGCUAGUAAAUCUGGAAAACUGUUCCCGUAAUGCUCAGACAGCUCACUUGUUUCAUCCAUAACUCUAUGGUCCGACGUCGAAAUCAAGUGCCGUCAGUGGCAUUUGAAACUAGACAUUCCCAGCUUUCUAACGGUAUAAAAUACAACCCCUAGUUCCACCCAAGUAGCCCGUACCAACCUUUUUAAGAUGACUGUCCUGUUUCUCUGUUUUCUUGGAACGAAGUACAGAGGCUGCAACUUGAGGUUCAAAUUUGAGCUAGUUGGGUGCUGAAUUUCAAAAAGAUUUCUUCUGUGAAAUUAUAGUUUUAUGAAUUUGUUUUCCAACGCACCAACCAUGCUUAAUUCCGAGUUGAAUUGAGUGAUUUUGGAUCAAAAUACGAAACCUGCUCUGUUUUUGAAAACCCUAAAUUUUGGGCAAAAUUGAUGCUAGACUUGGUGUAGACUUGCCAAUUGAAUUUCUUGGAGUUAAAACACUUACCAAAUAUACCAUGAAUGUUCCUCAAGCUUUUCCUACACAAAUGAACUAUGUUUGAGGGAUUUUCCUUGACCAAAUGUUUGGAAUGGAAAACAAAAAGCUCAAGGCAGUUCUGCCUUAGGAUUUUUCAAAACUUUGAUUGUUUGGUUGACUACCUUUCCGAAGGUAUUUUUCCAUGAAAUUCGAUAGAGAGAUACCCUUUAUAUAGGAGUAUUAUACUGCCAAAUUUGGUACUAAUCCGAGUCCAUUUCGCUACUUGACUAAAUUGCCAAAGUUCAAGACUUGAUAUUGGAAAUCCCUUGUUUAACAUGGAAAUUUGGGUAACUUUGAGCUACCAUAUCUUGGUGCUCACAACUCCGUUUCUUGUUCUCCUUGUUUUGUUGUAAGCUUGGAUUACAACACUAAAAGUGUUACAACUUUCAAAGGCUAGUUCCAAUCAAGUGAAUUUUUCCAAAUUUUCAAAAUUGGUCAAAAACCAACUUAAAUCUGCCUUAUAAACCAAAACAGCGACUUUGAGCUUAAUUUUGAACAUUUUCCAUUUGGAAUCUUAUAAAAGUGUAUUCUAAGAACUUUUAGUACUUUCAAAAAGGUUUCCAAUGGCACUAAGUUUUCCAAUUUUUGACAUGUAGAAUGUGAGAUACGAUUUUUCAAAAUAUCGUAUCAAACCUGAAGUUUUUCCAAAUUCCAAGGGAAGGGAGUUUUCAAGUACUUCUUAUUCUUUCCAUAUUUCUUGAACGUUUUACACUUAAUUUUCCAAAAUGAAAACUCGAUUACCCGUGUACUUUAAGAAACUCUAUUUAAACCUCGAUUUACGAGUAAUUGAGGUUCAUUUUCAUAAAAUUUCCUUAGAUUGUACUAGUGUACAAUCUUCCUUGAUAAUUGGGAUAUAUGAGCGAUACUUCACUAUUAUUUGCUCAGGCGCACACGAGGACCCUCAAGAGGAUCCCACGGUGAACGCUUAAAUUUCGGUUGAGACUUCUUACUACUUGGUGAGUGUCAAGUGCAUGUUUACUUGAACUCCUGUGAACUUGAUACAUGCUUGUCUUGCUUAAUCUACCUGGUUUUGAUAAAAUGGAGUCGAGUGUGUACUUUAUCGCACUCGUACUCAUUUGAAAUAAUUGAUUCAUGCUUGGCCUGGCUUGCUAGACUUACAGAUCCUGAAUUACAUGCUUGGACAUGUCAAAUACUUGUAUACAUGACUUGGUAUGCUAUGAGUGCAUACGUCGUUGGAGUAAAUCUCCUCGACAUUUACAUGUACAUGGGGGACGCCCAAACUCAUAGGCCGACCUUGGAACUCGAGCCGGCAUGGGUUUGGUCAGGAACCUCGGUGAGCCAUGAGAUUCACAUGAUAAGCUUGAUCUAUUGAGAGAUCUUGCUUGGCAUACUCGUGGAGUAUCGCCUUAUAAAUGUCGUGCGGGCUCGGAGUAGUGUACGGUGGACGGAUGGGAAGUUAGCGGAGUUCUAUGGAUUGGAAAUACCGACCCGGUUGACGGAGUGUCAUCGCGGGGAGGUAUACGAAUGUCAUCGACACAGCAAGUGAAACUUAGCUCCUGAAAGCUACUAUAUCCUUGAAUUGUUUCUGUUUACUUUCACUGGCUUUAUUAAUUACUUGUAAUUAUCUCUUAAACUGUUAUUUGGGACUGUUAUCUGGACUACGUUCUUGCAUGUGUGUUUUUUGCCUUACAAGCGUUUUGCUCACCCCGUAGAUUUGUUUUCCUUAACAGGGAUGGACUUGAAGUGAAACUCAAAGAAACCCUUGGGAUGUACAUUUAUAUUAGGGUUUCAAAUGUAAUUGAUUAGACUUUUGACUGUUGUAUAUUUUGGAAAUUGAUGUAUCUUUUGAGUACCCUGAUGUAAGAAUUGGAUGACUUAUGUAUCCUGAACUUAUGGUGUAAGAUUAGAUGUUAUUUAUAGAAGUUUCAGCACUUAUUGUACUUUGCCUUGUCGCUUUGGGAUACUAUUGUAUUAAACUUGAAUGAAAUUGUACCGAGUCCUGGCGAGAGUUGGGCAGGCGUCCCGCGGAUACCCUUUGGUUCGCCUUAGAGAGAAGUGGGGGCGUCACAGGUAUGCUGGCCUAGCAAACUAAAAAUUGUAAUCAUUCAACUGAUGGUCAGGCUAAGAAAAAAAUAGUGGAACGAGGAAUUGUUUUGGGUUUAGUUUAACGUGCAUUUUGACUUUGUUUAUUCAAUGCAGUACAAUGACAUUGCCCGUGCAACAUACAAUAAGUUGAGUGGGGAAGAUGUGAGGAAGCGACAGGAGUACUUGAAAGAGAAAGAAGAGUACGAGAAAAAAAUGAAACGUUUUGAAAAAUCGAUAGUGCAAAAAGCACAGGUUCAAAUUAAGAUAAAUACACGUCAUGAUUCGUCAAAUAUUUCAUGAAACUCUAUUCGUGUCUAAUGCAUAUAUCUAAAAAAUGGUGUAGAAUCAAGACUCAUGCAUCUCCUUGCAAGCUGCAGUGGGUGUGUAAUUUUAUCUAUAUGACUGAUACUAAUUUGCCUAUAAGCAACUUACACGAAGUGAUUUACGAGGUACAAUCAGUUUACAAUAAUGUACAUUAUGUUAGAUAUUAGUUACUUGAUCGUGUAUAUCUAUAAAAAGUAGUGUAAUGUUACGCAUAAAUUUAGAAUGGUUAUUUAGCCCUUUGAUCAAUUUGUGCAUCUUUCUAUAGUAGAUGUGUAAUUUUACUUGUAUGAGUAGUCAUUAUUUGUCUGUGAAUACCUUACACGGGAUGAUCUAUGAGGUACAAUCCAUUUACAAAAAUAUACAUCAUGUUAGGUGUUAGUUACUUGAUUAUAUAUGCAUGUAAAAGGGAGAUUAGAUAUAGCGCAGAAAAAAUAGUUACGUGAGUUGAAAUAUAUUUUACAAACUUUGGUAUAGUUGAUAUUAACAUUUAUCUGUAGAGUGUACACGUUGUUAGUGGUUAUAGAGUAGUACUAUAUAUUAUGUAUGCUUACAUGGUCAUAAAUUUAUAUAAAUUAAUCCAUUGUUUGAAUUUGUAAUUGGUUGUUAGCCCUUACACACUGUCACAUGCAUACACAUAAUAUAAGAAUAAAUUUAAUUUAUAGUUGUUCAUUGAUUACAUAGAAUUCAUAUAGGCAAACAAAUUCAGGUUUGAUUAGCUAUACCAUGUAUGUAAUUGUUAACACAUUAUAUCGUAUUCACCUUAUUUUGCAGCAUGUCAUGGGUAAAUAUAGCGUCUUUUGACAACUCAAUGGAUAUCAAUCAAUGCUGGUGGAGCAAAGACAUUAGAUUGGAUAAUUAGAUAGUUUUAUUGUACCAGACUCGUAACAUUCGUUAGAAUGUACUUAUAUUUAGUUCUUAAUACAUUACCACAUGUUCAAUCUAUUUUACAAUGUCCAAGGGGAAAAAAGUUAAAUUACUAAUUUUAGAUUCUGUUUAUUAGUAUUGUAUAUUUAGUUAGUAUUUUAGCAUUAUUUAUUGUUAAUUUUUUAUCAUUAGCUCGAUAUAUUUUACAAUAUAUCCAAAGCAAUAACGUCCAUUCUAUUGAUUGGCAAAAAAAAAUUACAUUCUAUUGUUAAUUAGUAACAUAUUGAUGUUGUACCCCAUGUUGGUAUUUAUUGACUUUCUAUUGCUAAUGUCUUACAAAUUGUUUAACCCAUUUUACGAUAUGUUUAAGGAAAUAAAGAUUUUGGUUUCACAAAUUGGUAAAAAUUAGUUACAUUUGGUUAUUUAUAAGUUACAUUGCUGAUUGAAAAAAAAAUUAACUAACCAUCUACCACUAUUAUGAAAGUAGUAGCUUUAGGUAAGAUUUUAUUUGUCAAUAUAUUAUAAUCUUACAAAGCAAUAAUUAUCCAUCAACAAAUUUGUAACACCCAACCAUAAUGUUACUCAUUUUCAUUUUUAUCAACCCGAACUAAAAGCGUUAGAAAAGUGAUUGGCAUGUCAAUUUUGACAUACUUCUAGCAUUUAAUUGUUCUUUGAACAAAUAUCUUUAGGUUGGUUGGAAUGUCAACUUUGACAUAUUUCUAUCAUUUAAUUGCUCUUUGAAUAAAUAUUCUUGAAUUUAUUAAGUAUGAUGCAUAUAAAAAUAAUAUAUACAUAAAGAGGGAUGAUGUGCGACUUAAAAUGAAGAAUGGAUUCCUCAUAAAAAAAUGAAGAAUGGAGAAGUUUGUUAAGUUUAUAAACAUAACAAAGUACCUUUUUGUUAGAUAGUUUUAUUAUUUACAAAUAUUUCUAAAAAUUGAAUAAAAAAAUUAGCCAAAUGUACACUCUAGUUAUAACAAUAUGUAUAAUAAUUCUAAUAGAUAUAUACAAUAUUUCAAAUAAAUGUACAAACUGAACAAAAAUUUACAAUAAUUAUAAUGAGAUCCACAAGGAUUCUUACCUAUCACUACAUAAUAUUUUCUAUAAAUUGAAAUCGAAAAUUUACGAACGUUGUCAUAACAAAAAUCUGUAAAAGAAAGGUAAAAGAGUUGUACAAUGCUGUUAACUGAGUUUCGCUAGCUCCAUUUCUUCUUCUCAAGUUGAUUUCUUCUUUUCCUUUCUAAUUAUAAAUGAUGGAAAUGGUUUUGCAAGGUCAGUAGUUCCCCCUAUUUCUAUUUCUUCCUUGUCACUUGGAUUCUUCUUUGUCCUUUUCCGUGCCAUCUUGUCACUGCUCAUGCAAAUUGUAAAGACUAUUUACUUUGUUCAACACAUAUCAAUUUGGCUAAAACUUCAUAUACUCUUAUCUAUGCAAAUUAACACAGUGUGAGACCAAUUCAACAACUCGUAAUUGUAAUCAAUCAAACAGUUACAUCUCACUAUCUACCAACAUAUUGGCGCAACAUAAAAACAUUGACUACUUACGCAAGGAAUUUAAUAGUGCCUCAAGUUUGCUGCUACCUGAUUUUUCACUUUUUUCUUCUCUAGAUACUUUCUUAGUCGAACUUCUGAAUCUCCUUCAUGCCAUCUGCACCAAUUAAUGAUGCAUGUUAAAGAUCCAUCACUAGUUGUAAUAUAUAUCUAAUUGGUUGUAACUCAUUCUGUACGUUUCGUUUUGAAUAUUUGUUGCAUUAUAAAACCAACAUUACAAAUUAGUUGUCCCCUUAUACUAUCAUUUUCUUCCCCGAAACUAUUAGCACAUGUGGUCAUGUGGUUAUUUCAUCAUAAUAGAAUUGUACUAAACUUGUAAUACCUAUUGACGUGCCUGUGAUACAUCAUGACAUUUUGUGCUAUAAGUUCGUCAAGAAGAUGUAACGCAUCUGUACUCAAUGAUAAAUUUUUUGGGUGAGCAUAUCAAAAUAAUAAUUUUCAUUUUUAUCAACCCAAACUAAAAGGUAUUUAUAUUGUAAAACUUGUACGCAUCUUCUUCAUCGUUGAACUCCAUUUGUUACUCAGGGGUCCCAUCUUCUGCCAAUUUGCUGCAAUCCAUUACUUCUGCUCCUACUAAUUAUAUAUCAAACACCCUAAUUUGCAACACUUCGUGAAUAGUAUGUACAUAAACGACAGUAUAAAUGUAUAUUAACAUUCAUAAUGUGUUAUGAAUCACACAUUACUCGUAUACCAAAUCCUAUUAGUAUGCUUAUCAAAAUGAUUAAUGAUUCACAUCACUUUACUUUUACUCUAAGACAAUGGCAUUAUCUAUGUACAAACCCAAGCAUGUACACUAAGUUAUACGGACUGUAAUGUGUUCGUCACACGAUAUAAGUCUAUUUUAACUAUAUGUACAUCCACUCUGGUGAUUAUAUUUAGGUUCUAGGUUCCUUAAUUCACUGGACCUUAUGUCAUUCGUUAAUGACAACCGCCUAAGCCAACUCCGCAUUUUCUACUAUUUCCAUAUUUUGAGGACCAAACAAGCAUUUUCUACUCAUUGUAAUAUAUUUAUUACAUCAUGUAAUUUAUUUACAACUCCAGAUACACCUAUUUAUUAUUCACAUCUAUUUGCCUCUUUUCCUCUGCUUCACCUCAUUCAACUCUACAUCUCCAUUUUAUACACACUGCAUGGUCCGGAGAAGGGCAAACUAAAAUUGCGUGAUGAGCAGGGACCAACUAUUAGAUGCACAAUGAUUCAUACCAAUUGUAAUGCGGUGGUUAUAACCUGUAACUUAUUUACAACAGGAUGUACAUUCAACUACGGGGGUUAAAUGUGACUUUGUUUUUCUCAUCUUUCCCUAAUUUCGCUGGACAUUUUAUUUCAAUACAUACCCCUGGUUCUUCGGAUAACUACUAUCCGAUGAUAGUCCAUCACUGAAAAGCUAAAGGCUAACACACACACUCAUACAGUACAACUUUACUAUUCUUCACAACCAAUAUUAUGUUUUUAGUGACUCUAAUUUCAUCCUUCAUUUAACCCAUGUGCAUUGGGUGACAAAUGAUUGGCCACAGUUGCUGAUAUGGUUCAGUCACGUUACCUUGGUCUGCUAAUACGCUUGAUGUUUCACCGAAUUCGGAGAGCGCAGUUGCUUCUGCUAUUCAGUUGCACCAUUGAACCAAGUUCGUGAGAUGAUGAAUUUCCUCUGUUUGCUUCUACCUUGCCGCCUGCCUUGCACACAUUCAAAAUGGAUACAACACUCUCAUACCCAGCUUCAAAAUGCAUACAUCACUCUCACUGCACUGUUUGCUUUCUUCCUUAUUCACGCAACACCAUACCCCAACUCUCUCCACUCAGUUUUCUGUCAAUUGUUACCUUCAGCAGGAUGCCUACUCUCUUCCCUCAGUUUUGUUUUGCGUGGCUACUUCAAAUUUUCAACUUUCAAAAUUUCAACUCUUCUGUUUGCUCCAUCUGAUACCGUUUGGGCUAGCAAAAUUUUUUUUGGAACGCCAUCGUUUUUUACCUCUACUUAUGGCUUCCUGACAUGGAUCAUUUCUUACCUCACGUUUGCACAUGCGAGGAGACCGUUUAGGAGCCGUCUGAUAACCGUUCCUACCCCUAAUCCCUUUUUUUCCGAGUUGUUUUACUUACUUGAGCAUCGAAGGUGAAAUAGGGGACAAACCUCGUCUCUGCUGCUUCUUGUUUGCAAGCUAUAUCCUCUGCCGCCAGAUCUUGACUGCAUAGGUGCAAUCAAACAAAUUUUAUACAAUAGACACAAGUUGAAUUCAAAGUGCAAGUCCUGCGUUCGUCAAUGCAAUAGGAUUCAAAAGUCUUUCUAAUUUGUUGUUUCAGAGUUGCACUUAUAACUUAAGGACUUGAAUUUGUAGGGAGGCAAUUUUGUAGAGAACAAUGAUAAAUUAUAACAUUUAUAAGGUGUAAUUGUUGGAUACAACCAAGUCCUAAAAUUUUAUUUUCCUAGCCUGUUUUCUAAUUUGUCUAGAGUAGCAAUUGCCCAAUCUCAAAUAUACAUGACAAUUUUAAUUUUCUUAAUUCAAUAGUUAUUUAUAAAUACAAAAAUUCUUCUAGAUUCACCAUUAAUAUAUUUAACUAAAAACCUCAAUUAAGUGCUGGGUUAUUUUGUGUACAAAAUUAUCUUUGCCCAUCUAAUGACACUAUUUCCAAUGUAGAUUAGUACCCUUCCAAUUUCACAAAGUCGAAGCUUAAUUUUGAGAGAUAAUUGCAUCAAUCGUCCCUCAUAUAUUGAUGAUGUGAAAUUUUAGUGCUUUAGAAUGAAAAGGAACAAUUUUAGUCCUAAAAAAAAAAAAAAAAGAUAGGCAUGCCAAUCGGGCCAUCAAAAUCAGACAUGCUCAAAUUCGACUCAUAUAGUUAGUACCAUUUUUGGGUUUCAGGUUCAUAAAUGCGAAACUCAUAUUUCUCUCGCAAAAUAUAUGUAUUGUGAGCCUAGUUUGGGACUCAAAUUGCGCAUUUUCAUUCUGAGGGACUAAAGCUUUACAUUAGCGAUAUGUGAGGAAUAUUUGGUGCAAUUUUUCCUACUUUUGAAGUUCUAGUGUCCAUCAAUUACUAGUAGGGGUGUGCAUCGAAAUUGAAAUCGAUGAUUUGAAACUUUGAAUUCGAAAUUUUUGAAAUUUUGGUAUCAGACUUUUGGACUGAAUUCAAUUUCGAAUUCACCAGUUUUGAAUUCGAACUCGAUUCCGAAUUCAAUUCGAAAUUUGUUAAAUUUUGAUUUCACCGAAUUCGGAAAAUAUUACAUAUAUAAAAAAAUAUUAUAAAAUUUUAUAUAAUGUAAAUUUUAUAUAUUAUAAAAAAUAUUAUAUUUUAUAUAAUAUAAAUUUUAUAUUACAUAUAUAUAAUAUUAUAGAUAAAUAUAAAUGAAUUUGAGAUCGAAAUCGAUAUUUAAUUUUCGAUUUUGAAUUGUGAAUUUGAAAUCGAAAUCUCUGAUUUCAAAAAUCCGGUUACUGAAUUCGAACCAAAUUUGUAUACUUUGUAAUCAAAAUUUUCGAUUUUCAUUCUGAAUUUCAAAUUACCAAUUUCAAAAAUUUCGAAUUCGAUCAGUAAAUCGAAAUUUUUCAAUUUUACACACUCCUAGUUGCUAGUUUGUUUCUGUCACAUCCAUUAAACGGAUUGGACUUCUAUGCAGAAUAGGUAUUUGUCCUCAUAAAGAGAGAACCAAUAGAAUGUGGCAACAAAGAAUUUCUGAAAUCUAGGCGCACUGGGGCGGUCGUUUCACCGGAGGAAAUGCCAAAAGCAACCGAGAGGAAAGCUUCUUAAUCGGGUCAGCUGGGUAGUUAAUUGGCCCAGAAAUGGCGGGAAUGGAAGGCAACAAUCAUGUAAUUCUGAAAUUAAAUUAGACCAAAAACACUUUCCAGUCUAACUGUGUGUUUUAUUAAAUCCAAUGUCGAUAACAUCGACUUAACAUUGAUAUGAACCCAAUAAGCGUAUCUUCUAUGUUUUCAGACUUGGAUCGAGUAUUGAUUCGGUCGAGUUCAGGGGUUAGGGGUCAAUGGAUUCGAUCGGAAUUAAAUCUGAUGACAUCAUAAAUAAAAAUUAUUUAAAAAUUAAAAUAUUGUAUAUAAAAUAUCUAAGAGCAUGUUAAUAUUAAUAAAAAUAUAUUCACAUAUAUAUUUGAUAUUUCAAAUGUAUUUAAUAAGAAAAUACAAAGAAAUUAGAAUGAUCAAGUAGCAAUUUAUAUUAUUCAAUGAAUAUUAACAAGUUUAGAAUUAAAAUUAUGGACUUGAUUGAAAAAUAACACCAAACUUUAGGACAACAUGUAUAAAGUAUGAAAUAUUUGAGGUAUAUUAACAUUUUUUAACAACCUAGGGGUCAAAACAUAAUAUUGAAAAUGCUUUGACCUUUUCAAAAAAAAAAGAACUUUGACAUCAAACCGAUUCUUCCGGUUCUUCUGAUUUUUCUUAUCAAACUCGAUUUUUGACCUGAGUUGACUGAAUUUCUAUCUAUCUGGUUUUUUAGGAUAAUUCGAACCGGACACUUGACCGAUUUUUGGUUCAUUCGAGUUUAAAAACAUAGCGUAUCUUUACCAGAAUUGACACUAAAUCAGAAAAUGGAUCUAUUUAUAUUAGAGGAGUAAUGUUGUAAGCAUUCAUUGCAUAAUUGAGUUUUUUUUUAAUUGUUGACUUGAUGAAGAGAGGUCGAUAAGGGAAAAGCUCCUAAUGAUAGAUAUAUUUAUCUAACUAUAUGAAAGUGGGCUAAUUACUCAGAAUAUCGAUGAAAAAAAGAAAAGUCGUACAUGUAUGGUUCUGACAAUGGGUACGUAUGAAACUAUGGCUGCCGCAAAUUUUUUUUUUUUUUUUUAAAGUCUGACAUUGCUGCCGAGCCUUGUUAGCCCAGCAGCUGGCAGAACUACAAAAAAGCUGGCUGCCUAUCCCAUUUUUUAAAAAAAAAUUUCCAAACUUCAUGCAUUCCCUUUUUGCUUUCUUUCUUUCUUCACACAAUUAUUUACUGCUACUUAUGCUUUGCAUUUCUGAAUUCGAGUAGAAGACAGCCCGGCAACCAUCCCAUGUUUAAAAAAAAAAAUUUGCAAACUUCAUGCAUUCCCUUUUUGCUUUCUUUCUUUCUUCGUACAAUUAUCUACUGCUACUUAUGCUUUGCAUUUCUGAAUUCGAAUAGAAACUUCAACUGGGAUGCUAAAAUAAUUGGAUAAUCUAUUACAUAGCACAAGCUCCAUAAUGGGUUCCUAUCAAUUAUCAUCCUAGUAUUUUCUUGUGCUAUGAUAGGGACCCUUUAUGGAGCUUGUGCUAUGUAAUAGAUUAUCCAAUCAUUUUAGCAUCCCAGUUGAAGUUUCUAGUCGAAUUCAGAAAUGCAAAGCAUAAGUAGCAGUAGAUAAUUGUGCGAAGAAAGAAAGAAAGCAAAAAGGGAAUGCAUGAAGUUUGGAAUUUUUUUUUCAAAAAAUGGGAUGGCUGCCGGGCUGAGACAACCUAACAGCCAGCUUUUCUGCAGUUCUGUUGGCUGCCGGGCUGACAAGGCCCGGUAGCAAUGUCAGACUUUAAAAAAAAAUUGCUUCUUUUGCUGCCGGGCUUUAUACGUACCCAUUGUCAGAUCCAUACAUGUCCGACUUUUCUUUUUUUCAUCGAUAUUCUGAGUAAUUAGCCAUGAAAGUGGGAGUUGCUUGAAUGACCAGUGAGAGAGUGUUUUCGUCAGUUAUUUCGGCAUUGCUUGAAAUGUUCAGGCUAUUGCGGUUCAUUUGCAUCAGUCUUUUGGCAGUUCCUCAUGUCAUUAGAUUAGCCUUAGUGGUCCUUCAUUUUUCGCUAAUGCCAUUAUCUGUUUCUCCCUUACUCUGGAGACCGAAAGAUGCAUGCUAUAGUUGUAUGGUUCCUUUGUAAUUUAUUUGUUGUUGUUCCUCUUUUGUUUGCGUCAUUCUUGCCUCUUAUGAUCCGCAGAGAUGGCCAUCUUAGCCUUAGGUGUUGUCUUAUUUUCCAGUUAUGCCAUUCCUCUUCCCUUCAUUCAAGCUACAUGCUAUAGUUGUUUGGUUGCUUUGUAAUUUUGUUGUCUUCUAACCCUACAUUUUGUUGACUCAUUGAUCACUUUUGUGGAUGCCUCACUUUUUGUUUCUACAUGUUUCUUUGAACACGCCUCUUCUUUCUUGGAAAAUUGCCAUUUUGACUUUGUUCUUCUUUGCUUCCCAGUAAUACUUUGUUGCUUUUCCUCUAGCAUUAAAUGCUAAUUAUCCAUUCAAACAAUACUUCUGUCUCAGUUAUCAACUCUUUUGGACUUUUGAUUUGUUUACGGGUAAGUUCUACAAAAUGGUGAAGAAGUUUCUAACAUUUUUGUGGUAAGGUUAAAACUAACCAAUGAUAAGACGAUACAUAAGAAAUUACCGAAGUUGAUGAGGGUUUGUAUAAAACCUAACAAAAGGAGUUGCCGGUGGUAAGUAUAGGUUGUUUGAAAUUGUGGGACCUACCUUUAAAUAAAUCCUUAUAUUAUAUAGGAAUGAGUUUGGGUCAAAGAAUGACUUUGAAUUUCAACUGCAAGAGUAGGGGUAUUUUGGGAUUGUGAGGUUGUUUUGAGUGUAAUUAUAGUAUUGGAUACUACUUUAGAUAGCAUGUGUAUUAUUGUGUUUACUGAAAUGUCCUUGCAAUCUAAAAGAUGCAGUGAUGAUUUGUUCAAAGGUUUGGGUAGUUUGGGAAUGUGAGAUUAUUUGGUCAUCUUUUCUACAAUGGGUACAACCCAUAAUAGUUUCUUUAUUGGUGUAAUUACUUAAAUGUCCUUGCAGAGACAUUCAUUUUGGUUUGUAUCAAUUAUUACUGUUACUUUGCUAUUAUAACUUGAAGAACUUCAAACGUCAUUUUCUUCUCAAUUAAAGCAAGGACAAUGUGGUUUAUUAAGGAAUUUAUGAUUGAGCAUUAGUUUCAAAUGUCUGCCCCUUCACAUUCUUCCGUUAUGUUCCUUUCGUCUUCCAAUAAAUACUUAUUUGUAUUGCCAUUAUACUCUGCAUUUCAAAAUGGUUCUCUAGUGAAGUUAUUCUUGGUGGUUCAACUUGAAGUGAGGUUUCAUUCUUUUUUUUAAUGGUAUGAUUUGCUUUGUAAAAUCGUAAUUUCUAUUGUUAGCUAAAUGCUUUCAUUCCAAUAUUGGAUACUCUGUUAGCGCAAUUUAAUGUUGAUAUUAUUGUUUCCUCAUAAAGUUGGUUGUUCUAUACAAUUUAAAUGAUGUGAUUUUGUUGGAAUAGAUUUGGAGAUACAAAACUUCCUCUUUUGGUCUACUUUCAUGGUGGAGGCUUUUUUAUCAAAUUUGCCUUCUCUCCUACAUAUCACGCGCACCUUAAUGUAGUAGUUACAGAAGCUGGUGUUGUAGCAGUUUCAAUUAACUAUCGGUUAGCCCCCGAGCAUCCUUUGCCUAUUGCUUAUGAAGAUUCUUAGAUUGCAGUCAAAUGGGUUGCCCCUCAUUCAAAUGGCGAGGGUCCUGAGGUAUGGGUUAGGGAUUAUGCUAGCUUUGAUAGGGAGUUUUUUGGUUGGGAUAGUGCUGGUGGUAAUUUAGCAUAUAACAUGGCAUCAAGGGUUUGGCUGGAGAUACUAGACGGUUUCGAUCUUGAUGUGAUUUUUUUCAAUUGUCCUUAUUUUUGGGGAAAAGAUCUAAUUUGUAUCGAGUUAAUGAAAUUACAGGUAAAGGCCUAUGUUAAGGGCAUUUGGCAUUAUGUUCACCCAAAAUCUACGGGGGGUGAUGCUCCAUUGCUGAAUCCUCGGAUGGAACCAAACCUUUUGAGGCUAGACUUUGCCGUUGCUAAAAAAGUUGGCUACUUUCAUCAACAAGAAUGUUGUGUAGAUGCAUAUUUAAGUGGAUAAGCACUUUGUUUAUUGCCAUUAAUCAUUUGGGUAUCUGUUUAAAGUUCAUUUAGUCUUGUUAAUGAAAAUCUCAUAUAAAAGUGUUUGAAAAAUUUCAAAAUAUAUGAACUGAGCAAGAUAGCGUCCAUAAUUUCUUUCUCCAUCUUCCAGUAUACAUUGGAUAUUUUGUUACUUCAUAUUGUUACUCAAUAUGCGUGAGUUUUUUGAUAUUCGCUUGAACUGCCGUAAAAUCUUCUUUAACCAUAGCCACCAAACACCCGCACGAUGCGCGGGCAUUCCCGUCCUAGUAUUUGUAAAGAAAGUAUAUGUGACAGUCCCAUCUCACCCUAAGGCGAACCAAAUGGUUCAGCGGACCGCCUGCCCAACUCUCGCCGGGACUUAGUCAUACCUCAAUCAAAACCGGAAUAAAAUCACAAGAAUAAGUAUAACAACUAUCCAAAACUUAAAACAAAACUUAUAUACAUUACUAUCUCAAAAGGGGGUACAAACUCAAAUAUACAAAGAUUUUCAAUUCUUCAUACAUCCAACCUAUGCCAAAGUUAGGGCGAGAACCAUUAGAAAAAUUCAAAGAACUAGACCAAACUUGUCUAUUCAGAGCUCUCGUCCUUGCUCACCUUCCCCUAUUAAGGAAAACAAAACUAAAGGAAUGAGCUAAAAGCUCAGUGAGGUUCCGAACACAUAAUCAAACAAUAAGUCCAAUGCAUUAACCAUAGAUAACCAAUAAUUCAAGAAAACAUUGACAAUAUAAAGCGAUAAUAACACAUUCAUUAAAAAGAUACGUGCUCACAGGGAGCCAUUCAUUUAUUCAUUCAUUCAUUCAUUCUCCUUUCAUUUUCGUAUUCCUCCAAUCAUUUAAAAAUGCAUUUUUGUAAGUAAAAACCCCUCAUUUACAAUAUCAAUUGUUCAUUCAUUUCAUUCACCCCCUUCCGAACAUUGGCCGAACUCCACCAGACUACAAGGUAAUACUCGAGUAUACCAAACAUUCACCCAGGGUCACCAUAUCGACCGAUCGAGUCCGCUUCUAGCUCGAGUCGAUCGAUAACGAAGGGUACGGUCCAAUUCAGCCAAAAGGCUUACAUUCAUGCACAAGUAACGUUUCAAUCAUUGAAUCAUUGAAAAUUUCACAUCCAUUUAGGUAGAGUGCGAUAAAGUACAUACUCGCCCAAAAAACUCGUUUUGGCAAUCAUUAAGAGUACUUAACACAUUAUCAAACAAUAACAACAAGCCAUGAAGUCAAGGAAAAUAUAACAAACAAGGAACACUCACCUAUUUACGCAAAAUAACGUCCAAAAUAUCCUUCCGGAUAUUACCCUCAGUCACAAUGAAACCUAAGAUUAAACGAGAGAGAAUAUUACAGUUCAUCUAGCAAAACAAUUAGGUGAAAUCAAAGAAAAUUCGCCUAAUUACGAGUAAAACGUAUAAAGAUGACUUUAAAGUGAAAAGAGGACAUUUGGAUCUGUGGACGGGAAUAACUAGGGUUUCAUAAUCCAAACAAAAAACUAAACUCAAAAGGGUUAUAAAAUUUCCAACGGAAAACACUUGGACCAAAGACAAAUCAGAAUCCAAUUAGGUAGGCUUAAGAAAUAUUUUUUUGCAUUGUUUAUGUGGCUCAAAAUCAAUAUAUAUUCAUGUAGAUAUUAUAUAACAAGUGUCUUAAUGAAAAUCAUGUGAAAAAGAGGACAAAAAUACCUUAACUCCCAUACUUAAAACCUCACUUGAAAUUAGUUUUCUCGUGGCCGAGAAUUAAAAGAGUAAAUAAACAUUUGGAGUUUCAAACUAAAGAGGUAUCAUGUUUUAAAAUGGUAAAACGAUCAUAAUAUUCACCCAACAAAAAUAUAUAAGUUCAAAUAGAAAUGUAGUUCCUUGAAUACCCUUCGAGAGAACCGACGUAGUUUUCAAUGAAGUACGUCCAACUCGACACAAAAAUCACAUUUCCAAAUCCAUUCUAACUUACUCAAAUUACAAGAAAAUAAACGGACAGCAUUUCCCCCUACAUUCUUCAUUUUCACCCUACAAUCACAUACCCAUUUUCAUAGCAAUUAACCAUCAUCACACAUACGGUCCAUAAGUAAUAAAACACGUCCAAUUAGGGCAUAAUACCCUUCAAUCAAAGCCAAUUAGAAGCUUAAGAACCAACCAUAAGAAAAACCCCAAAUCAAAACCCUAGAACCGAAAUUUCAGCACAAACCAGAAAUUUUCCGCAAACAAUCGUAAUUAACGCACAAAAGCUCCAUUUAACACCAUCUCAAUCCAUCAAUCCAAAGCCAACCCAUGAUUAUCAUAUAAAAUCAGAAAAUCCGCUAAUAAAUCAGAAAUUCACCAUAAACUCCUUUAACCCAUGAAAUCUUCCACAAAACAACAUAUUUAACCACUACGAAGCACUAAUAUACCAUUAUUAAAACAACAAGGGAACUUUCUUAGAAACUCACCUUAUAACUCAAGAAAGAUAGCACCUUAAAGCUUCCCUCUCAAAAAUCACUCCGUCAAAAGCUUUAAACCUCCUUAGUACACCCUUGUAUGGAGUAGUUUGUAAUUCCACCGGUUAAAACUCAAGAUUCGAGCAAAAAUUAAAGAUAGAAAAUGAAGAGUUUUCUUGCUUUUUCUCUCAAGCUAGCCGGUCAAGCAAGGAGCAAAAUGAAGAUAUUGUGGGCCAAAAGUAGGAUAAGAAUGAAGGAAACAGCCAGUCAAAACUGGUGACCGACUAUGACACGUCACAAUCCGGACGGAAUCUGGCCGGAUUCAAGGCAGAGAAAAAAUCAAUUUUUUUUUCAACAACCAACAACAAUCCGGCCAGCAAUCCGGCCAAGAACUGGCCAGAUUUGGCCCUUCCCUUUUCCACAAAAUUUUUCCUUCUUUUCCUAGUUCGAUUGCCGCGCUCAACCGUACUCCAACACAUAGACAUAUAUACAUAUCUCACGUCACACGUUCACAUCUAUGAAAUGAAAACCCUCCUUAGAAAUGGAUAGCAAAUUCUUUUCAUUUUUAAAAGGAAAAUGAGAGUAAACCAAAUGCUGAGAAAAUGUGAAAAUUUUAGGGUUCUCACAGUAUAAGUAAGUAAGACAAGACAUUUGAAUGUUCCAAAGGCAAGCGUCAGUUCUAGGAAUAGUGAUUUAAUGCCUGGGAGUUACAAAAUGGACCGUAACAAAAUGUGACUACAAAGAACGCUAUGGUAGUUUGAGACAUUAAUGGAGCCAUUAAAAUUGUGUUAAUAAUGCCACCAACCAGAAGGGAAAGGGAGAGCAAAUGCUUAGUAUUCCACUCCAGUAGGCCGAGAAAUAAAGUUGAGAAAGACCCCAUAGUCAUUGUAUAUUGCAACACAAUUUGAAAAAAAAUAUAUACGAUAUAGAGAGAGACGUGGGAGGAGCAGAGAAGCGGAGGGAUUGAAUUGAAUGAGAGUAAAUCAAAAAGGAUAGAACAAAUUUGAAGAGGUAAGCACUCAUUUCCACAAAUGCAAUGUGAAAAUGGUAUGCAGUGGUUGUAAAUGCGGGGAAAAAAUUAGUUAUUUGUGUUUGUAGUAAUGUGCAUGUAUAGGUUUUAGAAAUGAUAUAUAAGUGGAAUGGAAUAUUAUGAAGAGCAAAAAAUGACACUAAGUAUAUCAAGAUAAUAUUUGUGAGAAAUAAUAACUAGAGCAUAGGAAGUUAUUUAGGUAAAGAAAAAUACAAAUGGAUAUUUAUGAAGAACAGGAAUUCAAGGGCAUGCAAUCAUUUAAAGAAUAAUUUUUAGGAUUUAGGGGGAAUUUAGGAAGGUAAAUUGUGAAGAAAUAGAAUAAUGAACAUGGCAUUGAAAUUGCAUUUCAUGUUCUUGUAAAUAUGAAACAGUAGUUAGUAGGUAGUAUAUUGCACUUUGUUGUAACCAAAGUAAUGCAAAUAAAAUGAAAUGCAACAAAUUGUCAUAGUUAAUACGACGUAGACAAAUAUCAGUUAAGGUAUGUUUCUUUGUGACAAGUUAGUAGAGAUUAACAAGUGUACAUGGAACAAAGAAGUACACGGAAUAGACACCAAGAGUAAUGGAAUUUAAUUAAUUAAUUGUAUAAUAUAAUACAAGUAAGAAGCAAGAUCGGUAGCCAAUUGAUAAUGCUGGCGAUUUAAAAAGGAAUAUCCCUCGUUGCCAAAAUACUAUAUUUGGACUAAUUUGCUCUUCUGAAUUAUACAUAUGCAUACUACCUAUUACAUGAAUUAUACAUAUACAUUUAUUGUUUUAACUACUUUACACGUAUUAACAUUAUAGUAGUGCAACUAUAUUGCCAUUGAACUAACUUGCCCUUACUGAACUUAUUUUGUCAACCACAUUCUAAAUAAAUAAAAAAUCCUAUCAAUUGGGUUCUAUGAAUGAUGACGUCAAUAAGAGGAUAUAUAUAAAACCCUUGAGUGACAAUUACUAGUUUGUAUAUACUAAAAUCCUUGAUUUAAUUUAUAAUUUUAAUAAAGGUUAUAAAUAUUAGAAAUGGUAAAUUAACCUUAUUAGGAAGAAACUACAAAAUAAGGGGGACCUUAGUCAUUAUAAUAGCAAUCCUAUUUUACCUAAUUCCCAGCCAAACACAUUAUAGCAUUUUUUUAAAUAUAUCUCAUCUAACUCAAAAUCAAUCAAAUACUAGAUAACUUGGAUUAUUAAUUCGGAAUAUCCCCUCAUUGCCAAAAAACUAUAUUUGGACUAAUUUGCCCUUGUGAAUUUUACAUAUGCAUACUGCCUAUUACAUGAAUUAUACAUAUACAUAUAUAUAUAUUAACUACUUUACACGUAUUAACAUCAUGGUAGUGCAACUAUAUUGCCCUUGAACUAAAUUGCCCUUACUGAACUUAUUUUGCCAACCACAUUCUAAAUAAAUAAAAAAAUCCUAUCAAUUGGGUUCUGUGAAUGACAACGUCAAUAAGGGGAUAUAUUAAAACCCUUGAGUGACAAUUACUUGUUUGUAUAUAUGAAAAUCCUUGAUUUAAUUUAUAAUUUUUAUAAAGGUUAUAAAUAUUAAAAAUGGUAAAUUAACCUUAUUAGGAAGAAACUGCAAAAUAAGGGGGACUUUGGUCAUUAUAAUAGCAAUCCUAUUUUACCUAAUUUCCAACCAAAUACUAGAUAACUUGGAUUAUUAAUUCGAAAAUGACUCAAUCCAAGAUUGAUAACCCUAUUUUGAGUUACCCUAUUUUAAUUAGCCUAUCAACCAUAUUGAUCCAAAAUUCAAACAAUUAGGGUAAACAAAUAUAAAAUUCAAAUUGUUUGACUAACUCCAUUUUGAUUUUAGCCAAUACAUAGUAUCAAAUUCGGCCCACUAGUUAUACUUCUAAUGACAAUUACAAGUACGAUUUGUCUAUUUGAUUUUUGGGCAUCUAAUUUUGCUUGUUUUACAUCAAAAUUUGAAUGAUAAAGCCAUACUAGAAUGUUGAUUACCAAAUCAAAUGCUUACACUACUUAAGAGAACAAAUAAAACGUUGCCGGACUUGAUCACUUAACAUAUACCAAAUGGCCAACUCUAGUUGAUAACAUGUGGCCCACUUUAGUACUAAAUAAUUACUGCUAAACUCAAUAUGUGUCCACCAAUACCCAUAUAGAAAGUAAACAUGCAAUAAAUGAUAAAACACCGCCACCGAGGGCCUUAAUUGCAAGCAUAGUCAUUCAUUGAAGAAUGGAAGCCUGCAAAUUGCACAUGUCUCGAGGCAUUUGCCAUCAAAUUUUGCUUUCUUCUAUCGAAGUGUAAUAACCAGUUCAUACUUUAGUACCAAAUGUGUUAUUAUCCAUUGGGUCGAACAUAUAUAAGUAAUUAUCUAUGCUUCAAUUAACCUUACCCAGUGAGUAAAUAUAUGUAUUUAAAUUGUUGCCACAUGAGAAAUUUGCCCUUAUCUUCGCAUGUGAGCUGGUUGCCCCUUUUUUCUUCUUUAUUUUCUCUUGACGUUGUACGAAAUUGAUUUGACGAGUGCCUGUUUUUUCAAGCUAUUUUGUCAGUCUAAUGACAUUUUUAUGGUAAAGACCACUCUUAACAUACUAUAUAACUAUCCUUGUUUAUGUCAUUUGGAAACCUAUCACAGAGAUUACAAUUCCCAUGUUUUCCUUCAUCUUAAUCAUGAUGCUUGUUAAUUUUUUUCCAUUUUUAUUUUUAUUCAUUUAUGCUUAUGCAUAUCCUUUUAUUUUACUAAAUAUCGGAUACCUUUUAAGUUAUUUGUUGCCUUCAUUCUUUACAUUUAUAUAGAUAUAUUGGUCUACAUAAUUUGCUUGUCUUAUUUUUUUUUUAAUCCUUUUAGUGAUCAUGGGUCAGAAAAGAAAAUUGAUCUCUAAUGAGGAUCCCCAGUUGGAAAAAAAUCAUCAUGCUAGAGAAGUAUACGCAACCUUGCCUAACACAAAAAAGACUGAAUUUGUGGCUGAAAAACAGCAAUCAAAUUGCAUUGAGGACAUCCUCAAUCGGAUUGCAUUAAAUCUAAAUUAAGUACUUUAUCAUCAUCCUCAAAUUGCAGUGAGGACAUGGAAUUGAAUAUGAUUAUUGCUCAAUCCAUAGUGCAAUCGAACGCAUUUAUUUUGGAUGCUGCUGCUUCUAUUUUAGAAGCUCAUCAAAACCUUCAAGAAAGUGCUACUUUGCAUGCUAUUUGUGCAUUUUAUUAGUUAUAUAUAUAUAUAUAAUAUUAAUCAUUAACAAAAAUUUACUCCUAUUUAAAUACGUUGUUCUAUCAACUUCUUCAUCUGUUUCAAAUGUCCCAUUCAAUAGCAAAGACUUGCGUGAUAGUGCGCUAGGUAAUUAUUCUAUAUCUUACAUAUAAUAGUAAGUUCUUUAUGCUAGUCAUUGUCUAUGUUUAUGAAUCUUUUGUGUAAAUCUCUAUGUUUUGUUUCGAUAGUUGCAAAGUAUAUAGUGUGACGCCCCACAUCUCCCUAAAACGGACCAAAGGGUAUCCGCGGACGCCUGCCCAUCUCUCGCCCGGACUCAAGCAAUUCCAUUCAAUUUAAAACCGAACUAAACAUUUCGAAGAGAGCAACAUGAAUACAAAUAAUGCGGAAGCGUUCAAGUUUAACAAGUCACUUAACAUGUAACCAUUACAUCGGUAAUCAUAAUACGAUUUAAAUUCAAAAUACACGUCAGGGCCCAAAUUUUUACACUUCAAUUCUCAAAAGUACAACCCAAACCAGGGCCUAGCCAAAAUAUAGUAGGAAUCUUAAACAAAAGUACAACGAAGGGUUUCUCCAUACUUCUCCGAGAUUCGGUCCUGUUAAGGAAAACAAAUCUAUAGGGUGAGCAAAACGCUCGUGAGGCCAAGAACACACAUGCAAGCAUAUUGCUCAAAUAACAAUCUCAAUAACAAGUCAAGCAAUAAUACUGCAAUAAUUAACAAUUCGAGCGGAAAAAAAAAGUAAACAGAAACAAUUCAAGGAUAUAGUAGCUCUCAGGAGCUGAGUUCCACUUGCACGAGCAAUAACCUCCACGAACUGACACUCCGUCAAUCGGGUAGGUUUAGUCCGUAGAACUCCACUUAACUUGUCCCCUUUCACCUUACAUACCCCUGUAUCGGGUCCGCCUGUCAUUAGUUUAUGGCGAUACUAUUCGAGUAUGCCAAGCAAAACCUCUCAUUAGGUCAAGCUUAUAUAUCUCAUGGUUCGCCAAGGUUCCCGACCAAGCCCAUGCCGGCUCGAGUCCAAGGUCGGCCAAUGAGAUUUGGGCGUCCCCCAUGUGCACUUGUGUGUCGAGGAGAUUCACUCCAACGACGUAUGCAGAUAGCAUACCAAUACAUUUCAUUCAUUCAAUGCAUUUCAAUCAUUAAAAUUUCAUUUCUAAUGAGAACGAGUGUGGUAAAGUACACACUCGACUCCACUUUCAAGAUUUCCAAAUUAUUAAUAACAAUUAAACAUGUAACAAGUUUACAUACACCUGACACUCACCAAAUAUUAGGUGUGAGUAAGGUCAAGGGAAGUUCAAGCGUCCACCGGGGAAUUCUCUUGAAGAUCCUCGUGUGUGCCUGAGCAAAUAAUAGUGAAUUUAUCAUUCACAUCCCAAAUAUCGAGGAAUAACUCGUUUACUAGCAUUAAUCGAGGGAAUUCCGUGAAAAUGAAUCUCAAUUACUCGUAAAUCGAGAUUCGAGUGGGGUUUGAUAACAUUUAAAAGUAUUUAAGUCUUUAUCUAGGAAAUCGAGGAUAAAACGUUUAGAUAAUAUCAAAAGAAAAGAGUUCUUGAAAAACUCUAUUUCCUUGAAGUUGGAAAAUUUUCAGUUUUAUUAUGAAUCUUUGAAAAAUCGUAACUCACUCGGAACAAGUCAAGAAUUGGAAAACUUUAUACCGUUGGAAACCUCUUAGAAAGUACUAUAAGUUCUUAGAAGACACUUUUCCAUGAAUCGGAGUGGAAAGUGCUCAAAAAUGAGCUUGAAGGUACAGACUUGGUUUACAAAGCAGAAUUAAGUUGGAUUUCGGCCAACUUUGAAAAUUCGGUACGAUUUACACGUUGCAAACCGGCCUCUAAAAUUUGUAACUCAAUUAAAGUUACAAGUCAGGUGUAUAGCAAAGCAAGCGGAUCAAGAAUCGGAGUUUCGAGUACCGAGAUACGGUAGCUCAAAGUUGGGGGAAUUCAAGACUGGAGAAGAAUUUCCAGAUUUGAACCUCCAACACUAGAAAUUUAAUUAGGUAUUGAAACGAACUUGGAUUGGUACCAAAAUUGGCAAUAUUUUACUCCUAUAUGAAAGGUAUUUCUCUAUCAAAUUUUAGGGAAAAAUACCCUCGGAAAGGUAGUUAACUAAUCAUCCAAAGUUCCGGAAAAUUUCUAAGGCAAUCUGCCUUUUGACUUUCAUUUCCCAAUUCAAAUCGUUUAACCAAGAAAGCUAUCCAACCAUGGUUCAUUGGUGAAAUAAAGGUCUAAGAUACAUCCAUGAUACCUUUGGUAAUGGUUUAGCAUCAAAAUUUCAAUUAAUAAGAUCACUCCCGGGUUUUGUCCCAAAUCAGUCCAAAUAUUACGUUUUUCCAAAACAGGGCAGUCCUCUUGUUUUAGUCACAACUCGGUCAAUUUAACUCGGAAUUGAGCAUGGUUUAUGGCGUUGGAAAAUAUAUUCAUAAGACUAAAAGUUCACAGAAGGAAACGUUCUGAAAUUUGGCAAGCAACCAGCUCGAAAUUGAGCCUCAAGUUGCUGCCUCUACAAACCAUUCCAGCAGAUCCGAGAGACAGGACAGCUAUCUUAAAAUGAAUGGUUCGGCUCCUACACAAGGAAUCAAAAUACGCAUUUUAUACCGUUGGAAAUGUAUGGAUGUCUAGUUUCGAAUGCCAUCAACGGUACUCAAUUUUGACGUCGGAGGACAAAGUUAUGGUCAAAAUACUACUGCUGGAUAGGGUUAUCCGAAAAUAAUUUUCCAGCUUGCCUAGUUCACGAAUAAAUUCAUUUGCCCAUCUAAACGUUAAUGUUUUCCAAUGAAAAUUUUUACACAUAUAACAUAACAUAUAAACAUCAAGUUCACACCAAUAAAUCACCAAAAAUUGGCCUUAUCAUGGCCGAACAAAACAGGGGCAGUUUCGGAAACUUCUUGCCAUGACCUCAACUUUGAGUUUCCAACAAUAAUACUCCAUAGAUCCAUCAUUUUAACCACUGAACUAUCAUUAAAUCCAUCAUUAAUCCUCUAAUCAGCAACAACCCAAAUGUGGGAAUUCAUAGAGCCCGCUUUUCAAAUUUUCCAACCAUAUCAAGCCAUCCAUACACAUGCAAUAGCUUAAAGAUGUAUUUCUACCAUCAUAAUCCAAGUUUAAGGUGUAGGAUGAAGUUAUACCUCCUUAGUGCUCUAAACCAGAAAUUUUCGGUCCUCAAGAGGCUCCAAGAAACCGUGAAAUGCAGCCCUUAAGUUAGCUAGAUCCAACCUCCAAGUAGUUUGCUAGAUGGUCUUCAAGUUUGGUGAAGAUUGAUUGAGGUUUUGUGGUUAAUUUGAUGAAGAAAUUUGUGAAGCAAGGGAGUGAGAGAGAGGGAAGGCUGGCCGGCUGUUGGUGAGAGAAGAAGGAGUGAAAUUUUGAUCAAAGUUAGCUUCCAAGAGAAGAUUAAAUGAGUGGUGUACAUUCACUCCAAAGUCAACCCUUAUUAGGGCUCGUUUGGUGCGUUUAGGGCUCGAUUUCUCUCGCGUUUGGUUCACUAGUGCACUAAACCUCUAAUGUACUUAUAUUCAUAUAAAUAUUAUUCACUCUUAAUUGUCUCGAAAUAGGGGUCUAAAGUCCCUCAAAUAAAGUCGCGCGUGUGAAAACGCGUACCGUCAAUUUUAACGCUAUAACGCGAAACUUCCGAUAAAUUCUUAUAACGAUUGUACUACUAACUAUCACUUGAGUAUUUAUUCAUAAGAUUACCUAUUUUAGGACCAUAGUACAAGUCUCCAAUAUUCCAAAUUUAUUGUGCUCUUUCGCGGUAAAAUCUCCAAGUACUAUUCACUAUUUUUACUAAACGCGCUCCAGGAAAUUAAUUUUUGAAACGAGUCAUUUUAAAAAUAUAACGAAGUUAUAUUACCAUGUAUUUAGGUCUAAUAAGACUAGAAAAUAUUUCUCGGGGUAAAAAUCCAAUUAAAUAAUUUAUUAAGCCAUAAAUUAGGUUUAAAAAUAAUAGUUUUUACGAGUCCUCACAUCCUCUCCCUCUUAAGAAAAUUUCGUCCUCGAAAUUUACCUUGGUUGAUGAACAAGUCUGGAUACUUCUCUCUGAUUGUCUCUUCAACUUCCCAUGUUGCCUCCUCUACUCCAUGGUUCUUCCAUAGAACUUUCACUAGUGGUAUCUGCUUGUUCCUCAAUUCUUUCACCUUUCGAUCCAGAAGUUUUACCGGUCUCUCCUCAUAGGUCAGGGUUUCAUCGAUCUCAAUAUUCUCCGGUUGUAAAACAUGAGAGGGGUUUGGAUGAUACUUCUUAAGUAUUGACACAUGGAAUACGUUAUGAAUUCGAGAUAAGCUCGGUGGUAAUUCCAGCUUAUAGACUACAUUCCCAACUCGUUGAAUAAUCUUAUAAGGCCCUACAAACCUUGGUUGUAGUUUCUUCCCUUUUCCGGACAUCAAGCUUGCUUUUAAAGGCAUAAUCUUGAGAAAUACCACAUCUCCAACAGUGAACUCCAAAUCCUUUCUCCGAUUGUCGGCAUAACUUUUUUGUCUACUCUGAGCGGUUUGAAUCCUUUGCCGUACCAAUUUUACCUUUUCAUUAGCCUUCUCAAUCCAAGAUACAGUAGUCGAGUCUAAAAUUUUUCGUUCACCUAUUUCAUCCCAACAAAUUAGAGACCUACAUCUCCGACCAUAAAGUGCUUCAUACGGGGCCAUCUGAAUAGAAGAGUGGAAACUAUUAUUGUAGGCAAAUUCCACUAAAGUCAAAAACUUACUCCAACUCUCUCCAAAAUCCAGUACACAAGUCCGUAACAUGUCCUCAAGAAUUUGAAUUGUCCUCUCCGACUGUCCAUCCUUCUGGGGAUGGUAAGUGGUACUAAAGUUCAAUUUAGUCCCUAAUACUUCCUGCAUCUUUUGCCAGAAUCUCGAAACAAAUCUUGGAUCUCUAUCCGAUACGAUACUGACAGGUAUUCCAUGCAACCUAAUGAUCUCAUCCAAAUACAACCUGGCCAACUUCUCCAAUGGAUAUUUCAUAUUAAUCGGCAGAAAAUGAGCUGAUUUGGUCAAUCUAUCUACGAUUACCCAAAUCGCAUCAUGGCCUUUCUGUGUCUUUGGUAACCCCGAUACAAAAUUCAUAGUGAUAUUCUCCCAUUUCCACUCAGGUAUUUCUAGAGGUUGCAAAAACCCUGAUGGUUUCUGAUGUUCGGUUUUAACCUGCUGACAAACCAAGCAUGUCUGAACAAAUUGGGCAAUUUCUUUCUUCAUAUUUUCCCACCAAUAUACACUUUUCAAGUCUUGGUACAUUUUAUUCCCUCCUGGAUGUACUGUAAACUUUGAUCGGUGUGCCUCUUCUAAAAUUUCUUUUCUAAGCCCUUCAUCCUUUGGCACAACUACCCGAUUCCUAAAUUUCAAUAUACCGUUCGGUCCCAAAUUAAAAUCCGAUUUGUUCCCCUUUUUAACCUUUUCCGACCAUUUCUGUACUUCAGUGUCCUUUUCUUGAGAUUCCUUGAUACGUUCCAUCAAAGGAGAAUUCAAUACAAUGUUCCCCAGAAUUACUUUCCUCGGUUCCAAUCGAGGAUUUCACUGACUAACUUCUUUCAACAAUUCAAAUUCCUCAAUCAUCAAUCCAGCCAUUUGUACCUGACGGCUCAAAGCAUCGGCCACUACAUUGGCCUUCCCUGGAUGGUACUUAAUCGUACAAUCAUAAUCUUCCAGAAAUUUCAUCCAUUUACGUUGCCUCAAAUUCAGCUCCUUCUGAGAAAAUAAGUACUUAAGACUUUUGUGAUCUGUAAAAACCUCAAAUGUUACUCCGUACAAAUAGUGUCUCCAUUUCUUCAAAGCAAAGACCACAGCCGCUAACUCCAAAUCAUGGGUCAGAUAAUUUCCUUCAUGCGGUUUCAAUUUCCUAGAGACAUACGCUAUCACUUUAUCAUUUUGCAUCAAAACACAUCUCAAACCUUCCUUAGAAGCAUCUGUGUAAACCACAAAACUAUCCUGUCCAUUAGGUAGAGCUAGAACAGGCGCUCUAGUCAAUCGUCUUUUCAACUCCUGAAAACUUCCUUCACAAUUAGGACUCCAUAUAAAUUUUCCAUUUUUCUUGGUCAACUCAGUCAUAGGCCCAGCAAUUUUCAAAAAAUCCUGGAUGAAUCUCCGGUAAUACCCUGCCAAUCCUAUAAAACUCCGAACUUCCGUUGGGUUUUCCGGUCGUUUCCAUUUCGAAACAGCUUCAAUUUUGGCUGGAUCUACUUUAAUCCCAUCCUUAGAAAUUAUAUGCCCUAAGAAAGUCACCUCUUUUAGCCAGAAUUCACACUUGCUAAACUUAGCAUAUAACUGAUGUUCCCUCAAGAUUUGUAAAAUAAUUCUCAAAUGUUUCUCAUGAUCCUUCAUAUUCUUAGAAUACACCAAAAUAUCAUCAAUGAAAAUCACCACAAAUUGAUCCAAGUAAGGCUUAAAAACCCUAUGCAUUAAAUCCAUGAAAGCGGCAGGUGCAUUGGUUAACCCAAAAGGCAUCACUGCAAACUCGAAGUGCCCAUACCUCGAGUUAAAAGCAGUCUUAGGUAUGUCCUUCUCCAAAAUCCUUAAUUGAUAGUAACCCUGCCUUAGAUCCAACUUUGAAAAUACUACCGCCCCUUGCAGUUGAUCAAACAGUUCAUCAAUGUGGGAUAGUGGGUAUUUAUUCUUAAUCGUAAAAUCAUUUAAGCCUCGAUAAUCUAUACAUAAUCUCAAACUCCCAUCUUUCUUCUUUACAAACAAAACUGGGGCUCCCUACGGGAAAUCACUCUCGCGUAUAAAAUCCCGUUCCAACAAAUCCUGCAUUGGUAACUUCAAUUUCUUCAAUUCAGCGGGAGUCAUCCUAUAUGGUGUCCUCGAGAUAGGUGCUGUUCCCGGAACUACAUCAAUUUUAAAAGUUAUUUCCCGUUCCGGGGGUAAAGACUCCAAUUCUUCAGGAAAAACAUCUGAAAAAUCCUUUACUACUGGUGUGUCUUCCAAAUUCACCUUAUCACUAGGAAUGUUAAUAAGAAAAGCCAAAUACCCUUGAGAUCCUUUACUUAAUAAUUUUCUAACCCGAAUUCCUGAAAUAAGUGCAGACGAAACUAAUCUACCCCUUACAUCUAGUUUCAGGAUUGCUUCACCUGGAAUAUGCAACUCUACAAUUUUCGUGUGAGGCCCCGGUCCGUUCUACGUUGAUAUAUUCACUAGUUAGGCGGUAACGUUUGGGUUUGGGAGUAUUUCGAAAACUCUAAGUAGGGAUUAAGAUUUAAACCCUAGUUCUAUAUUAGUUACAAGUUCGAGUGGUGAUUAAAGUUAGUUAUGUUAAUGUGUGCCUUAGUGUGGGUAAGUACAGGAUUUAAUCCAUUUUGUAUAGGUUAAUUAAGUUUAAGAAGGGUAGAAACCCUAAGUGAGCAAAAUCCCUAAUUUUGCCCUUGACAAAAAGGUUCUUGUUUAAUUACUUUUAUGUGGGAUAAAAUAUGUUUAAGUGUAAGUGAUUAAGAUGAGAAAGUGAUUAGUGAAGUAAUUAAGUGUGAUUACAUGUUUUGAAAGAGAUUAAGUUAUGACUUAUGGAGUAAAUUGAAAGAUUAUCAAAUGUGUGAGGGAAAUUGUGUAAGAAAGAGAAAGUUAAAGUGCAAGGGUUUAAACAACAAAUAAAGCAUUUUUGUGAUUGGUUAGCUAUAAGAAAUAUCUCCCAAAGCUUUGACUAUAUGUUGUCUUACAACUUAUAAGAAACAAGACAAAACAAAACAAAAACAAAACAAAAAUUGAAGAGAAAUUUGAGAGAGAGGGCCCGGCCACCUUGAAGAGAGAAAGUGAGAAAAUUUCUUCAAAAAUCUUCAAGUUUUAGCUUCCAUCUUGGGUUUGAAUCUUGGAGCAACAACUUGGGUGCUUGAUUAGUGAAGGUUAAUCAUCUACAAAGCUUAAUUGAAGGUAUGCCUCUUACUUGAAAGAUAAACUUUUGGGGUUUUGAUCUUUAAGCCAUGGAAAUGAUGUGGUAUGUUAUGAUUAUGGAUUUAUAUGGUGAAUUUGAUGUUUUAUGGGAGUUUUAUGGUUAACUUUUGGUGAUUUAUGCUGCUGGAAAUUUCGGUCAAGAGAGAGAAAAUUUGGGUUUCUUGUUUUAAUGCUUCCUUAGUUGGUUUGAUUGGGAAAUUGCCUUGAAGUGGUUGUGUUUGAUAAAUUGUCUCACUUGAUUGGUUGGUUUCUAGCAAAAUUCUGAUUAGGGUUAAGAAACCCUAGACUCCAUGAGGUUAGUUUAGUUGAACCUAUGGCUAUAGAGUUAGGGUUUGGUUAGUUGGAUGUUAGGGUAAGUUGAUGGGUGCAUAUGAAGUUAGGUUAGGUGUUAUGGUUAGUAUUUGGUAAUUUAGUAUUGACUUGGGAGGGGAAUUUCGGACCAUUUGUAGGCCAUUUAGAUGGUAGUAUAUGUGUGUUUAUUUGGUACAAAAGUGGUUGAAAAACCUGCAUAAGAACCAUGAAAACGAACCAUAUGUUUGCGACAUUUGAAACCGGCAAAAUGGGUAAACAGGGCAACCCAAAACCUGAAUUUGAGCUCCAUUUUUCUUAAUGCUAUAUACGGAUUUAGGAAUUCCUCAAAACAUGAAAGUCGUAGCCCCUUGAGUCCUGUUUAUGCCUGUAAAAUUUCAGGUCCAUCGGAUUAGCGUAGCCUGAGUUAUCGACGAAAUACUCAAGCCUGUUUUGACCCUUUGAUUCUGCGCGUUUUUCUAGUUUAGCUUCUGCCGUGAUUUUUCGGUUUUGAUCCCAUUCGAUCUGGGUGUCGACUCCUUCAUAUGAAAUUUAGAUCUUGGUCUCAGCUUCGAAAUGGUAUAAAGUACGUCGAAAACCGAGUUCCUUAGCUCCGGUUAUGAUCGAAACGAUAUCGAUCGUCAGAACUGCCCGGUUUUUGGACAGUUCUGACGGGUACUUUGGCACUCGAAUUUUGUUCUGUUCUUAAUAGAUUCAGGUCUUGGCCAAAACAUGAACGUUUUAGCCUUAUGUUUCAGCUUUCUAAUGCCUUUGGAAUUUCUGAAUUUUGAUUUCUGUGCCGUGAGUUACGGUCUUGCAAACAGGGCCUGUUUGGUAACCCGCAAGGAAACAGCUGGCACUAUUUCGUGCAUUUUUGACCUAUACCUAGUGAGAUCUGGGUUGAAAUUUCUUCACGAAAAUUGUAGCCCUUUCUCUUAGCUUCGAAACGGUGUCUCACCCACUUUGAUCCGACACUCCUAGCCUAAUUUUUGACCAAAACGGUUUGAGAUGGCCGAUUUGGCCAUUUCCGUUUGCCGUUCCGCGCGGACGUGUGCGGCCGUUUUGCCGUUUCCGCACUUGCGCGUGCCAAUUUUGCCGUUUGGCUUAUUUCAAGUACGUUAGUUGCCGUUUGUGAUAUAUUGUGACAUAAUUUUCGAUUUCAGACAGUGGUGAGUUAGGCGGUGCCGGUGGAGCCCACUAUUAGCCAACACACAAAGUGAAUUCCGCCUUUAUACUACUGUUGGUAUUUUGAGUAAGUAUUCAGGCCGCUCUUAUGUGUUAGUUGUUUAUGUGUUUCGUUAUGCGUAAAAAGGGUACCUAGGCGAGAGUGUACUUUAUCGCGCUCGACCUAAACCCUAAUUUGCGCACAUAUUUGUACAUGGCUUAUGUAUAUGAGCAAUUUUGGAACUAAAACCCUUGAGCUGGUGGCUCAGGGUGACUUUUGAAUAAUUUUGUGAAUUUUGUGAGUUUGAGGUUGAACUCAAUACCUAGAGGGACUAUUCGAGCCGGUUAGGGCUUGGUCGAAGUCAGUCCAACUUGGUUUGAGGUCACCAAGUUUGUGAACCCGGUUCGCUGAGUAUGUGGACCAAUUUUGUGACCCGAGCUUGUGACUCAAGCUCAAGUUUGUGAUUUCGUUCGCCUGGGCAAGUUUGUGAGGUGACUGGCCAGUGAGGGUGAUAAGGUGUCGGUGGGUGUACAAGUGAAGUUCUACGGACCUUAUUUAUGGUCGACGGAGUGUCGACAGGAGAUCACGCAUGGCAAAUGACUUGGCUUUGGAGCCACCCGUAUCCUUAUUAUGUGAUGUUACUUUUCUGCUUUUGCUUUACUCUUACUGUGUAAUUGGUGUUACGUGAAAUUUACGCUUUUGCCCCUGUUUACUUACUAAGCUUUUAGCUUACCCCAUUCCUUUUGUUUUCCUUAGCAGGGGCCGACGCGGGUACGUUUGGGCACUUACACUAGUAUAGUAUAGUUAGACUUGCUUGUAAUAGCGGACAAUUAGGAUGUUUGUUUUUAUUGUGGUGGUUUGUAUAAGGACCCUUCUUAGGGUCUACCUUUUGGUUUUGGCUGUAAUUAUAAGGAUGUAAUAGUUUGAGCAGGUACUUUUGGGGAAUGUACUUAUAACUCUUUUGGGAUUGCUUAUAUAUGUAUAGUACUCUUUUGGAUUUUCUGGCUUUUAUUGUUUUAAGUUUCGAGUCCUGGCGCGAGUUAGGCAGGCGGCCCGCCGAUACCCUAGGGUUCGCCCUUGGGAGAAGUGGGGUCGUCACAUUUCGUCCUACAGUUUAACUAAACAUUAUAACGGACUAACCAAUCCAUCCCUAGGAUCACAUCAUAUCCUUUAAUCGUCAAACCGAUCAAAUCGGCCCAUAAUUUUCGUUCCCCUACAUAAAUUUCACUAUUCCUGUACUCCAGAUUAGCAAUUAAGCUUUUGUCUCCAGUAGGUGUUUUAACCUCCAAGUCAUAUGUUAACUUAAUUGGUUUCAAGUCUAUUCCAUUCAUGAAGUUAGGGUUUACAAAUGAAUGAGUUGCACCCGAAUCAAUUAAAACCCUAGCUAAACGAUGAAAGAUUGGGAUUGUACCUUCCACCACCUCAGUUGCCUAAGGAACUUGUUGGUAAUCCAGUGCAUAAACCCUAGCCGGUACUUUCGCUCGGCUCCCUCCGGCACUGGUCUGCUUAGAAGUUGACUUUUCUGGCCUUUGAACAUUCCCCCCUGUCUUUGGUGAUUUUGGACAAUUGGCGACUUGAUGUUCAGUAUUACCACAAAAUAAAUAUUUCCCCAAUUUUCUCCAGCAAUCGUUCUCAGAAUGAUUGGGUUUACCACAAUACCCACAUGUAACUUGAGGGGUCACAGUCGAUCCAACAGAAGGUGCCCCCCUAACUUGAGUCGUCCCGCUACGACCUCCUCUAGAUAGAGCUCCCCUAGAAGCUCCAGCAGUUCUCGUUCCUCCUUCUCCUCUUCCCAUUUUAGAAGGGUGUACAUACUUACUGGUCUGCCCAGAAGUGCGACUAGGAAAAUUCCUUUUUCUGUUGUGGAAAUCCAUCACUUGAGAUCUUGCAUUCUCAACCCUUUGCGCUUUCUCUAAAGCCUCAGUAAAGGUAGAGAUUUGGGCUGCAGCCAGGCCCUCCUGAAGUUCCACAUUAAGUCCCUGUACAAACCUUCUAAUCCUCCUCCAUUCAUUGGCUACUAACUCGGGAGCGUAUUUGGAAAGUUUAGUGAACUUCCCUUCAUACUCUGCUACAGUAAGGGUUCCUUGUUUCAACUUAAUAAAUUCAUCCUCCCUCUUCUCUUGGAUUAAGGGCGGAAGAAACUUUUCAUUAAAGUCCCUUGUGAAAUUCUCCCAAGUCCAAGGGGUUUGAGUCCUUUCCCAUUUUCCUUUUAUCAGAUCCCACCAAGCACGGGCUACUCUAUCAAAUUGGAAAGCAGCAAAGUUCACUCGCCUAUCCUCAGUGUAAUCUAAAGCAGCGAAUAUGUUGGUCAUUCUUUCUAACCAAUUCUCCGCGACCUCAGGAUCAGGCUCGCCAAGGAAUUUAGGCGGGUUAAAUUUUAAGAAUCUCUCUAAGGCUCUAUUCUCUCCUCUUUCCUGACCCCCAGACUGGUUAAAUGGUUCAGGUCCUUGUCUAUCAGCGAAACGCUCUAGGAUAUCCGUCAUCCUGUUAAUGGCAGUAGUCACUUGAUUACCCUCUAUAUUUUCCUAGCCCUGGGUCGGUCCAGUUGCCGAUCCCUGGUCAUUCCCCUGAGGUUGGGCAGGUCUAGUCCCCCGCCCACGGCCUCGAUCACGGCCUCGACCCCUUCUUAGUCCUUCCAUAACUUAGGCGUGCCUAUUGCAAGAAAUAAAUAAAUAAAUUAUGUGGUGCAAAGUAAAGAGCAGGAGCCGAUCAAGAAAAUAUUGAAAUUAACAAUAAUUUACAUUUAUUAACAUAUCAAGUUCAUACAAUCAGCAAGUUAUGGACAGUUCACAAAAAAUAUAGCACACAAGUGCCCAGAAGUAUACUUUUAGUCACAGAAGACUAAAGUAAGAACAAGUGCCCAAAAGUAGGCCACACAAGCAUGCAAAAUACAAUGGUCUCAGCACUCGCGUCACCCUAACUAGUCCUAGCUGUACCGGUCAAAAGUCAAAAUGGGUCAACUACUAAGAUCCUAGUCCACAGCGGGGCUAUCAGGAGGAACCUCUUCCUCGGGAUCCUCCUCCUCAGCAUCAGGAAUCACCUCAAUAGCGUUCUCAACCAAUCUAGUAGCAUCAGCCAGAAUCUCGAAAGCUCGGUUACGGACAUCCCGUCCUAGCCUAGUAAGUCGAGCCCUAGUAUCCCGAAACUCCUCAUUAACCACUGCAGAUGUGGCUACUUCACCCUCAAUCACCUCCUCGAGCUUGGCAAUCCACUCACCCUGAGCGCCAACCAUCUGCCUAAGCUUGUCUACCUCAGCCUGUAGAUCGCGGUUGGCAUCCACCAACUGACGACGCUCGUCGUCCAGAGCAAGCACUAUAUGGUUCGGGUAGGCGAAAGUCAACCUACACGAACAUCGAGGGUAUCUAUCAUACGAUGAGUAGCGUACUCGAGUUCCUCCCGCUAGAGCUCGGUAGAAGAUAGUCCUAAGAGGCUCAUAAUGACCAUUCGCAUGGCCAUUCUCGUUGGCUGUCGGGGCUCCAUUUCCAUCAGCCAUCCCUGCAAAAUAAUGAUACUUUUUAGGUUAGAAACUUAAAUCACUACCUAGUUCCAAUAUCCCGCAAUGCAUGCCUAACUUAAUCGUUGGUUCAUCCCAAUUGUCACUUGAGGUAGGACUUACUUAGUUGCUAGCUCGCCUCAAGUAUCACUUAGGGUAUGAUUAAGUCAUCCUAUAUCGAGUCUUAAAGGUAGAGUAUCUAAUAUGUCUCCCAUAUAGACCUCUAACCUAGUGCUCUGAUACCAGCUGUGACGCCCCACAUCUCCCUAAGGCGGACCAAAGGGUAUCCGCGGACGCCUGCCCAACUCUCGCCAGGACUCAAGCAAUUCCAUUCAAUUUAAAAUCAAACUAAACAUUUCGAAGAGAGCAACAUGAAUACAAAUAAUGCGGAAGCGUUCAAGUUUAACAAGUCACUUAACAUGUAACCAUUACAUCGGUAAUCAUAAUACGACUUAAAUUCAAAAUACACGUCAGGGCCCAAAUUUUUACACUUUAAUUCCCAAAAGUACAACCCAAACCAGGGCCUAGCCAAAAUAUAGUAGGAAUCUUAAACAAAAGUACAACGAAGGGUUUCUCCAUACUUUUCCGAGAUUCGGUCCUGUUAAGGAAAACAAAUCUACAGGGUGAGCAAAACGCUCGUAAGGCCAAGAACACACAUGCAAGCAUAUUGCUCAAAUAACAAUCUCAAUUACAUGUCAAGCAAUAAUACUGCAAUAAUUAACAAUUUGAGCGGAAAAAAAAAGUAAACAGAAACAAUUCAAGGAUAUAGUAGCUCUCAGGAGCUGAGUUUCACUUGCACGAGCAAUAACCUCCACGAAUUGACACUCCGUCAAUCGAGUAGGUUUAGUCCGUAGAACUCCACUUAACCUGUCCCCUUUCACCUUACAUACCCCUAUAUCGGGCCCGCCUGUCAUUAGUUUGAGGUGAUACUAUUCGAGUAUGCCAAGCAAGACCUCUCAUUAGGUCAAGUUUAUAUAUCUCAUGGUUCACCAAGGUUCCCGACCAAGUCCAUGCCGGCUCGAGUCCAAGGUCGGCCAAUGAGAUUUGGGCGUCCCCCAUGUGCACUUGUGUGUCGAGGAGAUUCACUCCAACGACGUAUGCAGAUAGCAUACCAAUACAUUUCAUUCAUUCAAUGCAUUUCAAUCAUUAAAUUUUCAUUUCUAAUGAGAACGAGUGUGGUAAAGUACACACUCAACUCCACUUUCAAGAUUUCCAAAUUAUUAAUAACAAUUAAAUAUGUAACAAGUUUACAUACACCUGACACUCACCAAAUAUUAGAUGUGAGUAAGAUCAAGGGAAGUUCAAGCGUCUACCGGGGAAUCCUCUUGAAGAUUCUCGUGUGUGCCUGAGCAAAUAAUAGUGAAUUUAUCAUUCACAUCCCAAAUAUCGAGGAAUAACUCGUUCACUAGCAUUAAUCGAGGGAAUUCCGUGAAAAUGAACCUCAAUUACUCAUAAAUCGAGAUUCGAGUGGGGUUUGAUAACAUUUAAAAGUAUUUAAGUCUUUAUCUAGGAAAUCGAGGAUAAAACGUUUAGAUAAUAUCAAAAGAAUAAAGAGUUCUUGAAAGACUCUAUUUCCUUGAAGUUGGAAAAUUUUCAGUUUUAUUAUGAAUUUUUGAAAAAUCGUAACUCACUCGGUACAAGUCGAGAAUUGGAAAACUUUAUACCGUUGGAAACCUCUUAGAAAAUGCUAUAAGUUCCUAGAAGACACUUUUUCAUGAAUCGGAGUGGAAAGUGCUCAAAAAUGAGCUUGAAGGUAUAGACUUGGUUUACAAAGCAGAAUUAAGUUGGAUUUCGGCCAACUUUGAAAAUUCGGUACGAUUUACACAUUGCAAACCGGCCUCUGAAAUUUGUAACUCAAUUAGAGUUGCAAGUGAGGUGUAUAGCAAAGUAAGCGGAUCAAGAAUCGGAGUUUCGAAUACCGAGAUACGGUAGCUCAAAGUUGGGGGAAUUCAAGACUGGAGAAGAAUUUCCAGAUUUGAACCUCCAACACUAGAAAUUUAAUUAGGUAUCGAAACGAACUUGGAUUGGUGCCAAAAUUGGCAAUAUUUUAAUCCUAUAUGAAAGGUAUCUCUCUAUCAAAUUUCAGGGAAAAAUACCCUCGGGAAGGUAGUUAACUAAUCAUCCAAAGUUCCGGAAAAUUUCUAAGGCAAUCUGCCUUUUGACUUUCAUUUCCCAAUUCAAAUCGUUUAACCAAGAAAGCUAUCCAACCAUGGUUCAUUGGUGAAAUAAAGGUCUAAGAUACAUCCAUGAUACCUUUGGUAAUGGUUUAGCAUCAAAAUUUCAAUUAAUAAGAUCACUCCCGGGUUUUGUCCCAAAUCAGUCCAAAUAUUACGUUUUUCCAAAACAGGGCAGUCCUCUUGUUUUAGUCACAACUCAGUCAAUUUAACUCGGAAUUGAGCAUGGUUUAUGGAGUUGGAAAAUACAUUCAUAGGACUAAAAGUUCACAGAAGGAAACAUUCUGAAAUUUGGCAAGCAACCAGCUCGAAAUUGAGCCUCGAGUUGCUUCCUCUACAAACCAUUCCAGCAGAUCCGAGAGACAGGACAGCUAUCUUAAAACGAAUGGUUCGGCUCCUACACAAGGAAUCAGAUUACGUAUUUUAUACCGUUGGAAAGGUAUGGAUGUCUAGUUUCGAAUGCCACCAACGACACUCAAUUUUGACGUCGGAGGACAAAGUUAUGGUCAAAAUGCUACCGCUGGACAGGGUUAUCCGAAAAUAAUUUUCCAGCUUGCCUAGUUCACGAAUAAAUUCAUUUGCCCAUCUAAACGUUAAUGUUUUCCAAUGAAAAUUUUUACACAUAUAACAUAACAUAUAAACAUCAGGUUCACGCCAAUAAAUCACCAAAAAUUGGCCUUAUCAUGGCCGAACAAAACAGGGGCAGUUUCGGAAACUUCUUGCCAUGACCUCAACUUUGAGUUUCCAACAAUAAUACUCCAUAGAUCCAUCAUUUUAACCACUAAACUACCAUUAAAUCAAUCAUUAAUCCUCUAAUCAGUAACAACCCAAAUGUGGGAAUUAAUAGAGCCCGCUUUUCAAAUUUUCCAACCAUAUCAAGCCAUCCAUACACAUGCAAUAGCUUAAAGAUGUAUUUCUACCAUCAUAAUCCAAGUUUAAGGUGUAGGAUGAAGUUAUACCUCCUUAGUGCUCUAAACCAGAAAUUUUCGGUCCUCAAGAGGCUCCAAGAAACCGUGAAAUGCAGCCCUUAAGUUAGCUAGAUCCAACGUCCAAGUAGUUUGCUAGAUGGUCUUCAAGUUUGGUGAAGAUUGAUUGAGGUUUUGUGGUUAAUUUGAUGAAGAAAUUUGUGAAGCAAAGGAGUGAGAGAGAGGGAAGGCUGGCCGGCUGUUGGUGAGAGAAGAAGGAGUGAAAUUUUGAUCAAAGUUAGCUUCCAAGAGAAGAUUAAAUGAGUGGUGUACAUUCACUCCAAAGUCAACCCUUAUUAGGGCUCGUUUGGUGCGUUUAGGGCUCGAUUUCUCUCGCGUUUGGUUCACUAGUGCACUAAACCUCUAAUGUACUUAUAUUCAUAUAAAUAUUAUUCACUCUUAAUUGUCUUGAAAUAGGGGUCUAAAGUCCCUCAAAUAAAGUCGCGCCUGUGAAAACGCGUACCGUCAAUUUUAACGCUAUAACGCGAAACUUCCGAUAAAUUCUUAUAACGAUUGUACUACUAACUAUCACUUGAGUAUUUAUUCAUAAGAUUACCUAUUUUAGGACCAUAGUACAAGUCUCUAAUAUUCCAAACUUAUUGUACUCUUUCGCGGUAAAAUCUCCAAGUACUAUUCACUAUUUUUACUAAACGCGCUCCAGGAAAUUAAUUUUUGAAACGAGUCACUUUAAAAAUAUAACGCAGUUAUAUUACCAUAUAUUUAGGUCUAAUAAGACUAGAAAAUAUUUCUCGGGGUAAAAAUCCAAUUAAAUAAUUUAUUAAGCCAUAAAUUAGGCUUAAAAAUAAUAGUUUUUACGAGUCCUCACAUAUAGGUAAUAUGAGGCCGCCAAAUGAAAUGCAUGACGUGUCAAACAUCAGAUCAAAAGUUGUUGGUAGCCUUUUUAAGACGAUAAUAUUCAUUUAUUAUACCAUCAUUUGUGCUUAAGUUGGGCUAUCUAUUAGUUCUCUUUGUGACGGCUUAUCUUCCUUUCUGAGUAUUUCUUUUCAUAUUUGCAGAAUCUGUAGCUUGUACCACACCAACAAAUACAACACAAUCUUUCUCAAAUACCAUAUCACCUCCUAUUGGUAUUAUUUCCAGUGCAACGCUAUUCAUCUAUUAUAUGUCUGUUUAGGAUUGCCUUUUAAUUAGCUAUAUCUUUUCCUUUAACAUCAAUAGGUCAUCGCGGUAGACAACAGAAUAAAUCUCACAUAAUAGAUCAUUUACCAACUGAGCCAAAUAUUUUGCCCAAAGUUAAGGAUUGUGUAUACUGUGGUGCAAAGCAUUUCUAUUUAGAACCCCUUAGAUUUUGUUGUUGUGUUGGUGAAGUUCGAUUGGCACCUAUUGAAAUGCCUUUAAAAUAAGUCAAAUUAUACAGAGCUAAUAAUGAAGAGGCAGGAACUACAUCCACAUAGCAGAGACAAGUUAUAUACUUUAACCCAUCCACAUAAAAAAAAUACACAAGUUUACUUUAAUCAUUUAUUUUAUUCUGUAGGAACUACAUCCAGAAGAUACUGCUCAUAUAUUGCCAAAAAAAAAUAGCAUAAUCAACCUUUACUGCCAAUACAGAUGUUGGGACAUCAAAGUUGAACAUAAUCUUUUAACCUACGGUUGGAAAAAAAAUACUGCGAUACCAUGUUAUUAGAUCAGGCUAUAUCCUCAUAAUUUCCCAUUUAGCAAUGAAUGAAUAUUGGAUGUACAUAUUCAAUGACAAACUUGCAGAAAUUUCUCCAAUACGAAAUAACUAUAAAAAUUAUGGUUUCACCAUUCAUUGCUUUUCUCAUAUUCUGCUACAUAUAUACUAAAUUUUUAUUCAACAUUAAACAACAUUUUAUACAAUAACCUACCAAUAAUCCUUUUCAAUUAUCCUCAUUUAAUAAAAAAUAACCAGCUUACAAUUAUUAUAUAUAUAUAUAUUAGAAAAUAAUUUCCUACAUCAAUACUUACAAAACAAAACACACUAUUAGCAUGGGUCACAUAUGUUCAGGGCCACCGGACUAGUAUUAUAAAAAACAUAAGUUAAAUAAGUAUAUUUUACUUGCAUAACCCCUUGAAUAGUAUCCGCACAAUAUAUAUAUAUAUAUACAAAUUGAUAUUUUUUUCUCACUUUUGGUAUUCUAUCUUUCUUGAGUCACACUUGCAAAAGUUAAAAGCUAAAGCAAUCCCACCAAAUGUCAUUAUUACCAAAAAUUAGAAAAAUAGCAAAAACUUUUAUUAUUUUCUGUUUAUUUUGUAUAUAAUCUAACAUUUCUCAGAUUUGGAUAAAUUGAAAGGGAGAUAAUAUUGUUUCCUCUUUAGUUGGUAGGACUAGACAUUUUUCACCUAAAUAACAGGUUCAAAUUAGAUUCCUAUAUUGAAAUGUUAUGAGAUAUCAUUAUCUUAAAUUUAUUUUCUGUAUGAGUACAAGAGUUUAGUGGCGUUAUAAACAUGAAGCAUGCUAAAAUCUAGGCUUCGUUUUAUGUUUUAUUAUAAAUUCAUAAUCAUUCAAAAAUAACUAAUCAAAGGGCAUGUAAGGACUUUCAGCAAUUAUAAGGAAAACGAAUAGAGAAAGUUGAGAAUUCUAUGACUUGUACAACCUCAAAAAAAUCCCAUGAUAAAUUUAUAUAUACACAAAAACACAUAUAUAGACAUACACACAGAUUGUGCCCCUCUGGUUAUUGGAAAAAUUUUACGUCGACUAUUAAGCAUGCCUUGUACUUAUUCCCGAACCAAUGAAAAAGGUGGACACGUGAAGAUCCCAUGAUUUCAUUUAAAAUGCCAAGUGAAGUUCACUUAACAUGUGAAUUAAUAAGUGGGUUGCUUAUAUAUUCACAUGAAACUUUUUUAUUGGUUCUAAACCAACUACUAGACGAGCCAGUGUUGCUGCUCUAUUUUUUUUUUGGGCAUGUCACUUAACUUUCAAAUAGGAUUCAAAUUGUAGUGUAAAACAAACGGGGGAUAUGUUAAAGAAAGUAACGAGGGGCAGUUUCCAAACAAAAACAAAGACUGUGAAUUUUGAUCCCUAACAACUUUGAUUAAUGAAGUAUCUAUUUAUGUUUUGUCUAAAGUAAUUGCUUUUUCAACUUUCUUCUUAUUGUUGUUUUUCUUGUUAAUUUCAUAGAGGAGCAACAGAGCACAGCAAAUAACAAUGGCCCAAAAGUCUGGUUUUUGACUAGAAAAAAAAUACUCCUUUUUUGUUGUUUGUCAGAUGCUGCUAAAUAGAAUCAUAUACUAAUCCUCCCUUUUGUUUCCCCCUCUCUUCAAAGCUGGUCUUGCGAGGUUUGCAAGGAUGGUCUCUGGCCGUUUAUCACAAUUAGGAAAAUCUGUAACUCAAGGGUAUGACAAUUAUUUUUUUAUUUUAUUUCUUGUUGCAUUAAUUCUGUUCCCCCAAUUUCAGAAUCUGAAUGUUGAAAAAAAAACCCGAUUAAUUCUGAGCAGUUUGCUUCUUUACUGAUUUCAUGUUGUUUAUUUUUCCAUGAUUUAUUGUGCUUCAGGCGGUCUUCAUGCUGAACGUCUUCGUGCAAUUCUUGUGAUUGCAAACAACGUAUUGGUAAUUCUCUAAUAUGGUGUUUCAGGGCUUUGAUUUCCAUCUGAAAUAGAUUUUGCGUGCAAUAUUGAAGAUUCUGUCUUCUAUUUUGAUUUGCUGACAGAUGAUUUAUGUAAUGCUGAAUGGUUCUAUGUGAUCUUAAGUGCUGGCACAUUGUUGUAAGUAUUACUGCCAAUUUUCUGUACCGCGCUGCUUGUGGUUAAUAAUAUCCUUGUGCAAAUAGGCUAAGAAUCUAGGAUUAAUGUUACUCCAAUUUUUGAAUUUAUUUGUUCAUGUUAGUUUUUAAGCUUAUCUUGAUAGGUCCAAUUUAGAAGAGUAGCCAUGUGAGUAAGGUGGAGUGUUUUCAAGGUGGUACUUUGAGUUGCUAAUCAAGCGAAGCAAAAUAUAGGUGUAGACACUAACACAAGUUGGCUUAAUUACUAAGGAUGAACUAUUUUUUCAUAAAAGCUUAUGUGUUCGAAUAUUGUUGUUGCUUGUUGAUGUGAGAACUGUAUUAGUAAAUAAUUUAUAAGAAUUUUUGUAAGCAACUUAUAGUUUUGGAACAUCUCCUAAUCCAUGAUAGAGUUCAAAUCCAAACGCAUCCAUAUACAUAUAUGCACAGGCGCACGCACACACGCGCAUACGUACAGAGUAACAUCAAGUAAACCAUAAAUCAGAAGAAUAAAUCAAAUAAGAAAGCCAGUGUACUGUUCUGCAGAGAUAAAUUAAAAUGAGUGGGACAAAGAAAUCAGUUGUUCUGGGAGUCCCCCUACUCAAUGACGUGUUGUCACUUUCAGAACGAACAUCUGGAUUGUAGUUAUUUAUUUAUUUUUAAUAAGGCAAGUAGCUCAAUGAAUUUCUGCAUCUCUAACCUUGUAUAGCAAUUAAAUCAAUCAACUUUUAGUUUUGCUCUUCGCACUUUCAAGAGAGUGCGUUUUUGGAGUCGAGGAUUUCUUCUACCAAUUAAAUCAAUCAGUUGUAUAAGCUUGUUAAAUGCUGAAAGAUGAAUUUUCAAUGUAGCAUCAGUGAGAUUUCCGAUUUCAUGGUUGUUAUUGAGCUAUGGCUGAAGGGUCUAGUGCCAUGUAUACUGUUAGGAAAUUGGCUUAAUUUCUUUUAGGUAAAAAUUCCUGUUUUUGUGGAAGUAACUAGUUUCCUAAUUGGAUUUAGUUACUUGAAGUAGUAGUCAAGUAAAUUCCUAUUUAGCGAGAUACUAUUUUCUACUGUAUAUGAGUUUAGGAAAUAGUAUUAGUUUCCAACUGUUAUUUGGUCUUUUUUGGCAGUAAUAUCCCCUAUAAAUAGGUGGGUUGGCAUACUACAAAGAUACACAAGAAAGGAGUGAGAGAGUUCUUAGUGGGUGAGAGGCUUAUACAAGAGUUGGGGUUUGGGAAUCAAGUUGUAAUCUUGUGGUGUUUUUCUCUCAUAGUAAGAACAAGUUUUUCUCUCCGUGGAUGUAGGCUUGGUGAUUAAGCCGAACCACGUUAAUUCUUGUGUGUUGUUCAUCGUUCGUGUUAGAUAUUGUUUUCUAUUAAAUUGUUGGUCUUUUCUUUUUCAAAUAAUUGGCCUGAUACCCCAACAAGUGGUAUCAGAGCCGAUGGAUCGGCUGGACAGUGACUCUAGGAUAAAAAGCUAGUGGGAGUGAUAAGGUGUGGCUUGGAUAAGAGCGGGGAAAGAAAAAAAUCAUGCAGACCUGCAGUGAGGCAAGGGCAUGUGGGCUCUUGAGCAAGAAUCGUACACUCCAGAUUGAAGUGGGCUUGAUGGAGUGGAUGGGCUAGAGAGAGAGGUCCGAUGUGGAAGAGAUUCACAAUUGAGGGGGAGAUUGUUGGGAUAUCAAAUGUGAAUCAAUAACCCACAUCGGAAAGAGAUGAGUAGAAUGAGGAACAUAUAAGUGGGAAUGAUCCAUAGAUCUAAUGCCUUAAGGUUUUGGGUUGGAUGUGGUGUCAAACCCAUGGUUGUGGUUCCCAUUCUAACUCAUGGUUAAAUUCUUCCCGAGUUUGGCUCUCUCAAAGCCCAACAAGUGGUAUCAGAGCUCCGUUGGGGUUUUGGUUAAUUAUUUGAAAUUGAGUGGGUGGUGGUAUACCAUGGGGUUUGGAACUAUACAGUUUCCAAUUCAACCAUUUAAUGGAACUACAAGUUUCACUCUUUGGCAAAGAAGAGUGAAGGAUGUUCUAGUUCAACAAGGUUUGGCAAAAGCGUUGAAUGGAAAGAACAAGAAGCCAGAGAGCAUGAAUGAUGAUGAGUUUGAAGAGUUGGACGCAAGGUGUGCGAGCACGAUUCGGCUCUAUGUGGCGGACAACAUCAUAAAUAAUGUGAUAGAUGAGGAAGAUUCUGCAGCAGACCUCUGGAAAAAAUUGGAAAAGCUUUAUCUGGCUAAAAGUUUAUCCAAUAAGUUGCAUCUAAAGCGGCAACUUUAUGCACUAAAGAUGGUGGAGGGUGGCAGCCUCAUGGAUCACAUGAAUACGUUCAACGGAAUUUUGGAUCAACUCCAAAAGGUUGGCGUAGAUAUUGAGGAAGAAGAUAAGACCCUUUUACUUCUUACCUCAGUCUCUGAUUCUUACGAAAGUGUCGUGACUACCCUGUUGUAUGGGAAGGACACUUUAGAGUUCGAGAAUGUGCAGUCUUCUUUGUUGGAUCAUGAAAAACAAAGGAAGGCAAACCAGGAUGUGAUACAAGAAGCUGCGUUAAUUGCUCGAGGUGAGAAUAAAAGAGGAAAACCAUUUGGCGGUGAAUCUAAGGCAGGUGGUUCAAAGGCCAAGGGAAAGGGUGGAAUCCAGUGCUUUGGUUGUCAUGAGUUUGGUCAUAUCAAAAAAUAUUGCCCUCAUCGAAGGAAAAAUGAUGAGAAUGACUAUGAUAAUGUUGCUGGAUAUGCAUCGGGUGGAGAUAUUCUCACAAUCUCCAAAGGUAAUAAUACUUCUUCUCGUGAUGGUUGGAUUUUAGAUUCUGGAUGUGUUUCACAUGUUUGCUCCAGGUUAGACUAUUUUGAUACUCUCCAAAGAAAGAAGGCAGGUUUUAUGUCCUUGGGUGAUGGAUCUACUUGUCAAGUCAAAGAGGUUGGAGUGGUGAAAAUCAAAAUGUUGAAUGGAGAGAUUCGUUCUUUGGGUGGUGUGGCUUAUGUCCCAAAAUUACGAAGGAAUCUAAUUUCUUUGAACCAGUUAGACUCCGAGGGUUACCAUUUUUCCGCUGCAGGUGGAGUUUUGAAAAUCACACAUGGCGAGACGGUCUUGUUGAUGGGGAAGAAGUAUGGUAAUCUGUACCAUUUGAAUACCUCAAUGAAUUGGGAGCGGCAGGGGAUCCAAGAAUGCUCUCAAAUUACAAAUGGUGGUGAGAGGAAAAAUCCUGCUAUGGGAGAGGAUGAAUUGAGGCCCCUCUCGCGAGUCAACUAGAUGUUGGACUCGGUUAACUACACACGUACAUUUGUCGAUUGAAUCAAUUGAAAACAAGACCGUAUUGAUUCGGGUGUGUAGUUAGGCACCAAAGUACUUGGUGGGAAAAGGCAAAUGGAGUUUUUGGAUGGUUUGCUGUGUUUGCUAAACGAAAUUUUGCCAAGGUGGAGAUUUGUUAGGAAAUUGGCUUAAUUUCUUUUAGGUAAAAAUUCCUGUUUUUGUGGAAGUAACUAGUUUCCUAAUUGGAUUUAGUUACUUGAAGUAGUAGUCAAGUAAAUUCCUAUUUAGCGAGAUACUAUUUUCUACUGUAUAUGAGUUUAGGAAAUAGUAUUAGUUUCCAACUGUUAUUUGGUCUUUUUUGGCAGUAAUAUCCCCUAUAAAUAGGUGGGUUGGCAUACUACAAAGAUACACAAGAAAGGAGUGAGAGAGUUCUUAGUGGGUGAGAGGCUUAUACAAGAGUUGGGGUUUGGGAAUCAAGUUGUAAUCUUGUGGUGUUUUUCUCUCAUAGUAAGAACAAGUUUUUCUCUCCGUGGAUGUAGGCUUGGUGAUUAAGCCGAACCACGUUAAUUCUUGUGUGUUGUUCAUCGUUCGUGUUAGAUAUUGUUUUCUAUUAAAUUGUUGGUCUUUUCUUUUUCAAAUAAUUGGCCUGAUACCCUAACAUAUACCUUAUGCUGCAAAAGUAUCAAAGUUGCUAAUCAGCUAAAUUUUGUACAUUAGUUAAAGUAUCAAAAUGAGCCCUGUUCGUUUCUGUCCUUAAGAUAUCCCCAAUGAGGAUUUUUCCUACAUUGGUUCUUCUAAUGAUUUUGAUAUUAGUUUUUGUUCUAGCAAUUUGCAUAUAUUGUGUUGGUCUAAUAAUUUUUUUUUUCUGCAAUUUCCGAUUCUCCCAUCUUUUGUUUGUAAAUUGUGCAAUCACUUCAUAAUGCACUUUCUUAAUUCCCACAGUUUAAAUUGUGUUAAAUAAUAAAUUGAAAGUAAAAUUUCCUUCGGGACGCUGGAUGGCCUAAUCAUAAAUUUCUGUAUUUAGAUAGGAGAUUAUUUGAAAUAUUAUUUAGAAUACUUACUAUAACACUUUUUACAAUGUGGUGUAUAAGAUAAACAAGUGAUUGAAAAAAAUAAAAAGGUGUGUCAAAAAAUUAUAUUCGUGAUACAAAUAAAUAAUUUUUGAUAAAUAAUUCCUAUCCAAACACUGCCGUUACAUGUUAAAUUACUCGUUCAUACAUAUAAAAUGUAUCUUGCUUUUGACUUUUCUGAGUCUGCAUAAGUGUGUGUGUGUGUGUAUAUAUAUAUAUAUUCGAAUGUAUGAACUAAUAUAUGUGUUCCUUUUCGUGGCUUCAGGGUGGAAUUUGCAGCUCACAGGUUAAGGUAUGUCGCAUUAUUGUCUAAUGAGAUAGGUUCAUUUCACUAAGAUGUUAAGAAUAUUGCCUAAUCUUUAUCCUUGGCCUUUCUUUUUUGUGGAUGAACAUGGUAUGUCUCUUCAAUCAUCAAACACCCCCCCCAAACAAAAACACAAACCCAAAAGACAAAAACCAAUUUUUAUUUUGUAUUUUGGGAAUUGCUUUCGUCUUGCAAUAAAGAGCGUGACGAGGCUGUCAGGUGUUAAUAAAGCGUUAUGUUGUGCUUAACUCUAGCUAUUUGUAUAUGAUGAAAAAUGUUAAAGGACAAUAUAUAAGUGUUUUACAUAAUUACAUGCUAGUCCAAACAACAUCUUUGAUGUGCAAAAUGAGGUCAUGAUUUGGAGAGGAGUUGGGACGACUAGGAGAACUAGGAUCUAGUUGUAGAUUGGCUCUUAUUGUCUUAAUCAUCAAGUUCAUAUUUCUGUUGCAUCUUGGUAAAUUCGGUUCGCGUUUUUUGGAAGACAGGUUGUGAAGAAAGGACAACAACGGUACUGCCCUUUGUGUAAACUGUAUUUGAGGAACUGAUACUCCAGUACUCAAAAUUUCCUUUUCUUUCUUGGGAAAAAAAGCUCUCGUAUGAUGAAUUAUCUUAAUAUUUGCUCUUCCAUUUUCUAAACCAGCUAAUUUUUUUUUUUUUACAAAAAAAAAUUGAGUCAGAUAUUUAACCAAAUUAGGAUACUCAAACUGGUCUAUUUACUUCCAAAGUUGACUCUACCAAAAUCACUCGGUUUAUAUGAAACUAGGUUAAUUAAAAUUCUAGCAGUUUAACUUAAUAAUGAGGAACUAAGAAAUGGGAAGCAAUAUAAGUCUGAUCAAUAGAAUUAAGUAUAGAGCUAUGGAUAUUGGCAUAAACAUAACCAUUGGUGGUUCAUUGCAAGUUGCAAACGAUCAAUAGUACUAAAUAAAAGCUUUUCCCUAGAUUCUCAUCACCAUGACUCCUUUAUACUAGUCUUCAAUGUAAUACAAAGUGAAAGCAACACGUUUUAGCUAGAGGAGCAAGACAAAGGAAACUCGAAGCUGAAAAGCAACUUUACUAGGUCGUAGUUCUUCCUUAGUUUCCACUUUCCAAAGAAAAACUAUAGCAAUUUCAUCAGUUAACACAAGGAAGGGUAAAAUACAUCAGAGAAGAUUCAACAUAAACUUAACAAUACAAGGAAACAAGAUGAGGUAAAAACCUAACCUCUAACAGGAAGAAAAUUACAAGACUCUAGAUUCAAUGCAGCACGAGUUUCCCGGUAGAGAGAGAAUAUCUUGCACCUUAUUUCAAUCCCUGAAUAUGCUAGAAGAUCUAUGGCCUUAUUUCAAUCACAAUAAUUGUUCAAAAGAAAAUUUGACAUUUUCAAAGAUACUAGAAAAAAAAAAAAGCAAAGAGAUCAUAGCAGCUGAAUGUUGUUGCCCAGAGACAGGUACCAGGCCUUUAUUACUGCAGAAUGGAGAAGAAACACGAAAGAUCGAGAUAGAAGCUUCAGUGCAUCCACGUUAUGAAUUUGUUCAGGCGAGUUGAAGAUAAAACUAGCAAACAUGAAAUCCUGCAAAAUACAUUGUUUCAAGUUUGCAAAAGAUGAUGGAUUAAGAUUCAGGAGUGGAAGUCCAAGUUUACUAACCUGUUAAAGAAGCACUUAUAGACAUGGUUUGAAGACUCGGCCGAGUCAUCACCGUUUCGGCCUAGUCCGAGACGAGACCGUAACGAAACAAUACCGAGAUACGUGACUCGUCGAGACGUUACCGUGAAGGGUUGAAACGGCCGAGCCUUACCGAGUCAUCCCGAGUCAACUCGAAUUUUUAUUAUUUUUACUAAUUUUUUUUAAUUAUUUUUAUUUAUCAUUUUUUUAUAAUUUUUAGAAUAUUAAAUAUUUCAAAAAUUCGCGUCUCGCCGAGACCGCGACCGAUAUGCCGAGACCAACGUGGAACGGUCCAGGCCGCGACCGCAACCGCGACCGCGACUUUGAACCAUGCUUAUAGAGCAGUUUGCUUGGCGUUCAGUACUCUGGAGGAUAGGAAAUGAGCUUAACUGGGCUUGUCUUUUUACUCUUUUGCUGCAAAGGCAAUUCCAAUUGUAGUUGCACAAUUCUCCUGGCACAUGAAACUACUGAAUCUUUGGUAUAUUCAACUUUGAUCAUCUCUAGCUUCUUCAUUUAAACAAAGUCAGAUGGGAUCCUUUCUAGUGUUUUGCACUGCUCGAGAAUAAGGCAUCUGAGUUCUGGAAAGUCAUUGGCUUUAGCAUCCCAACUCGCUUAAAUCUGUAGCUCCAAUGAAGAAACUUUUAGAGAAGAAAAACCCCUCGCUUAGUCUUCCAAUAAUCUCCCUUAAAAGCAGUCCUUCAACGUGAGCACAUCAAGAUACCCAAGGUUCCCUAGUAUACACAUGUAAUUCCAAUCUAGACUUGUGUUAUGCAGACUCAGCCUUGUCAGUCUUGGAGGGAAUUUGUGUGACUGGGGAAGGGCAAGCAGAUUGGAGUUUACAUCAUCACCAUAUAGCUUCAAAUUUUCAAGGGAGUCCAGUUCGCAAAGUCUGUCAGACAAACUAGACUCGCCAUUGCCCUCCACAAGAUUGUUUAACUUCCCACAUAUGCCAAGCUUCUUAUGGUUUUCAGCCCUUUCAAACACAUCUUUAUAAGACUUUCAGGUGAAACUGUAGAUAGAGUUUGUAGGUUUUCACCGCUAGGAGAUUGCUCCAGACAUUUAGGCACGAUUGUGGAGGUAUUAGUAUGUAGAUGCCUUGGUUUUGUCAUUGCCCAAAUAUCUGCUUGUAUGUCAAGGCAUGGUUCAAAGUCGCGGUCGCGGUCGCGGCCCGGAACGUUCCACAUCGGUCUCGACAUAUCGGUCACGGUUUCGGUGAGACGCAAAUUUUAAAGCAUUUAAUAUUCUAAAAACUGUUAAUAAUAUAAAAAAAAGUAUACUAAACAAAAAUAAUAAAAAAUAACAAAAGAAAAUUUGUAAAAUGUACUAUUUUUAUACAUAUUACACACGAUAAGUACUUUUAAUUAUUUCAAACAAUGGCAUCACAAAUAAAAUCAAAAUAACAUAGACCACAAUUUUAAAACUAAUAAUUGCAAAAGUAAUAUCAACCAUUAACAAUACAAACUAAAGAUUUAUUUAUAGCAUAAAGUUGGAAUAUUUUGAUCAAUCUCCUGCCAAAAAUAAAAAGAAAUCAUAUUAGAUAAAAGGUAAAUAUGUAAAAAGAUAUACUAGUACUUUAUAUUUUCGUACCUGUUAAUACCAAGUAGAAUGAUGAUGUGGUUCAAAAUCAUCCUGAUUGGUCGAUGAAUGGAAAAACAGAUGUGGAAGUGGCAUAGGACCUUGAGUAGGUAGUGUAAACGAGUUAUCUGGUGUAUUUACUGGAUGUGAGGAUUGACUAGAUGUUCCAUAAUCAUUGGACGGAAGAACUUCUGGAUUGGAGAUGAUUUGUUGAUGGUAGUAUCCAAACCCUCGAUAGUUAACACUAUCGCUGGUACCAUAUGAUGCAGUAGAAUCAUGACCAUAAAAUUCAAUGUUAUUGGAAUCAAAAGAAGAACCAUCAUGAGACUUAUCUAUUUCUUUUUCAUAGUAUCCACUACCAUGAAUGCUAGUAGACCUUUCAACCUGUCCAGGUCUGUCAAAUGGCCGAUAUCCACUGUAAUAGUCAGGAGUGAUUCCAUAUGAUUGGUCAUAGCCAUAUCCCAAUUGACUAGUACUACGGCUUUGAUUAGAUUCAUGCUCAUAAGUUGAGUAUAUACCCAAAUUUUGCAUCUGAUCAUUGACUCCUCUAUAUCUUUGUGACCCUGAAUGGUGAGAGAAAGUAUCCUCACUUGAAAAUUGAGUUAAAUCAUUGAGGAAUUGACGUUGUGCUUCUAUACCAGGACGAUAGCCAUGAUCAGUAUCUUGAGUGGCAUAAUAAUUAUCUUGUCCUUGAGCCCAUGACAUACCUCCUGCUUGUUGGCUAUCUCGAUUGUAACCACUAUGCCUGGAAGAAUUGUUCCCUCCAUCUCCAUUGUCACCAUUGUCAUCAUCAUCAUUACUGUUGUCACUUUUAUUUGAAGAUGACGAAACAGUCUGCUUACUGGUUUGUUUAGUCUUACUUUUUUGUUUCCUACUUGAGGAUGCAGCAAGACCUUUCUUAUUUCUUUUGGUAAUAUAUUGGGACAAUGUAUCACCAAAACCAUCGUUGUCAUGUUCUUGAUAUUCACUACUUUCUGAUUCAGUUUGAUGAAUGCCCUUAUCCAACCAAUCCAGAUUAUCUUCAGGCAAUGUGGGUUGUUCAUUUUCUCUUAUCCAAUCAUCCAAUAUAUCAUCUUGGUGAAAAAUGUGAUUCAAGUCAAUUGGGUUGUAGAAAUCAUCAGUAUCUCUUUGAUGCAUCAAAUUUUUCACCUUCAAUCGCAUAUUGUAAUGCACAAAAACUAAUUUAUGCAAUUUUUUAACUGCCAAACGGUUGCGUAGUUUUGUAUGAAUUAAUGACCAUGUACUCCAAUUUCGCUCACAACCAGAGGAUGUGCAGGUUUGACUCAAUAUUUUCACUGCAAUAUUCCUUAAAUUUGGCGCAUCUUCACCGUAGUUAAGCCACCAUUCAGCUAAACAAACAAAGUAAUAAUAACAUUCAUUUAUUAUUAUUAUUUUAAUAUUAUAAAAAUAUUAACUUCAUUUAUAUGAUUUGGAUGUUUAUGUAAGUAUGAAUUAAGUUGAAACCUGGUAAAGAUUUUGGUAAUGCUCUUGCUGCAAUAGCACUUCCAAAGCCUCCCUUUUUGUCUGCAAAAAUUUUGAUCUACAAAAAUAAUGUAUACACAAGUGUUAAAAUUUUAAAAUUUGUUGAUUAAUAUAAAUAAAUAAAAUAAUCAAAAGAAUACCUCAUUUAUUGAAUCAACUUGUGCAUCUAAAUUUGGCUCCAACUUUGCAAUGACGUUCUUUAACCCUCUUCGAACUUCAUCCAGAUUAAACUCACAAGUUCCAGAAUAUUGAAGGAUCGGGUUCAAAAAAUAUGCUAAAUACAAUAAAAUAACAAAAUUAGAAAAUAAAUAAAUAAAUAAAUAAAUAUUACAUAUUUAAAUUGGAUGUAAUAUUUUAAAUUACCUGCCGCAUGUAAAUCCCGAUGAAGUUGAUUGUACCAUCUAUUAUCAAUCACUUCCCAAAUUGUUUUCCAAGAUUUCACCGACUUUUGAAUAGCCAUUUUUGCUCUAUCCAUUGCCUCAUAAAUAAUUGGCAAUGUUGGCUUAUUAUCUUGAUCAAUAGUUUUUAAAACUUUGACCAGAGGCUCCAUUAUUGCACACACAUUUCUAACUUUUUUCCAAAACUUCUCUGACAAUAUCAACUCAGCUACUUUAAUAGCUUCUGCUUUUCUCUUGGUAGUGUUAUUAAACUCUACCCAUUCAUCUGAGGUGCACAUUCUUUUCAGUUCUGUACAAUGCCGAAGAAGAUUCAGCUACGUAACAGUUCCCUUUUUUUUGUAUAUGUCUUCAUCAGAUUCACUACUUUAUCACUGUUAUUUAUGAAACUUGUUAUCUUCUUCCCCUGAGCAAUAGUUUCUUUUACAUUAUCCAUUUUGCCAAUAUCCUCCAACAUCAAAUCUAUACAAUGCGCAGCGCAAGGUGACCAGAAAAGAUUUUUUCUUUUUUUCAUCAACAGUUGUCCAGCAGCUUUCAUACUAGAUUCACUAUCUGUCACAACUUGCACAACAUUUUUUUCCCCCACAACCUCUACUACCUCAUCCAUUAACUUGAAAAUAUAUUCAGCUGUUUUCUUAAUAUUGGUACAAUCAACUGAACUAUGAUUUAUCAUGUGCCUAUCACAGUAUACCAUAAAAUUUAUUAUUGGAUAUUUUGUACGAGUGCUCCACCCAUCACACAUAAGUGUACAACCAAAAGUUGAAAAUUUAUCAUAAAUAUCUCCAAGAUAUUUCUCAAGCUCUUCAAAUUCUUCAUCUAAAUAUUCAUUUCCAAUUUGAUAAGCUGAAGGGCCUUUAAUACCAGAACCAGCUUUGGCAAUUUCAUCAAUCAUCGAUUGAUAAUAAGGAUUGUCAGCUGCAUGAAAUGGUAUAGCAUUGAAAUGAAAAAACUUUGAAACUGCCUUACCAACUCUUUUUAUAUUUUCCUUCGCAAACAUUGAUUUGACUGAUUUUUGUUUCGAAGGAAACAUAUGUGAGUCAAUUCCUCUGCUUGUCAUUUCAUCUGCUUGUCUGACACUGAAAUUACGUGACAAUCCUCUUUUAUUUUCAGAAGUCGUUGGGUUUGAAGUGCCAACACCCAUAUUCCCUAAAAUUCACAAUAUUUAACAAAUAAAAAAUGAAUGACUAAAUUGCAACUUUAUGUAAUUAUAUUUAAUAAAAUAGUAUCAAAUUUGUUAUAAUAUUUUAGUUUACAAAUCAUACCUGACAUAAACAUAGAAGGUCGACUCCCAGAUACCGAAUGCCUUCGUUGUUCGUCUAAAAAUUGCAAGUAUUGGCUCUCUCUAAUUGCUUGCUUCAUUUGUUUUUUUUCCAACGCCAUCCGACUUUCUUCAUCAAUUUCAAAAAAGACUUCGUCCUCCUCGUCGCCAACCAUGUUGAAAUUACCAUGCAUACUUUCUUGUUGGAAAGAAUUCAAUAUUUCUUCUUUUUUCUGUUUUAUUGUAGCUCUUUGAAUCUUACCAAUCUUUAGAUGCAUUUUCAUUAAAUCUCUAACUUCACUUGAGGCCCUUGGACAAGGCUCAACUUGUCCUAUGACAUGACCGACAUGUUCUUUCAACCUUGUAAUGCCACCAUGCAUUAUUUUUCCACAAUAAUUGCAUCUCACAAUUUUUCUAUUCCCUCCCACGGGUUUACCAUGUUCCCAACCAAUAUCCUUGCUCGUCAUUGUAACUAUUACACAUAUCAAUAUAAAUGGUUAAUACAUCACAAAAUAAUUAAAGAUAUAUGAAAAAAAAAUACAACAAGCAGUUUCUAACAUUUUAUAAUUAUAAUAAUUUAUUUCUAUUAUAUUAGUAAGUUAAACAUCUAAUCUAUAAUGUAAACCUGCAACAAUGAUCAUUUUUUCAUUUAUUAUAAGAACUUCGGCAUUUUGUUUGUUGAUGGGUGAUUAACUUAAACAUAUAAUUUAGCUCUCCAUCUUCCUAUAGUUUUUAGUUCAUGAUCAUGAUCACCAAGAUGAUUAUGUAUUAUAAUAAGUUGGAAGAUAAUACUAAAUGUCCCUCUCUAUUAGCACAAAAAUAUACACGUACAGUGGAAGCAAUUCUCAUAUCUCUCCAAUUUCUUUGUUAACCAUCGUCAUAUAUAUAUAUAUAUAUAUAUAUAUAUAUAUAUAUAUAUAUAUAUUAACUAGACAUGAUUUUUCACUCACUUUGCAACCUAGUCGUCCAAGAAUUACAAAAGUUUUUGCUUUAUACGUAAGGAUUACUAAAUUUAUAGAGGAAAAAUUAUUCUUGGAAAAAAGAAUAAUUUAGUAAGCAUCGCAAUGGAUUAGUAAGCAAAGUACAAAUCCAACCUCCAAGAUUGCUAACCAUUAAAAAGCCGGUAAAAAGACAAGAAAUUUACUCACGCUUUGGAGUCACUUGUGAAUGCAGAUUGCUAAUUUCCACCUGGGGAUACCUAUCAGCAGGAGGGAAGAGCAGGACGGCCAGCUAUUCAACAACCUAGGCCCCCAAGAAUUCCCUACUGGCAUCAACUGAACAACACAUGAGCAAAGCAAUAAUGUCGUGAUUGCCCUCAGAUGAGAAUCCACCACCUCAUUCUAGCUGUAAACAAAUCCACUCCAUUUCUUUCUGCUUCCCUUUCACCCAAAACCUUAGGACUCACCUCCCAUUUCCCCUCCCUCACUUUAUUCAUCUCUUUACUGCUAUUUAGUCUACACAUUGCAAAACCAUCAGUACUUAUGCCCCCACUCUCAUGAAGACUGAGUACGAUGGGAGGUUUUUCUAUUAUUCUAUUCACUUGAUGAAUCCUGAAGCUACCACUACUUUUGUUAUUAAUUGAUGAACACUCUAUCCUAAACCAAUCUGUAUAUUCAUAUCAUAAGUGAAACGACUGUCUGGGAAAGCUACAGUUGGCCCUUGUAAUGGAUCAGUUUCUUUUAAUAACUCUAAUGUCUUAGAGCACCUUACAAGCAGAAUAUCUGAAGGUACAAUAAGAAAAUCAAUUACCUGCUGAAGCUUGACAAGGCAAGGGAGAACAAGGCAAAAAGGACAUGAAUCACAACCAUCUGGGUUAUCUCUGUGAAGGUAUGGCCAAAUGACUCCAUUGGGCACUAUCUUUUUGCAACAUUCUACUUUGUUUCAGAGGGCGGAAUUCCAAAGCUCGGCAAGAAGACAGAGUUAAGUUACCAUGAAGAAGAAUUGAAGGAAACGGAAAGGAUUACUAUGUUCUGCAACACUACUAGUCCAAUAAUUUAGUAAAGUGAAGGUAGUAUGUUUAACGUGGACCAUUCAAGGUAGUACCUUCAAAGUAAAGUGAAGGUAGUACACCUCCAAGGUGAAAAACAAAACGUAUCUUUUCACGUGAUAGUACUAUGGCAAAUUCUUUUUAAUUCUUUUUUUGCUUUUUUUCUAUAGAUUUUUUGUUAAAUUCACCUUGACUCGGGAUGACUCGGGGUGACUCGACCGUGACAACCCGUCGCGGUGACGUUUCGGCCAAUUUCUCGGCGAGACGAGUAUCUCGGUCUUGAUUCGUCGCGGUAUCGUCUCGGCCUAGGCCGAGACGGUUACGACUCGGCUGAGACGUCUCGGUCUCGGCCAAGUCUUCGAACCAUGUGUCAAAGGUAGGGGAUGUGGUGUGAACUACAAGAGUUUGCAAGUUAAGUAGGCUAGGAAUUUUUUUUGGGAAGGAUCUUGACCUCACAACAGAUGGCAAUGAACUUUAGGAGAACAAGGUUAGGCAGUUGGGUUGGAAAACGAUGUCUAGGGAGCUUGAUGGACAGAAUAUCCAACGCUCGGAAUAGAUUGAACUGCUUAAAUAUAUUUGGGCAGAGAUCUUGGUUCAGUGUAGUUUCUUCCUGGCCAAAGCUCAAGAAUGAACGGACAUUCUGAGCAGGCUGUUGAUUGGAAAUGUAGUUCGAGAAUUAAGAGUUAAUGCAGAAUAGGCGACGGCUGGAAGAUGAAACCGUCCCCAUGUCACAUUCUUGGAAAAGAUUUUCAGCUUUUGCUAUCCUUUUGCACAAGUCACGCAGUGUAUCAUGGACUAAACACGUCUUAAAUCCGACCACUUAAGGUUCUCUGUCUCACCAUCACUAAAUUCUUGUCGGCCAAUUCCCGCAAACAUCGCUCUGCUGUUUCCUCCAUGCUUGCUUUCUCAAUUUGGGGAAUGAAGCCUUCCACUAUCCACAAUUGGAACAAUUUUGAAACUUGGAUCUCCAAGUCUUCAAGGAAGACACCAAGGUAGAGAAAACAUUGUUGGGGAAACCGGAUAAUUUCCUACUCAAAAAAAUACAACUAGUGAUUAAACCGAUUCAAUAAUUCUCAAAAAAAAUCGUCGAAACAAUCUCCUUAAACAGAAUUACCAUUCUAAGUAAAUUCUCAGGAAAGGCUGGAGGGGUCACAAACGGUCCCACUUAAAACCCAAUCUCCUAAAUAGAAUUUACGUGCACGGUAUAUUAUCACAACUAGACCCGUGUAUACAUAAAUAAUACGUACACACGAAUAAGAAAAAUACACCCAAAUGAACCGUAUAAAACACUACAAAUAUACCCGACAAAUAUAUAUUGAAUACUAUACUACAAUAGAAAAGAAACUAAUAAAUAAAUGUGAAACAAAUAAAAAAGAUAAGGAAAGAACACACCCGAAAAAAUUGAUAACGGAGUUUGGCCAAUUUUACCUAAUCUCCGAACACCGCUCAAGCGAUCCGCUUUUAUAAAUUUUAGGAGAAGAAAGAAUUACAAAAUCCUUUUUGAUGUAAUUCUUUUGUUUUCUUUUUCUUUUGGUACAAUUGAAUUGAUUUGCUUGAGAGUUACAACUUUCAAGCCCUUACCCCAGCUCUCAACUCCACCGAUGUGAGAUAGAAAUUGAUGCCACAAAUUCAACAAUUGUGACUUGAAAAAGUCUACAAUUUAGGCUUUGAAUUCAAUAAAUCUCCACCUUGGCAUAAUUUCUAGUCCCACCCAAAAAAUACAAAUUUUCUCACAAACAAAAAAUAAAAAAUGGUCCUUGCAGUACCUUCAAAUUUGCGCCCUCAGGCGCCAGCUCAAAUAUGCAGGAUAUUGACCAAGUCUAAACAAUGUUCAAAUUUGGAUCUUGUAACCACAUUGGUCAGCAUAUCUGCAGGAUUCUCCGUAGUCCGAAUCUUCUGGAGAAAACUUUCCUCUUUUUCGAGAAUUUCCCGCAUAAAGUGAUAGCGAACAUCAAUGUGCUUUAUUCUUGCGUGAAAGACCCAGUUCUUUGCUAAAUGAAUAGCACUCUGACUGUCACAAAACACGUCAAUAUGUUUUUGACCAACUCCCAAGUCUUCUAGCAAUCCUUAAAGCCAAAUUGCCUCCUUCACAGUUUCUGUAAUCGCCAUGUACUCUGCCUCCAUUGUUGACAAAGCCACCGUUGACUGCAAAGUAGACUUCCAACUAACUGGCGCCUUGACAAAUGUGAACAAGUAGCUAGUUGUAAAAAGUCGCUUAUCCAAAUCACCUGCAUAGUCAGAAUCACAAUAUCCAACUAUAUAUUGACCAAGUGAUUCAUCCUACUCAAAAACUAAUUCAACAUCUACAGUAUCUUGGAUAUACUGUAGAAUCCAUUUCAUAGCUUGCCAAUAACCCUUGCCUGGAUCAUGCAUAAACUUGUUUACUACACUAACUGCCUGUGAAAUAUCGGGUUUCGUACACACUAUUGCAUACAUCAAGCUACCAACUACAUUAGCAUACGGAACUUUCGCAAUGUAUACUCGUUCUUCAUCCGUCUUUGGAGAUAAUAGGCUACUAAGUUUCAAAUGAGAAGCAAGCGGAGUACUUACAAGUUUUGAAUCUUCAUUCAUGCCAAAACAUUGAAGUACUUUUUUCAAAUACUGCUUUUGUGUCAGACAAAACUUGUCUCUCGUUCUAUCCCUGCUUAUCUCCAUGCCUAGAAUCUCUUUGGCUUCUCCCAAAUCUUUCAUUUCGAACUCUUUGCUCAACUGGACCUUCAAUUUGUCAAUUUCAACUUGACUCUUUGAUGCUAUCAGCAUAUCAUCAGCGUACAAGAGUAAGUAGAUGUAGGACUCUUCCCGUAACUUGCGCAAAUACACACAGUAAUCGUAUUUGCUUCUUGUGUACUUCUGGCCCAUCAUGAACUGGUCAAAUCGUUUGUAUCAUUGUCUCGGUGAUUGUUUCAAUCCGUAUAACGAUUUGCUCAACUUACAAACCCAAUUCUCUUUACCAGCAACUUUAAAUCUAUCUGGCUGAGACGCGGUCUUCACAUCAAAUUGAGCUAGCUCCUAAUUCAACUGCGCUACCAAGGCCAAUAAAAUUCUAAUAGAGGAAUAUUUAACAACUGGAGAAAAUACCUCAUUAUAAUCAAUUCUCUCCUUCUGAACGUAGCCUUUAGUCACCAAUCUUGCCUUAUAGCGAACAUCAAUUUUGUCAAGAAAUCCUUCUUUCUUUGUAAAUAUCUAUUUGAAUUCAAUUACCUUCUUGCCCUUCGAUAGUUGUGUCAACUUCCACGUCUUGUUCUUCUGAAAAGAUUGCAUCUCUUCUUCCAUAGCAUCUUUCCAUCUAUCAUUUUUUGUACUUCGAACUGCUUUAGAAAAUGUGGAUGGAACAUCAUCAACAACUGGAAGUGCAUAGGCCACCAUGUCAACAAAACGAGCAGGUUUAUGAAUUUCUCGUCUUGCCCUAUUGACGGCAAUUGACUCUUGCUACUGUUGAGCUUCUUGGGUUGAAAUCCCUUCCUCAUCUGACUCCUCUUCUGCCAUGAGAGAGUCACUGAUGGUGCUGUUUGCUGAACUCACCAUUAUUUGCUCAAACCCCACCUGUUUCGGCGUACACUCCACCUGUUGCGGAGUACCACUGGUUCCAUCUUGUGCUACCUUAUUUAAUAUGACAGAUUCAUCAAAAGUAACAUCCUUGCUGAUAAUGAUUUUCUUUGCUUCUAAAUACUACAACCGGUAUCCCUUAACUCCAACAUUAAAACCCAUAAAGUGAGCCUUCUUUGCACGUGGAUCCAAUUUUGAUUCAUUUACAUGAUAAUAUGCAGUAGAACAAAAAAUACGCAAAGAAUCAUAAUCUGUUGCAGGUUUUCCAAACCAUACCUCUAAUGGAGUCUUUCCAUCUAUUGUAGAUGAUGGCAAGCGAUUGACGAGAUGUUAAGCGUAUGUCACAGCCUCAGUCCAAAACUUUCUGUCAAACCCAGCAUUAGACAGCAUACAUCGUACUUUCUCCACUAGUGUCUUAUUCAUACGCUCUGACACCCCAUUCUGCUGUGGUUUUCUUCUAAUUGUGAAAUAUCGAACUAUGCCACACUCUUGGCAUAUUUUCUGGAAGAGAUCACUUUUGUAUUCUCCACCAUUAUUUGUUCGGAGAAUCUUGAUCUUUCUUCCUGUCUGGUUUUCAACUUGAGCUUUCUAUUUAAGGAAAAUCUCGAGCACUUCAUCUUUAUUCUUCAUAGUGAACACCCAAAUUCUUCUGAAAAAAUCAUCAAUAAAAGUGAUAAAAUAGUACCUUCCUCCAAAGGAUGAAGUUUUGGCAGGUCCCCACACAUCUGAGUGCACGUAAUCCAAAAUACCCUUGGUAUUAUGGAUACCAGUGCCAAAUUUCACUCUUCUUUGUUUUUCUAGAACACAAUGCUCACAAAAUUCUAAUUUGCAAACUUUCAUACCUUUCAAUAAUCCUUGUUUGGUAAGAUUUUGUAAGGAUUUUUCACCGGCAUGUCCCAAUCGCAUGUGUCAUAACUUUGUUGCCUCCACAUCCUUCUUGCUACUAGAAGAUGCUGCUGCUACUGCUGUCCCAACAACUGUACUACCUUGGUAGUAAUACAGAUUAUUCUUCCACACACUUUUCAACAUCACAAGUGCUCCCAAAGUUAUUUUAAGAAUUCCAUCUCGCAUCUUCACUUCUAGGCCUUUUGACUCCAAGAGUCCCAAAAAGAUGAAAUUCCUCUUCAAAUUUGGCACGUACCGAACAUCCUUCAAGAUUCUAGUGGAUCCAUUAUAAUUAAUCAGCUUGAUUGAAUCUAUCCCACCUGUUUUACAUGGAUUGUCAUUUCUGAUGUACACAACUCCACCAUCAAAUUCUUCAAAUUCAAAGAACUACUCCUGCAUGGGAGACAUAUGGUAGGUACAAGUUGAAUCCAAAAUCCAUUCAUCUGGAUGGAAUGUUAAAGGUGAUACAGCUAAAAAAAAAUCUGAUUCCGCAUCACUUUUGCAUUUUGCAACAUUUACGUCUUGCGGAGUUUUUCCUUUCUUCUUCAACUUUGGACAGUUUUUCUUCCAGUGCCCUUUCUCACGACAGAAAGCACACUCAUCUUUGGCAACUCUAUUUUUCGAUUUGGACCUUCCUCUUCUCCCCUUUGAUUGGCUUUGUUGACGACCUCUUGUCAUUAACGCUUCAUCUACUGUGGUUACUUUAUUCUUCAUUUUAUCCUGUUUUCUCAAUUCAUGACUAUACAAAGCAGAACAUACAGCAUCUAAGGACACAUUUUUCUUCCCAUGAAGUAACGUAGUCUCCAAAUGUUCAAAUUCAUCAAGAAGGGAUGAGAACAACAUCAAAGCCAAAUCUUCAUCUUCAAAAUUUACAUCUAAAUUUAAUAGGUCUGCUACUAAUUGAUUAAAUAUAGUAAUGUGUUCAUUCAUAGUAGUACCUAGUUGGUAAUCGAAUCGGAACAAUCUUUUCUUCAUUACAAGUUUAUUCUGACCACUUUUUUCAAAAAUUUUUCCUCCAAUGCCCUCCACAAUUUUCAUGCAGAUGUCUCGUUCUUGAAAACAUACUUUUGCUCUCUGGACAAAUACGAUCGAAUAGUUCCGCAUGCCAACCGAUUUAUGGUACUCCACUCCUUCUCUUCUAUGCCAUCUGGUUUGUUUUCUUCAAUGACAAUGUCAAAACCCUGUUGGAAAAGGGAGUCCAUGACUUCGCCUUGUCACAUGCCGAAAUGAUCAGUACCGUCAAAUGUCUCCACCGUCAGCUUUAAACUUGACAUUGGAAUCCUCGACCAUGUAGAGGAGGAAGCCAAUGCCCCAGAUGUAAUUCUUGACGUGGAAUUGUCAGAUGCCAUUACAAACUCAAAUGAUAGUAUUCAAUAUAACAAAUUACAAAUAAACCAAAGGACGAACCUUCGGAUUUGAUACCACUUGUUAGGGAAAUCGGAUAAUUUUCCACUUAAAAAAUACAACUAGUGAUUAAACCGAUUCAGUAAUUCUCAAGAAAAAUCAUCAAAACAAUCUCUUUAGACAGAAUUACCAUUCCAAGUAAAUUUUCAUGAAAGGCUGGAGGGGUCACAAGCGGUCCCACUUAAAACCCAGUCUUCUAGACAGAAUUUACGUGCACGGUGUAUUAUCACAACUAGACUCGUGUAUACAUAAAUAAUAUGUACACACGAAUAAGAAAAAUACACCCAAAUGAACCGUAUAAAACACUACAAAUAUACCCGAUAAAUAUAUAUUGAAUACUAUACUACAAUAGAAAAGAAACUAAUAAAUAAAUGCGGAACAAAUAAAAAAGAUAAGGAACGAACACACCCGAAAAAAUUGACAACGGAGUUUGGCCAAUUUUGCCUAAUCUCUGAGCAUUGCUCAAGCGACCCGCUUUUAUAAAUUUUGGGAGAAGAAAGAAUUACAAAAGAAUUACAAAAUCCUUUUUGGUGUAAUUCUUUUGUUUUCUUUUUCUUUUGGUACAAUUGAAUUGAUUUGCUUGACCCAAGCUCUCAACUCCACCGAUGUGGGAUAGAAAUUGAUACCACAAAUUCAACAAUUGUGAAGUGAAAAAGUCUACAAUUUAGCCUUUGAAUUCAAGGUUUUGAAUUCAACAAACAUAACUUGUACACGUGACGCCAGUUAUCAUAACUCCAUCUUAUUAAAUCAUCCACUAAUUGUCUUUGGGUGUCACUAUCUAACUCAUCCAUGCUAAGUGAUGUUUGAGCCACAGUCUCCCACCACUUCUCGUUUUCUGGUUCAUUCCUCAGCAUACCUAUUGUUACAACCAUUGCUAAUGGUAGCCGGCCACAUUUUUUUCAGAAUUCUUGAUUCAGCACAACUUCUGUGGACAUUCAUUUUCAUUGAAAAUCUUCGUCCUCAGUAAUUCUUCAGCUUCUUCUUGCUUCAUAAAUCGCAAUGGAUAGGGAUCAGUCUUUGCUGCAGCACGCUGGGCCACAGACUCUUGUGGAGUAAUUAUCAACACCCUACUGCCCUUUCUAUAAUCUGGAAAAGCAUCCUUGAGAUCUUCCCAUGCUUUUGUGUCCCAAACAUCGUCCAUGACAAUCAAAUACUUGUACUUUAGUGUCUCUCGGACCUUGGCAACUAAAUUUUUUCACAGGCAUGUUAUGAUCCCUAAUGUCCUUGAUGAAGGCACUUAGUACACUAAGAAAGACUUCUUUCUUGUUGUAAUUCUUCGAAACACUGACAAAUAUGCGAACGAAAAAAUGAUAUUCAACUUGAGGGUCAUUCAGGUGCUUUCUUGCAAACGGCGUCUUACCGAGUCCAAGCAUUCCAUGAAUCGACACUAUUUCAAGUGGGUUUUCGUCACUAUGUUGCUCUGCCUCCGAUGUGCUCUGCUCCUUUCUGUCGGACCUGCCUAGGUUUAGUUUUGGUACGCCAAGAAGAUCCAGUACUGUGUCAGCUGCAUCCUCAAACACAAUGAUUCUGUCUCUCCAUUGAUUGCUUGCAGGCUAUUUGCGUGAAAGUAAAGGAAUCAAUGAUGGAUUGAAACAGUUGAACCAGGAGAUAUGUAUAUAUAUAUAUAUAUAUAUAUAUAUAUAUAUGUAUGGGUUAUUAUCACUUUACCCUUUUCAACUAUAUCACUAUUAUCAGUUUAUGCCCUAACGUUAUCUUUUAGUCACUUCACCUCAUAAGUAAUUCAACUCAAUAUGUUAAAAAGUUUUGGACAAAAAUACCCUUUUAUUUUAUAACAUUACUAUAUUGUUAUUAUUACUUUAUUUCUUUAAAUUUUAGUGAUAUAAUCGCUUUAAUUUCUAACAUUAUUCUCUAAACAUUUAUUUCAUCGCUAAUCUAAUUAGUAUGGUCAAAAAUUUUUAAAUAUAUUUACCCUUAUAUAUAUAAUUAAAAAUAAAAAAUUUGAAAUGAUUAUUUUUCUUUUUUUCACUUUAAGAGAUCUAAAAAUAUAAAAAUAAAAGGGUUUUCUCAAAUUUCUUUUUUCACACUUAUUAAUACUAGGAAAAGAAAAAGAGAUAGGGAAGAAGGAAAUAGAAAAUUAGAUUUUGCAAAUAAUAAUAAUAAUAAUAAUAAUGAAAAGUCUAACAUUGUCGUAUUAAUUUAAGAUUGUUAUAAUUAGGAUUGAAACCUGGUGCUAAAGUUAAGUAAAUUUAAAAUAAUAAAAGUAUUUAAUUCUUUCUUAUUUGUAUUUAAAAAAAAAAGAAUUGAACUCUCUCUCUCUCUCUCUCUAUCUCUCCAUCCUCCCCCCUCUCUCCCUCCCCUUUCGAAACUUUCUAUGACUUUUUUGCUUAUACUAAAAAGGAGAAGAGCCAUUUUAAAUUUUUUAUUAUUUUUAUUAUAUAAAGAAGAAGGUACUUUCUUCUAAAGUUUUUUAACUUGGUAAGUUGGUUUAAUGGUGAGAUAAAUUGUCUAAAAACUAACUCUAUGGGGUAAAUUGAAAAUGAAACUAUAAUUUAUGGGGGUAAAGUGAUAAUAACUUUAAGGGCUAAACUUGUCUUUUUAUUUUAAUUAACAAACUCCGUUAAAUUUGACCGUUAGUUUUGGGGGUAAAAUGACUAAAAGAUAACGUUAAGGGAGAAAUUGAUAGUUAUAUCAAACUUUAAGGGGGUAAAGUAAUAAUAACCCUAUAUGUAUUAAGGGCUGAAUCUUUGAACACGCAUAUGUAUAUCAGUAUAUAUAUAUAUAUAUUCUUCCCACAGAUUUGGCCCCCUAAUAUACCAAUAUUCUUUUAGAUUAUUAUCCAUUGCAAUUGUUUUGAAGCUAUUCACAUACAACAUUGAAUGGGAUUUGAACAAGAUUUAACUUUAGAAAGUCUAAAAUAAAAAAACUCAAAAUAAAUACACAAUCCUAACGAAACUUCUCUUUACAUAACAGUGGUAUCAAUCUAAGGAUACUGCCUCCACUAGUCAUAGACCCUAGUUUCGUCACUAUCUAAUAAUCUGUAUAUGGCCCAUGAAGGUCAAAGUAUGAUGCUCCAAGAUCAAAUUUAGCAAAUUUUCGACUAGUUUUCUUGACUUUUUGAUCAAUCAGCUAAUUGCACAAACCAUAGAUAGCAUGUCUCUAGCCAUAUUCAUGGUGUUAGAAAUCAGCUUUAAUUAGUCAGUUUACUUCAAUGUCUGACCGAUUGUGCCAAAAUCAAUUAGGAUUCUCAGAUUUUCUUUUCAUGCCUGCAUGUGGGUCCUUUUUUGGUUCCUUAUGAAAAGAAUGGCAUAACUGAAUCCUAUUCAUCGUAGAAGCGGAUAUAGCACAAUUUGUCCGAGAGAACAUUUUUGCUUUCAGAUUAUAAUUACUUCGCAUCAGCCAUGAAAUUUCUUGAUAAUGUUGUAUUGUGUCAGAACAAAAGUUUCAUAUUCCUACAACCUAAUGGUGUUGAGACCUUUUAGUGAGGUUUGUGCUAACUAAUCAAAGCAUAAUGAAAAGAAGAUUCCCUCUCAUCUCGGUUGCACCAUCAUGGCUACUUAUACGGGGAAUUCUUGAAAACUUUCCUUCGCUUGAAUCUUUUAAAAGAAAACUAAGCAAUUGCGAAGUAAAAGCGGAAUUGCACGAUGUUGUUUAGGUGUUAUUGAGUGAUAAAAUGGAUGAAAAAAACGAAAGAAAAAGAACGAUCCUGUCAAAGAAGUACCAACUAAUUACUGGACUUGUGUCUGCAAAAGCCAUAUGAUAGAAAGUCCUCAACAUGUUUUGUUAGUGUUCAAAGAAAGAGAUGUGCUCGAAACCUUAGAAUAUUUUGGCUGUACAUUCGAAAUUAGAAAAUCUAGUUUACGACUGCAUUUCUAUGUAAACAAAAAGAGAUAGUGACUUAGUGUAUGUUGUGGAUCAAACUGUUAGGGCGGUUAUUUGUAUUUAACCUUUGGUGAAAACUAUCACCUAUGAAACCCCAAGAUCUUUAUGGCGAUUAUUGAGAAAUAAUUAACACAUAUUGCGGAAGCGUACCUGAAUCCAUAUUGAUAAACUUGAUACUUGAAUCCCUAGAGAUUUGGGGUGGUCUUCCAGGUCAACAGGUAUUCACCGAUCCUUUGAGAGAAGCCUUUAGUUUCUCUCUGGUAUCUUUCCUGACGAUGGGAUAUCAGGGAAGGGGUAUUUUGUGGUAUUAGGAAAUACGACAACUAAAACGAUACCUGUGACCUGAGGACCAUAACCCUAUUUAUAGGUAACAUUCCUGUUACCUUUUGGAGCCCUAUUUCAGCCCAUCAUUGAAAUAGGAGCCCAUAAGUUUCUACACAUAAAAGGGCCCACAUCCUAUUAGAUACAUUAAACCCAAACUAUAUUUGAUCACUUUAAUUGGGUUUAACCUUAAUUGACAGUUUGCAAUACAUAAUUAUUCACAUAUAAGUCCAAUGUUGGAUUAAGGAUCCAACAAUCUCCCACUUGGACUAUAUGUGUAACCUUUAUAAUUAUGUUUUGCAACUAACCGUAUGAGCUCAACUUUACUGUCAUUAUCACAAUGUAUCUGUAACCAAUUCGGUCCAUCAAAUACAUCAAUAUAGGAUCAAAACGGCCUUUGUUACAAUUUCGUAACUCGACCCAUCAAUAGUCACAUAUAUCAAUGCAAUUGAAUGACAUGAAUUAUGAUGUGGAUGUGUAGCAUGAAAAUUUCAUGUAAUGUGAUCAAAACAUGCCUAUUUCCAACUGGUCCACCUUAAAUUUUAUGAGAUCAAACCAUACCAAAAUUAGAGUGCAAAUAAAUCCAAACUAUAUUUAUGCAUAAAAUAUCCUUAAAUCCUUAAUAACUGAAAAAUAUCAUAAGAGCAUUUAAAAUAACAAACUCCCACUAAAACUAUACAUCAUUUAAUACGACACCCAUAUGAGCAGUAUGCUCAUGAAACAUUUUGGGUGGCAAUCCCUUAGUAAGCGGAUCCGCAACCAUGGAGUUUGUUUCGAUGUGCUCUAUUGAUAACUGUUCAUUCUGCACUCUUUCUUUAACAGUCAGGAACUUGAUUUCUAUAUGUUUAGAUUUGGUCGAUCUCCUAUUGUUAUUGGAAUAUAAGACUGCUGACUUAUUGUCACAGAAUAAUUUGAGUGGUCUUUCAAUGCCAUCCACUACACGUAAUCCUGUGACGAAAUUUCGCAGCCAAAUUUCCUGGUUGGAUGCCUCAUAACAAGCUAUAAACUCUGCAGCCAUAGUCGAAGAUGCUAUGAGAGACUGUUUAGCACUCUUCCAGGAUAUGGCACCUCCAGCCAACAAGUGGACAUAGCCUGACGUUGACUUCAUAGUAUCUUUGCAUCCAGCAUAAUCGGAAUCAGUAUACCCAAUGAUUUCUAAUUCAUCUGACUUCCGAUACGUGAGCAUGUAAUCCUUUGUUUUCUGUAGAUAUCGUAAGACCCGUUUGGUUGCUUUCCAAUGAUCUAAUCCAGGAUUACUCAAAUAUCUACCCAACAUCUCAGUAAUGUACGUAAUAUCCGGACGCGUACAUACUUGAGCAUACAUUAGAUUCCCUACUACUGAUGCAUAAGGAAUCUUUUGCAUCUCUUUUUCCUCAAAAGCAUUCUUGGAACACUGUUCAAGACUAAAUUUGUCUCCUUUGGCCACAGGAGUGUCACCUGAUUUAUAAUUUUGCAUGCCAUACCUUUUGAGAACCUUUUCGAUAUAGCCCUUUUGUGAUAGUUCUAAAAUACCCUGAGAGCGAUCACGGUGUAUCUGUAUGCCUAACACAAAAGAUGCAUCCCCAAAAUCUUUCAUUUCAAAAUUCUUAGUUAGAAAUUUCUCGGUUUCAUGCAAUAGACCAAUAUCGUUGCUGGCAAGCAAAAUAUCAUCAACAUACAAUACCAGAAAAAUAUAUUUUCUCCCACAGAACUUAUGGUAUAUGCAAUCAUCUAUUAAAUUCAUCUCAAAAUCAAAUGAGAUGAUCACUUGAUGAAAUUUGAAAUACCAUUGUCGAGACGCUUGUUUGAGUCCAUAGAUGGAUUUCUUAAGUUUGCAAACCAUAUUCUUUGGAUCUCCUGAUACAAAGUUUUCUGGUUGCACCAUAUAAAUCGUCUCAUCAAUGUUACCAUUGAGAAACGCUGUCUUUACAUCCAUCUGAUGUAACUCAAGAUCAAAAUGUGCCACUAAUGCCAUGAUAAUUCUAAAAGAAUCCUUUGAAGAGACUGGAGAGAAGGUUUCUUUAUAAUCGAUACCUUCCUUUUGUGUAAAUCCCUUAGCGACAAGACGAGCUUUGUAUCUUUCCACAUUGCCUUUCGAAUCCCUCUUGAUUUUAAAUAUCCAUUUACAACCAAUGGGUUUCGCUCCUUCUGGCAAAAGGACAAGAUCCCAAACGUCAUUGUCCUUCAUGGAUUUAAUCUCCUCAUUCAUGGCAUCGACCCACUUUUGAGAAUUUGAACUUUCCAUGGCUUGAUGGAAGUUGAUUGGAUCAUCUUCCAUCAAUCCAGAGUCAUCCUCAUGUUCUUGAAGAAAAAUAAUGUAAUCAUUCGGCACUGCACUUCUCCUUUCUCUAGUGGAUCUUCUUAAUGACACUGGUUCUUGAAGAGGAAGAGUUUGUUCUUCUAUAACAGUUUGUUCUUCGGCAUUGUCUUGAUUUGUCAUGUCAUGACCAAGUUCAGGAAUAGGGUCCUGAGCAAGAGUAAUGACACCUGUGGGAAUAUUAAUAUAUUUCUCUUUAAAGACAAUGUCCCUUACUGUAUUUUCUCCCCCAAACUCGACAUCCUCAAAGAACCGAGCAUUUCCUGUCUCAAAAAUUAAUUUAGUUGUGGGAUCAUAAAACUUGUAACCUCUGGAUCUUUCAGAGUAUCCAAUAAAAUAACAACUAAUCAUUCUUGAAUCCAGUUUCUUUUCAUUUGGCCUGUAAGGCCUUGUCUCAGCUGGACACCCCCAAACAUGCAGAUGCUUUAAAUUGGGCUUUUUCCCUAUCCAAAGCUCAUAAGGGGUUUUGAUAGUUGCUUUAGUUGGAACUCUAUUAAGGAUAUAUGCUGCAGUCUUAAGUGCUUCACCCCAGAGUGACUCUGGUAAAGUAGAAUGACAUAUCAUACUCCUUACCAUGUUUUUAAGCGUUCUAUUUCGUCUUUCAGCUACACCAUUCAUAGUGGGUGAACCCGGCAUAGUGUACUGUGGGACGAUACCGCAUUCCUCUAGGUAUUUAGUAAAUGGUCCUGGACGUUGUUCACCUGAACCGUCAUAUCUGCCAUAGUACUCACCACCACGGUCAGAUCUGACGCUUUUAAUUCUUUUGUUGAGUUGAUUCUCAACUUCAGCCUUAAAACUUUUGAACACGUCCAGUGACUGUGAUUUUUCAGAAAUGAGAUAUAUGUAGCCAUAUCUUGAAAAAUCGUCUAUGAACGUUAUAAAAUAUUAUUGACCAUUCCAAGCAGAUGUAGGAAAUGGUCCACAAAUAUCAGUAUGUAUAAGUUCUAAGACGUUUGAGGACCUAUUGGCUUCAAAUCUCCUUUGAUUGGUUUGUUUUCCCUUUAUACAGUUAAUACAAUCAUCAAAAUCUAUAAAAUUCAAGGGGGUCGAGAAUUUCAUUUGACACAAGCCUUUCCAUUCUCCGUUUGGAGAUAUGUCCCAAUCUCUUGUGCCAUAAUGCAGCUGAAUUCUCAUUGGCUAAUUUUCUUUAAACUCCUCUAGUACUCAAAUGCAGAGAUUCAUUAAAUGAGGCAAUCGUAUCAAUUAAAUAUAGAUUAUCGUAAUGCAUUAAAGAACCAUAACCAACCAAUUUUGAAUCAUGAAACAAUUCAAAUUUUUCAUUUCCAAAUGAACAAAAAUAACCAAAUUUGUCCAAAGCAGAAAUAGAAAUUAAAUUCCGUCUAAAAGACGGUACAACAAAUGUCUCAUUGAGAUCCAAAUAAAAUCCGGUCUUUAAUAAUAAUCUAAAAACUCCAAUUACCUCAACUUGAACUGUUUUGCCAUCGCCCACGUAGAUAUAUCUUUCAUUAUCAUUAGGCUUUCGGCAAUUCAGGUAACCCUGCAUAGACACACUGAUGUGAGUUGUUGCACCAGAAUCUAAUUACCAUGUGUGUCUAGGUACCGAAGUUAAAUUAAUCUCAGAACAAACCAAAUUAAGAAGCAUACCUUUCUUAGUACGCCAAGCGUGAUAGAUGGUGCAAUGCUUCUUUUGAUGCCCUUCAGCCCCACAGAAGAAACAACUAUUCUUUCCCUGGUCAUUUGAUUUCUUUUGUUGUUUCUUUUGUGGCGCUGUACCUGCAGCUCCUUUUUCCUUCUUUCUUUUAAGUCCCUUACUUUUAUUAUUAGUGGUUGACACCAGAUGGGCACUUUCUGUCUGCUCUUGUUUCAUCCUUUCCUCUUCCUCUACACAGUGUGAGAUGAGUUCAUUUAGAAACCAAGUCUCCUUUUGACAAUUGUAACUCACCUUAAACUGGCUAAAUUGUGUAGGAAGAGAUAUUAAAAUCAAAUGCACUAGUAACUCUUCAGAGAGUUUCAAUUUAAGUGCAUUUAAUUUCGAAGCAAGAUGAGACAUCUCCAUGAUGUACUCUCUGAUAUUGCCUUUACCACUAUAUUUCAUUGAAACUAGGCGUGUUAAGAGCGUACUAACUUCAGCCUUUUCGUUCUUGACAAACCUUUUUUCAAUGUCUUGAAGGAACUCUUUAGCGGUUACAGUUGUUUCUGACAUUGUUCCCCUGAAUGCUUCAGGAACGGCCUUUUUAAUGAUCAUCAGACACAAGCGAUUUGAUCUCUCCCACCUCUCAUUAUUUUUCUUUUCAUCAGAGGUACUCUGAUCUGUAAGAGGUGGGGGAGAAUCAUCCCUUAACGCAAGGUCGAGAUCCAUUACUCCAAGUACUAUCAAGAGAUUUUCUUUCCAAGACUUGAAAUUUGUGCCAUUCAACAUAGGAAUAUUAUUGAUGUUGGAAGUAAUAUUUGUAAGAUCAUUUGCAACUGAACAGAAAAUAUAACAUAAUUAAAAUAAGCUCACAUAAAUCAAAACAAUAAUGAAUUCAAAUAAUGGUAGUCCCAUCUCAAGAUACCGAUAUUCCAUUAAUAUUUCGUCUUUGGACAAAAUAUUAACUUCUAAGUGAUAUCUUGGCACAGUAAUAAAUACUGAAAAUAAUAACAUGUCAAAAAAUAAAUUUUCCUUUAGGCCAAUUUAUAAUUCACAUGUAAAAGCCAAAUAAUUAUCACAUGUUUAUUACCACAAGUGCACAUGUAAUUUCAUUAAAUAUUGACAUUCCUUUGGGCCGAUCAAUAUUCAUAAAAUUACUAGUACCCAACUAAUUAUAUUUUAAAAUAAAUUAAUUUCCAUAAUAGAGGUCACUUUGGUGGCAUAUUAUUUCCACUAAUUUAUUCCAAAAUAUAUAUAAUCCUACCAAUAUUCAAAUUUAAAAAAUUAUCCAAAAUAAAUAAAAAUUUUAAUCAAAGUCAACUUUGGUCAACUUUGGUCAAAACGUGGUCAAACAUGGUGAAAUCAAUUAAAUUGAAUCAUGACUUAUUGGACCAAAGAUCCAUAUCCAUAAUUUGACUCAAAAUUAACAUUUAAGCCCAAAAAUUUUCUUGAAAUCCAUAAGUACUUUAUAAAAACUACAUAUUUAAUGGGCCACAUAUAUGGAUUUUAUAGGGUUUAAAUAUUUUAUUUAACUUUAUUAGGGUUUACUUAAAUUAAAUAAAUCCUAAUUUCUUUAACAUAAAUAAAUAUACAUAUUGGCUCUCAAACGAAGAAACAAGUCAAAAUUUAAUCUUCAAAGUGAGGAAAAGACGAAUGACAUCCCGAAGCCGGAAGACAAGUUAGCUUACAUCAUCAAAGCAUGCGGAUCCCACUUGAAUUUCAUGAAACCAAAACAAUGAACUAAUAGCAUGUAUAGUCACACGAAACCAUGAUUCAUAGUUCUGAUCGAAGACCAAUUGACCCACCAAACAUAAGCAUGUACAGUCACACGAAAUCAAUUGGCCGAAGACCAAAAGCACCAUGAAUCCCUUUUUUUUUCUUUUUUUUUUCUUCUUCGUUUGCAUAUGAGUCAGAGGGGCGCCGUGCAAAGGAAAACAUAAUUUACCGUAAUUCUGAAUUCAUGUAGUGCGGCAGAAGCAACCAAAAUCAUACACAUAUAUGAUACAAGCAGUGAAUCUACAAUACUUGAACACAUAAUAACCAUAUAUUUAACAGCAUCAGAGUCCGCAGCUAGUAGCCAUGAAAACAGAACAAAUAAUAACAAAACUGUAAAUUACUAAAAUAAAAUUAUUUCCUAAUAAUCAACCAUAUAGGCUCUGAUACCACUUGUUAGGGCGGUUAUUUGUAUUUAACCUUUGGUGAAAACUAUCACCUAUGAAACCUCAAGAUCUUUAUGGCGAUUAUUGAGAAAUAAUUAACACAUAUUGCGGAAGCGUACCUGAAUCCAUAUUGAUAAACUUGAUACUUGAAUCCCUAGAGAUUUGGGGCGGUCUUCCAGGUCAACAGGUAUUCACCGAUCCUUUGAGAAAAGCCUUUAGUUUCUCUCUGGUAUCUUUCCUGACGAUGGGAUAUCAGGGAAGGGGUAUUUUGUGGUAUUAGGAAAUACGACAACUAAAACGAUACCUGUGACUUGGGGACCAUAACCCUAUUUAUAGGUAACAUUCCUGUUACCUUUUGGAGCCCUAUUUCAGCCCAUCAUUGAAAUAGGAGCCCAUAAGUUUCUACACAUAAAAGGGCCCACAUCCUAUUAGAUACAUUAAACCCAAACUAUAUUUGAUCACUUUAAUUGGGUUUAACCUUAAUUGACAGUUUGCAAUACAUAAUUAUUCUCAUAUAAGUCCAAUGUUGGAUUAAGGAUCCAACACAAACCACAUACAUUAUUCACCUAACUAUUAAAAAGUAAGGUUUCCACUAAAUCUGCUGAAUAAUACAGGAACAAGUUGCAUAUUCAAGUUGAACUUAAUUCUAGGCGACAUUAACACAAAUUUUCUCACUAGCCCCUGAGCUCGAAACUAUUCAAGGAUGAAACGCAAGUUAACUCCUUGUAAUUGCUUUUUUCUUUCUUUUUUUUGUUGAAAGAAAAAAAAAACUCAAUGCAAUUAUCAGAUUGAGAGAACCUAGCAUCUCAUGGACGUUACUCAAACUGGAUUGCACUGUCACGAACAAUGUUUUCAAACCCGGACCGGACCGGCCGGGUCGACCGGUUCGACCGCGACCUGGCCAUGUGUCCGGUCCGGUCUAUUGCUUAUGUUGACUUUUAUAAAAAACCGGUCAAAACCAUAAAAAACCGGUCAAAUCUUCAAAACCGAGUCAGACCGUGAACCGCGGUUUUCUAAUUUUUGAGUCAAAAUUGACAAAAACUUCAAUUUUGACCGAACCCUAAUCUUCAUUCUUCAUUUCUUCACUUCGGCACUUCGCUAGUUCGCUGAACUUCGCUCCAGAGUCCAGUCUUCCUCUUCGCACUUCACUUCGCCGCUGCGGUCUUCCUGCCGUUCCUGGUUCCUCCUGAUUCCUCUCUCACUUCGCCGCUUCGGUCUUCCUGGUCUUGCCUGCCAUCUCUAAUUCCUUCUCCCCUUAAUGGCUUAACUCUAAUCCCUUCUCCAAAGUGUGGUGUGGAUCACUUUUGGGGAAACGGCGUAGAUGACCACUGGUUGGCGGUGCUCGUUGUCGACUGUGGGCUGAAGGUGCGCUGGUGCGGCUGAGUAGGGUGAUUGAGGUGGUGCAGCUGCGGUGCAACUGGUGCGAUUCUAAGCCAAAAAAAAUUGUGGAAGUGAAUUGAGGUGGUGCAGGCUGAAGUUUUUCUGCCUGCUGUUGCGAUUCUAAGCCAAAAAAAAAUUGUGGAAUUCCAAACUCGUUCACACUUCACACCAUCUUCAUCAGCUUUUCUCGCAACCCUGUCUCAGGUAUUUUACUUCAUACACCUGCUGCGCUUCUAUCUUCUUUUUUCAAUACGAAUUGGUAGAUGGAGAACUGCGUAAAAGUACUACUGCUCACACGGGCAUAUAAUAAUAUGUUGCUGUCACCCUGCAUCUUUCUUCAAACAAAAAAGUUGUCCAUUUCACAGGGGAAAGUAUAAAGAAAAGAAAGAGAAGGCAGCAGCAAUUAGUCUGUAAUUCCUUGAAACAAGUUUGCCGCAAAGAAUGUAGACAAUCCUGGUAAUAGGCCCUAUUGCGGCACGGGCUGGUGAUUUCAUAUUCAAUGACUUUUCAAGACUUGAUCAAAUGGCGAGCUGCCGAUCCACUUACAAGAAAUACUAACUGAGUGAUAAUUUAAUAGAAAAAAAUAUGCAGUUCAAUUCCAAAAUAUUCAAUUAUUGUGCGAUUUUAGUGCUUAAAAUUUUAGUAAAAAUAAAUUUAGCUCUCAAUAUUACUUAGCAUAUGUGCAGUUUAGUCCCUAAAGUUUUUGCAAGAGUAAAUCUAGUUGUCAAUGUAUCCAAUUUGAAGCAGAUUUAGGACAUUUGAAAAUUUUUUCUCUAUUACUGAGACAAUUUAGUCACGUCUAAUAAUAGUUUAGUUAAAUUAAAUUUCGAAAUAAAGAGGCAAAACAGUAAUUAACUUUAAGUAACAAGGAAUAGCAACUCACAUCACAUGCUAACUAAUUAACUAGUAAAAAGUAGGAAAAUUUUUGUCUAAAGAAAAUUAAAACUAGACAGAGCAUCCUGUUCAUUGAUCCAAAUUUUAUUUUCAUUCUCUAUCGCUAUUGCCCCCAAUCUUUAAAUCUCUGUGCUAUUAUUUAAAAGUAUAUUUGAUGUCUUUAAAUUUCUGUGCUAUUAUUUAAAAGUAUAUUUGAUGUCUUUAAAUCUCUGUGCUAUUAUUUAAAAGUAUAUUUGAUGUCUUUAAAUCUCUGUGCAAAACCCAGUUAUCGUGUCUUUAAAUCUCUGUCUAAAGAUACGAAUAGCCUUAAUAAUUUGUUUCAGUUUGUGUAUAUUAAUUAUUUGUUAAGACUAUUUAUUUUUAAAUAUCUCAUUUUAGGAUGGAAGCUGGUAGCGGUAGUAACUCACAAUGUUCACCGGGGGGGCCAUUCAAUAGUGAGGGAUCUGCAAGUCAGCCCCAAGGUCAUAGGCAAAAGACAGAUAUAGCAUGGGGAUAUGUUUCUGAGGGCAGAAAUGCACAAGGAAGAAAAACCAUGACAUGCACUUAUUGUUUUAAAGUGUUUCAUGGGGGUGGCAUCCACCGAAUGAAGCAACACUUGGCAGGAGUAACGGGCAGUGUUACUUCAUGUCCAAAUGUUGAUCCAGCAGUGAGGCUUGCAAUAUUAACAUGUUUGCAAGAGAAUGAUAAAAAAUCUAAAGAAAAAAGAGGAGAUUUUGGGGUCGAAAGUCCUUUUGGUCAACCAGUGCACGAAUUUGUCGGUGAUGAAGUGCAAGAGGUUCCACCUCCUCGAAUAAGGGAAAUUUCAAUGAAUGAGGCUGGUACAUCAUUAGGUAAAGGAAAGAGAAAAACCACUGCCCCUACAGGUAUUCGUGCUUUCUUUAAGGGUGGACGUGAUAGUGCUCAACCUACUAUCAAAGCUUGUUUGCAAAGUAAGGAUAAAUGGCAAAAUACUGAUAUGGUCAUUGCUCUUUGGUUCUAUGAUGCAUGUAUUCCCAUUAAUGCUGUUAAUUCUCCAUUUUUUCAAAAAGCUAUCGAUCAAAUUGCAUCGAUGGGUCAUGGUUAUAAAGCUCCAUCUUAUCAUUCUUUGCGAGUCACUUUGUUGCGAGAUGCUAAGAAAGAUGUGCAGUUAGUUGUUGAUUCAUUUCGAAAUACUUGGGCUGAAACUGGAUGCACUAUAAUGGGUGAUGGAUGGAAAGAUAGUAGACAAAGACCAUUGAUUAAUUUUCUGGUUUAUUGUCCUAAGGGUAUAUCUUUUAUCAAGUCUAUAGAUGCAUCGGACAUUGUGACAAAUGCAGAAAAUUUGUGCAAUCUGUUUGUUGAAAUUGUUGAAAUGGUUGGUUCAAAAAAUGUGGUGCAUUUAGUCACUGAUAAUGCUAGCAAUUAUAAGGCUGCUGGAACUUUAUUAAAUGAAAGAUAUCCAACUAUUUGCUGGUCUCCAUGUGCUGCCCAUUGUAUCAAUUUGAUUUUGAAGGAUAUUGGUGAAAUGGGUACUGUUAAAUCUCUAGUGGCUCUUGCUGCUACAGUAACUGUUUUUGUGUAUAAUCAUAAGUAUGUUCUAAAUUGGUUGAGAAAAACUAAUGAGUGGAGGGAGAUUAUUCGUCCGGGGGAGACUCGAUUUGCCACCACUUUUAUUGCACUAAAGAGCUUACAUGAUCACAAAGACAGCUUACAAGCUUUAGUCACUAGCGGAGAUUACAAAAAGUUCUUGAAAAUGAACAAAGGAAAAGAGGUCAAACAAAUUGUUUUGGAUGAUAGAUUUUGGAAUAAUUGUUUGAUUACGGUGAGAAUAAUGGGUCCUAUUAUUCGGUUGUUGAGAGUUUGUGACACUGAUGAAAGGCCUUCUUUGGGGUAUGUGUAUGAAGGUAUGUUUAGAGCAAUUACUGGAAUCAAGAAGUUGUUCAGGAGUAGUGAAAGACUAUAUAAGCCUUACAUUGAUAUCAUCAAUGACCGAUGGGAUAGGAUGUUGAGGAAAAAUUUUCAUGCUACGGCAUAUUUUUUAAAUCCCGCUUUUCAAUAUGACACUGCCACAUUCUCUACACAUCCAGAAAUUACAAAUGGUUUGUUGGAUUACAUAGAAUCAAAGGUGGAUUGCUGUAGUGUGGAAAAUUUAACAAGAGAAAUUGGAAUGUAUCGAGAGCGGGAGGGAAGUUUUGGCAGAAAACUUGCUAUUCUUACUAGCAAGAAAGAUAGACCAGGUAAUUUAUAUUUUUCUAGCAUUUGAAUCUCUCUAAUAUAUAUAUAUAUAUAUAUCUAAUUUAUAAAUAUUUUGUUUAUAUUUAAAUUUUGAAUAUGACAGAGAAUUGGUGGAAGCUCUUUGGUUGUGAUGCUCCCAACUUGCAAUUCGGGUUUUGAGUCAAACAGUUUCUUCUUCAGGAUGUGAGCGUAAUUGGAGUGUUUUUGAACGUAUUCAUACUAAGAAAAGGAAUAGGUUGGAGCAUCAAAGGCUCAAUGAUCUUGUAUAUGUGCAUUACAAUUUGCGUUUGCAGUAUAGGUAUAUGUAAAUGGUUUAUUUUUAUAAAUGACAUUUCAUUCUUUUUAAGAAAAUAUUUUAGUACUAACUAAGUGUAUAUGUUGUGUGUAUAUAUAUAUAUGUUGUAGGCAUAAUCAGCAAAAGAGAUCGUAUGAUCCCAUUGAUUAUGAGUCAAUUGAUAAAACAGAAUUUUGGGUGGUUGAAGAAGAACAAGAAGGGGAGCUUGAUUAUGAGGAGUUAGAGGAUGAGCUUGAAGAACUUCCAAUUCAUGGUCAAUGUUCAAAUUCUGAACAACUUGAAGGUUAGUUUGACAUAAAUCAUUAGUUUGAUGCAAAAAUAAAGCUAGUAUGAUAUGAUAUUCAAUUGUUGAAUAUGUAUAUAAUUAAAUAUGUUGAUUUUUUAGAUAAUGAAGAUGAAGCAGAAGAUGUUGAUUUAGAAACAUUUCAGCGUCGAAACUUUUUUAAUGAUGAAGAUGAUGAUUGGCAUUAAAUGUUCAAAUGGUAAUUGGUAUAGAAUUAUUUGUACUCUUUUAUUUUUAUUUUUAAGAUUUGUAUCAGUUGGUGUGAUGAAACUAAUAUGAUUUUAUACUUUUAUCACUUGUCAGUGAUUCAUAUAAUGGUCUUGGAUGAUGAUGAUGACUUGUCAAGAUGGCUUUUUUUGAAGCUUUGUUGUCCCAGAAUUAUGAAGAAGAUUAUAGAAGCUUCAGAAAUUGGACUCGUUUGGACCUUUUGAUUGUUUUCUAGACUUGUAUUGUUUUUUGUUAAUUUUAAUAUUUAGACAAUUGGACAUGUAAGUUUCAUAACUAUGUUAAUUGUGUGUGUUAAUUGUUGGAUAUUGCUCUUAUAUUUAUUGUGGUUCAGCAUUUAUAUCUUAUUCUAUGCAUAGGUGUGUGUCUAUAUUGAACCGGUCCGACCGAUUGAACCUCGACCCUUUCACCUCACCGAUUCGAUUGACGGUCCGGGUUUGAAAACAUUGGUCACGAAUGAUCCUAUAAUCUAAUGAUGUCAAAAGUCUGACAAAAUGUUUGACCACGCAGAGCCUUGUAUAAAAGUGAAGAAAAUGAAUAAUACAUCAGAAGCAAUAUUUCCUUUGCACUUCUUCUGAGUGCAACUGUGUUCUUGCUAUAACUUCCGUGUCCGAAUCAUCUACCAUACAAGGUACUGAUUCUCCCUGAUCGAUCUUGCAGUCAAUUUUUUGUUAAUUUUUCACCAGUUUAUUUGGUUCUUCUAUUAAUGUCUAGUUGGUUGAAUGAUUCAGGAGUUUUUUAGCAUAUUUGUAGGACUAUUAAUGAUGCUAGGAAGCAAAAUUAAUCAAUUCUCUUCAACAAUGAUCACCUGCAUGGACAGAAUCAGGGGGCGGGGAGGGGCAGCCGCCCUCUUGCCUCCAUGCCCCAAGACUCUAUUCACAUUCAAUUUCCCAUCGAGCAUAAGUUUUCAACCUAUUAUGGUGUUUUGUAUCACUAUGUAUUUGAUUGUUUGCUUUUCUUAAACUAAAAUCCUAGUUUUGUCACUCAUCACCUUUGCCUGAAAUUAAGAUCUUCUACAUUUUCUUUUUCAAACAUUCAUAUAAUUUUUUUUUUUUUGGAAAAAAAAUGUUAAUAGAAUCUUAUCAUGAAUAUAACAAGAAAACAUGUCUUGGCAUAUAUCAUUUAGUCGUUCAGACGAGUUCAUUUUAGUUAAAUGUUUACUAAUGAACUAGAUUUUAUUUUGAUUACCACAUACUAGUGAUCUUACGUACGUUGAAUGAAGCUAACAAUAUUUUGAUUUUUUUUUAGGUCCCGCUUAAGAAUUGAAUGCACGUUUUCAAGCUUUCACUAACAUGGAUUGUGACACUCAGAAAGAUAGGAUUAGCGAUCUUCAAGAAGGGCUUCUUUCUCACAUCUUGUCUGGCCUUCCAACAAAGGAUGCUGUGCGCACCUGUGUUUUAUCCAAGACGUGGGAGAUGAAGUGGAAUUGUAUAUGGAGUCUUGAUUUCUACGAUAAAUUGCUUUACUUGAACCAGGUGAUAGACAAGGAGAGAUUUAGCAGUUUCGUUACGAAAGUACUUAAUCACUGUCGAAAUACAAUAUUUCAGAAUUUUAGGCUCAUAUUGUCUCAAAAGUAUGAUCCAAAUCAUAUAGUUGCAUGGAUUUCCACUGCACUGGAUCAUGAUGUCAAGAGCCUUUAUCUACAUUAUGAUCGAAAAGAAAGCUUUGAGCUCCCGAGUUAUUUUUUGGAGUGCAGAUCAUACAGGAAGUAACGAUUAUGAUGGCUUGCACUCCGAAAGCUUCUCAGGUUACUCCAUUCAAGAACUGGAAAAUUUUAUUCAUCGAAUCAGCCAAAUUUGUUAAUGAGAGUAAUCUAGAUGCCUUCAGUUUGUCCAUCUUCCCUGUUCUAGAAGAGCUUACCUUGGUCCAACGUGAAGGUUACCUGAAUAGAAGCUCCCCGUCUUUGCCGAUUCCACUUGACCCAUGGUUCAAAGACUCGGCUGAGUCGUCAUCGUUUCGGACUUUCAAUACGAUAUCGAGAUGAUACGAUUCUAAGAUACUUGACUCGUCGAAAUGUCAUUGUAAAGAGUUGAAACGGCCGAAUCACACUGCAUCACUCUGAGUCAUCUCAAUUCAACUUGAAUUUUUAUUAUUUUUACUAAUUUUUUAAAUUAUUUUUGUUUAUCAUAUUUUUAUCAGUUUUUAGAAUAUUAAAUAUUUUAAAAAUUUGUGUCUCGCCGAGACGGCGACCGAUAUGCCAAGACCGAUGUGGAAUGGCUCGGGCCGCGACCGCGACUUUGAACCAUGACCUGACCACGUGUAGGUAUCAGAAUGGUCGUGGUCAAGUACACAACUGCCAUAUCAUAAUUUCAGGAUCCUGUCUCACAAAAUUUAGAUACGAGUCUAAUAACUUCAGAGAAAACACAGUUGAUUGAUGAUUUAGGUCAUUGAUGAAAUUUUGCUUGACAUUAGUGGUUUUCCUACAUAACCCAACGGUCAUUGAAAAUUAUAGGGUAUUACGGAGGUUGUAAUUGAAAAUAAGUGGUUCCUCGAAACUGCAUGUUUCAGUCCUGCUGAUGGCUUUUCCAUUCUUGAUGCUAUUGACAAACUUGGCGGUAAAUUACUCUCUGAUUUGGUCAUGCAAACUAUGAAUGAAAUACGGAAGCUUAAUUGCAAUGUGUCGCUGAGUUGAUGAUUGUAGAAACAACACAGCAUCUUAAUUGCACUUUCUUCCCAACUAUGAACAAAAGACUAAGAUUUGUAGCUUUUAUUGGUCAACCAGAAUCGCUAAGGAAGUUUCUGUCUGGACUUCCGAAGAUGGAAGUCCUAAUAAAGAGAAUUAAAUUUUAAGAUCUAGGGUUUAAACUAACUAAUUUUAAUUUAAGGUUCUCUGCGGAGUAAAAAGUCCUGUUAGGUGUUUUACAAGCUUAAAGUGAUAGAUGUAGAAAUCUCACUUUUUUUUUUUGGCUUUUGGGGUCAAAAGUCAUCCUUUUAUAUAUACCAUAACUUUGAUAAAUACAGAAUCAUACACAAACUAACUGGCAACUGCGAGGAAUCACCAUGUGCAGCUUCGAGAAGCCACACAAGGAAACUAUCCUGACAUCUAGUUUUGCACGUAAAAAAACUAUCCUUCCACUUAGUUUAGUUAAUAAGGUUGAUGGCAAAUUUUGAUCGCACAAGUUGACUUCUCUAUUAAUAAAGAAGAAUGUACAAUGCCAGAAUGAUCUACACAAAAACCUAAUAUCAUUUACAAAUACAUCAAUCUAAAAUUAGUCAACCCCAUGGAUUGAGAUUAACAGUUUUCCUUCCUAACCCUUCUCUCUCUCUCUCUCUCUCUCUCUCUCUCUCUCUCUCUCUCUCUCUCUCUCUCUCUCUCUUCAAAAUCUACCAUAAAACAUAAUAUUUUUCCCAAUUCUGUUAGUUUGGCUUAUUAGUGCUACUCUUUUCCGUUUAAAAAUUUCCCCCUUAUAAUUGCUUAUACAGUUCUUUUAGUCUGUAUUCUAAAGGCAUGUGAUAAGAGGUGGGUCCAAUAGUUAAUUGCGUGUCAAAUUUUAAAUUUUCUUUUCUAAAAUUUGCUAAAUUCAAGGGGUGAAUAAUAUUGUUUGGAAUUUAUAGUUAGCCCGUCCCUAUGUUAUGUAUGCUUAUCCUAUGUCCUAAAGGUAAAGAAUAGAAAAAUCCUUCCUUCUAUUUGGUUAACAUCUUAGCAUGCAAAUUUAGCUGUUAAGACGAAAAUUGCAUAUAGAACAUUACAUCUUGACGUAUUUGCCAGGGGAGGUUGAGGAUACAGCCAGAAGGAGCAAUAAGUUGCUUUUUAUUUGCAAAUGUAAGUUGUUAGAGCAAAGGCAGCGGAAACUAUAGAAAGGACUUGUUAAAACCUUUCUCCUUCACAUUUUGCAGAACUUGUACUUUUAUCCAACUAAAGUUUUGCCCUUCAAACACCAUCAUCUUUCAACUUUCCUUUAUUCCAUUCACUAGUUUUUUCAGCCUCACGCAUAUGUUAAACACGUUCAAAUGAAGACAAGUGAAUUAAUAUAAAAUAGUUAUAUAUUAAAUACAUGAUGGGUGCUAGUAACUAUGGGGAAUUUAACUUUAGGUAAAUUGGUUACUGUCGUUAUUCGUUUACUCAAUUUAUUUAUGAAGUUGAAGAGAUUUUUGUACCUACUGGACUUGGACUACUAAUUGACUUAAUGUGAGAUAUCGAUACGAUAUAUUAGUAUUGAUAUAUUAGUAUUUCAUAUCUGCAAUAAAUUAUCAACGAUCUAACAGUCGUCAUGUGUGUGAGUGUGUAUUUUUUCCUAAUUGCACUGAUAAAUAAGACCUUGAAAUUAGGUUAUCUAACAUUCUUAAUGUAGCAUUAAUCAGUAAGUAAUGACUAAAAUUCUGUAGAAUUAUAAGGCAUGGUUAUCUAACUUUUUUAAUGUAGCAUUAAUCACUAAAUAAUGCCUAAAAUUAUAAAAUGGGUUUAUCAUUUUCUAUUGUUUGAAUGAGCUUUCAAACAUAUUUAAAAAUAUUUUAGACCAAUGUAAAAUUAAAUUAAUUUUUUUUGUAUAUUCAAUGGCUUUUUUCUUUUACAUUAAUAGGUUUGGAUGCAUGACAUAUAAUUUUUAUUCAACUGUAUCCCACCGUGAGCUCGGUUUAUAUAUACUAUCAUUUCUCCUAAUCAAGAUUUCAUAUUGGAUCCUUUUUUUUUUUUUGUUGCAAUUCAGAUGAUUGUUUGAUUGAUAGAUUAAAAGUGUUCAAGAAUGAAGGAAGCAACAAUGGUUUCUUUGGACAAGACAUCAUCUAUUGAAAAUGAGUCUCGGAUUCUCAAUAUUGAACGACUUCAACUUGCAGGGGUAAAUAUACAUAUUUUCUUAUUUUUCUUUUUUCUUCCCUUUUUUUGGUUGUCCAUUCUUUGUUUAUUUUUGGAGAUUUUAAUGAUUUUGGUUUUGAUAAUUUGUAAAGGAGGCAGCACUUUAUGUGGUGAGUACGAGAAGCAUGGAAAAAGUUCUUUGAAUUUUCACUAAGAUAAUGGCUUAGAUAUAUACAAUAUCCAACGAUUUCUUGAGUUAAAAAUUUUUCCUUUCUAUUUUCUAGUUUCUUUGGCUCUAUAAUUCUUACUCAUUUGAUGAUUCUUUCGGUAAUUUGGUUGAUAUUUUUUUUUGUUGUAAUCUAUAUCAUAAGCUGGAAAAUUAUAGGUUAUUUUGUAUUCUUAAAUCAUGUGCUAAAAUAGGUGAGUUUCUCUGUUUCUUUUUCUUUUUUUUAUAAAAGUGGUAUUCAAAAUCAAGAGAUAGUUGGAAUCUUGAAAUGGUGAAUUCCAAAUCGACUUGUGUUUACGGAUAGAUUGAAAUAAAAUGCUAAGAAAUAAAGGAUGGAUCUAUUUUACAAAUGGGGUGACAAACUCGUGUUUAAAAUUAGAAAAUAUGUAUUUAUAGAAUCAUUUUUUCAUACUUGAAAGAAAAAAUUAGGACUAUUGUAAAAGUUCAAAAACUAUCUGUGUUGUCCACAAAAGAGAACAAUAAGUCAACAAAAAUUAGAGUCAAAAAAUAACAAAAUUACAAAACAACCAAGCAAAUAUAACACACAUGUUGAAUGAAAGGAAAAUAAAUGGCAUGAUUGGAAAAUAUGGCAAACACCUAAGGCUAAACGAAUACUCGUAAAUAGCUAAGGUGGCCCAUCUCUCCGGAUCACAAGGGGCAACAAUGACUCAAACAAAAGAGGUACAACGACAAAUAAAUUACAAAGGAAUCACAAUACUAUAGCAUGCAUCUUCCGGUGUCUUGAGUAAGAAAGAAACAGCAAAUGGCAUUAUCGAAAAAUGAAGCACCACUAAGGCUAAUGCUAAUCACAUGAAGAGGAAAUGUUUCCAUCCAAGAGAGCCACGCGGACAGAAGUGAAUUUCCAGCAAAGCCACCACCACGCACCACCACUGAAUCGCAAAAGACCAAACCACCCCUCAAGUUCACACAAAUCGCACUAUAAUCAGCCCAAUUUUACUGUAGCAAUCCGAACUCCCGCUUUUAGUAUAGUAAAGAUUUGUAAACUUAACUUUACAAUUGGGACCAAUGAGCAGCUUUGUAAAUUUGCAUUGUCCAAAAGGCCCACAUUUGUCAAAUCAAUUGCGUAGAGACUGGGACGUUUCUGCUAGUCUUAUCCACCACUUCUCUACAUCCCACUUCACUGACUUCACUCAAUGGUGGAAUAUGUAGAAGUUAGAUGUGCCAAUGAUGGAGGUAAUUAAAAUGUUGCAUAAAAUAGAUGUAAUGUAAUAGGACUUGGGGCACAAUGGUUGUCAUGUCAACCAUUUGUACCGAUUUUUAUCCAAUUUCACAAGAUGUAACUCAUUUUCUUCGUGACAUAACUAACUUUUAACAAAAAUAUGUCAAUUUUUGUCCAAUUUCACAAGAUGUCUUUUUCAUAAUGUAACUUACUUUUUACGAAAAAUAACUAUAGAACAAAUUAUCGUGGAUCCUAUACAUGGCAUUGAAAACACUAUAUACGUAGUAAUCUAUCCCUUACAUUCUUUUUUCAUAACAUAGUGAUCUAUAACAAAUUAUUGUGGAUCCUAUAUAUGACAUUGAAAACACUAUAUACGUAGUAAUCUAUUCCUUACAUUCUUUUUUCAUAACGUAGUGAUCUAUACAAAUGAGCUUGGAGUUCCUCUAUCGGACUCAAGAUAGCCAAGCCAGCGAAUGCCUUUGAGAUAGUACAACUUCAUUUGCUGGACUAUACAAUGAAACAAUCAAUGCCUUCAUCGGCCGUCUUCUGCAGAGAUGGUCAUCUCGUUGAUGGAGAUUGUUUCUGCCUUACUAGACAAAGAUGCAGAUGUACUAGAAAUGCGUCUUCUUCCUACAAAAGCUGGUUGAUUCGGACUUGGAAGAGUAGUUGUUUCGCUACUGAGCAUAAUAAGAACAUUAGACAUGGUGGGACGAUCACUGGGAUCAUCUUGUACACAUAAGAGACCAAUGUUAAUGCUCUUCAGGACUUCUGUUCCAUUGCAUGAUUCCAGCAACCUCUUGUCAACUAAAUCCAAUGCUUUCCUUUCUUGCCACAAUCUCCAAGCCUGAAAGAGUUUUAAAAUAAACACCUCAUGUCAAACCAAAACUUUCAAAAUCUCAGUAGAGAUACAAGAUUUGAGAAAUGCAUACACUCACAUAGCCUAAAAGACUCAAGGCUUCUUCAGACUGAUAAAAUCCAGCAGUGUUUCUCUUACCACUAACAAUCUCAAGUAUAAUUACUCCAAAACUAAAUACAUCUGACUUCACUGAGAAUAAACCUUCGAUUGCAUACUCUGGAGACAUAUAGCCACUGCAUCACGAGCAAUCAUGAGAACAGCAAUAACCUAACAAUAAAUUUCAUGAGACAGGCUGAGAAACGCAAUGAACUUACUAGGUUCCAACUACUUUUAUUGUAUUUGCUUCUGUUGCUUUGCCUUGAACUAUUCUUGCCAAGCCAAAAUCUGAAAUUUUGGGAUUCAUCUCUUCAUCUAAUAGAAUGUUGCUUGUUUUCAAAUCUCUGUGAAUUAUCCUCAACCUUGAAUCCUGGUGAAGAUAAAGAAGUCCCCGUGCUAUUCCCAGAAUGAUGUUGAAUCUCAUGUUCCAGUCCAAUAUGAUGCAGCGCCCUUCAUCUUUACAAAGUGGUAAACAAUUUAGUGGAUGGUCUAGCAAUAAAAGGGCGGUAUCUAAAAUUACAUUUGGUUGGACUUGAUGACUCCAAAAGGAAGGGGGUUACCUAGUCGACUUAAACAAAAUGGAAACAAAGUCAAACAAAAGCUUCGAAGACUAACCAAAUAUAAAGGUGUCUAAGCUUUUAUUUGGCAUGUAUUCAUACAGAAGAAUUUUUUCAGGUCCCUGGAUGCAGUAGCCCAAGAGUCUAACUAAGUUCCGAUGUUGUAGUUUAGCAAUCAACACAACUUCAUUUCGAAAUUCCUCCAUGCCUUGACCAGAGUGGCUUGACAACCUCUUUACUGCAAUUUCUUUUUCUCCAGGGAAGAUUCCCUGCAAGAGUUACCAAUUGAAGCUAGUGUUUGAUGGAGAACAGACUAGUAGAGAUUGGAGUGAUAACACGUACAACAUGUAUAGUUACCUUGUAAACUGGGCCAAAUCCUCCUCUGCCAAGUUUAUUUGUGUCUGAGAAGUUAUUUGUAGCAGCUAGUAUGCUUUCCAGACUGAAAUAGGGUACAUCAACAAUUUUAUCAUCCUCAUCAACCAAUUCUGCAGCUUGUCUUUCACUGUCGUCCAAGUAAGGCAUGGGAUUCCCUGGAAUGCUUUUUUCAGUCUCUGACAGGGGACAAAAGUUAGCAAAAGUUAGAUUUAUAUCUACCUUGGAAAAUGUUUGAACCAGAGUGCAAAAAAUGGUUGCGUAAUUAGGGUCGUUUGCCACAUUGAUACCUUUUCUUUUUGCCAUGAUCCUCCUGUAAAAGGAACAGGUUAAGGUGCCAGCAAGUAAAACUACAGCAAUCACUGUGGUAACAAUAAUCACAGUGACACGAUUCACCGAUAUUGAUGGAUUUUCACGUUUUGAGCUUGUCCCUUCUGACUGGUUUGUAUUAGCCAGAAUUUCUGCAAAAGCGAAAUUAACUGUUAAACAGAACAAAGUGAUGCAAAAAACUUUACCUCCAAUAGAUAUGAUGAAAUACAUCCUUUCCUUUUUCAUCAGAAACAUGAUAUCAACUGCAGAACAAUAGCUACACACCUGAAAUGCACUUUAAGGCUUGGUUAUCCCAUUUGUAGUUGGAAUUGCAAAGACACCUUUUCUGAUCAUGCAUUGCAGUUGCAGCACAGCUUGAAUCUGGCCAAUCCUGACACCCAUUUGGUGAACUGCAGAUUGGCUCGAAUGGCGGGUUCCAACUUAUCUGUAUUCCUUGUUCAUGUUGAACAGAGGGAUGAUCACUGAAGGUGAGUGAUUCGUUGUAACACCAGUUAGUAACGCUAAAUGGCAACGACUGAUUAAGCUGCAAAACUCUGCCUACUGAAGUCCUGGCAGCACAAUUCUCAGCCCUUAGGCUAUUAACUUGGAUAACAAAUCUCCUGUCAUCCUUAUUUAUGUUAAUUACUUCAUAUCUAUUGUCCGAUGUAAAGAAGAAAAGUUGACCUGUGGAUUCAUCACAGGUGAAGCUUCUGUAUGAAGGAUCGCCACAGUUAGGCCCGGUGGCUAAUGGAUACGGUACUAUAUUUUUACCACAAGUCUGACAAUCACUGCUUGUUGUUUCUGCAAAGCAUAUCUUAACAAUAAUCAAAAAGCUUCUCAUGCAGACCUAACAGCUACUUGUUAUUACACAUUCUCAUGAAUUGGAUAUCUGUCAGUUUUAGUAGAAAAUAUCAUGCACAUAGUAUAAGUUACCAUAAUUCAAUCUGAUUGUGAAUGAGAAAUUGCGUAUAAACAACUGGCAUUGUAUGGAUCGUAUGUUGAUGAAAUAUUUUAAAGAAUUAUGUCAAGGAAAGGGUUACCUAUUGAUGAAACUGGUAUACGAAUUGAGAGAUUGUGGCCACCAUCAACAUAUUCCUGUAAAUAAGUAAGCACAGAAGUCCAAAUCAAGCAACUAGUUCCACUUCGAAUGUUAAAUCCAGCAUAACAGUAUGCCUGGCAUGCACAAUCGCUGAGACAGUUCUCCUGUCUGCACGUAUCCUCGCUGUCCGCAUCAGAUAGGCUGUCCGGUUCCCUCACUUUCAUCAACUUCAAAUUCAAGAAUGUGUCUGGUUUGGAGGUCUUAUUGCAUAUAGCCAUCUUCCUUUCACAACCGCCACUAAAAUCUCCAGUAUUCCAAGCAGCAGGAAAGACGGGCCUGAAUCCUGGCAGACAAUCACAAUUCAAACCCCCACUUUUGAGAUUACAGCUCCCAUAAUCACCACAAGGGUUAUAGACACUACAAGCAUCAUGGGGCUCCUUCCACAUCAAUGACCAUCCAUCCUGUUCCCGACCGUAAAACUGUAUCUCUCCAGAGGGAUUCAUCAACAACCUAGUAUUUGCAUAAGAAUCUAGUGCUUGCGAAUAGUUUAAGCUAGAAUUUGCUGAACCAGGAUUAUUUGAAGAAUAUGCACUGGAAGAUUUAUAAGUAGCCUGAUCAACACUACGGCUAAAAUUCGAUAAGAAGAAGGCCACAGAGUAAGGCAGUUCAUCAGAACCUGAUUGAUCACUUUUCCAGUGCAGUUCUGUUUUUCCCUUCAUGAUCUUGUGCAGCCUAUUUUCUUGAUCUUGCUCAAAUGUGAAGUUCCCAGUUGCAGGAUUGCCAAUAUCCAUCCAGGAAACCAACUUCAAACCUCCAUCCAUCUUCAUGCCAGGAAGAAAACUAUCAGUUGGUUCAGCAAAGCUUUGCCAUAGGAUAUUUCCUGAGCUCCCAUCAAUCAGUACCAAAUUCCCUGAAUCCAGCAGCUUCAGGGUCCUGUUAACAGGGCUAGAUCUUUCAAGCGUAGUAUUGAAAUAUGAAGUUCCCAUCUUAUCCACCAACUUGAGAUUGCCAUCUUCACCUAUGGAAAAGUUUCCAGGUACAUAUGGUAACGGUGCAUCUCUGUUGGCAAUCCAUACAACUGUUCUUGGACUCAAGUUGUAAUACCAUAUGCCUACGUAUCUUCCAGUAUUAAUGUUAUCUUCAGGAUCGAAGAAGCCCAGUUCAAAUCCUUUCCCAGCGGAUAUUAUAGUUGUGCCAUCACCUGGCAAUAAACUGUUAGAAGUGAUGGUGUCUCUUGCUACACAUGAUUGGAAGUUACUAGUCUCCAGUACUACAAGUAACAAGAAACUCAGAGAGAUGCCGGCAGGUUGCAUAUGGUUUUGCAGAUUAACAAGUGUUGGCCGUUUAAUGGACUAAACAGAAAAUUAAUCUCACUGAAUAACAGAGGAAUUGCUGUUUUGAUAGGACCAUGUUACGCAGGCAACGUGAGAUAUAUGGAGAGUUGGAGACUAUGCGCUGAAUCUUCAAAAAAGUUAAUUGACCAAUUAUUCUAACUUUCAAAUCAGGACGAGUAUGACAGCAUUUGUAAGGUUGGUGAAACCACAAAUCUGUGCAGUUCUCAAAUUUGUAGAGCCAAAAUUAAAUUGGGUUCACAAAAUAGAACUGUCUUCUAUAUUGUGUUAUUGCUAAAUUCAUCACCAUUCUUAGGACAAAAAAUCUCAAUAACUAUUAAACUAUUAUCCAUAUUGAUUUUUGCCCAUCAAACAAUUUUUCGUCAUAAAUUAAUUACUAAACUAAGUAAUGACCACACUCAUGGCCAUUUCAUCGAUUACUAUUCUUAAUCUACAACAUAAUUUUGACAAAAAAUACUCGUAAUGGACAAAUAUACCCUUGCAUUUUAACAUGUGUUCUGAUAAUUUUGUAGAUUAAAUGCAAUAAUCGAUAAAAUAACCAUGGAUGCACUGGUUAAUUAAUUUAGUUACUAAUUUGUGAUGAAAAAUUGUUUGAUGGUCAAAAGUCUAUACAAGGGACAAAUUUUUUGCCCCCAUUCUUAAAAUUUUAGUGAAAUAUCUAGUGUUGCAAUUCCCAAAUCCUAAUAGCCCUCGAUAGAAUUACUUUUUACAUUUGGUUAAAGUACUCAAUAAUACAUUGGAUAGCAACAGAAAGUUCAGGUACAGCCCACUUGCCAACUCACUCCUCAAAAGCCACUUACUUUUUUUUGUCAAAAAGCAGCUAGAAAUUUACUACUCCCUCCGUCCCACUUUGAUAGUUCUGUAUUCCUUUUUCAUCUGUCCCAAAUUAUAGUCCACUUUUCAAUGGAAAAAUGUAGUUGUAUUUUAAUUUUUCUAAAAUACCCUUAUUCAAUGUAAAUAGUUGUUACUAUAAAUCUACCUCAUUUAAUGAGAAUUGAUUCUUUUUUUACCAUCAAUUCAAGUUCCCAUAAAGUUGUGCCAUAUUUAAUGUGAGGGUAUUGUAGAAAAAUAGCAAUCUAAAUUUACUUUUCCAACAAAAUUAACUAUUUUUUUUAAACUGUGUGAAAAAAGAAACAGGACCAUCAAAGUGGGAUGGAAGAGUAGGAUUUUAUUUGUGACCUUUUAUAUCAAGCCACCCAAGGUGUUUCAUGGACGUGAUGUUUAUUAUUCUUUGCCCACAUUUUGGAGUACGGAACAAAUAAUUAGAGGUGGCAAGACGGAAAAGAAUAUUCUCCGAAUGUGUUGCAAAAUGCAAAGUCUUCUUCCUGCAAUAGUUACCAUUUCACAAUUAAUUUCUCUUUACGUCCAAAGUUGUAAGAGUAGAGAUGGCAUUGGGCAUUAUUAGAAAUGGCAAAUGGGGUAGAUGGACAGGAACAAAAAGUCUAUACUUCUGUUUAUUCGUCAUGCAACUGUUUCUCAAAAUAAAUAUUUUGUGUCGAAUUUCGUUUUAGUCUUUACCUUGAAUUAUUGGACCCAAAAAAUUAAUAAAUAUAUUAAUUUGAUAGGCCAAUAUAAGUUACUAAAUAAGGUGCUUCUAAUCACCAAUUCAAAAAAUUUUUUACCGUUAUUAUAUUUUUUUGUGUUAUAGCAACUAGCUAGACUUAUUUCUUUUUUUAAGAGUCUCAAUGCAUUCUACUUAUAGCAUUAAGGGAAAACAAUAGGGACAAACUAAUAUCUUCAAAUAAUUUACCCACAUUAGCAACAAUCAAAAGGAAAAAAAAAUUAUCACACAAAAAACUUGAGUGUCAAAGAGAGUCAACACAUGAUAUUCACUUAUAUGAUGAAAAGCAGGUGAGAACAUAAUAGGUUAGCAUCUGUAAGCAACCGAAACGGGAAAGCCUAUUGUUAUUACGUAGAAUAAGAGGAAACAGAGCCAAGGAUAAGACAAUCGAAGAUGAUGGUGAUGGCAGAUAAAGAAAAGAGAGAGAAUUUUCUCAUAAGGAAAAAAAAUUAGAUUAAAGAUAUUAAUAGGGGAAAAAAACAAUGAGGUAAAGAAAUUGAUGUGAUGUACCCUGAAAGUUUACUUGCAUUAAAUACAUAAUUUGAAAUUGUGUUUAUUUAGAAAAAAAAUUGUUUAGAAAUAAAAUUAUUCGUUACAAAAAUUCAAUAGAUUGGAUCUCAUGGGACUCCAAGUAAUAACCAAGUAUGCCCAUUUUUUUUAUUGAAAAUUGUUGAGUUUAAUUUCAUUUAAGCCCAAUCCCAUAUAUCAUAAGUCCUGUUUGAUAACCCAAUUUAACACUUCAACUUAAUGGAUUCAAAUCUUAAUAUGUUUAAACGCGUUUGAUAACAAAAAAUUGAACAUCUGAAUUAAUUAAGUGGCACUGAAUCUCUUAGGCAAAACUUGCUUCCAAAUAUAAGUCAUAAACUAUUUACUAAUUAUUGAAUGUGAUAUACAUUCAAAUAUAUUUAAUUUAAUACUUAACAAUUUAAUAAUUUAAUGGAUUCAUACUUCAGAUUUCAAAUUUCAGUGUUAUCAAACGCACCCUUAAACUCAUAAGCACUAGCUGGCUACGCAGGAGUUCUCAGAUAAUGCAUUGCACGGAAAAAUUAAUGUAGCACAUCUGAACAUUAAUAGUAACAGGAAUUAGGCAAUUAUGCAAAACUAGAUACACAAAAGUACUUUGAGAAAUAGAAAGCUAAUUCUACUUUGAUGUAAUAUUAGCCUGGAAGAAGUAAAAGUAUAUACUACUUCAGCAUUUGUGGUCAAACUAAAUAUAGCGAUUGCAAACAUAUGCUAGAGAUUGAAGAAAAGGAAUGGAUUGAAUUUUGCUUGCACAAGUUACUGGCAGCAAGAUUUCUUUUUUUGCCUUCUAGUAGUCCUUGGGUUUUGAUUUCAGUAGUGGCUGAGCCAGAAUGUACGAAAGGAAUGCAACUCGCGAAUAUUGAAAGUAAAUAUUGUGCAAGUCUUAUGAAGAGCAGACAUUAAAUUUUUCUAUAAGGCAAAAGUAAAGCAAGUGAAGUAAUAUAUAGGAGUAUUAGAUCAAGAACUUAGAGGGAGCAAGAGAAGGACUUCAAUGCAAAAGUGGUAAAAUUCCAUAAGAAUUAAGAGGAGCUGUUAAGAUUUAUUUUUAAGGGACUGAAGUGAGCCUCUUGCUACGUCUUUGGACUUGGAUCUUGUUUUUGUAGGUCAAAUUCUAAAGAUUUGAUAAAUGAAUGUCAGUUGUAGUGAUGAAUACAACGUGUACUGUGUCCAGUGGUCCUGUUCCUUCUUGAUCAAUCAAACUGUUUAUCGAUUCCUUUCCACAACUGUGGGGAGCUGAUAAUGCCAUAAUCACAAUUUUAAUGUCACAGCUAUUUUUAGUGAAAUGUAAAAACUACUUACUAAAUCUAACGGCAAAUGUAUAUUGGGACUCACUCAGACCAAUUGUCACCUCUAGCAUCACUCUUUUCUCCCUAUCUCUAAUGCUGCAAGCAACUUUUGUCUCUUACUCCAUCCCGAGUUAGCCUCAUAAUUAUAAUAUUAUUUUGGAUAAAAUGUAGAAAAAUUUCGUGUGGUUUCGCGGAAAGACAAUUGGCCAUUUUAUGAUUUCGAAAUGUCCACAUAAGUUCCUUGUGACGCGGAAUUAGACUUGCAACCUCAUUACCUACGAAUUAUGUAUAAUUUUUUUUCUUUUUAAUAUUCUUGUCCUUUUUUCAUUUUAUCUUCCUUUUCUUGUUGGUGUUGAAAUUUCCAUAUGGCUUUCUCUUUCUUUUGUUUUCUUUUGAUUUCACUUUGCCUAAACAUCUUGGGUACUUCUAAAAAUUUUAAAUUUUUUAGAGUAUUUUAAAAUUUUUAAAAAUUAUCCUCACCUUCCCACUCCUCUUUCCUCGCCGUCAUCCCCCUUCACCACCGUCUUCCCCCUUCUCUUCUCUUCCCCACCUCCUUUAGGAACGCUACACUACUAAUGAGUACAACUUGUGGGCUCAAGCCAAUUCUUGUUUUCUCGUCUGGGAUGUGAUUUACUUGAUGCAGCAGUGGCUAUGAGUGUAAAAAGAAUCGAGAGGAAUAAAGCAGAAAUGGCCCAGCAGUGUGCAAAGGUGCCAGCAGCUUGAUGGUCUUGUUAAUUGACAAUGAAAUUAGACUGCAAUAGAACCACUGCUCGCUAGAUAAAAAGUCAUAUAUGUGUCCAAUUAGAAAGGCACACAUCUUACACCUGAUCUACAACUAUUUAGACCGGUUGGUGGAAAUCACUUUCCAAUUCAUCAUGUGAUCGGAAGGAAAAUAGGGCUCACAAGUAGGGAUGGCAAAGGAGUAGGUGCCCGAAAGGGUAGAAAUGGGGCGGGAGCGGGAACAGGGCAAAAUAUUUCCCCCAUCUUAAAAUGGGGGUGGGGCAACACACAUCCGCCCCAUCCCCUGCCCGUCCCUACAUACAUUUAAAUAUAUAUAUAUAUAUAUAUAUAUAUAAUACAAUUCUAAGGUAAAUUCUGUAAUGUAUUCAUGUAAUCCAAAGACAGGUGUGGAAAGGUAAAAAAUAUGGUAAAGAAGCAGGCACGUGGAAAGGUAAAGAAUAUGUCAAAGAAACUGACAUGUACGGAUGAUGAAAGGAAUAUGUUUACAAAAGCAAAUUGUGACCUAUAACAGGCACGGGCCGGUUUAGAAAUAUUGUGUAUGGCAGAAGCUGAAAAUGUAUUAGGGUGUCACGGAAUUAACAUAUAUAUAAUGGGUCUAGAAAUAAAACACCGAAGAGGAAGCGUAAGCAGUACUAAACACAGUCAUGCUUAGUUUUGAAACAACGUAUGGACAUUAUUGAAUAACGAGUUGAGAGCCUUUAAAAAGUGAAACUUAAGAAAAUAAAUGUUUGAAACAUUAAGUUUUUUAAUUAUGUAAUCUAUUUUGAUUAUCGCUGUUCUAAUAUAUAGUCAUUUGGAGGAUUUCUAGAGCUGAAGUACUAAAUUCUUUUUGGACUUUUAAUAAAUUUGAGUUAUUUUUCUUUUGGUUUCUCACUUUUCUAACAACUUUUAUCUAACCUACUAAAUUUGAAUUAUUGAAAUUGAUUUUAAUUGUUAUAUUAGUAAAAUAUUAACAUUUGUGGAAACUGGGUUCAUGGGAAGACAGAUUGUUGCAUGUUUCAUAUUUAAUUGAAUACAAAUAUCUCUCCUUUACAUAAAGCGUCCAAGACUGAGGAAUAAUGGAUUCCAAUUGAUUCUCCCGAUUAUGGGUAUUACAUCAACAAAAUACUAUCUAUUUAUGGGCAUUUUACUCUGAAUAAUUACAAUUAUGUAAAAUAAAUAAAUAAAUGUUUAUAACUAACAUUGAAAAACUGUUACACUAAUAUUUUUGUGAAAGGUAAACUGAUUGUCCUGUAUUUAGCAUAAACUGAUUUUGAAAGUAAACAAUAAAUUGCCCAUAACAUACUUGCUCUUUAUAAUUUUUUUUGCAUUAUAUCAACAAAAUACUAGCUAUUUAUGGACAUUUAACUCUGAAUCAUUACAUUUAUGUAAAAUACAUAAAUGUUUGUAACUAAAAUUGAAAAAGUGUUACACUAAUAUUUUUACAAAAAGGAAACUAGUAAAUUUUGUAUUUAACAAUUUUUAAAUAUGUGAAAGUAAAAAAGAUUGCGCCCAUAACAUACCAGCUCUUUAUGAAUUUUUUGCAUUACAUUAACAAAAUACUAGCUAUUUAUGGGCAUUUUACUCUGAAUCACUACAUUUAUGUAAAAAACAUAAAUGUUUGUAAUUAAAAUUGAAAAAGUGAUACACUUAUAUUUUUACAAAAGAGAAAUUGGUAAAUUUGUAUUUAACAUAAAUUAAAUAUGUUAAAGCAAUAUUAAAGGUGAUUUUAUUAGUUACUUAAUUUGUUGGUAAGAAACAAAGCUUCUUUUGCAAAAUUUGUUCAUUAGAUUUUUCCAAAUAAUUAGGAUAUAAAGGUAAAUUUUCACAAUCUUUUGUUAGCAAUAGACCCCAAUUUCCUCCUAGGCAGUGACGAAACCAAGAUUUUUUCCUUGGAGGGAGGGCCAAAAUGAUUGACAAAUAAAAUUAUUUUAAUAUGUUAUGUUCAAAAUAAUUUUCAUCUAUUUAAAUAUAUGGCAUCCUAAAAUAUCAAAUAUUAACUUUAAUUAUAAAGGUAUGUCUAUUUAAUAAAUAUGUAGUAUAGUCAUAACUAAAAUUAAGAUAAGAAAUAACAUUUGAUUAAAUAUCUUAUAGAAAAAAAAUGCACUUUUCAUCCUCAAAGUUUCACCCCAAACAUAUUGCAUCCUCAAAGUUUCGUAAUUUUGGCCAAUUAAGGACAAUUGACGAGAAAUGAAAAAUUGAUCGUUAAAACCAACGAUUUUACCCAACAAAAAAUGGACAAAACCGAAUGAAGCCAUUUUUAAAGGAAUAGUUGCAACGGACAAAAAGGUCAAUUCUUCUCCUUCUUCCCUCUGGCUUUCUGCAACUCCAAAAUGUUUUUGCCAAUUUUUGGAGUUUUAACGACCGUUAUACAACUUUCAAAACAAAUAAAUUCAUUCUAAAUUUUUAUUUGGGAUUAUUUCAUAAACCAAAUCGUGGUCAUUUUCCGUAAAGUAUCACUUUCCCAUAAAAGACUAGCUCUUUAUGGCUUUUCUCCAUUAUAAGAACAGAGUACUUAUUUUUUCAUAAUUAAAUUUAUUUAUCAAAUAAAAUAAAAAUAAAUCCAUUUUCUAAUAAAAGACUAGCUCUUUAUGGCUUUCCUCCAUUAUAAGAACAGAGUACCCAUUUUCUCAUAAAUAAAUUUAUUUAUCAGAUAAAAUAAAAAUAAAUCUAUUUUUCAAUAAAAGACCAACUUUUUAUAACUUUUCUCCAUUAUAAGAAUAGAGUACCCAUUUUUUCAUAAAUAAAUUUAUUUAUCGGAUAAAAUAAAAAUAAACCCGUUUUUUAAUAAAAGAUCAGCUCUUUAUGACUUUCUUCCAUUUUAAGAACAGAGUACCCAUUUUUUCUCAGACAAAUUUGUUUAUCAGAUAAAAUAAAAAUAAACCCAUUUUUUCAAUAAAACAUCAGCUCUUUAUGACUUUCCUCUAUUAAAAGAAUAGAGUACUCAUUUUGAAGGCAAAAAGGAAUUUGUUUAUCGGAUAAAAUAAAAAUAAACUCAUUAAUGUCAAUAUUGAGAUAUAGCAAAAUGCUAGCCCACCUCUCAAUGUGAUUUUCAAUGGGAUAAGAUUUGCACAGUACAUAUAGCAAAUUGUCAUAGCCCCUGUUCCUUCACAUGUGUGUAGAGGCGGUAAUUGUCAUGGAUUGCUUACAACUUAUUCCCGCCAAACCUUUUCUUAUAAUGGAGUUUCUGAUUUUAUCCAAGUAAUAAAUUACUUCAGUGAAAAAAGGAAAAAUAGAAAAUUCAUGGAGGAAAGUCACAAAGAGCUGGUGUUUUAUUGGAAACCAUCGACCCCUUACCAAAGACGAUCAAAUGCAGCUAAAUGAUUUUCUUGCAAAAAAGUUGCCGAAAGCAGCUUUGUGACUGUAGUUGCUACUUUUUUUUUCAACCAUUUUUUUAGCAAGAGGUAUCAUUAAUGUCAAUAUUGAGAUAUAGCAAAAUUUGUAUACGAAAUAACAAACCAAUUUGUCAUUACAAAUACAAAACGAGCAAUAAUAUAUUACAACCAAUACUAUCAACAGUACAAAGCACAAAGAUACUCAAAUCAAAUUCUAAUUGGGCUUUAAUAUGUACAACCAAAAUUGCUUAGGAUAACAAAUGCUAAGAUAGACCCUGUGCCAAUAUACAAUGAAUAUCAUGUUUGCAUUAAUUGGCGAAGUCCAUAAUCGAAGUAGCUUGUAAGAGCUUCAUAGCCAUAUCAUGUUUGCUCUCCUCCACCAUUUUUUAUUUCUUCAAUUACAUGCGUAUCCAUUUCUGAAUAAACCAAAGCACAGAGUCAAAUACUACUAGAGAGACGCGACUACAUAUAUAAACCUCCUUGGAGGAAAAGAAAUACUCUGUACAGAUUAUAAAUCAAAUGAAAAUGACAUUUUACAUUUCUAUUGGUCAGAAACUUUUAGUGAAUAUCAAAUUUUGGUUCAAGACUAUUAAAAGGACCGGUUACCUGAGCUGGGUGAUGGUGUUUCAUGUCUUCUCGAGGUCUACUAACAAUGUCUUGUUCAUUCCUCGAAGAUGAUGAUUGACCACCUGAUGGUGAUGCUGCAUCCCCUCAGGUUGAAGAAAGUGGGACUCUCAUGAUUGUUCAAAUCAAAUGCAGCUUUGUUUUCACUUGGGUCAUCAAACACAGAGAUUCUGGGUUCAAAAUAUGGAGAAUCCAACGUUAUCUCUCCUUGUUUACUCAGGAAGUUAAGAUGAGGAUCACAUUGAAUAAGCUUUUCGAAAUGCUUUCCCAACAAGUCUUGUCGACACUGCAGAAAAUGACGCCUGCUAGAAAUCCCAGAAAAAAUGCCAAUCAACGGUGAGUUAGACCAUUGCUGUAUUGCACUUAGACUCCAGAGAUUGAGCAAAACAACGAAAAGAAAAAACUGUCACUUUAAAAAAAAAAAAUUAGAGCAUCUCUCAUCUCUUAAUACCUUUAGUAUCAAAAAGCUACCAAAUAUAUUUCAAAUGUCCAAUUCGGGAUUACCCUUCUCCCCUGUUUCUUCUCCCCCACCCAAUUAAAAAAAAAAAUCAUCUCUUUGGUGAUAAAGGGAGAAAUGCUAAAAGCACAGAAGGCUAGAAUAGAGUAAGUCCAACAAUUGAUUCAGUCGUGAGUCGCUGAUACUCAUAAAAGUCAGCAUUUCUCUCUAAAAGCUCGUAAGAUAGGAACUUGGAAGUCAACAUCAGAGAAGAGAGGUGUAUGCAGACUAUUGUUCAGAUACAUCUGCGGUCAAGGCAGUAUAGAUGUGGUGAUAACAAAUCGCUAUCUAUAUAAUGCUGAGAUGUUACUGAGAAAGUCAAAGAACCACCUAAGAAAUAACAAAUUAAUGAAGUAACUCAAAUGGUACAAAUCAAAAUGUGGGGGUGGAGAACAAAAACUCCUUGCUACAUAAAUAAACAAAUAGGACACAUACAGUACGGAACAAGUAGCUUGUUGCCUAAAAAGUGCCAUUUAAAAAUGGCAACACAAUAAACUCGUGAAUGAAUGAGAGAUUACCAUACCUUUGUAUGCUGGCUUGACCCCCAGUAAAAUCAGAUGUUGCCUACCACAGGGUAUGCUUCCUGGGCUGUGGAUUUGUCUGCCUAAAGAAAAGAGGUUGUCCUGCAAGCUACACCAUUAAAAAGAAAAAACAUGUUUUCACUAUAAAAAGUUCAUAAUAACAACAUACAAAGUAAUUAACAAAGACACAGUAAGUGUUGCUAAUACCACUACAUCCAAAGUCCCCGGUCCGUCAUCAGGAUAAUUCGCCUUCAAAGCCAUUAUAUCAGACCAUUGAAUUUCAAUCUUAUUCUUGAGCCCGCCAUCAAGAACCUCCCGUACAAGCUUAUGCUUUGCAAAAUAACACUUUGCUACCAAAUCCCCUCCAUAUCUUGACUUAUACUAGAAAUUAGAACAAAGACAUGCAAUCAAAAUUAACGAAAUCACAAGCAAUCCAAUAAAACAAGUUUCUAAAAUCCAUGAUCCAAUGCAAAUGUAUAAAUAUACCACCCGGGUCCCAAUUCGCAGAAUAGUUGCUGGAAAAUUUGAAGCCUUGAGCUUCUCAGAGGAACCAGAAGCAGCGGCCCCUUUAAGCUCUUUUUUACUGGAACUUUCACCCUUAGGUGAGAUAGCUUGAGAAAGCCUCAUUUGGAUCAAUUCCAAAAGGGAAGGACUUUUCCUCAGCCUCAAUCCCAAUGGACUCGGCUCAUCUAAUGGGUUAUACUGAGCCAGCGGUGCCACCGGAAAGCCACCCACUUCCCUACUUCCCUGCUGCUACAGCCAAACCCCCCUGAAAGUACAUCAGAAAUUGAACUUUCCAAUCAUACAGACAAGACCACAUAGAAUAAAACCAGGAAAAAAAAAUCCAAAAUUCACACAAACUCUUAAAAACUGAUAGAUGUUCAAGAUCCAAUUUUGACGGGCCGUUUUCAUUUUGCCUUCCAGUAAGACCCAUUUCUCUACUCUAACUGAGAUAAGCAUUUCACUCUAAUCCACUGAAGUAGAAGUCUACAAUUUCAAAAAGUUUAUCUUGCGAUUGUUAAAUUGACCAAAAAUGCAAGAAAAAGGCAAUUGACAAAACAGAGAUGAAAAUAACAUAUUAAAAAACCUACACCAUCGCUUUUCCUUGAAGUCUGCCAUUGCAUCGGAAGGGUCUUUAAAGUGUGUCCAUGAUUGUAUAAAUUCAGAUCUAGAUGCUAGAGAGGAAGAGAGGAACCAUAUGUCUACGGGAAACUGAAAAUUGAUAGAGAGGGAAAGAGGGAUAGAAGGAGAAAGGUGCAGGGAAGGUUGCGAUUGAACUUUCAAGUGCUCUGAUCUGAGAACAAUAUUUGGGAAAGUAGCCUUGCAAGUAUGGAAGGCUUGGAAUUCAUGUGGUGCUAGGCUUGACAAGUGCUGUGUUGGGAAUGGUUAAAAAAUUUUCACUGUGCGGCUCUGCUAAAAAUUGGAAGGGAGCAAAAUUUUGAAAUUUUCACAAAAAAACACCCAUGAUUUCUCACCAAUAACAUAGAAACUUUGGCCCACUAGAAUCAGUAUUUGGAGGGAAGCUUUCCCGCGCUCCUUUUGGCGAGAAUUUUAAGCGAAAAAGUCCUUGCCGCUAAUACCCUUUUUUUUGUUGUGAACGGAGGAAAAAUCAUAAAGAACUGGUAUUUUAUUGAAAAAUAUAUUUAUUUUUUCAUUCGAUAAAUAAAUUUAUUUAUGAAAAAAUGGAUACUCUGUUCUUAUAAUAGAGGAAAACUAUAAAGAGCUUGUGUUUUAUUGAAAAACAGGUUCAUUUUUAUUUUAUUCGAUAAAUAAUAUUUUUUUUAGAAAAAUGGGUACUAUAUUCUUAUAAUGGAGGAAAGUCAUAAAGAACUGGUUUUUUAUUGAAAAAAGAGUUUAUUUUUAUUUUAUUUAAAACAAAUUUAUUUAUGGCAAAAUGGAUACUUUUUUCUUAUAAGGGAGGAAAACCAUAAAGAGCUGAUGUUUUAUUGAGAAACGGGUUCAUUUUUAUUUUUUCGAUAAAUAAAUUUUUUUUAUCCGAUAAAUAAAUUUAUUUAUGGCAAAAUGGGUACACGGUUCUUAUAAUAGAGGAAAGGCAUAAACAGUUAGGAUUUUAUUGAAAAAUGGGUUUAUUUUUAUUUUAUCUGAUAAAUAAAUUUUUUUUUUUUUUGGAAAAUGGGUACUCUGUUCUUAUAAUGGAGAAAAGUCAUAAAGAGUUCAUUUUUUUUUUUAUUGAAAAACAGGUUUAUUACAAUUUUAUUCCAGCCAACUGUGACCCAUUUUCCCACUAGCCUAAGUUAAACAGGCUAAAUCAUUGAGUUUGUUAACCACAAUCAAAAUUAACACAGAAGCAGCUAACUCAAAUCACUCAAUCCUUUAUGGCUUAUACCAAAUGAAUACUAGGAAGCUUAUUUGAAAUAACAAUAAAAUAUUUUAUAAAUGAUUAAAAUUUAGUACAUUAGUUAGUAAGUACUCGUAACAUACUUGUAUAAUGAAUGAUUAUAUGUAUAAUUUAAUAUUCUUUUGUACUUAUAUAUUUUAAAAUAUUUUGUGAAAAAUAUUUUGACCUUUCACAUAACCUUAGAAAAUAAUAAAAUUUUAUCGUAUUAUAAAAUAAUAAUUUUAUCUUAUUAUAUUCAUAGGUGUUAAGUUAUAAAAAUUAUGAUAUAGAAACAAGUGAUAUUCUACAUGUAACUAGGAAGAUUUGUUGUUAUUAUUAUCUAAACUUUCAAACUUUUCAAAAAUUGAAAAUGAUUACAAACUUACUUUUCUACAAUUAGUAUAAUUUGUUAAUUAGCCAAAAUUCUAGCAAAAGACAAGCAAAUGCAACUUGUAAUCAAUCCAUUCUGAUGCAUGUAAAAAUAAGGUAGCAUUGUGCAAAUAAAUAAAAAAAUCCACUUUAUAUAGUUCAUUGUGACAAUCAGGCUUAUCCCCACUUUUGUUUGAGUUUUGAUUAUAAUGGAUAUAACCUAUUCCCUCCAAACCCCAAAUUUUGAAUUAUAACAUUCAACCAAAACAUGCUCAAACUCUCAGGCUCGGUCAUACAAGGACAACUAGUGUGAAUAUUCGUACUACGCACGGUGCUUACAUUAUUAAAAUAAAUUAAAAAAUUAUACCAUUUUAAUUUGAAAAAAGUUAAAAAAAUUAUACCAACAUAAUGAAAAUUUAAGAUUUGUCUAACAAUAGUUCAAAGUAUGACAAAAACUAUAAAUCAUUCAAGAAUUGUGUUUUUGCGGAAGAUGGAUCUUAAAAUAAUAAUAAUAAUUUAUAUUAGAAAAUGAAUAAUAUAUGGAUAGAAAUAAAUGUAAUUGCAUGUUUUAUUUGAUUUUAAAAUGGAAUACUUACCAACAUUAUGCAUUCAAUUUGAUAAUCUUGUACAAAGGUGCGAACAUUUUUUACACCAAUCAACUUUUAGUAUGAAAAAUAAUAUUGGUGGUUUAAUCAAUUCUAUUGAAUUUUGAAGAAUUCGUACUACAAAAAAAGUUCAACAAGACUUGUAUUUUUUUUGAAGUGAACUUGCUGAAUCUUUUUAAAAUAUUUCAUUGGGAUCACUAUGGUGUGAGAUUCGCUUUGUGAUUAGUUUUUUUUUUCCUUUGUAAUUUUGUAGGUUUGAAAUUAAGAUGCCAUUGAAAUCAAUAAUGGAACCAAUGGGGGCUAAUGGAGGUCAUAGCCCUCCUCCCCAAGUUUUAAAAAUUUUAAUUCAUAUUAUAUAAAUAUUUGUGUAAAAUAAAACAGGUCCUCCAAAUUUAUUAUAAUUUUAGUUUAUAUUAUCAGAAUAUAUAUAAGUAUAUAUGUGUGCGCGUGUGUGUGAAAUAAUUACAUUUGGGUGGGAUCACCAUAGUGUAAAAUUCAUUUUGUGAUCAGUUAUUUUCUCUUUUGUAAUCUUGCAGGUUUGGAACUAAGACGCUAUUGAAAUUUGUUUGGAUAGAGUGUUAUUUAAAAUAUUAUUUGAAAUAAUUACAAUAGUACUUUUUGUGAUAUGAUGUAUGUGAGAUUAGGUGGGUUGAACAAUGUGUUUAUGAUGUAAGUAAAAUAUUAUUUGGAAAAAUCUGCUAUCCAAACACUCCCAAACUAAUAGGGGCUAAUCGGGGCCAUAGGUCCCUUCUUCCCAAAGUUUUAAAAAUUUAAAUUCAUAUUGUGUAAAUAUUUGUGUAAAAAAAAGUUAGCCCUCAUAAUAUUUUUAUAAUUUUAGUUUAUAUUAUGAGAAUAUAUAUAUAUGUAUAUAUGUAUGCGUGUGUGUGUGAAUUAGCUACCUUUGAAUUAAUUUUUUAUUAAAAAUUAUUUAUUUUUUAAUCCCUUUAUAAUUUGUGAAUGAUUGUGAGAGUAAAUUAUAUUAUGACAAUAAGAUACGUUGAAUUGUGAAAAUUGUAAUUUAAACAGGUUACUAAAUUUUGGAUAUUUGACUUUUGUAGUUGCGAAUUUCUUAAAUUAAAGAUUAGUUAUUACUAUCAGUGAUAUAAUAAGUGUCAGUAAUAAAUGUGAGAUGUGAAUUGAAAUUUGCAGCUAUCAUUUUUCAGGAGUGGUUAUUAUCUGUUAGUUAAUUUUAGGAGUUUGAAUUUUAUGGAGUAGUGGAAAAAAUGUGAGGGAAAUGUGGGAAAAAUAUGAGCAUGAUUAUAGGAUUUGUAGGAGCGGUUACAUGAUUAGUUAAGAGAUAAACAUUUUUUAAUUAUAAAAAUGUAAAAUUCUAUUAAAAUAGCAUUCAAACUUUUGACAAUUUUGGAAGCUCCUUAUCCAAAAUCCCCGCAGCAAUACAUAUAGAUAUACUAAACGAUAGUUAUGGUAGCGAAAUAGUUUUUACCUAAUAUAACAUGUUGUUGCACUUUUAGCGAUCAUUUGAUUUAUUGUUGGACCUAUUCACCUAAAUUGAAUAACACCUAAAAUUAUGGAAGUAAGUUUCCUAUCUAAAAUAGUAAGUUAAGCCUAAUAAAUUAGUAACUUUUAUACCUCAAAAGGUAAAUUGGAAUAAAUAUUAAACUUAAUUUUUAAAUAAAUAGAUUACUAUUUUAUAUCCCAAACUUACUUUUAAAUGAGUAAGUUUAGUUCAAAUAAUAGUAAGUUUUUAUACAUAAAUAGUAAUUCUUACUAAUAACAUGGUAAUAAAAAUGAUUAAGGAUCAAAAUUUACCAUUUUUUGGAAUACAUGUACAAUUUUUACAUUAAAACCUUAUCUCAAAGUAGUAUUAGAAAGUUUAUUUGAAAUAAUGAUAAGAUGUUUUAUUAAUGAUUAAAACUUAGUACCUUAGUUAGUAAGUAUUCAUAAUAUACCUGUAUAAUAAAUAACUAUGGGUAUAAUUUAACAAACCAGAUUUACGAGUCUUAUUUAAAAUAAGGUAAUAUUUUAUUCAUUAUAAAUUUAACACCUGAGAUUGGAAUCCAUAAUUUAUGGGUUAAUUACAUUUACCUCCCUUGAAAUUUGACCAAAUAACGAAUCGAUCCAUGAGAUUUGGACAAAUAACAGUCCACCCUUUUGAAUAACCAGACAUUUAACAAUUAUCCCUCUGCUGUUAAGAGACGUUAGUGAUUCUACUUGACAUCAAGAAAAAUAAAAGGGUUAAUUACAUUUACCUCCCUUGAGACUUGACCAAAUAACGAAUUGAUCCCUGAGAUUUGGACAAAUACGUUAUUUUAAUUUUCAUAAAUUUGUUUAAAUAUGAAAAAUUGGUUAAAUAGCGCAUUAAAUACAAAACCUGCCAGUUUCCAUAAAGAGCUGGUAUGUUAUGGGCAAUUUCUUUUUUUUUUUUUUUAACUUUCACAUAUUUAAUUUAUGUUAAAUACAAAACAUACUAGUUUUUUUUCGACGCCAUUUAACCAAUUUUUCCUAUAAAGAACUAGUACAAAAUAUACUAUAAAACCUGCCAAUUUUCCAUAAAGAGUUGGUAUGUUAUGCGCUAUUUAACCAAUUUUUCAUAUUUAAGACUCAAAAUUUCAACUACGUUAUUUUAAUUUUCGUAAAUUUCAAAUAUGUUAUUUUAAAAAGCGCAACUUUCAAAUACGUUAUUUUAAUUUUCGUUAAUUUGUUUAAAUAUAAAAUUUGGUUAAAUAGUGCAUUAAAUACAAAACUGCCAGUUUCCCAUAAAGAGCUGGUAUGUUAUGAACAAUUUUUUUUUUAAACUUUCACAUAUUUAAUUUAUGUUAAAUACAAAACAUGUGCUAUUUAGUGAUUCCACUUGACAUCAGGAAAAAGAAAACUUGGAAUGAUGAAAUUGCUUUUAUUGUAUCCAACUGUCAUCAAGAUUAAUUAUAUAGUUUCGAAAAUACCCUUUUCAUUAAAAAUAUAUGUAUAAUAUUGGGAUUAUAAUUCUUAUCAUUCACAUCCCAAUCACGUUUGACUUGCCUACCUUUAUCUGUACAAAAAGAGAGAAGAAAAAGACUUCCCCAUUUUUCCCCAAGUUUAACGAGCAAAAAAUUCAAAAUAAAUUGGUUAAAUAGCGCCCAAAGAAAAACUAGUAUGUUUUGUAUUUAACAUAAAAGCCCUCAGGGGCUUGGUCUGGUGGUUGAGAUUGCUGAAGAUGGAGCCUCAGGUCCCUGGUUCGAACCUUGCUGCCAGCAAGUUGCUGAGGGUGGUGAAUAGUCUGCGGGGUCCACUCCCUGCGGGACACACCUAAAAAAAAAAACAUAAAUUAUUUUAGGCACUUCACAUUUCACCUUUACACUUUGGAAUCCCCUCAACUUUUCCUAUCCCUUUUCCACUUAACUUCAAUGCCUAACAAGUCUUCAGGUUCUAGGUCACAAAAGACCUUUACACUUGUCUAUCCAAUACACUUUCCCUACCAUUUGUGGCCACAAUCAUACCGCAGCAACUUUCUACACCUCUUCUCUAAUUCCUAAACAUACCGCAGCAACAUCCACAAUUCUAAAUUUCCAGUCUUACCUCCUCAAUUACAAAGGUCAAAGCUGGUCUUUAAGCCGCACCGCCGCAAGCAACAAGCCGACAACUAAAAGAAUUGAAUCAGUUCCCUGAAAGAAUUGGAACUGAAAAUUGCAGUAGGCCGGUGGCCAUUGAUUUUAUGCCAAUAGUAUAAUAAUGCUUUCAAUUAGUGAACAGAUUAGGCAGCUCGUUCCAUAUCUUCCGAGUUCUGUUUGACAAGCAAAACCGAGAACCCAUUGUUUGACUUUGUCGAGCAUAUCCAUUUGCAUCAGCAUCCUUUCAAGAAUGGCCAACUGCAAACGAUAGAGCAUCUUUAAGCUACGACAAUCAAAGUGUGCUACUUCUGAUUCUGUUCACUAGUUUUCAGUAGGAUGGUUGUGCUUAUGUUUUUAGUGCUAUUUUUCUGAAACCAUCUCAAGCUUUUGUUUCUGGCUGGAUUUUGACAUCUCUUGUGUAGCACCUAUUUGAGACCACAUUUCAGUGGUUCGAUGAUAUUCUCUAGGAUUCACUAGCAGGCUAUUUCCUUGUACUAGCGGCUGCAUAUUCUUCUCCUUGGACUAUGUUUUUUUUUCCCUUUUUUCUUUUUUUUUCUUUUCAAGUAAAUCACUUCUUCUUCUUCUUUUGGUAAGUCGAUUUUUUUCCCGUGGAGGCCGCAGGAGAAACGGGACUGGGGUGGGGGGGCAAGGGACGGAGGACGAGGGGAGUUAUUUGACAACAGAGCGGAAAACAGGGGAAGGAUCCCCCGUCCCACCCCCGCCCCAUUGCUAUCCCUGCACACAAGUUCUAUUUCACCUAAAAGCUGGUGUGAAUUAACAAUUUACUCUCAAUCUACACCAAAUUGCUUUGACUUUAUACUAAAUGAUAAUAAUUAGCUUAUACCAAAAUGUACCUAAUUUAUUUCAAAUAAUAAUAAAUCAGCAUACACUAAGGUGUACCUGAUUUACAUCAAAUCAAAUCUAAUUCGUACAGAAUUUCUAUUGAUUUAUACAAAAAAAAUCAACUUAUGUGAAAUUACACGAAAUACAAAUUUAUGAGGGUCCAGAUCAAUGUUUUAAAAAUCGGACCGUUAAUUGAACCGGUGAAGUGAAAGGGUCAAGGUUCAAUCGGUCGGACCGGUUCAAUCUCGGUUCAAUGAAUUUUUUAAAAAAUAAUUUAUAUAAAUAUAUAUAUGUACAAAAUAAGACAUGUAAUGGACUAAUUUAAUAUUUUAUAUGAUGAAAAGUUUACUAUUUUUUAAUAACUUGGAUUUUUAAAAAUAAAUUUUUUAAAUUAUAAGUUAAAACAAAUAAAUUUCAUCUCAAUUUCAAUUAUAUCUAAAUCCAACCCCAAAAUAUCACAAUAUUUUGAAAUUAUACAAAAUUCAUGUAUCUGAGAAUUUAGAUAUUAUGAAUUUAAAUUUUAAUUUACGUUUUGAGAUUUAGAUAUUGCAAUUUAAAAAAGAAAAUUUGGAAUUCGAAGGAAAUCAAGAAAAUCGAAAAUAGAAAUGUAAACUUGAUAAGAAACAAAAAAUAAGAUAAAAGUGAGUGGUUGUGGCAUUAAAUAAUUUGAGAUAAAAAAAUUCUUUUUUAACUUUUUUCAAUUUAAUGGAUAAAAACAAAAUUAAAAGAUGGAAGAAAACAUUAAUAAAUUAAAAAUAAAGAGGUUUGAUUAAAAAGGGAGUGACAAAAGAAAAGAUGAUAGAGAGAGAGAGAGAGAGUUGAAAAUUAAAAAGAAAGAGCCAUGAGGGGAUGAGAUUUUGUAAGAAAAAUGGAAAAAAGAAAUAUGAGUAUUUGCUUUAUAUAAAUAAGUUAUCAAAAAAAACUAAUAAGAUGUGAUGGUGCAACGGUUAAUACAUUGGUCUUUUAUUACAAAGGUCUUGGGUUCGAAUCUUGAUUGUUGCAUUUUGCAAAACUAAAAAAAAAAAAAAAAAAAAGGGAAAGCUGAAAACCGAAAAAUCGCCGGUUCAAACCGGUUCGGCAGUUUUCACGGUUCAACCGAUCUUUGACCAGGUUUCUAGCAAAGUCAACAAUGUCAUUGAAUCGGACCGGUGCCAUGGCUGGUUCGCGUUUCAACCGGUCGAACCGGCCGGUCCGGUCCGAUUUUCAAAACAUUGCUCCAGAUAGGUGGUCGGAACCUGGACAGAUUGAGACGGCCACUUCCUAGCCGUCGAGGAUACGUAGCUUUCUUGUAUUUGGCCCACGUAAAUGCUUUGUAAAAAGUUGAGGGUCUUGUGGUGACAGUCACCAUUUCGGGAAUUGGACCGAUCUCUGCACGAAGUAAGGAGGAGAAGGUCUCGGUCACCGGCUGCAGUAUUAAAUACUCAACAAAAGUUUUGGUUGCCAAGGUAUAAAAGCAAAAUCUUACACUUACUUGUGAUUAACUUGAUAAUCUUGCUCCUUAUUUGCUUGAAUAACCCAUAAAAGUAUGAGACCUUUCUCUCAUAUAUAUCCACCGACAGUCAAGUUAGUGAAGGAAAUAAGUGGGGAGUAUGUUUUUUAAUAACAAAUGAAGGAAGGAGAAGAAGAUUUUUUUUUUUUUAAUCUUUGCUUUAGGUUGCGUAUUUAUACUUGCUUAUUCACUUGUAUCAUAAACAUAUUUUUCAAUUCACAUAUUUAGGCCCUGUUUGGAUUGCAUUUUCUGUCAUUUUUCAUGGAAAAAUUACUGUAGCGAUUUGAUGUAUGUGAGGAAAAAAGCUAAUAGGGAAAUGUGAUCACGAAAAACGACGUAAUUUUCUGGCAAAAAAUGGCAAUCCAAACAGGGCCUUAUAUUUUCAACCACUUUUUUAUCUCACAUGCAUUAUAUCAUAAAAAGUGUUACAAUAAUUAUUCCAAAUAAUUAUUUGAAAUAAUACUCUAUCCAAACAAAGCCAAUAUAGCAUGCCUUUUAUUAUGAAAGUACCUAUAUUCUUUUGUUGUUUUGGAUUCAAAAGAAAUUCAAUUUGUUUCGUGUGAAUUUCCAAAAAACAAUUUUGAAUAAGUUUUAACUAAUUUGGAUAUUUCGUUAUUUGUAGGGAGAUAGAUUGGAAAAGGAAAUUAGACAAGAUUUGUUGGGUUGGUGACGAGCGCUUGUCUUGAAAUGCCAUUCGAAAUGGUGUUAAUUACUUUUCUUUGCUUUUUGACUUUAAAUUACCCAUCUACUUCUUUUGCAACUCUAAAAGGUGCUCUAAAAAGUAGUCUAAAUUUUUUUAAUAUUUAAAAAAUAUUUCAAAAUAUAUUUUAAAAACUCUACUAUUCUUAAAUAUUCCAAAAUAUUUUCUAAAAAUAUCCCAAAAUAUACUCUUAAAAACUCCGUUACAGUAAAAUUUUUCAAAAACAUCCCUCAAAACAGCUAAUCCAAACGGAGCCCUUUGUCAUUGUAUAAUUAUUUGCUAUACUUUAUCAAAACUUGCUGUAUAAAUAAGGUUAUAAACUCAAGAUAAUGAAUUUUCAUUAUAAUGGACAAUGAUACAUAAAAUAAAUACAGUUCUCUCACGCGUUAAAUCUAAUCACUAUCAUACAAUUAGAAGUCAUAUAUUUUUUUCCAAUAAACGAAAUUAGUACUUUUAUAUAUUAAUACUUGAUAGUAUAAGAAUUAGUUACAAAAAGGACCAACUGCUCUCAUAUCUUUUCUAGUAAUAUCCAUCGGCCAUACAAGAAACUCAUUGUCCCAUUCUAUUUUAUGUACUAACUUGAGUGCAUUUUGAGCUUAGCGUAUAGCUACACAAAUUACCUGCUCCAUGCACAAAGGAGAAGUUGCAGUGUUCAAAAUAGCAAACUACACAAUUAAUAGCAAACUAAACAAUUAGUGCCCCGAGAAACUAAUUUUUAAUUCAAUAUUAUUGCUCGGAAUUGUAUUUAUAUGUUAAUGCCCUCUAUUCCACAUAGGGGUGAGCAGAUUCAGUUUGUACCGAAUUCAUAAUUGAUUUCAAAUUUAAUUCGGUAAUUUAAAAUCGGGUAUUUGAUAAUUCGAUAUCAAUUCGGUACAUACCGAAUUCACCGAAUUCUAAUAUGAUAUAAAAUAGGUAACGAGAUUAUGAAUUUGGUAAUAACCGAUUUCGAAUUCAAAAUUCGGUAAUUGAAAUCGGGUACCGCAUUACCGCGCAUUCGAAUACCAAAUUGAUAUAUAAAAUUAUAUAAUAUAUAGAUAAAUGCUAUUUAGUAUUAGUAUAUACUACUAAUACUUUAUUGUAUUAUAUAGGUAAAUGAUUAAUAAUAAUUAGUAAAUGAUAUUAUCAUCAUAUCAUGUACUUAUAAUACUUAUAAUAUAUAAUAAUGUACAAUAUAUUUAUAUUAUUUUAGUAUUUAUUAAUUGUUAUAUGACUACAAUAAUGCAUAGUAAUACAUUACAAUAUAAGAUAACUAAUUAUUUUAUACAUGAGUAACAUACUAACAUGACUAGAAUUAGAUAAUAAUUAAUACAUAUAUGUAUAAUACUAAAUAUUAAACAAUAAACAUAAUUAGUAAUUAGAAUUUAGAUAUUGGUAAUUUGAUACAUCAUUCAUAUUUGAAUUAUUGAAUAUUUGAAUGCAUAAUCUAUAACUUGCAAGUAUUAUUGUACUCUAAAUUUACAUUACAUAAUUACUAAUCUUAAGGCUUUAAGUAUAGAUAAGACAACUAAGCAGUGUAAGUGAAUGUAUAUGAAAUGCACAUCAAUGUAUUAGUAUAUUGACUUUCACAAUAACAUAUGUAAGUAAAUAAGUUUAAUUUUGAUUUGAAAUAAAUUAUAAAUUUGUAACUAACAUAACUUAUCACUAAUAAUUGUAAUUUGUAAGUUUGUAACUAAUAUUACUUAGUAUUAAUCAUUGUAAAUUAUAAAUUCAUAAAUUAUUACUAAUCAUUGUAUAGUCUAAGGUUUAUUCUAGUUUAAAUUAAUCACUUUUUAUGUGUUCCUUAAAUCAUAGAUUAAUGAUUGUAGGUAUAAGUGAUCAAAUAAGUUAAAAUUUAUAUUAUCUAUUUACUAAUCUUAAGGUUUUAAGUAUAGACAAAAUAACUAAACAGUGUAAGUGAAUGCAUGUGAGUUGCAAAUCAAGUAAAUAAGUUUUAUUUUGAUUUGAAAUAAAUUAUAAGUUUAUAACUAAUGUAACUUAUCACUAAUCAUUGAUUCAUUGUAAUUUGUAAGUUUGUAACUAAUAUUACUUAUUAUUAAUCAGUGUAAAUUAUAAAUUCAUUAUAACUUCUAACUAAAUUAGUUUAAAUUAAUCACUUUUUAUGUGUUUCUUAAAUCAUAGACUAAGGAUUUUAGGUAUAAGUGAUCAAAUAAAUGCGAAUUAAACCACAAAAUGAUUUGAACAUAAGUAAUGUGUUUAAUUAUGAAUAAAUUUGGGGAUCAAAUCAGUAAUAAAUGUUUAAAUCAUUGAGGAGCAUAAUGAAUGUAUUAUAAUUUAGGAGCCCCAAUUUAUAAAUUAAAAAUUACAAAAUCACUUCAUUUGGGAAAAUUCGGAUUUCAUCUUCAGCUGAUGAAAAGUGAGAAAACAACCAUUGCAAAUUUGCAAUAUUGCAUAGUGCCGUGACUGCCGUCGCCUAGGGCUCUCACUAACACUCCCAAGUCCCAAGUCCCAAUUCCCAAAUCGAAGCUGCUCUCCACCUCUCCGGCAUCCGCCAGUCCGCCGCACUCUACGUCUCCUGUCGGCUGUGUCCUGCCGUGCUGGUUCAUCGCUGCCGAGUGUCGAAGACGAAGCACCAAGAUCUCACUGGUUCAUCGCUGGUUCAUCACUGCUCAUCUCUGGCUCGCUUAGGUAAGUGCUCCUCUGUUUUUGGCUCUGUGUCUCUGGCAUUAAAAUGGGCCAAGAUCGACUAGGAAAUUUGUUAUCCUGAAUUGAUAAGGGGACGAAAUCUGAGCUUCCACUUGCAAACUCUAACUGUUGUAGUUUAGAUUAGGUGUGAUAUAACAUAAGCUUUGUAUUUUAUACACAAGAAAGCUCUCUCCAGUUGUGCAGCGUUUAAAAGUCACGGCCUUGGGGAAAAAUUCCACCUUUUACCCGUUAGAAAAAUUAAAAAGGAAAAAACUUGCUAAACUGAAAAUUUUACCUCCUUGUCCGUGGAGAUUCUCAAUCUCUGGUGCACAUCUAGUGAAAAUACGGCUCCAGAAGUUGUACCUAGGAUUCUGGAUAUGAAUUUUCUGCAAUGUGUAAAAGAAGAAACUUUCUAUGUAUAAAUAAGCAGAAAGGUCACCUUAAUAAGCUCAAUAAAAGUAAUCAGCUCCUGAAUAAGUAAUGGAAAGCAUUGGAGCAAGUCUAGAACAUAUCGAAGAGAGCAAUUUAGCUUUUAUAACUACAAACCAGUAGAAGGCCUACAUGUGUCUAGCUUCUUUACAUAUUUUCAGUCUAAUAUUUGUAGCUUUCUCAUGGCUUGCGGGGGUUGGUAGUUGCUGAACUAUAAAGAUUGGUUUUAUAUAUUCUCUUAAUUUGCUUCAGGGUUUUUUUUACAUAACAGAUGAAUUCGGUUAGACCGAAUUCAUUACCGUUUUCGAAUUUGAAAUCGGGUACCGCAUGAAUUCGGUAAUGCCCAAUUCAAAAAUGAAAACGGUUUAGAUUUCUAUAGGUGCAAUAACCGAAAAAACCGAAUUCAGCGCACCGAUUUACCGCAUUUGCACCGAAUGCUCACCCCUAAUUCCACAUGCCUCUUAAUAAUAGUAAUAUAUUUUUCUUUUUAGAAAAUAAUACAAUCAUAGUCGGUGUAAUUGGGCAUACCAAGAAGAAAGCACAUCCGCCAAGCGGCUGCUGCUGCUGCUCCAAUUCUCUCUUUUAUUCCCUCCUCUCACUCUUGAUUAGCCAAGAAAAUACCGAAAUUGUUUAAACCCUAUAUAAUUGCAGGCAAAAUUACUGCUCCAAUUGCAUUGGAGAGUCAUCGGUGGGUAGUCCUCGCCUUUAUUUGCAGGUUUUCUGGCAGCCUCGACCUGGGGGUUUUUGCGGGAUCGGAGAUUUUAAUUUAGAAUCUUCUUUCAUUCUUUGCUAAGAUGAAGCUCUCUUUCUCCCUCUCCUCAAAGCCCCAAAAUUCAACCCUCAAGAAGCUCUCUGCCGCCGCCACCGACGCCGAAGAGUCAAAAGAAUUCGUUACCGAAUUCGACUCCUCCAAGGCCCCAACCGCCAAAAACCGGGAUAAUCGGGUAAUUCCUCCUAAGCCCAACGAAUGGAGGCCGACUAAGAAGAUGAAGAACCUCGAGCUCCCACUCCAAUCUGAUGCUCAAGAGCAACCGAUGCUCCAAUUUGAAGUUGUUGAAUCUGGCCCGUCUGACCCUACAUCUGAGAGUAUGUCCUAUGGCCUUAAUCUGCGUAAUUCGGGUAAUGGGGCCGGAGCGAACCCACAGGAAUUUCCUGGUUCGGCAUCUAAGGAGGAUCCUGUGUUGCAUAAAUUGAGGGAGGAUUUGAAGAGGUUACCGGAGGAUGCUGGGUUUGAGGAGUUUGAGGAUAUGCCCGUUGAGGGAUUUGGUCGGGCGUUGUUAGGUGGGUAUGGUUGGGUUGAAGGCAAGGGUAUCGGAAAGAAUGCGAAAAAGGAUGUGGAUAUAGUGGUGUUAAAGAAACGAACUGGUAAGGAAGGGUUAGGGUUUACUGGUGGAUUACCGGAAUUACCAGCUGAAGCCAAUCGUGAAAAUGGUGGUGGGACUAAUAAUAGUAUGAGGAAAGGAAGUGACAGAGAUGGUAAGGAGAAGGGAAGGGACAAAAAGGACUUUUAUGUGGGGAAAGAAGUGAGGAUUGUGGGUGGAAGGGAAGUUGGGAUGAAAGGUAGGAUACUUGAGAUGAAACACAGUGGGGAAGUUGCAAUUUUGAGGCUUUUAAAGAGUGAGGAGGAUGUAAGUGUUUAUGUUAGUGAUUUAGCUGAUUUGGGAUCAGUUGAGGAGGAGAGGUGUUUGAGGAAGCUGAAGGAGUUGAGGAUUAGAGAGAAAAGCGAUGUUAGUGAUAAGAAAAUUGGUAAAGGUAGGGAUAAAGAUUUGGUAAGCAGUUGGACGGAUAGUAGAGAUAGAGAAAUGAAAGAUAGGAAGAAGGAUAGUAAAAGGGGAAGGGAGGAGAUUAAGGGUAGCGAUAAGUUAUCCUGGUUGACUAACCAUAUCAGAGUGAGGAUUGUAAGCAAGAAUUUAAAAGGUGGACGAUUGUACCUGAAAAAAGGGGAGGUUGUGGAUGUGGUUGGGCCAACAACUUGUGACAUAUCUAUGGAUGAGAACAGGGAGUUGAUACAAGAGGUGGAUCAGGAGCUACUGGAGACAGCACUUCCAAGGCGUG